UUUUUGAAGGUGUGAUCUUUAUGCUCAAAAAAUAAAGAUACUCAAAAAUUUAAUAUUGACCUUCUCGUGAAGGAAAAGCUUUAUAACUAAUUUUUUUUGUGCAUUAUAUAUAUCCUCAAUAUAGACUUUAAAAAAAAAAGAAGUAACUCCCUCUACAAAGAGUGAAGAGUCAAUUAAACUUUUUUUUUUUUAAAAAAAAGGAACCAAUUACUCGUAAAAGUAAUGAUUAUUUUUACAUACCAAACUUGAGGAGAUUACUUAAGAUCACAAAAGUUUUUAUUAAAUUGCAAGCUAGAUGCAUUUGAAACGAUCGUUGAUGUCUUAGCAACACCUUAUGUAACUCAUCAAUCUUUAUGUAAAAAUGCAUUUUUAACACCCAUAUAAAAUAAUGAUCAAUCCUAAUUUAAUAGAAACAAAUGGUAAUACAUGAAUAUCAUUCAUAUUAAUGAGAAAAGUAAAUAUUGAUUUAUAAUCAACUUCUUAAGUUUGUGUCAAUGCCUUAAUCAUUAGUUUAACUUUGUCAUUCAAUGAUACCAUCAUUACGACAUUUAAUUAACUUAGAUUUGCGUAAAUCCCUUAAUCACUAGUCUAGCUUUAUGUCAUUCAAUGGUACCAUCAUUAUGGUAUUUAAUUGAUCUUAUACCCCCAAUUUGUAUACCCCAUGUUUUUCUUAAUUUACCAUACAUCACUUAACAAUGUUCCAUGCAUGGAUUUUGUUAAGUGCCUUAAGUUCCUUUUGCAUAGCCUUUCUCCAAAUUGGAUGAGGAUUGGCUUCAUUAAUGUCAUUAGACUCAUGAUAUAUGGAACUCAAACAAUUGUUAAGUGAUUUUGUAUAUAUAUAAAAAAAAAAUUGUAAUUAAUGUGGUAGGCAUAAAAAUCUCACAAAUGAGGAUUGAUUAAUUGUUAUAAUUGAGCAACAUGCUUGAGGCUUAGUCACAAUACUAGAACUUGAAGUCAGACAUUCUCUUCAAAUAAGGACGUAUAUACAUUAUAUUGGAUCUCCAUUAAACAAGUAAAGAACUAUUUAGUAGACAAUGAAACCUCAUUGAUCAAUGGUGGUAGAGAGACACAUGAUGACCAGACUAUUCCCCUGGAAAUGAGAAUAAAAAAUAUCAUUAGCCGCAAAAAUCUCAAAAAAAUUUAGAUAAUGGGAUAUAAAGAGUUUAUGAAUUUUACAAUCAUAACUCUUAUACUGGUUUAAGUGGUAGAGUAAUCAAGAACACAAAACGAGUUUGAUGAGUGGUUGAGAUAUGAACAAAGCAAAGAUUUCCAAAGACACCAAAAUCAGAAAUCUCAAUUUUUGGGCUAAGGAUUUCAAGAAGAAAUUUAAAAUUAACUACAUGACUAGAAAAUUUGUUCAUCAAGGAAAUAGAAGUAACGAUAUCAUAACAUCAUAAUUAAUCAAUAUUUUUAAUAACAUGCAUUUGGAACAUGAUAUACCGGCUUUCUAAUAAUCAAUGAUUUUUGGUUCAACCACACCAUUUUGUUUUGGGAUGCCAAUACAACAAGUUUAACGAANNNNNNNNNNNNNNNNNNNNNNNNNNNNNNNNNNNNNNNNNNNNNNNNNNNNNNNNNNNNNNNNNNNNNNNNNNNNNNNNNNNNNNNNNNNNNNNNNNNNAUGUAAGUGCCAAAUUAGGUAGUGUCGACAAUGAAAUGGAAAUUUUGGAAUAUAGAAACAACCUCAUUUUUAUGUUCUAAUAAGUAAACCUAUGUAGCAUAAGAAUAGUCAUUAAAAAAAAAGGUAACAAAAUGUUGAUUUCCAUCCUAUGGAUCAAUUAGGACACAACCCCAAGGUAAACUAAUUUGAAAGUUGCAACAAAAAUGGAAAGAGAUGAAAAAAUAAUAGAGGAAUUUAAGGUUGUUUCAAAAUUUCAAGACAUGCUAAGAAACACAUGAGAUUAUAGAUGAUUAGGUAACAACCUUGGUUAAGUAUAUUCAACAUAUAUAUCCCACGAGGAUAAAUAUCUUCACUAAACUUUUCCUAUUAUUCAAUCCCCUAAUACCAUACAAGUGAAAAAUUAAUGUCACGGUCAAAAAUUUUAAUAAGCUUCCAAAGAGAUAAUAAUUUUGGGGAAAAAAACAACCUAAGAAACCUAUGAAUUGAGAUAAUUUAGGAAAAAACUAAAUGUUCGUUAGCUCUAGAAGGGAAUUGAAGCUCAUCAUCAAUAAAGAUUGUUGCUAUCUCGAAUAAUAUCAAGUAAACCAUUAAGAUCGCUAUUAAUGGUAUGAUUAGCAGCACCAAUUAUCGACAAAAAAAUUAUUAAAAAUAUAAGAAAUGAGAGCUUUAAGAUUAUCUAAUUGAUUUGUAAACCUAGGUAAGUGAAUCAGUAUUACGUUUUGUUAAGGAAGCUUAGAUCCAAUUGGUAUCAUUCACCAAGUUAUUGGAUUAAAUUACACUAUCAAACUUUGGCUUUAAAUGAGAAUGAAGAAUCUAACCACAAUCCUUAUUGGGAUUAGAUAUGUUAUUGCAAUAAUGUUUACAAUCGGAUGAGUGCUAAUUUCUAUUGAAAUCAUGAAGCAAUCUCUGAUCAUUGGUCUUCUUUGUAGAAACAUGAGCAUUGAAUUUAAAAUUAAUAAUUGUUACUUGGGAUUCAACCUUCAUAAUCAUUGCCUGGGUUUCCUAAUCACUUUCAAGAAUUACUUAUAUAGUGAAGGCACUCGAAACUAAUCAAAUUUGUCCUCUUAUAAAGUUGUCAUAUUCAAGCUUCAGAAUAGCCAAUAAUUGAAAAACUUAUCAUACUCCGCAAUUUGUUGAAGAAUAUUUGGGUCUAUUGAAGGGGACAAUAUAGGGAAUAUUUGUCCCAUAUGCUCAAAAUGUUCAAUUAACAAAGUGUUCUGUAUGUUUAGGGAUUUGUUAGCUUUAAUUACACAAAACAUUAGCAGUUUUAGAGAAAAUUAAUUUUUUUUUGCAAUCUUAGGUUCCAUGAAAUUAAAAAGCCAAUAACAAGUCAAUAUGGCUUGAGACCCAGUCAUCAUAUUCAAAGUCAUCCAACUUAGAAGCAUUCAUUUUGCCACUAACAUGUGCUAAUUUCCAUUUUCUAUCUUUCAAGAGAAAAAGACUGCUCUUAACCAUGGCAAAUAAUUGAACCCAUUAAGAAGAUUGAGGAAAGUAUCAUAUGAGGGUUGUCAUUUUCCUCCAUGACAAAGAAAAAGCAACAGAGAAAAACUCAUAAUAUUAGAAAGAGAAUGAAAGAAAUUGAGUCAUAGAUACACACAGAAGAAUCCAAAAAUAAAGCAAUAAUACAACCACAAAUAUGAGAAGAAGCUCAAUUACAAAGAAAGGAACUCAAUACAAUCAACUAAAAAGCGUUCCGAAGUUCAUACGAAAAUAUUCAUAAUGUGAAGAUCAUUUCAUGAUUCCUACAAUUUCUUCCUUCUACCAGUCCACUCCAUACAAGGUUUGAUCAACAACUUCUUCAUUGAUUUUCUGGUCUCUCUCCGGUGUAUCAUAGAGCAUUUUUGACAUGUUUCUGCAAGAUACACUUGUUAACUUUAAGCGACAUAAGUGCAAAAAAAUAAGAUCAUGUUGUAUUGCCUGUGCUUCCACUCUGCCUUGUUUAGUACUAUUAUGGAGCAGUACUUCCAUAUAGAACCAGUGAUCUCCAGUUCAUUAUGUUGCCUUCUUUAAACUAACUUUAAUUAUCUAUACAUAUAAAACAAAGUGGUCCCAUCAAGGGGCUAAAUCAAGAAUCAAGUGGGGCGAACAGGAAACAGUGGCAUCAAUUUUUAAGUCCAUAAGCUUUAAUAAAAGGAAUAAAACCAAGGAUAUGAAUAUGUUAUUUUUUCAUUUGUUCAUGCACUGGAAGAUCUUUCCUCUUCAAGCAUUGAACCAGCAUCCUUCUGUGCAAGUUGCUGUCGGAACCUUCUAUAAUUGUCAGAAGUCUGUUUCUGAAAUAUACAGAUAAAACUUUUAGCAAGUCUUGACAUUGCUCAUCACUAGGACAUUGUACUAGGAUACCAAUUCAUCUAAUUAGGGUUAAGUUGGCAUCUCGUACACUAUUUUUUAUUUUUCCUUCAUCUUUUGUUCCCAUUUGCAGUGGAAGUGGCACUUAGAAUAUCUGAUCAUGAAGAAUUAGCUUUCGGUGAGAUGAUACUAGGUCAAUUGCCAUUAUCUUUUUGAGUUACUGUGCGAGCAAUCUUGAAAAUAUUUUGGGAUAAAUAGAAUUUGUGCUUAUCAUAAACAUGCUAAACAUCCAAAUCAAGUGCUUUUACUAUUGAUAUCAAAUCAGUAAUUGAUUUUAACCUUUAUGCUUAUCUUUCAGAUUCUCAAUUAUGUAUCUUGAAUAAUGAUAUUAAGCAGAAAUCAUGAAUUGAAUUGCUUUAAUUAACUGUGCCUUAUCAAGCUUGUCAGCAGUGCUAUUGCUACCGCGAAUCAAAUUCGCUGUGCUUCCCGCCUUCUCCAAAUAAGCCACAAGCCCAAUUAUAUCCGCCCUCCUCCCAUCUCCAAGGGAUCAAAAAAUAAAAUGACUUCAAUCAAUUUUCAAGUUUUCCAUCUUGAUCAGUAGACCACCCGGCAUGAAUGUUACCCUCAGUUUAGGAAUAGGAAUUCCUUUUACUAAUCAUUUGGCACUAAAAACUAUGACCCCUAGCAAUUCAUUCCCUCCAUUAGAUAUCUGGGGGCAUCUUGGCUCAGCCAAAAAUGAUAAGUCAUUGCAUUUCACAUUGCAUUCAUUUGUAUUAAUGAGCUAAUUUUUUUUCACAGAAUGUGAUGUGAAUCGAAUUACUUCCAACCAUGUGUCUCUAUAAGGGUUUAACAAAUGUAAUUUGCAUUGUCUGUACACUUUUUUUUCGGUUUCUUUUCUUUUUUAUGCAUGAUUCAUUAGUCCACGGAUCUUCUAUGCAAAGUGUGCAGGCCAAACACCUCCUUCAAUGCAUUAUUCUAGAAGUUAAGACUCAGUUUACUCCUUAAUUGAUCUGUUCCAUUUACUUCAAAUCAUUUGAUUACAUUAAAUGAAUCUUGAAAUUCAAAAAUGCAUCAAAGUUAAAAGACCUUCCAAUGCAUUAAGAAAUCAUCUGAUACAAAUAUAUGUGAACCUGCAACAACAAUAAUGUCAAAAUGGAAAACUUAGGUAGAAAAUAUUAGAACGGAAACUUACGACGAACUCAAUUUUUGGCGCCUUUCUUCUUCUCAUCUUCUGAUCCAAGAAGCUCUUCCAACACCGUGUCAUCCAAACACUCGAACUCAAUGACUUGCUUUUCUUGCCCAGAAGAGGAACCUCCCAUCUCUAAACUCCUACAAGGCCCAGAAGAUGACGAGGAAGACGAUGAGGAUGGUGAUGGUGGGGGGCGAUGGGAGCCCAUGAUUUCAGAAUAGUACUCAUUAGGAAAGUUAAGAAUGGCAAGAUGACCCCUUAAGUUAAAGGCCGCUCGAUCAUAGGCGCGAGCUGCAUCCUCCGCCCUGUCAAAUGUGCCUAGCCAUAGACGAGCACCUUGCCUAGACGGAUCCCUAAUCUCGGCUGCAAACUUCCCCCAUGGCCUCCUCCUCACCCCUCGGUAUCGAACUUCUUCCUUUUCCUUCCCUUCCUGCUCCUGCUUCUCAUUCCCUUUCGAAUGAUCUUCCAUGCUAAACGUGUCGAUUUGCUAGGCGCAAUUUUUUUGGUUUCAAAUGUGCUGGUUUACGAGAGGCAUGGAUGCUUAUGUAUAUAUAUGGUUGCCACAGUCAGGUCUGACGUCACCGCUCAAUGUAUGUUCCACAGCGUGGGUUGACGAGCUUUCUGAGGGGGUUUCCUCGAAUUCAAAGCAAGUAUAAAAAUUCGAUUCUCCGACCUUUCCAAUGAGGAUCGAACAGGCCUUUUAUUAGAACCGUAUGAUAACUCCACACUGUUUUCAAAUAGUCAAUGUGAUCUAGAUUCUUCGUUAAUUUUUUCCACCUGACUGAUUGUUUACAAUUUUAUUUUUCACCGUCCCAAAUUUAAACCAUUUACGCGAUUCCCUGGAUUGCAUUUUUCUUUAAUGUUGACUUUACGAGGCAAUAGGACCCCCCAGCAACCCCACUAGGGCGACUUCAUGGGAACCAGAUUACUUUUGGAUCCAGAUAUGGUCCAGAAGAAAUAAGACAAAUCAAUUAAUGUCCACUAAAGUUUUGAUGGAACCCUUAGUCCGUGUUUCCUGUGGAUGUAUGUAUUGUAUGCACCUCAAUUUUCACCAAUCCCUGCUACGAGUCCCUUUAAUUUUGACGUUAUAAAUGUUUUUCCUGACAUUAGCAGAGUGUUUUUCUGCCGUCUUUGAGGACCUUCCACGGCCCAUAAACUAAUAAGGAUCGUCCAGUGAAUUUAGUCUUCCCCAGUUAAUUAUCCUGCGAGGGAAACUUGGGCAGUAAGUUGCCUACAUGAGUGGCUCCCGCCUACAUGAGUCAAGGGACCAUACGUCAGGACGACAACCAGUGUGGUCACACCAAAGUGGGUUGCCUGGACUCCAGGGUGGUCGCUUCAAAGUUGUCAAAUGAAGGCUAGCUUGGCAAGUUUUGGAAAACAAUUAUUGAAAAACAUUUUUCAUGAAUAACAGUUUCUAUGAACAGAUUUUAAGAAAGUUUAUUUUGUGAUUUUUAGGAAUAUUUUUAAUUUAAAUUUUUAUAUUUUUAAUUUUUUAUUAAUUUAUUGAUUAUUUAAUAUUAGCUUAAUUAAUGGAUUUUUCUUGGUCCCAAAUUAUUAAUUUAUCAAGAUUUAAUCGCAUCCAUAAUUAGUCUAAUUUCUUUUGGAGUGAGUGUGACAAAGUGCAAAUUUCUAGAGUUUUAUUAAUGUUAUUCAAUGUCAUAAUUUAACUAAUUAUAUUAAUUAUUUAUUAAUCAAAAUAAAUCAUUCACUUGAAAUAUGAUAAUUUAAAUUAAAAGUUUCAAUUAUUUAUUAAUUAGCAAAGUAUGAACUUUUCUUCUUGUUUUAUUAUUGUUAUUCCAUGUAUAUAAUUUAAUUAACUGUUUCCAAUAUUAAUCAAUAAAAAUAGAAUAUAAGCAUGAGAAGAAUUAGUAAAAUUCAUUGAUUUGGAAUUAGAUAGCUAGAGGAAGAACUUCAUCAUCUUCCCAUUACUUAAAUUUGUAUAAAUUCUAAAUAUUUAAACCCCCCCCCCCCCCCCCCCCCCCAAAAAAAAAAAAAAUGGUAAAGAAAGACUCCCCAAGCUUUCUUGGUUGGUGUUACCCUAAAAUUUGUACAAUAAGAUGAACCAUUUGGCUUAAAGCUUGGUGCGAAACCCCUUAUCAAUUGAAAAUAUCAAUGAAGUUGUUGAAUGGUUUUAGAGGACUAUUCUUAUGCAGAGUGGCAUAAGAAGCGAGGAGAUGAAGAGCGGAGAGACGUUAACAUCGGAUGCUGCUACGAAGGUGGGAAUACGGUUAAUUAAUUAGAUUUUGUGAUGGCUUUGAGUUUGAAGGAGUUAGUUUAAUGGGUAUUAUUAGUGAACUGAUAAUUGGAUUUGAUGUAAAGAAGGUUGGUCCAUUGGAUUAGCAAUUGGUUUGGCCUUUUGGGGGCCCCAUUUCCAAAUGCAUUGCCUUUUACAAGCAUUCAACAUCGCUGGACGUAACCAGGCUUGGUUCACCUAAAAGUAUCGCAUGGAUUGAAUUGACUAAGUUUUCAUUGUAGACUAGCCUUGAUUUUCCCUUGACCUGCCCACCAAAUCCUGAUGCCCACGCGAGGGAAUACCUCAAUUUUCUAAUAAUUUAUGCAGUUUCUCUUCAAAGCUCGUGUGAUCACUUGGGUCGGUAAAAUAAUGCAUUCCUCUACUUUUUCUCCCUUCCUAGAUGCAUGUUAUACCAUUAAUUCAAAUGUGAACAUGGGCUUGGCUUUGAAACUUGGUUCAAGGCCCAACAUGUUGACCCACAAUUGAGGUGUAAUUGAAUUUGUACACUUUUCGACUUUGAUACCAUUUGUCAUUACCAUUGACAUUGGGUCAUUGUUGAUUUUGAGUCCACAACUUUUAAGGUUGUUAUUACAAUUUUAAAUUGCGCCCACCCAAUUUAUAUGCAUUAUCCCUUAUAAAUACCGAUAACCUCUCUUUCUUCGAUAAUAUAAAAUGUCACAUAUAUUAUAUAUCUCAAUGUUUUCUUUUACUUUUUUUUUUUUUAUCGAUCGACAUUCUCUCUCAGAUGAUAUGAGAUGUCACAUAUAUUAUAUGUUUCAAUGUUUCUUUUACUUUUUCUCUUUUUCCUCAUGAUUGACAUUGUCUUUCUCAAAUGAUAUGAGUUGUCACAUAUAUUUUAUGUCUCAAUGUUUUCUUUAACUUUUUUUCUCUCUUCUUUAAUGAUCGACGUUCCUUUUCUCAGAUGAUAUGAAAUGUCAUAUAUAUUAUAUGGCUUAAUGUUUUCUUUUACUUAUUCUUUCUUUAUUAAUAAUCGACAUUUUAAGCAAUAUGUGAAUAUAAAGCAUUAAAAUUAUCUCCAUCGUUUUUGGAUGUGGUAUAAAUACACAAUUCUUAUUUUUGUUUUAAAUAUUUCUAUUGCUAUCUAUUGAAAUUUUAUGCAUGAAGCUACCAAGUUAAUUAUACAUAUAUCUUAAGAUUUUUUUUUUUUUUUUUUAUAGGAUAUAUUGUCCAUGAAUAUUUUCUGCAAUGGUAUCUUGUUUGAUUACUAUAAGAAAUAAUAUAUAUAUAUAUAUAUAUAUAUAUAUAUAUAUAUAUAUAUAUAUAUAUAUAUAUUAUAUUUCAAUGUUUCAUAUUUGCUUAAAAUAAAAAUUAUAUUUUAUCACAAUAUUUGGUAUUAAAAAAAAUGAAAUCUCUCUCAUUUAUUAUUACAAAAAAAUUAUAAUUUAUAAUUUUCUAAAUAAGUUUUAUUUAUUUGCUAACUAUAUUCAUGAUUAAAAGAUUUAAAAUUUAUAAAUAAAAAAUAUUAUGUCAUGUCAUUAAAUAAAUAAAAAUAUAUGUAUAUAUUAAAAUUAUGUUUUAUUGUAGCUUUUAAUAUUUUUUUUUUUAUUCUUUUCUUUUUUGAACUACAAUUUUAAUUUUUUUUAAUCAAAAUUUUUUAAUUUACAAAACGAGUAACAUAAAACUUGCCUUUGAACUUUAUUGGAAUGUUAUAUACUACCAUUUGGCUUUCAAGACAUUAGAAAAGGCAUAAGUGUCCCUUUUAUUUUUCCGAAAGGCAUAUUAGACUAUAGUAGGAAGUGUUGUAUAGAGGCAACUAAAAGUUGCCUUUAACUUUAUGAAGUCAUAUACUCCUCUUUGGCUUUGAUGACAUCAACUAGCAAAUUGGAUUUUGUUUCCUUUGCAACAUUUUUCCAUCCAUUAGCCAGUUUUUUUAUACUGUUUGGUGCUUGCCAACAUGGCACACACUAUGGUUCUUAAAAAGUAUUUUUUUUUUUAAGAUACUACGAAAUAAAAUACACGAUUGAAAGAUGAGUCACAAUAAUUUUCAAAACUAAAUUUUUUAAUAUUGUUAAGAAAAUUUGACCACCAAAUGAUUGAUUUUAAAUUACAAAUACUUUUGUUAGCUAAGAAAUUUGUUGUUCUAUUUGUUUCCCUAUAAAUAUGACAACAAUCAUAAAUAUUUUCAUUUUAAGAUAAUUUUCAAAUAUCUUCCAUUAAUAAUAUAAUAGAAUUAGGAAUUUUUUUUUUAGUUAUAACAAUCUAUAAUUAUUUAAGAGUCUUCCUCAAUCUCUAGGUUUAAGAACUUAUUGUUCUUAACAACUAACAUGUCAUCUCUUAAAAUAAUACAUUCUGCAAUAAUUAUUGAAAUAUGAUAUAAUAUAUAUAUCUACUUACAACCAUUUUUGUAGUACCAUUAGAAUUUUUAAUUACCCAUUCUAAAGUAUUUUUAUUCUCUAUUCUUAAACCAUCAAAAUUUAAUUUAAAUCUUUCAUUAAUUGGAUAAAUCCAAUGAAUCUAACAAGUUAAAGGAUUAUGAAUCCGACAAAACAGUUGAUAAUAAAUUAAUAAUGCCAUUAAUAUGAUUUUAAUGUGAAACACAAUUAUCACAUUUAAUACAGUUAGUCCUUGUAUGAUUAAUGUUUUGGAAGCUAAAAUCAAUCUUUUGACUAUAAUAAGAGUUUCUACUAUUUCUAUUUUUGGAUGAUUUUAUAUUUUUCUUAUUGUUUUAGUUUAAUACAAAAAAUAAAAAUAAAAUUACAUUAGUAGAAUUUUUUUAACUUACUCAAAAACCUAUUUUAGUUGAAUGAUUUUUUUAAAAAAAAUAUAAAUAUUUUGUUAAAAGGGAUAAAAUAACCUUACCUUGUGAAAAAGACCUCUUCACCCAAGAUUACUUGUUCAUAAUCCUUUUAAGACGAAAAUGCCCCCUUCCUAAAAAAUAUUUCAUCUUAAACUUAUUUUUCUUUUUAUUGCCCUUUGUUCCAUCCUUCCGGCUUGGGAGAGAAAUUCAUUCUUCUUUUGCGAAGAAAAAUUCCUAUUGCGAUUUUUCAUUUCAAGUGGAAAAAAAAAUUCUUAUUUCAUUUUAAAGAAAUUGUACAUUUUCAAUCUUUCUCUUUGUUCCUAGUUGAGGGUUUUUUUUGUAAUUUUAUCUUAACACUACAAAUUUAAAGGUGAGAUUAAAUCUUAAUGGUUAUUAGUUAAAUCACAUAUCUAACUUUGUUUUUGUCAGGACCUAUAAUAUGAUUGGAACCACCAUCCAAACUUCAUUAGGUGGGAUACUCCCCACCCUCCCCCUCCCCCCGCGAAAUCCUUGGAUUUUAGUUUUGACUUGGAUUUCAAUUGCCCGUAUCAAUUUUUCUUUAUUUAUUAAUUUAUUAAUUUUCAACUUUAACAAAAGCCUUGAAUCAUAUUUAAAUUCAAAUAACUUAAUCCUAAUUAAGUUCUUUUUAAAUAAAAAUUAAUCAUUGAAAAGUUCAUGUGACUAUUAUAAUUGAGAAUUUAUCCCAAGUUGGGUUUUUUGCAAAUAAAAUUUUAUUAUAGGACAUCAUGAUGCAACAUAACAUAAGGUUGUUACUUAAGUUUGUUUUGACCUUGUAAUAUGUUAAAAUGAAAAUGAAGCCAUUGUAACAGGAGAGAAUGAUGAAGCUGUGGAGAGAGCUUAACAAAGCUUGGGUUGGAGAGACUUCACAGGAAGAGAGAGAGAGAAAUAAAGGGUAAAAUUAUCAAAAGAGAAAAGAAAAAAAAAAAAAAAAAAGAAGGUUAUGUCUUCAAAUAAUCAAUAAGAGAUGUCAUUUUUCUAAUUUUCAAAGUUCUUUUGGUCCUUCUCUACAAAUAUCCCUAUAAAAAUAUUAUAAUAUCAAGUUAAUUUGUCAAUACCAAAAUUUAUAUUUUAUAUUAGGGCGACUAAAUAACAUAUAGAAAGAAUUUUAAAUGAGUAAAUCAAAUCAAUUUUGAAACCAAAACUUAAUAAUUACCAAACUUGUAAUCUUAGUCAUUAAAAGUGUACGAUGAAAUCUAAAUUAUUAAGCAAUGAAACAAAAAAUUAAGAUUAAAAUACAAAACGUUAAAAUCAAGAUACAAACUAUUAAAAUGUAAGUGGGAUAUGAGAUGAUAUUAUAAAAAAUAGUGUGAUCCAACAAAAAGUCUAGUACAUCAUUAUCUUCACUUCCAACCAUGUUUAAAAGGUCACAAGUUCUAGCGGUUUCCAAGGACAAUGUUAAAAAUAAUAAAAAUAAAUCCAAUUAAAUAUUAAUUAAUUUAUUUGAAUUUGAGUCCGACAAAAUAGUUGGUAAUAAGUUAAUAAUGCCAUUAAUAUGAUUUUAAUGUGAAACACAAUUAUCACAUUUAAUACCCGUUAGUCCUUGUAUGAUUAACUUUUUAGAAAUUAAUAUCAAUCUUUUGAUUAUAAUAAGAGUUUCUACUAUUUAUAUUUUUGGAUGAUUUUAUAUUUUUCUUAUUGUUUUAGUUUAAUACAAAAAAAUAAAAAUAAAAUUACAUUAGUAGAAUUUUUUUUAACUUAUUCAAAAAACCUAUUGUAAGGUGAAUGGUUUUUUUAUUUUUUUUUUAAAUAUAAAUAUUUUCUUAAAAGGGAUAAAAUAACCUUACCUUGUGAAAAAAGGCCUCUUCACCCAAAUUUACUUGUGCAUAAUCCUUUUCAGACGAAAAUGCCCCCUUCCUAAAAAAUAUUUCAUCUUAAACUUAUUUUUCAUUUUUAUAACCCUUUGUUCCAUCCUUAUGAUUUGGGAGAGGAAGUCAUUCUUCUCUUGUGAAGAAAAAAUUCCUACUGCCAUUUUUCAUUUCAAGUGAAGAAAAAUAUUUAUAUUUCAUUUUAAACAAAUUGUACAUUUUCAAUCUCUCUUUGUUCCUAGUUGAGGUUUUUUUUUUUUUUUUUUUUUUUUGUAAUUUUAUCUUAAUUGUACAAAUUCGAAGAUGAGAUUAAAUCUAUAAUGGUUAUUGGUUAAAUCACUUAUCUAACUUUGUUCUUGACAGAUCGUAUAAUAUGAUUGGAACCACCAUCCUAACUUUAUUAGGUGGGAUCCCUUUUUUUUUUUCCCCAAACCCUUGGAUUUUAGUUUUGACUUAUAUUUCAAUUGUCUGUAUCACUUUUUCUUUAUUUAUUAAUUUUCAACAAGUUCUUUAACAAAAGCCUUGAAUCAUAUUUAAAUUCAAAUAACUUAAUCCCCAUUAAGUUCUUUUUAAAUGAAACUUAAUCAUGUGAAAGUUCAUGUGACUAUUAUAAUUGAGAAUUUAUUCUUAGUUGGGUUUUUUGUAAAUAAAAUUUAGUUAUAGGACUGUGAUGAUCCGUUCUCAACCGUAUAAAUAUUGUUCGUUUUGAAUUCAAAAUAACUUUUACGGCUUUAAAACAUGUUUACAAGAUUAAGAGGAGUCCAUAUUUAUAUAGCUUCACGAACUUUCCCCCCUAUUCGAUGUGGGAUGUCACAAGGACAUCAUGAUGCAACGUAUAACAUAAGAUUGUUUCUUAAGUUUGUCUAACCUUGUAAUGUGUUAAAAUGAAGAUGAAGCCAUUAUAACAGAAGAGAAUGAUGAAGUUGUAGAGAGAGCUUAACAAAGCUUGGGUUGGAGAGACUUCAUAGGAAGAGAGAGAGAGAGAGAGAGAGAAAUAAAGGGUAAAAUUAUCAAAAAAGAAAAAAGAAAAAAAAGAGGGUGAUGUCUCCAAAUAAUCAAUAAGAGAUGUCAUUUUUCUAAUUUCAAAGUUCUUCUGGCCCUUCUCUACAAAUAUCCCUAUAAAAACAUUAUAAUAUCAAGUUAAUUUGUUGAUACCAAAAUUUAUAUAUUAUAUUAGGAUGACUAAAUAACAUAUAGAAAGAAUUUUAAAUGAGUAAAUCAAAUCAAUUUUGAAAUCAAAACUUAAUACCUACCAAACUUGUAAUCUUAGUCAUUUAAAGUGUUCCAUGAAAUCUAAAUUAUUAAGCAGUGAAACAAAAAAUAUAAGAUUAAAAUACAAAACGUUGAAAUCAAGAUUCAAACUAUUAAAACGUAAGUGGAGACGUAAGAUGAUGUCAUAAAAAAUAGUGGGAUCCAACAAAAAGUCUAUUAAUCAUUAUCUUCACUUCCAAUCAUGUUUAAAAGGUCACAAGUUCUAGCGGCUUUCAAGGACGAUGUUAAAAAUAAUAAAAAUAAAUCCAAUUAAAUAUUAAUUAAUUUAUUUGAACAAUAGAUAGGACCAAAAUAAUAUUCUAAAAGGAAUCAUAGGGAAGUCCUUGGACAACCUACGACAUUGAACAAAGGUACAGUGAGACAAUGCACUUAGCCCUUCCUUGUCAUUGCGAUGAAUAUAAAAAGACACCCUGAUUGAGGGUGCCCCACUAAGCCAAGAGUGAUUCUUUUGUAUUGUAUAACGUGAAUAUUUUUGAACUUUGAAUGACCCUUCCUAUAGUCAUCAUUGUCAAAACUAGAAAAUCAGAAAGAUGCGAUGUACGAAGGCACCAUUGAAUAAGAGGCUUAAUUCUCUUUGGCAAUUAGGAUAAAGUUUCAAAAUAGAAAAAUUAAACAAAUGUACAGUGUACGGACACUUGGGCAUUGCCUAUUUGUUUUGUUCUUCUAGAGUUGUAUAUGGUAAAGGUCAUAUUGGGUUGGUUCUAUUUGGUUAUUGAAGUCGGCUAGAAUAUUAGAUUUGGUUUCAAUCUAAUCCCAUAUGAUAUUAGAAUACCAGCCCAUACAGAAUUUUUGACCAAAUAUAAUAUUUCUUUUAAAUAUAAAUAUAGUAAUUAAUUUUAGUCUAAGAUUAAUUAUGUAGUUUCCUAAAGAGACCACUUCCUAAACGGUAGCUAUGUGGAAGUUGGGCCAGGUCCUGCCGAGAAGGUUUCCACGAGCUGAGCCCAAAACUGAGUAGCUGUGAUGGGAUCAUUCUAGCAUUCAGCCUGAAACUUGUAACAUAACGGAUCGAGAGGCCUGAACUCCAAGACCAUGGUUCGUCAGCCCAUUAACUUCAACAGCACGCAUUUUAGAGGACUGGGCUUGCAAGGGGUGAGGUUUCCGGGCCGCGACCCCAAAUAUGAACAGCCUCAGAAGUGAUAUUGCUUACUGGCACGUGAAGAGCGCAAGCGUAACUAGAAGAUUUGUAAUGCCGCUUUAAUUGUUUGAUUAUAGAAUCCCACGCAUUACGCAUGGAAAGUGUAAAAGAUAAAAGAUGUAGAAUUUUUUCUUAGAGAAAAGUUCGUUUGGAUAUAGUUAUUGUUUUUUUUUUAAAUAAUAAUUGUUUUUUUUAUAAAUUAUAGAUAAUCUUAGAAAUUUAUCUUUAAAAAAAUAGUUUUUAAAAAUAUUUAAGGAGAAUAAAAGUGAUAAAAAAAAACUUUACAAUUUCAAAUUUUUAAAAAAUGAAAAUUAUUUUUAAGAAUAUAAGUUAAUCUCCUGCAUUUAAAUCUUAGGUGGUUUUUGUUUUUUUUACUUUUCGCUGAAAACAAUUUGUUUUCAAAAUUUAGGUCAUUUGUUUUUUCUAUUUUUUCAUGAUUUAUUAUAAAUUUUUUACUAAAUAAAAAAAAUCAAAAUAUGUAACUUUUUCUAAAUAAAAAAAAUAACGUAUUGAUUUUUCUUUACUUUUUAAUACUUAAUAGAUAUAAAAUACUACAAAAACAAAAAAUCUAAUAUUUAACACUAUUAAGCAUUAAAGUUCUAUUUAGAAUUAAGUAAAAAAACAAACACCACCUUAUAUUUUAUAUAAAAGUUACUUAUAUUUUGGUUUUUGGAAAUAAAAAAUAUAAAGCAUAUCCAAACAUGAGCUUAGCUAUUUUAAAUCAUAUCAAAAUAAUAAUCCCAAUAAGGUAAAUGGACUUUUAUACGGAGAAUAAUCUUUAAGGUUUUCAUUUUUAUUGGAUUUUUUUUUUGUGGUGUUUUUUCAAUCCAUCUUCUCAAUUAAUUCCUUAAAAUUAUUUUACUGUUUUUUUUUUUUUCAGUUUCUAAAUAUUUGAUUUUUCCAAAAUGCUUAAAUGGAAGACACUAAUUUUUCAAGAUAUUUGGUAUUACAAUUUUCCCUGUUCUCCCUAUUAUCUAUCAGAUUCAUGGCCCUUUUGUUUUUUCAUUGGUUUUCAAUUUAAUUUUCCAAAUAUUACAUUGUUGUGUUUUGAAUUUGUGAAACCAAUUUUAUAUAUAUAUAUAGUAUGUAAGUCUACUUUGGGUAACAUGUACAGAGAGGUUUUCAUGUGUUUGAAACCUUUUACCUCAAAAAUUAAUUAUUUUUAAUUUUAUAAUAAAUCUUUUUUUAUUUUUUAUUUUAUUUAGGAAAGCCUAUAUUUAAACUACAUGUUUGCAACGCAACACCAUACAUACUCCUAGUGGAACUUACCUUAGUGCUUGAGGGGGAUGCAGAUCUUCUUCUAAACCUAACUAAUAAGCAUAAAAUUGUUCACUAAUUAGCAUAUCUAGUAAAUCAUACAAAUUGGCAAUAUUUCAUGUUUUUCAUGUUUUGUCAAUAAAAGGCGUCUUGACCAUUUUGUGAGUUUUGUAAUAAAUAAAAAAAAAAAAAAAAAAAGGGCAAAAGGUGACUAAAAUGAGGCACUUUGGAAAGGUUAAUAACCUAAAAGGAAGAUGAAUUAAUACCCCCUUAUUCCUCUUCAAAAACCAUUGAGAAAAUGCAAGAAAUGCUCUUAGUUGUAUGCUAGGCUAACAGCCUAGCAACCAUAAUACCCUUCUUUGCAAUUGUAAGCAUUUUUUUUUUUUUUUUGAAGGCCAAACAACGUUGCAAACUUCCCAAAUCCCUUCUUUAUUUUUUAUUUUUUUAUUUUUGUUUUUAGAAGGAGAAUGAAUUUGAUGACAAACUCCUUGUCAAUCUUAUCCAAACCACGAUCGAACAGAACUCCUUGUCAAUCUUAUCCAAACCGUGUUCCACCUCAAAAACAUGUGUAGGACUUAAGGCAGCAACUGGCAAGCAUGACUGAUAGGGCCAAGUGCCCUUGUCUCUACAAUCCAUUAAGUUAACCAAGGGCAGUGAACCAUCAUUCUUUUCAAAAGCUUCAUUCCGUGUUGAAAAUGUGAGACUGAAGCAUGGUGCCCCCAAAAAUAACGAUCUAUUUACUAGCAGCAUGCCUGGACCCAUUAAAAAUACUCUACUUUAGGAAUAGAAAAAAUUACAUCUUUAUCCAAUAAUUUUAUAACAAUUCAGACGUUUCAGUCUAUAAAUAAUUGUACAUAGUUGCCAACGUUUAGCUAGUUUCAAAUGAAUAGCCUAGGUUCAUGCACCAGUUUGGCUGGUGGAGGAAAGGGAUUCGAGACAUUGAACCCUCUUUUUAGUGUGCCAAAUAUUCCACAAAAAUCACUACCUUCUCUUUGUGUUUGUUCACUUUUAGUUUAUAUUUAAUAAAUCUAUGUUUUCGAGUAGAGGUUGGGUUCAGGUGCGACCCACGUCACCUCUCGGACGGUCUUGAAAAAGGAGACCGGACCACGUAAUUUCAAAUGUAGUGACCAUCUCACUUUUACCUCCAUCCUUGAAGAUGGUUUCCCAAAUCAAUAUUAAUCUUUUGUUUACGACAAUAUCGAUCACUUUAUGUCUAUAUCGUUGUUAAUUUACCUUUUUUUUUUAGCCACAUUAUUUGAAAAUUGAUGCAAACUUUACCAACAUCUUGGUACCAUUUUAAAAUAUUAGAGUUAUUUGAUUAAAAAAAUAAAAUAAUCUCGAUAACUUGUUUAUAAAAUAAAUAUCUUUUAACAUUUAGACUAUUCUCACGCAUGCUUUAAAAUUGUAAAGAUAUUCAUAAAGUGGAACUUUAGACUUAAUCAAUAUCGAUCACUUUAUGUCUCUAUUGUUGUUAUAUUUUUUUUUUACAACAUUAUUUGAAAAUUGAUGCAAACUUUACCAACAUCCUAAUACCAUUUUAAAAUAUUAGAGUUAUUUGAUUAAAAAAAUAAAAUAAUCCCGACAACUUGUUUAUAAAAUAAAUAUCUUUUAAUAUUUAGACUAUUUUCACCAUGCUUUAAAAUCAUAAAGAUAUUUAUAUUCAUAAAGUGGAACUUUAGACUUAAACAUGAUAAUAGUUUUUUUACAAUAUUAUAAUUAUUUUAUCGUUUUAAUUAAGCCCUUUAUCAUACAUAUAAAUGUAAAUUAAUGCUAAAUUUUUAAAGCAACGUAUAACCUUUUACAUCUUUUUUUAAGAUGGUGCGAAAAUCCUAUGAAAAAUAAUAAAAGUCGAUGCAUAAGAAGAUUGUUUUGAUAAUUCAAUAGAAAAAUUCUUUUAAAAUGAUAUUAAAAAAUACCCAUAGAGCCUUUAUUAAAAAAAUCAAUUAUUUUCAUAAUAAAAAUUAUAAUUUUUUAUUAUGUAUUAUUAUUUUUAAGUAUCUUUAUUACAAAUACUUUUUUUGAGUUUAUGAGAGGAAUCAACAGGUUGGUACAAGCUUAGGCGUCCUCGUACAUGUUCCCGCUGUGCAAGGUUUUUGUCUUGUUUCGAGCUAGUCGGAAUUUACGUGUUUGAUAACGUUUUGUCCUAUUUUUGUAACGCUUUAAAGGGCGGCCCACCGUUGGAACAGUUCAAGCCAUCCAAAUCAGCCCGGAGGGUUAUGGCGACGUGGCAUGACGCCUACCACCUUAGUUCACAUGAACCCUAUGAUCGUACUACCCUCACAUGACAUCUGUGAUUCUUCACCUCCAAACCCUCUUUAACUUGGUAAUGUAUUCAAAGCUUCAUCAAAUCAUAGCGAUUAGCGACCCUCUUCCACCCUAAUUUUAUAAUAAAAAAUAAAUCUUAGUGGACAUUAAAGUAGUAUUUUGUGGGGGGAAAGAAAAACUCUAUGGGCGUAUCCACUAAAUACGAGCCAAGUAUAAGAGUUAUCACCAUGGAAUCAAAUUAUGAAGCAUUGACAUUUUAAUUGUAUUCAGAUUUGAGGAGGGCACCGCGGCACCAGCUGGCCCAGUGUAGUCUGCUAGCCUACCCGCCAUAAUGACCAAAUUAAUAAAGUAAAAAGGAUUACAGGGAUAUUCCCAACUUUAUUCUGGGUCUGAGCUGGAACUUGGGAGUUAUCACGAUCAACGGGAAAGAUGGUGGGUAGGGGACGAGGAUUGAGGGCUCCAUAUUCACAUCAGUGAAAAACGAAAUGUAUUGAGACAAGUCUUCUAAGGAUUUUCUAGCGUAUUAUAUGGUUUAAAUGAUUAUAAAUCUGUAGUUACUGGUAAAGAGUAGAGAGUGAAGACGAAAGACGUUGAGUGAAAAGGAAGGAGGAGAGGGGAUGGGGCCAUCUUACCGUGUCGGGGAGGAUCCAUAAAAGGACUACGUUCCCUGAAUCUGUAGGCAUCAUGCCUCGCCUAACGGGUUAGUCAAAAUACAGUGAUGUGUGUGAGUUGGGGGCCUCACUCCUCAUUUCUUUCCUUCUUUUCACCCCCACCCCCACUUUUUUUUUUUUUUUUUCGAAUUUUUCUUUGUCCUUUUCUCUCACUUGCGCACGCGGGAGAAGGACCACAAACUAGACAAUUCCUCUGCUCACGUGACCCCGAGUUUUUAAAUAUUUGCCUAUUUGGAAAAUAGUCAUGAAUCAUGAUCGUUAACAAACAAUCUUCACUUUAUUUAUUUAAGAUCUAUUUUUUGGAGCUCUAGUUUAGUUUAUUAUUAUUAUUAUUAUUAUUAUUAUUAUUAUUAUUAUUAUUUAGUAACUCCUCUUAUAUUAAUGAAAAAGAGAGGAGGAAUCCAAACUUGUUUAUUCUUCCUCUUUUAAGGUGUUUGUUUUUUUUAUUUUAUUUUUAUGCUUCAUAUGUCUUCAAUUUCUUAGCAUUUGUCUUAUAUUUCUUCUUAUCCGAUUCAUUAUUGCAUCCUUGGUCAAUCUUUCACGAGGAGUGCCUACUUUUUUCCUUUUUAUUAUUUAAUUCACUUUAUCUUUAUAUUUUCCUUUUACACUUUAUUUCCAAUUCAAAACGUGUCAAAAAAAAAAAUUGGUAACAAAAAAAAAAAAAAAAAUCAAUUGUAAUGAUUCUUAUAUAAUUUUAUUUAAUUUUUAUUAAACAAUAAAGAAAUUAAAAAUAUAUAAAUUUUUAAAUAAUUAUUAUAGUCUUUCAUUUUUGUGUAUAAUUUCUUUUGCAAGAAAUAGUGUAGGCUUUCCACGGUCUAAAGGAAAUGGAAUAUCAAAUGAGAAGGUAAUAAUAAUAAAGUGAGUUAUAGAUACUAAUCAAACUAAUCCACUAAUGAAUUAUUUAUUUUUAUUUCACAUGGACAAAUCCUAAAAGUUGGAGUUCUAAUUUACUUUUAUGUUAAGCUUUUUUAAGUAAAAAUCUUUUAUUAUUAUAAUUUAUAGACAAAAAGAAACCCAUUAAUGUGAUGGAUAAAAAAUUUCAAUUUAAAAAAAAAAAAAUUAAAGUUGCUAAAUUUUUGUAUUUAUUAUUUCAAACUCAUUUAAAUAAUUUAAAAAUAUGUCUUCAAUUAAUUUUAAUGAAACAAAGCAUGAUUUUUUUUUAAUUUUUUUUUCUUUACCAAAUAAAGCAUUAUUAUAAUACGUUGAUUAAAUUUUCAUCAUGUCUCUCAAGAUUUGGAUUAAAUAUACUUAGUUGUCAUAAAUUUGAAAUUUUAUUUAAUGUAUUUUUUAUUUUAAAUUAAAAAGAUGAAUGCAAAUAAAAAAAAUAUGUAUAUUUUAUAAAAUUUUAAAUUAAACGAAGGAUACGUGUAUUUAACCAAGGUGAAUGAAAUUAAUCCAAAUACUUUUUGGUAACUUGCAAAAUAUCUUGACGAAAUCAUUAUGGCAGGCAUCGUACAAGCUCAACCCUUGUCGCCUUGCUAGAAAUAGAGAAACAAAAAGACCCCCAAAUUGGGUUGCAUCCUAAAUAUGAAGAAGUGGUAACAAAGGAAGAAAAAAUGCUGUGUUAUUGAAUAGUUAAUACAUUGAACAUGAUAUGUUACAUAGAGAGCCAGAUUAAUCCUAGUGGAAUUCCACUGUCACGAUGGUAACCUAGGGUUAUGUUUGGUUAUUGAAAAUACCAAGAAAAGAAAAAAAAAUAUAAAGGAAAAUAAUUUUUUCAUUUUUGAUUGUCUUAUAAAAGAUAUAAAAAAAAAACAAAUAUAAUUAAAACUAAUUAAAAAUUUAGGUAUUUUUAAAUUAUUUAAUUUUUAUAUUAAUGAGCGAAAAUAAAUAAAAUAAGUUUAAAAUAACAAAAAAAAUAAUUUACCGAUUUUUAAUCUAUAUUUUAUUUUACUUUUUCUUUGUAUUUUUUUUUUCUUAUAUUUUCCCUCAAAUUUUCUGAAUCAAACAUAGCAAAAAAGGAGCUACCCCUUUCGAAAGAAACUCCCAAGAAUUUCAAAGAAACCUGCUGAGAUAAUGAAUGAGGGAUCACUGUCGGUAAACAGUAUCCAUUCUUUUGGGAGGACUUUCAAACUGAGAAGUUGUUUUCAUGACUUGGAAACAAAAUUUUGAGCUCUAAGGGGGUCUGUAUUUGGGCCCUAAAAUUCAAUCCAUCAAUCUGAAAAAUGCUUAGGAUAAUGAUUUGAUUUAGCCACAAUCACUAAACAAAUUCCAGAGGAAAAUUUCGCUACUCAUAGGUGGCUGAUUCUCAUAAAAAGACAUCGUGGUAGGGUGUCUCAAGUGCAGGCUCACCAUCAACUUGCUGCCCUUUUUAGAUUAUUGUAAAAUGAUUUCACAUGAAGCCCAAUGCAAAACUUUGAAAGAAAAGGUUGGUGGAGACGUGAAGAAUAUGUAACCCAUAGGCCAUAACUAGUACCGAAGAUUAUUGAACAAACAUUCAAGGUUUUUGUAUAGACGAAACUGAAAAGAAUGUGUACCAGACUCAGGCGUUCAGAUCAGAUGAUGCCGUAAUGUGGAUUGUGGAGGAGCAUUGUGCAGACAGAUAAUGAGAUUCUGAAAGCGAGGCCACUGAUGGGCCCUUGGAAGGGGGGCGUGCCUUCAAAAUUAUAUAUAUAUAUAUAUAUAUGUCAUUGAAAAUUGGAAGCAACUUUUCUUCUUAAGUUAUUUUAAUCGAAGAAGAAACAAAAAGUUAAAAACAUACAUUAUUCUUCCUUCUUACGAGGUUUCCGGGUCUAAAUUACUAUGGUCUCUGCAACUGGCGUCGUUUUCUCUCCCCUCUCUCUAUUUUCCCUUUAUUUUUUCACUUUUAGAAAGAAGCAUCCCAUCAAGAAUCUACUACAACCCUACGCUUCCAUUUUGAUUUAGAAAGUUAAAAAUAAGUUUAAGUUAAAAAAAAAUAUUUUCUUAUAUAAUUAUUUAAACUUAUUUCUUUUCCUUUUUAUAUAAAGAAACAAAUAUUUUGCAAAUAAAUAAAUUUCUAAUUAUUUUCAUUAACAUAAUAAUAAUAUUUUUCAUAUGACUUUAAUCACAAUUUUUUUUACCACUUGUCCAAGGCGGUGAGAGGUGAUAAAAUGUAUUAAAAAAACGAUUAAAUUGCAUUAGGUAUAGAAGUUUUGUGCUUCAAUUAUCACUUAUAAAAAUAAAAUAAAAAUAGUCAAAUUUGAGUGUGCAAGUUGGUAUUCGUAUGUAGAAGGAAUUGGGGGAUUUGGGGGUCCUAACAAAUUUGAUAUGAUUGAUGGAAGGAAAUGAUUAUUAUAGGAUAAAGUCCGAAUGAAACGCUGACGAGGGGGGAAAAACAACAGUGGCAAUGCACUAUCCACAGAUCCAUGAUUGAUUUAUGUUAGCAAUAAUGAAUUAUUUUGACUUUGAUAACCUUGGUUAAGAGAAUUUGGUCUUGUUAUUAUCAUUUUUUCAAAAAAAAAAAGUGUAGGUAACUAGGUAGUUGAUUUAUUAGAAUUUAGAAAUGAGGAUCCCCUCCUCCUGCAAGAGCCGUGACAGACAUGCCUGCUUUCUUGCCAGAUUAUACCAAUGUGCCCAAAUAAUCCCCCAUCUAUCAUCUCUGCACCCUGGAACACGUCACUCCCUCCUUUGAGCAAUAAAAUAUCUCUUUUAUUUUCUUUUGAACCACUCUUCUAUUUCUUUGUACCAGACUGGACCCAUUUAAAUUCUUCGCUACGCUGUUCCCAAGGACUACGAGAAUCAAAAUAGCAAAAUUCUUGAAUCAUUUUAAUGGGUUCAGAAACCACAUGUUUCUCUAGAUCAUAAGAGGAAAAUCUUUUUGGAUGGUGUUUGUGUUGUGUUGUGUUCAAUAUUAAAUACUCAAUUAAAUAAGCUAAAUCAAAUAUCACAUGAAAAAUAAUCAAAUUAAAAAUAGGGAGAAUUAUGUUUUGAGGGUAGAUGGACCCCAAAUUAACAAAAGGUUCAUGUAACUCUUCAAAUUGAGCCCAGACCCAAUGAAAAUAUGGAAAUUGAGUUGAAGUAUAUCAUCAUUCAGUAUUUCCAAAAAUGUCCUUUGUUGAUUUUGAGAAAAAAAUUAAUAUUUUUGAAAAAUAUUUUUAUGUAAUUUAAUAUUUUUUUAAAUACUUUUAUUUAAUUUAAUAUUUUUAAAAAAUAAAUUUAUUUAAUUUAAUAUUUUAAAAAAUAUUUAAUUUAAUAUAUUUUUUAAAUACUUUAAUUUAAUUUAAUAUUUUUGAAAAAAAUUUUAAUUUAAUAUUUUUGAAAAAAAAAUUAUUUAAUUUAAUAUUUUUUAAAACUAUUUUUAUUUAAUUUAGUAUUUUUGAAAAAAAAUUAUUUAACUUAAUUUUAUAAAAUAUUUUAUAUGUGUUCUUAAAGGGUAUAUUUGUCCGUUACUAUUUCAUAUCCUUCAACUCAAUUUAAAGAGUUAUAUGGACCUUUUGUUAAUUUGGGGACCCAUCUACCCUCAAAAGAUAAUUCUCCCUUAAAAAUAUAAAUUUAAAUAUGACAUAAUUAUUAAAUAUGUUAGAUCUUGUAUGAGUUUAUAAGAUUUAUGUUUCAAAAUAACAUGUUUAUAAUUCAUCUAUUGAUUUAUAAUCAAAUUUUAAAUAAAUUAAAGUUAUUCAAGUUAAUAAAUAUGAUUUAUGUUAUAAAGACUAACUAAAAAAUAAUUUAUUAAUUAAACGGAUCCUGGUCAAUAAAAAUUUGAUUUAAAUACGAUCAUACUUAAUCAAAACUUAGGUCAAAUUGUAUUGAUAAAUUACAUCAAAACCUUGUUGUGUUCAAUAUUUUAUAUUAAACUAUUUUUUAAUAAAAUUAUUUUUAUAAAUAUAAUAUUACAUCAUUUGGAGAAACAAAAUAGUAUUAUAUUGAUUUUACAUAUAAAGCAACCAGUUAACCCCUCAUUAUUUUGAUCCAUUUCACAUCCAUAUCAUUCUCAUAAUUUUUUUAUAAUAUAUUAACAUGAUGGACGGUAAUUGAGGGUAGAAAAAAAAGAUGAGAAGAAUAAAAUAAUGUGAAUCCUCUCUAAAUGUUACAUCUUCUGACAAAUGAAGUCUAUAGAAAUGUGUAAAAAAAAAAAAAACACUUAAUUGUGAGGUUCACUUGAUUUAGCAAAAAAUUAAUAUUUUAUUUGUUGUGUGAUUUAAAAAUAAUAUUUUAUUUUUAAAAAUAAAAAAUUAUUUUUAAAGUUUUUUAACACUAUUUUACUAUUGUUCUUUGAAAUAAUUUUUAAAAUUAAAAUGAAAUAACUAAUAAUUUUUAGAUAAUAAAUUAAAGUUGUUUUUAUUAGAUUUUAAAAAUAAAAGAAAAAUAUAAAACCAUUUGAUCAAAUUUUUUUAAACUUAUUUUUAAAAGGUUUUUUUUUUUUUUUUUUUUUUUCUAUCCUAAGUUAAAAGAUAAAAAAUAAUUUUUAAAGAUAGGUUACGAGCAAAUGCCACAAACUUUUUUCUUCUCUUUCCCUUGUUCGGAUAGAAGUGAAAAAUAUCCUCCCAUGGAUCGACAUUACGUGAGCCAUCACCAUUCCCCAACUGCAAUUCAACCGCCAAAGCUGAGGUGUCAUUAUUAGUUUGAACAAAAGUCAGCAUUGUCCACGUGGUGACAAGCGGAACUGACCCAACUUGCAAGGCAAAAAAAUAAAUAAAAUAAAAUGAAAAAAUCAGAUCACCAUUAUGACGUCAGUCCAAUUGCUGACCUGGCCGCCGUCCCCCAUUUGACCCACGUGUUCAUUUAACCCAUUCGCCGUAUGCCGUGGCUCCCCACCCAUAUGGCCAUAUCUGCCAUUUAUUUUAUCCGUUGCCUCCAUUCGGUUUUUGGAUUUUACCCAUUCGCCCUCGUCUAUUCCCAUUUCCGUAUUUGCCCACCAAGGAAAUUCAAUUCCCAUGCUUUUGUUUUACAUUCAAAUCCUCCCCCCUCUAUAUAAAGGAGGGAGUAGGGCUUGAAAGUUUCUCAAGCCAACAUGGACUGUUGAGAGUGAAAGACAGAGGAGCCACAAACAAAUAUCACUCACUCAAACCAAAGCCAAAACCAAUACCGAAUUCAAUUCAAAUGACUUCUUUCUCUCUCAUCAAUUCCCUGAAUUCCGAUUCCGAUUUCAAUUUGUUAUCGGAUUCUUUUUCCUGGGAAAACUCCCUACCUUUCAAUGAAAACGACUCCCAGGAGAUGCUCCUCCUGGGCAUGCUGGCCAGCUCCACUCAGGAAACCUCAGAAACAGUUUCUUUGAAUCGAGUGAAGGAGGAAGAAGUGACUUCCCAGGAAAAUCCCGAGAAGGAGAAGUCAUACAGAGGCGUUAGGAGGCGGCCAUGGGGGAAAUUCGCAGCAGAAAUAAGGGACUCGACCAGGCAUGGCAUAAGGGUGUGGCUGGGAACAUUUGACAGUGCAGAGGCAGCUGCUCUGGCCUAUGAUCAAGCUGCUUUUGCGAUGCGGGGCCCUGCGGCAGUCCUCAAUUUCCCGGUGGAAAGAGUGAAGGAAUCGAUGCAGGAGAUCAAGUGCAUCUUGGAGGAGGGGGGCUCACCAGUGGUGGCCCUCAAGAAGAGGCACUCUAUGCGGAGAAAAAGUCCUUGCAAGAAACAUAAAAGUGAAGAGGUGAGGUUAGAAAAUGUGGUAGUGCUGGAGGAUUUGGGUACUGAAUACUUGGAACAGCUCCUCACUUUCUCUGAGACCUCUAGUCCUUGAUCAUCAUCAUCCAUCACCUGGAUAGCUUCUUCUCUUUGCUCUGUUUCUUACUUUUCUCUCUCUCUCUCUCUCUCUCUCUCUUUUUUUUUUAUGUAAUUUUUCUUAAUGUAUUUUUGGAGAUGGCGGGGGUGUAGUGGUGGCAAUUAUCCAUCUAGAAUUUUUCAAAAGAUAUGUUCUUUUGUUUCUUUGUAUAAAGUUGAAAAGUGGGGAUCAAUUGUGAUGGUGCUCUAUGUUCAUCCACCCAAUUUAUAUAAUCAAGGUGAUUAAUGUUUUUUGAUAUCAACAAUUUGUGAAUGACAUAGAGAGAGAGAGAGAGAGAGACCUUAUUUUCUACACUCAUUACGGUGGUUUCCAUUUGGGGAAGGAAAAGGAAAUGGCUAAGAAUGUUACCAAAAGAAGUGGGGUGGCUUUCAUAUGCGUGGUGGCAUACUUGCAUACAAACUUUUCAAUUGUGUUCUGCAUGCCACUCGGGUCAAUUUCAUUUCUUUUACUCCUAGUAGCCUAAUUGGAUUUCCUUUUUCUCAUGAGACAUCAAAUAAAUUUCAUUUUUUUAUAUUUAAAUAGUUAGGUAAGUUUGAUAGUGAGUUAUAUUUUAUACAUUAAUUCAUCUUUUAGAAUGUUGUCUACAAUAUAAACAGUGUAAUUAAUUUCAUCAUUACAGAACAGUCAUCUUAUAAAAUAACAUAAAAAUUAUUGGAUCACUUGUAUGGCACCACUGAUUUGGACUUGGUAUGGCUCUGUUUGGCUUCAUAGAAAAAAUUUGGACCCAAUUUGAAUGUCUUGCAUAAAAAGAGAUACGUCCCACUUUGAAUGAUAUUGAAGAAAAAAAUUUCUGAUGAAGAAUAUAUUGUUGGCAGGGUCAUGCAGGCCAAUAGGGAAACGAUAAAUUCAGAAGAAUGAGUCCAAACCAGUGGGCUUGAAAAUUAAGAAGAGAAUUGCUGUAUAAAACAAUCAUUUCUUAAUCGAGUUCACUUUCUGAAUAAUCGUCACUUUGAGAAUGCAUACUUAGGAAGAUGAUGAUCCUUAAUGGGAAUAAUCAAAGGCAUCAAAAAAUUGUUCUGGAACAAUUCUUGAUUGUCUCCAGUAAAAUUCAAAGUCAAAAGUCAAAAGUCCAGUCGGUCAACACCAAACCAGGCCAGUCCAAAAGACAUUAAUUUGCAAUCUAGAAUCUAUGAUGAGGUGGCGAAAUCAAACCUUGGCUUUUCACCAGGGAAUGGUACUCUGAAUUUGGUCAGUUCACUGUUUCGAGUGAAUAGGGUGUAGUAAUUAGUAAAUCAUAUUUUAGAUUUGUGUCACAAGUUACAAGGGAUAUGGGCUGACGUUCAAUUUUGGCGACAAUUUGUGGGCCCGUAUAUUUGUUGAGAUGUGGAAAUUGGGUGUGUGCUUUUUUCUGCUACCACAUAAAUAUAUUUCUUUGAAUUGAAGAGUGUUUCAGACCAUUUUUUUUCAAGUCACAAAUGGACAACUGAUUGAGAUUGUAUUGGUGAGAGUAGGAGUUUAUUUUGGGCUGGUUGAGCGAAGUUGAAAGUCGAGUUGGACCUAACCCUUGAAUUCAGCAGACUACAGUCCGAUCCUGUAUUUUGGAUUUAGGGAACCUUCUUUCCCAGAAGCUUCGUCUGGGUUUUAAAGUCUAAAUGUGGCUACUCUUAAACAUUGGAGAAAGGAUGAGCGUUCACAAGCAAAUGGGUAAUUGUGGAUGGUUCAAGGACCUGGCCAGCUGGUCUUCAAGUUUGGAUGCCGGUUUGGGCCUGAGAGAGUCUUUGCAAAGUGACUUCACUUCAGCCUAUGAGAUCAAGAUAUCAUGGUGAUGUCCGAUCACUUAGGUUUCAUUUUCACCUCGGAUUACCGUUACCAUGUUCAUGAAUAAAAAUAAAUAAAUAAAUGAAGCCUUAUAGAGAAAUUAAUGAAGUGAGCUAUACAAGCAACUGGGCCAGGAGCCUACAAGGCAGAAAUUCCCUGCCCUAGACUAGGCCGAAUAAAUUAGAUGAAUGAAUUGGGGAAACCUGGGCCAGCCACACAUCCUCCUGAAGGCUGAUGUCGAACUCGCUUACGAGGAAUGGACAUGGGAGAUUGGGCUGGGACCAAAUAACCAAUUGACAGCCCUAUCCUUGUGGCAAGACGUCAGUAAAAUGGUUCAUUCUGAUUUUACGCUGCCAUUCAAUUUAAUUUUAAUUUUUGUUUAAAGCGAUGUACAAAUUGAAUGGUGUCUAGUCACUUAAAGAGUGGUUCAUAAUACACUUAAUUUAAACAAAAAAGAAAUUAUUAGAUAGGGGAUUCUCCAAUAAAAACCACCCCAUCUUGUCAGCAAGUCCGGAAACUUCCUUCACUUAGGGCGUAUUUGUUUUUUUAACUUUAAUAUUAAAGAAAGUUGGUUAAACCUUAUGACACUUUUAUAUUAUUUUAUGAAUUUUUUUUAAUUUUUAUUUUAAUGGAAUUUUAACUUUAAUACAAGUUGGAGUAAUUCUUAUCUUAAAAACAAAUCAAAAUUACUUUAAUUUUAUAUAGAAAUAAACUUACAGUAAAUUUACCAUGAAAAUUUCUAAGUCAAAUACACCAUAAGUGCUAGUAUUUUAUAAUAUUUAGAAACAUGUUAAAUUAUUAUUAUUAUUUUUUAAAAUUAUUAGUUUUCAUAUUAGUUUUAGGGAAACUUGUGCUUUAGGUCUUUUAUUUGCAAAUAAUAUGGUUUUCAAAUCCUAAGAAUAGAAAAUAUGAGAAUCAACUGUUAAUGUGGAAAAUAAUAUCAAUUUUGUGCAAUCUCUAUUGACUCAUUUUUUUGUGCCUAGAUUGCCUUCACCCACUUCCAUGUCAACAACCACAUUAAUAGAUUGUUUUUUUUUUAUAAAACAAAUAAUUAUUAUGUUUAAAAUUUUGGGGAAACUCUCUAUCUCUCUUACUUCUUCACUACAUCCGAGACCCAUCUUCCUUAAACGUUUGCCUCUCAUUUUGCCCUAACCCCAAAUCUCAUAAAUUUCUCAUUUUCUUGCCUCAUUUGAAAUAUGAAGAUGACCGAUUCUCAAACAUCUCUGUCUCUCUCUUCACGUUUUGACCAGUCUAAUUGGAAACCCAUUUUCCAAAAACCUUCUUUCUUUCAUUUUGCCCUAACCCCACUAUCUCCCUCUUCAAGACCUAAUCACCCAAACUCGAUAUCUAUCUUCCCAAAACCUUCAAGCAAACUGAACUAGACCCAUAUCUUCUUUUUUCAUCAUCAAAGGUGAAAUUUUUUUAAGGCUUUUGGAAACCGAAUUGGAGCUUUCCCUUCUUCUGGGAUUAAUCAUUCGCAAGUGAGUUUUCCAUUUAAGGCUUUGUUUGGCUGUUGAAAUCUUGGGAUCAAAGGUCUUUUAUUUUCAGGUUUCUUGUAUUUUGCUUUAUUUUCUUGUAUAUAACAAUAAUCAUUGUAACAUAUGCUAGUAGUUACCCUUGGUGCAACUUUACAUUUCCAAAUACCCUAAAGUCCAAAGCUUUUAAUUCCCUUUUCAAAGCUUUCAACUUUGAAAGCAGACUAAACCAUAAGAACUAUGAAACUUAUAUCUCUAUCACCACUAAUUAAGCAUGUCUAUGAAUCCUUCCACUUUAAGUCACUUAUUCUCAAACCAAGAAGGGCUCCUCUCAUUCUCACCCCACCUCAUCUAAAUGAGGGAAAUGAUCAAUUGCAGCCAUGCUUUGCACCAAAUUAGAGAAGUGAUCCUCCCAAUCAUCCAUUACCAAAAAUUGAUCAUGCUGAUGAGAUCAUAAGAGUCUAUUCGGAACUCCCAGUUUACUUGCCUCUUAUCUCAGGAUCCUCCAUUACCCCCUGUCUUUCCAACAUCAAAUCAACUUGCAAACAAUUCCUUUGUAGAUAAAAUGUUUUUAAUAUUGCAAAAGGGGACUUAUCAUAAUGGUUGAAUCGAUUUAUUUGAUAUAAUCACUCAAAUUCAAGCUUAAAAUUGAUCAUAAUAAAAUGUUUUUAAUAUUGUUAAAAGGAGAUUAUAAUGGUUUUAUUUGAUAUCAUUACUAAAAUUCAAGCUUUCAAACAUGCUCUACAAAGAAGUUCUAAAAGACUACAAGAAAGAGUUUCCACUAAAGAAAAACAAUGAAACCAUUUCUACUAAAGACAAACAAUGAAACCACAGAUGCUUUGUGAAAUAUGUACCCGCACAAUCCAACAAACUUUAGAAAUUCACAAACACUACCUAGAAUUUUUGCUGACCAGCAAAAAAUUUAUGCAAUUUAAUUCUUAUUGUUAUUAUUAUUUUCAAUGUGAACAAAUAUGAUUGAAUUAUGAAGUAUUUGGCCAGAAGAGGAUCUUGCCUAAUUAUAGUCAUUAAACAACCAUUUAUACCAUAGCCUCUAGACUUUAAAAAGUUUAUAAAACUCAAGGGCUUCCACCCAAUUUCUAGAUAUCUCCAUAACAUUCUUCUGACUAUUAGAAAGCAAUUACCACUUUAAUUUUUCAUUUCAUGAGUGUUCAAUUCAGAAAAAGACCAGGAUCGAACUUGCGAUCAUGCAGUCGAAAAUCCACCUGUGCAUGAAACUAUUGCCUCACGAUUGCAAACUCAAGUUGGAGUCCAGUAACAACUCUAGGUUUGCUGAUGUGCUCCAUUUGAAAUAAAGGAACUAAAGAAUACUUUAUAAAGAUUAAUUACCUUCAUAUUUUAGGUUGGGGUUAAGGCAAAAUGUGAUAGAUUGAGAGGAAGAAAAUAUAUCUUGUUCAGGAAGCCAAUAUUUUGGAGUUCACCUUUCCAUUCGAGUCCACUCUGCUAUAGCAAAAUCAGAGUCACAACUAUGCCUCUUUAAGCUAUCCUUUAAUUGGAUGAAUUGCAGAUUUGGUUGCUGAGAAAGUGGAUAAGAAAGAAAAAUGCAUACUGUAGCUUGAGAUUAAGAGUUUGUUUUCUAAAAUGAGAGAAAGGGAAAGAGAAAAAAUGCAUAUUGUAGCUUGAGAUUAAGGGUUUGUUUUCUAAAAUGAGAGAAAGGGGAAGAGAAAUGUUCGACAACUUUGAGAUGACAAAUUUUUAGAUUUGGAAAAUUUGAGAUGAGUCUCAGGUUUUUUUUUUUUUUUUUUUGUCUUUGUCUUUGUUUUUUUUUUUUUUUUUUGUUUUUUUCCCAAAAACAACCUGUUAAUGUGGUUGUUGACAUAGAAGUGGGUGAGGGCAAAAUGGGCAUAGAAAAAAGAGUCAACACAAAGUGCACAAAACCCAUAUUAUUUUCCACAUUAAUGACUGAUUCUCAUAUUUCUUGUUCUUGGGAUUUGAAAACCAUAUUAUUUGCAAAUGGACCUCCCAAAGCACAGGUUUCCCUUAGUUUUAUGUCUCCAUCUACAUUUUACAUAUAAAUAGAUUAUUUUAUAAAAUUUGUUUUGUAGAUAUAUUAGUUAAUAAUUAUAUAAUUAAUGAUAUAGAAAACAUAUAAAAAUCAUAUUUAAAAAAGAUAAUUACAUAUUCCUCAACAAUCCAUCCCAAGAAUUCGAGGUUGAGUUGAAAACAUGUAGAGUCUUUGAUGUUAUUAUAAUCAUAUCCAACACAUAUGAUUAUUGUUUAUGAGAUAUUAUUAGAAAGUUUGUCUUAAAAUAAUUGAUUUAUUACCCACCUUUAGCAAAUGCCCAUUUUUGCGUCUUUCAAAAUUUUCAUUUUUUUUUUGUUUAAAAGAAGUAUUGUAAAGAAUGAUGAAAUAAGAAAUUUGUUGAGAAAGUGUGAGUAAAUAAUUUUACAUAAAAAGAGAUUUAAUACUUGAUAAAUAAAAUAAUAAAAUCAUGAUUUCUAGUUGUAUAGGGCCGGGUGGAUGGAGUGGCUAAGAUGUAAUUCUUGAAAUAGAGGAGACAACAUCAAUGUAUAAAAGUUUAACAGAGAAGGAAAGUGUGUUUGAAUGACUUUAUUUUCUUCAUUUAAAGUUUUGACGAUGAGUGUUUAUACAAGAUAAAUUUUCAAAUGAUAGGACUCCUAUUUACAUGGAGUUUGUGAUAUACUAUGAUUAUACAAAUUUAAAAUUCAAACAGAUUCAUGAGUUGAUAGGAGUCUGCUCAAUACGCCCCUUCAAAAUGGUGGGAGAUAGCACACCAAUCUUGACUCGAAGGGCCUAAACUCGUGCAGAAGAUGAGGGCUUUGUUAGAGCAUCGACAAGUUGAUCCGUGGUUGACAUAUGGGACACCUUGAGCUCACCUGAUUAAACCUUGUUUCAAACAAAAUGAAAAUCAAUCGCCGAUGUGUUUCAUGGAGAGUGAAACAUGGGAUUUGCACAAAGAUAUGUUGCACCCACGUUAUCACAAGAGAUAGGAGGUGGUGAUAAAUUUGAAACACUAAGUUUUGAGAGAAGAGAAUUAACCCAAAGAACCUUUGAGGCUGUAGAGGCCACGACGUGAUAUUUCGCUUCAGUGGAAGAGCGUGCUAUGAACUUUUGUUUCCUCGAUGACCAAUACACAAGAUUGUGACCAAGAAAAACAAUGGGAGCAUUGGUGGAGGAUCUGACAUAAGGAUUCCUUGCCCAUUCAACAUUCGAAUAUGCAUGUAGAUUGAUGGGCGAUUUCUUAUGCAAGAACAGACCAUGCACCAUUGUGCCGACUAAGUAUCUAAGCAAUCUUUUAACACAAGACCAAUGUGUUGAUGUUGGAUGGUGCAUAAAUUGAGAUAAUUUAUUCAUCAAGAAGGUGAUGUCAGGGCUAGUAAGAGAGAAGUAUUGAAGGCUUCCAACAAUUGACAUAUAUUUAGUGGGACCAGGAAAAGAGGUGUCAUCACACAGAUUUGGAACAUUGUUGAGGAACAUCAAUGAUUGAACUGGUUUGGUAGCCACCAUUUGUGUUUUCUUAAGAAGCUCUCGAAUGUACUUGAGAUAAAAAUAAUCCUUUGGAAGUAUGUAUCAUUUCAACACCAAGAAUAAAAGAUGAAGUCCUGAGAUCCUUAAUGGAGAAUUUGACUGCUAAUUGAGAGAUCACGCGAGCACGAAAAACAUUAUUGUUACUUGUUAAAAUAAGAUCAUCAAUAUAAAUAAGUAGGUAAACAAUGAGACCACUCUUUUUAAAAAUGAAGAGGGAUGUCUCGGUUUAGGAGUUGACGAAGGCUAUUGAGAGGAGAAAUUGGCAAAGUUCAUGAUACCAUGAUCGUGGAGCUUGUUUAAAGCCAUAAAAAGCCUUACAAAGUUGGCAAAUGUGAUGAUGUGUGUAUUCGUGAACCCAGGAGGUUGAAUCAUGUAAACAUCUUCAUGAAGUGUCCUAUGCUAGAAUGCAUUAUUAAUGUCCAAUUCAUGAGUUGAUAGGAGUCUGCUCAAUACAAUGUGGGAGUGUGAUUUCAAAAUUAGGGUAAUUUCGAAAUGGAUUUUGUAUUCACAAGUUGAAUUUCAAAAUUAUUUUGAAAUGGUCUUUUAACUUUAAGCAGUUGUGUUCAAAAGGUCAUAACUUCUUCGUUUCAAUUUUGAUUUACACAUUGUUUAAAACAUUGGACUCUUUACUUCCCGAGCUUCAAAACGAUAUAUAGUAUGCUCAAAAAUGACAUCAGGAUUGGUUCAAAUUUCAUCUUGAUAUUAGAGUACAUGUUGUGAUUAGAUUUUGAGUUCCAAAUUUCCAUGUAAACUUGAUUGCAUUUGCUUCAAACCUCCUUCAUUAUGGUUGCUUGCCCUCUAUCUCACUUUGCAACAUUUGUUACUAGUAUUUUAUGUCCAUGACUUACUCAUUUCAACCUUUCUUGGAUUCUUCAUGGUUCACAAAUUAUGGAUUCUUCAUGGUUCACAAAUUGAGUCUUUCAAUUAUGCAUGUUUAACUCCUAUUUCCUUGGUUGAUAAUGACUUUUACACUUAUCAUUUUCUUUUAUUCUUUAAACCUGAAUUUAGACUUACAAAAAAAAGUUAGAUCCAUAACUAGGGUCUUAGCAUCAAUUUGAGUUAAGUUGGAUGAUUUGAAAAUUUUAUAUUACAUAAAUCAUAUCAUACAUGUGCCAUUGGAGUGCACAUUUUGGCUCUAAUCAUGUUCCAACCCAUUGUUUUACUCUUGCAUGAAGUAUGUGGCCAUUGAUUUUAAUUUUAUUUGCGAUUAGGUUCAAAAUGGUGCUUUUGUGUUGCUCAUGUGUCAUCAGAAGAUCAACUAAUGGAUUCUCUAACAAAACUACUACAUCAUAGUCAUUUUUUUUUUUCUUAAGACCAAGAUUGAGAUCUCCAAUCGGAGCCAACUCCAUCUUGGGGGCAUGUUAGUGAAAGAUAAAAUUUAUCUUUAAUUUAAAUAUUAAUAUUUAUCAGUUAUUAGUUUUAAUUAGAGUAAAAGAUAGAGUUUAAAUUGGAGUAGGAGAUAAACUUGUGUUUGAACUAGAAUAGAAGAUAAAGUAUAAAGAUUUAUGUUUGAAUUAGAAUAAAAUAUAAAGUUUGAAUUAGAGUAGAAGAUAAACUUGUUCUUUAUUUGUAUAUAAAUAUUCAUCAAUUCUUGAGAAGAAGAUUAUUUCAUAGUUUUUCUAUCUUCUUUUUUCUUCAUACAUAUCUGCAAGAAAUUGAAGAUUUCAAGUAAAAUAUUUUCUGUUUUAAAUAGUGAAAAAAGCUAGAAAUUCACUUUGUUAUCUCUUGGGGUAAAUUGACAAGGUUUAACGUUAAGAAGGUGAAUUAUUUUUUCAGAAAAACUGAAGUAGCUAGGAUAUCUGGCCAGUUGUGAUCGAUAAAAAAGUUGUAAAAUCUCUCAUAUACUAAACAGGUUUUGGAUGUUGGUAUGGUAAAUCCAUCUGCAGUCAUUCGUCAUCUCAUCUAGUGAGAUGUUUGGGAGGUGGUGACCGCCGGAUUGGGUUUCAUUUGGUUAAAUCUGUCAGUGGGUUGGCUACUACCCGAGCCUCUUGCUUUGGGGGAGGUGGGUUCUAGAUAUAAUGUUCAAACCAUUUUAGUUAUCAUAUGCAUGACAUGUAAGCAUAAUCUCUUUAUCACUUCUUCAAUGGGAGUUCAUGGUUAGGAAUUGACUUCUUUUCUUCUGGGAUGCUUGGCAUGUAAUGGACAAAGUUACUUUUAUAUCGAUCGAAUUUCUAGUAUUAUAGUGAAGACUUACCCUUUUGACAUUUUAUAUCGAAUUAUAGAAGAUGAAAGGGACAUACAUGCAAUCGACUGACGCUUUAGUGAAUAUGCUGAAAAUAUGCUGAUGCUGUGGAGAUCGUAUGAGGACAGAGGAAAAAGAUAGAAAUGGAUAUAUAAUUAGACCUAGGUUUUUAUUAAAUGAGAUGGGGAACAUAGAGUGAGGGAAAAUCAAAAUUUUUGGCUGCAGUUCACAUUGGUGAUAUUUUGGAUUGACAAAGACUAACGACUUUUCUAUUUUUCUUUUCGGCCUGACUGGAUAGUUGGACAUGGACAAUACAGAAUCCACAGAAGGAUUGUUGGGACCGCUGAAAAUUAGCUAGAAGAAGCUGAGGAAGUAGUCUACGUAGUCAAAUACCAAACACAAAGAAAGAAAGAAAUGGAUAUCAUGGAUGCCUAGAGUUAUACUCCUAAUACCGUCACAGGUAUUUUUCUUUCCUCCUUUUUUUUUCUACGAUAAUUAGAGCAUUUCUCCUCCUCCUCCUCCUCCUCCCCCCACCCCACCACCAAAAAAUAAAAAAAUAAAUUAUUGCAAGUAACACUUCAAAUAUUAAUUUAUACAUUCUAAAGUAUAUAUUCAUGAAAUAACUUGAGUAUCAUACAUUAGUUCUCAAAAAAAAAAAAAAAAAAAAAAAAAAAUUACUGGAAGAGAAAAGUUUAAGAAAACAUAAAAAUAUUCAACUACUAUUUUAAAGAGAAAAUUUAAUUUUUACACUAUAAAUUUGAAGAGAACUUUUACAUGCAUCUUAUAUAAACUACCAUUUUUUGCUAAAAGGCUUAAAUUUGUCAAAAAUACCCCUUAGGUGCUUAACGUUCUGGUCAUAAUAUAAUUGGCAUCUUUUCUCAAACAUAAGGCCUGUGUGUGGGAACAAGAUUUAAUGUUAAUGAGCUUCGCCACCGACAUUUAGUUCCAGAAAUCAUUAUUUUAAUAGAGUGGGCUCAAUUUACAACUUUAAUUAAACUCUAACCAACUGCAUUGUGAAAUGAAUAUGUUUCUUUCGUGGUGAAUCCAAUGAGUUGGGAGUCAAACUUUGCUUCAUUGUGUAUAGAUGAAAUGUUAAGACUCCAUGUAACCUCAAACAUUUCCGCAAUNNNNNNNNNNNNNNNNNNNNNNNNNNNNNNNNNNNNNNNNNNNNNNNNNNNNNNNNNNNNNNNNNNNNNNNNNNNNNNNNNNNNNNNNNNNNNNNNNNNNUUCUUUCGUGGUGAAUCCAAUGAGUUGGAGUCAAACUUGCUUCAUUGUGUAUAGAUGAAAUGUUAAGACUCCAUGUAACUCAAACAUUUCCGCAAUGAGCGGGAGUUCUAAAUUUAAUAAUUGAAAUUGUCAGUGGAACCAGUGGACAAGAGUUGGUUUGUGGUUGACAAACUUAUCCGUUUGAUCUUUACUUGAACAGUUCCAGUGUGUGGAUGGGUACUGAUGAAGUGUGCGCAUUUAUUUUGAGAAGCCUGCUUGUUCGCAUAGAUUUUAACGACAUGAACAUUGUGGUAAGGUUAGAGAGUAAUGCGAAUGUAGGAGCUUAUAUUAGAAAUGACACAAACACGUAAAUAGAAGUAAUCUAUAUAUGAUAUUACUCAUGGACUACAAGCAAAGAAGUACAAUACAUGGAGUAAGUGAUGAAAUGAGCAUUCCUCACUACUACUGCUUGACUGAUGGAACAUGAUGCACGAGAUAGCAUAAGUAGUAGUAGGAAGCAGCUCUUAUUUGUGGCGUCGGUAUACAUCAUACUAGGUAGAUGGUUCAAUUGGCAUGGAUGGGUGGUGGAGCCUUGAAGUGCUUGUGAUGGGGAGCCCACGGCUUCUUCUCAGGAGUUGGUGGCUUCUUGUAUGGAGUUGAUGGAGGUGUUUCUACUGGAGGGUGGCCAGGGUAGUGACCCUGGGGUGGUGAAGGUUCUUUUGUCGGUGGUGGCCUCACUAUUAUUGGCGGUAGAGUUGGUGGCUUGGGCGUUGGCGGUGGUCUCACUACUCUUGGGGGUAGAGUUGGUGUCUUGUGUUUUGGUGGUGGAGGUGGCUUAACAGGAGUUGGUGGCUUGUAUUCUGGGGGUGGUUUCUCCACCGGAGGUGGCUUAUAAACUGGAGUUGGUGGCUUGUAUUCUGGGGGUGGCUUCUCCACUGGUGGUGGCCUGUAAACAGGGGUUGGUGGCUUAUAUUCUGGGGGAGGCUUCUCCACUGGAGGCGACUUAUAAACAGGGGUUGGUGGCUUGUAUUCCGGGGGUGGCUUCUCUACGGGAGGUGGCCUGUAAACAGGGGUUGGUGGCUUCUCCACCGGAGGUGGCUUAUAAACGGGGGUUGGUGGCUUGUAUUCUGGGGGUGGUUUCCCCAGUGGUGGAGACUUGUAAACAGGAAGAGGUGGUUUGUGCUCAUAUGGGGGUGGCUUGUGGUCAUUAGCAAGUGAGGGAGUGGUGAGGACCACCAAUCCAAGGAACAACACGAGUGAGCAAGCAGAAGACAUGUUUGGGCUCUGGUGAUGCACAAGUAGAAGAAAUGGGAACCAUUUAUAAUGCUUCGAGACCUUGGUUAGCACCAAAAUAUGUCAAAAUCUUGAUUACUUCAUUUCAUACAUAGAUUUAAAAUUAUUUCAAUCAACCAUGAUCCUUAAUUUUCUGGGUGGUCCAUAAAUGUAAUGGGGUCAAUUUGGGACCUAACAAGCUGAGAAGUUUGACAAUGCUGCAAGGCUUCAUCCGAAAGUCCGGGGAAGAAUAUUAGGAGUUACACUCCGUUUCCUUUUUUGGGUGCAUUUUUCUCCUUUAACAUUCUAUUCCCUUUUACAUUAGCAUUUGAUCUUAGCUCAUUUCAAGUACAAGUUUCUUGAACCCUAUACCAUUGUCAAAGUUGAGUAACCAUCUCUACUUUGCUCAAGAAACAUAAAAGACAAUGACAAUAAAGAAAAAGGAGAGAGACCAUACGUGACUUGGUUUAUAGGUGGCUUUGUGUUGACAUUUGAGUAUGGAAGCCGACAUGCAUCUUAGCUUCGAUUUUAAUUAAAUUUGUACAUUAGUGUCUGUGUCAUUCAUUUUGGUAUAAAAGGUCUCUUGAUUUCGUAAGUUUGGUAAGAACCGUUGAAAAUAGCAGUAGCAGCACAUGGUCCACUUUCUUUCACAAAAUAAUUUUAAAAGUUUAGAAGCAUAGGAGGUAACAUUAGUGGCCUUGUGGCUCAGCCACGAGUACUAUGUGGUGCUCGAGAAAUUGAGUUUAAUUUCCUUCCGAUAGUUCAUGAUAAGGUCCGUCACUGUCCUGAGACAGAUUGCGUUUUUUCUUUUUUCCUUUUUUAGUGUUUUAUUGACUAGCUAGGUGUGACUUUUCCUACUUUAAGGCACGAGGCAGAAAAGAAACUGGGAUUUAGUGCUUAAGAAGGCAAAUUUAAUUCGAUUUGGAUCUAAAAUUUGCCAGCAACAUGAGAUUUUCCAGCCUAUCGUUGCUCCACAUAUAGACAAGGCACUUGUAGAAGUGGCUUGUUUGUAGCCAUUCCCGAUAUUUGGACUCACUUGAUUCACCGGACACUUUGAUAAAAUUUAAUAUUUAUUAUUUAAUAAUUUAAAUUGAUUUAAAAUUAAAUUAUACCGAAGUUGUGAUUUAAAAAUUAUUAUUUAAUUCUUACUUUUAAAUAUGAAGAUUAUUUGAUAAAAAUAAUUUAAAAUUUAUUAUAAAUUAUCAAAUUAACAUAUUUAUCCUUAUAAAUUAUAAUUAAAACAGAAAAGGUCAAAUGAUUUGAGUAUCCAUAGAUGUGGUAAAAUAAUAAAAAAGAUUAUAAAAACAAUUAUGAUAAAUAAAGAUAAAAAGUAAAAUGAAUAUGUGAAUUUAAAGAAUAAAUUAAUUAUUUUUAUUUAUUACUUAAAAUUAUUUUUGACUUUAAAUUAUAUUAUUAAAUUAUUUUACCAAACAUACUUAAUUUAGUUAAUAAUUUAAAUUUAAUUUAAGUUAUUAAAUUGAUUCACCAAAUACCCACUUAAUCAAAGACUGAAGUAUACAUUAUUUGGCCAAAUGCAGCUAUUGAAAUUUAACUUUUUCCAAACUUAUUCAUUUUGUGGAAAUAUUUUUAGAAAUGAUUUUAAAAAUGCACUAUUCUGUGUGUUGAUUUUAUAUUUUGGCAUUAAUCCAACAUAGAAAACGGUUCUUAUUUUCGCUGUUAAAUAGGUACCAGAUCCUUAAUUAGUGCCGUGAAUCCGGCAGCUUCCAAUGAGUAAUUUGGACUUGGGUAUUGACAAUGUGUGGCCAUGCUUCUACUAUUUUAUUAUUCUUGAAACAUAUAUGAUAUAUUGGACUUUAUACAGGGAAAAAAAAAAAAAAAAGUCUUCACCAAAAAUGAUUCCUCCUAAAAAAUAGACUCCACAAACUAGGUUUAACAGGAAAAUGAUUCUAAUCUAGUAGUUUCCAGCCACAUGAGCAUUUACGUAACAAUAGUAUAGUUGAUAACGACUUUUAUUUUAUUUAUUUUUAAAUAGUUAAAGGGAUAAUUUUUGAGCUUAAAUUUUAUUUUUUUAUUUAGAAACAUUUUACUUUAUUUUUUAAUCAUAAUUCUAUUAUAUUAAUGUUUUAUUUUCUAUUUUUUAAUAUAUAAGGAGAUACUAAAUUUAUGUGAUUAUUUUUUAAAAAUUUAGUAUAUGAAAUUAAAUAAUUGGAUAUAUAUACAUAUAUCAUAUAAUGUUUUUUAAGUGUGAUUUUUGAACUUUUUAGUCAUUUUAUAAGUUUAAGCUUUUGAUUUUUUUUUUUAAACUUUGGUAUUUUUUAUUUUAUAUAAAACUAUUUUGAUUUAAUUUUAUUAAAAAAUAUUGGUAUUAUAAAUUAUUGUAUUAAUUAUUUUUUUAUAUUAUAAUGUAACUGGUAUAUACUAAAAAAUGUAUGCAAGUUCAAUUUAAGUUUCAAAUUAAAAAAUUUCAUUUAAAUAUUUAAUAACUUGUUCAUAAUAAAAAAUUAAACAACAUAAUACAAAUGAAAAGAAACAUAAAAGAAAAAGGAAAAAAUGGUCCUCUCUGUGUGUCACAUUACUAGGUCAUCCUCUUUUUCUAUGACCCUUACAAUAGAAUGGCAUAUUUGUCAAAUCUACUUAUGAAAGUUGGAAUGUUUCUACAUGUGUAGGGUCCAUUGGAACUAAUGGAGGAAAGGCUUAACGUCUAUGUAAAUCACAACGUUGCCUAGGUGGGCAUAGAUCUAGUUGUGUAACAUGAGAUGGUGUGAGAGUACAAUAUAUGCAUUGUAGUCUCUAUGGGAAGAGAGAUAGGUAAUGGUAGGGUGGUAGACGGUAGGGUGAUCUCUAAUAUAAUGACAUUUGAUGUGGUGGCUUCUAAGAGAGGAGAUAUAAGAGAUGGUAGAAUGACAUUUGGUGUAAUGGUCUCUAGUGCAAUGACAUGUGAUAUGGUGACCUAUAAAGAAGAGAUAUAGGUGAUGGUGAAGUGGUAUGUGGUGUAGUGACCUUUGAGAUAGAAAAUAGAGGUAAUGGUAGGUUGGCAGGUGGAGUGGUCUUUGGUGUAGUGACAUCAAUUAUAAAUGUCUCCAAGGGAGGAAAUAAAGGUGAUGGUAGGUAGUAAAUGUUGAGGUGGUCUUUGAUAUGUUAUGCUCUAAGAGAGAAGGUAUAGGUAAUGAUAAUAGGGAAUUUGACAUAGUGGUGUUGGAAAUAAAAAGUGAAAGUGACCGUAGAGGUGAAAGGGCAAGUGUAAAAGCCUCAAGUACGAAUGGAGUAAUUAAUGUGGAUGGUGCUAACAUAGUCUUAGGUGGAUACACAAAUAGUCAUAGUCAUCAACUAGCUUGCCCACCAUCUGUCUUUCUGCUAGUGAUAGGUUACAUCUUAAUAGUAAUGGCCAACAUAAGUGGUGUGGAUCCGAUUUUUUUACGUGUGUCCCCACUCAAUCGACAAGACUUAUUUUUUAUUAGUGAAAAAUUAAUUUUGGAAAAGUUGGAGUCACCACUUAUUUUAUUUUAUUUUAAAAAGGAAAGUAAAACAAGAAAGAGAACUCUAAAGAAGUGACUUCAUAGUUUUGGAAAAGUUAGUCUUAAAAAAUCCAAGUCUUGGUCCGGAGAUCAGGUUACUUAUUGGGAAGAUACCUCUAAGAGGUAAUACCCCUCUAAACCCUAAAGAAGUCUCUAAUGACUAAGUUGAGGAGAAUGUGGUAAUUAAUUAAUUGAUUGAGGGUACCUAGGUAGACUAAGGUGAUUUCAGAAUUAACAUACCAAGCUAGAAAGUCCAAUCAUGAUCAUAAAAGAGAGUCAAAGUAUGUACCUGAACUGCUUCUCAAACGCUAUCAUAAAACAUCAAAGUUAGUAUAGAAAUAUAACACAUAAUAUUUGUUUUAUCCAAGCAAAUAAAGCAUACAUCUAAGCACCCAAGAAUCACAUCAAGUAUGGAUAUAGUCAUCAAUAGCAUACGUGUCCAUAGAACUAUCGAAAGUAAAUGUGGAGGAGCGUAUCUGGACAACAUAGAUAACUUAUAAUGUGCUUCCACAAGACAUGGGGGUUAGAUAAAAGUUAUAAUAAUAAUUAGUAAAUGAAAGAAUUCUAGCAUGUUUGGUAUCUAAAUAACAUAGCAAAAAUGAACAAGAGUACACGAAAACAUCAAUUAUCACACGAGUCAUAUUGGCUAGUAUUUAAUCAAUAAACCAACAAUAAAUGACUAUAAACAUAUAAAAUGACAUAUUCAAAGAGACCCAAACAUAAAGAGCCUAGAACACAAGCUUACACUAAAUUUAGAAAACUAAAACAUGGAAUUUUAAAAGCAUAAAUUAGCAAACAAAUUGAUGGAAACUAAAUUUAGAUAACUUAAGAAUAUUUUUCUUAUCCUUCAAUUUAAAUCAGUAAGCCAACAAUAAAAAAUUAUAGAAACAUGGAAUAUCAAGAUCAAUGGGAUACCUAAACUAUAAUUUUUAAAAGAAAAUAAACUAAGCAUAAUAUCUACAAAGCAACUAAACUAACAUUUUUUUAAAAAUAAAUUAAACAUGACAUUAAUGGAGUAACCAAACUAAAUUAAAGUAAACUAAAAACAUUUAUGAAUUUUCAAACAUGGAAUCAGCUUUCUUAGUAAAUUAAAAUUAUUAAAAUAAAAUCUAAGCUUAAAAAUGAAUUAAAUACUAACUAAAGCAAAUCUAAAACCAAAUAUUUAACACAUAGGAUCAAUUAUAUUAACAAACUAAAAUUUUAUAAGAACACUUAAACCUAAAGUUGAAUUAAAAACUAACCAAUUUUUAAAACUAGAUCUUUAACCCAUAGGAUCAAUUAUAUUAACAAAUAAAUAAUAAAUAAUAAAUAAAUAAAACUCAAACCUAAAGAUGAACUAGAAAUGUACCAAAGUAAAUUCAAAACAAGAUCUUUAACACAUUAGAUCAAUUAUAUUGACUAACUAAAAAAAAAAAAAAAAAACACUCAAACCUGAAACGAUGUAUUAGAAACUAACCAAAGCAAAUUUAAAAUAGAGUCUUUAACACAUAGGAUCAAUUAUAAUCACUAACUUAAAUUACAAUUUUUGAAACAUGAACUAAUUAGUGUUGGAUUAAUUAAACUAAUUAACUAAAAAAAACUAUAAACUAGAAUACGGUGAAUCAAGAAUUCAAAUCAACAAACAUAAAAUAUGGGUACAAUGAAAUGAAAAUCUAUUAAACUAAUAAGACGGAAAUAUGACAAACUCAUGAACCCACAUUUUGAUCAACUAGGAAAUAGAAAUUAAUAGACCUGUAGCAUGGAUACAAUGAAAUGAGAUCAGUUAAAUUUAUUUGCCGAAAUUCUAAAAAACACAUACACUCAAAUAAGAUCUAAAUCUAAGACCAAGCAAAACUCAAACUUUCUCAAUCUAAUGCAAUGAAUCAAAACUAAAAUUAAAUAGAAAUCAAACCAUUUUUUUUUUAUCUAAUAUAAUAAAUCAAAGCUAAAACUAAACAAAAUCGAAUUUUCUUAAUUUAAUAUGAUGAGUCAAAGCUAAAAUUGAACAAAGUUCAAACCUUUAUAUAAUGGAUCAAAGUUAAAUCUAAAUGAAAUCCAUACUUCCACAAUUUGAUAUAACAAAUCAAAAAUAAAACUAGAUAAAAAAAAAGUCAAAGCCUUUCAACUUGACAUAGUGAAUCCAAACUGAAACGAAACAAAAUUUUAACUUUUCCAAUGAAACCCAAUAUAGAAAAAAUUAGCUUACCUUCUUUAGAAUAUAUGUAUGGGCCAUAAAGAAGUCACCUUGGUGCAUGUGUUCCUCACUUUGACGCCAAUGGACGACUUUCUAUGGUAGCAAAUGGAGAUCCUUUUUGGUGGUAACUUGCGUGUGGAAACCUAUGGUACAACCAAUGUCAUCUUUUAUUGUGCGUGUGGACCAAUUUCUUCUCGAGAACUCAUGUGUGUUGUGCUCAAAAUAUGUUGCCUGUGAGAAUCUAUUGGUAUACCCCACAUAUGGUUUCCUUGAGAGAAUCUGUGGUUGUGUGUGGGCGUUUUCUUCAUGACAGCAUGUGGAUGUUCCCAUCUAUGGUAGAUUGGUUGUGAUGCUUUAGUGCAUGGUCUCCAUAGGAAUAGUGUGUUAUGGAAAUUUGGUUUUUUUAUUGGUGCAUGUUGUCUAGACUUUCCCAUAUGCGUGGACUGUGUGUUCAUGCUUUUCUUUUCGGAUGGUCGCCUGUGUUAAUGUGUGGCGGUGUCUACAAUGAAAGAUACAACCCUUUCUCUCCUUCUGCGUGAUAGAAAAGUCAAUCCCCCAUGGUGCGACUAUGUUCCCUCGUCCUUUUUGAAAAAUUUUGGUGUUUUCCCCCCAAAAAAUCCCCUCCAAAAAUCUAAUUAUAAAUGUCUGCUUUGGCCUAAUGUGUGUGCUACUUUUUUUUUCCUUCUUUUUAUGGUUGUGCGUGCUUUUCUUGAUACGUGGCUUAUUUCUUAAGGAUAUGAUUCGCUCCCAAUUGGUGUCUCAGCUGAUUCAUGUCCUUUCAAUGGUCCCUGACAGUGGUGCCAUUUGAUUCGUGUCCAGCUGGUGUCCCUUGAUUGUGGUCCUCAGAAGGGAGUAAUCAAUAAAAUUUAUAACCUAUUACACCAUGUAUUAGGAUAGCCUUAGCUAGCAUAGCAUAGUGGCUCUAGGGUCGUUUAUUGGGAUGAGUUUUCACUUCACAAUUGAUAUUAAUUCAAGAGCUGAAUUGGUGCCUUUUCAUUUCAAGGUUAGCUUUAAAAGAAAACAUAAUCUUUGGUGGAAAAAGGUUUGGUUUUAAACUAACCAAAAAUAGUAACUGAUUUUACUUACAAAGAAAAGUGUUCUUUGGAGUUUAGAUCACUAGGCUCAGGUUCCUCAUACAAAAAGGAGAGUUCCGAUCAUUUGUUUCUUUUCCUCGCAUUAGAGAAUUAACAUAUAGUUAAUUCUCUAACCGGUGCGGUACAUAUGCUUCCCAUUAAUGGGUUCAAACACUAAAUACCUCUCACUGAUGCACCUUGCAAUGGCUCGUGCCUCUCACCUAGCAUUUAUCAUUCAAGGUGAUCUUUAACCUUGGAUUACCCAUCAAAAGCUCGCAAGAGAUAACUAAAGGAUGUCUCCUUAGAGUCCAAAAGCUUACCAAGUGUUGGUUAUUCUAGAAAAUCCUACCUUCAAACCACCUCCCAAAGGCUCGCAAGAGAUAAACAAGUGCAUCUCAAUGGAUGAAGAUCACUUGCCUUACCAAGUUUUGGCCCAGAUGAUUUAAUGACAUUUUAAGUUAACUAAAAAGAUAAAAACCAUUAACGGGUCACACUUUCUCUUCAUUAAAAACUAAAACAACAAAACUUCCAAUUUAUGCAUGAGGAAACUUACCUGGCUUUCUUCACUUCAAGAGAUGAAGAGCCUAGCCACUCAUCAUUUGAGGAAAAAUCCUCAGAGUUUGAUUUGCUAGAAAUAAAAAUAAUGAGAAAACAAAAAUAUAUAUAUGAAAAACAGAGCAAGUUCUCUGUAAUAUAUUUUUCUUCCUUAUACAAAAGGUUGUCUCUAAGAACAAGUUCCCGAGAUCUAUCUGAUUGUAAAUAAAAUUACAACUAUAUAUAAGAGGUUAUUCACCCCUUUGUUCUUUCUUAAAGACUAAGGAAUCCUAUGAUAGGUGGGUUACAAGGAGAGUUUGGGGAUUUAGACAUCAAAUAUCUAAAGCAAAAUAUCUCAAGAUGUUAGUCGGAAAUAUCAGGAAGCUUCAGGAGAACACCGCGACACUGUAUACUGAGAGAAAAACUCUCCGGGUAAGCUCUAUCAAAGGAUCCAGACAUGUCUGACUGGGAAAGUUGAAACGUCCUUCUCUCCCAUCCGGAUGUGAGAUAUCCGGAGAAAGUGAAAUGUCGGUCGGACAGAAUUCUUUCCCCGGGUGGAAUGAGUUGUGUUGCGCGUCGCAAGGGGGACCGUCUGCGUGUACAAGUUGUAGGGACCCCUCUCCCGGAUGACACCGAGCGCGUAAGGCUAUCCGGAUCAACUCCAUUCGGAUUCCCCAAGAGGACAUGUGGCGUGCUCCCCUAUCAGGACUCCCUUAGGGAGAAGCACACGACACUCGUGAACAUCAUACCCGGACGAUAGCAUGUCCUAUCCGGAUGUGUUGUCCGGAUCAUUGACUAAAGUGAGCAAGCCUUGCUACGUCAUUCGGACAGCUUGCCACAUACCAUGUUCCGUCGCCAUCUGAUGGUGUGUCCGAACGCCUUGUCCGGACAUCUUUUGCUCCUUGCAUUCCGGAUUUGCUUAUGACAAAGGACUUCAAAGCUUCGGUUCUUCAUGUUUCUGAGCUUUCCAUUGCUUUGCCAUGGAUUCCAAAGAACUCUCCUUAAUCACGGAUUGCUUUGGUGAUCAAAAAGUUAUCAAAACACAAAAACUUAACAUAGUUUGAUUAGAAUUGAUUGCAAGGGUUCUUAAUAUGUUAAUUGGGUUAAAAGGUGAUAACUACUACUCAAAAGUGUUUAUAAGAAUUAAUUACAAGCUAUGAAAUAACACUUUUUGAGUAGUAAUCAGGAUACAUCCUAGUUUUUCAUGGAAUUGAUAGUGGGUUGUUGUGCAUGAAUGCCACCAUUUCAACUAUGCUGUUGUUAUUUUUAAAAAAAAUAUGGAUUAUGCGCGAGUGGCAAUUCUCCACUAUGGAAAGUGGAUUGCUCCUUCAACCCAUGCAUGGCUACGUAUUCCUAUGUCUUUCUACUUGUGUUUGAUCCUCCAAAAAAAAUUUCGGUUUAGUGCUAGUAGAUUUUAAGUGGUGGAUCCCCAUUUUUUGAAAAUGAAGUGGCAGCCUCCCAUUUCAAGACAAAAUGGUAGCCUGCCUUUAAUCUUUGGAGAAAAAUCUGUGCAUGACCUUUUUUUUUCCCAAAAAAUCCGUGCAUGGUGUCCUUUAAUAUUUGGAGAAAAAUCUAUGUUGGAUCUUUUCUUUUCUAGAAACAUUUGUGUGGUCUUUUUUGUUAGCCCAAGGGUUCUUCUAAUCAAGUUUUGAUGAUAACAAACCAUGGUUAAGUGACUAAUUGGUUUAAUGAUUAAGAAUCUCAAACAUAAAAUCGAAAAUUCAUCAAAGGACCAAAUGGAUACAAGAUCGAGACGCUUGGAAGACUUGUAAUCAUAGGAAACUAAUGUAAGAUGAAUGCAUGAGUGCACUUAGGAUUUUCACACGUUUCAUGCAACUUAGAAAACCCAGUUUAUUCUUUAAAACUUCAUCCCAGUUUAUUCUUUUUAUGGUUGUGUGUGCUUUCCUUGAUACGUGGCUUAUUUAUUAAGGAUACAUCCCAGUUUUUCAUGGAAUUGACAGUGGGUUGUUGUGUGUGAAUGCCACCAUUUCAACUGUGCUGUUGUUAUUUAAAAAAAAAAAAAAUGGAUUGUGCGCGAGUGGCAAUUCUCCACUAUGGAAAGUGGAUUGCUCCUUCAACCCAUGCAUGGCUACGUAUUCCUAUGUCUUUCUGCUUGUGUGUGAUCCUCCAAAAAAAAUUUUGGUUUAGUGCUAGUAGAUUUUAAGUGGUGGAUCCCCUUUUUUUGAAAACUAAGUGGCAGCCUCCCAUUUCAAAACGAAGUGGUAGCCUGCCUUUAGUCUUUGGAGAAAAAUCUGUGCAUGACUUUUUUUUUCCCAAAAAAUCCAUGCAUGGUGUCCUUUAAUAUUUGGAGAAAAAUCUAUGUGGGAUCUUUUAUUUUCUAGAAAAAUUUGUGUGGUCUUUUUUGUUAGCCCAAGGGUUCUCCUAAUCAGGUUUUGAUGAUAACAAAUCAUGGUUAAGUGACUAAUUGGUUUAAUGAUUAAGAAUCUCAAACAUAAACUCGAAAAUUCAUCAAAUGACCAAAUGGAUACAAGAUCGAGACGCUUGGAAGACUUGUGAUCAUAGGAAACUAAUGUAAGAUGAAUGCAUGAGUGCACUUAGGAUUUUCACACGUUUCAUGCAAUUUAGAAAACCCAGUUUAUUCUUUAAAACUUCAAUUUCAUUAAAACCCGAGUUUUUAACUAAUGUACCUUAGGCAAAAUGUUUUAUAAUUGGCUUAAUAAUUCACCUAAAUACAUUUUCUAAGUGUUAGAAAAGAAAGGAAUUAAAAAAAGGUUUUCGGGGCAAAAAAGGCUCAACCGGUCGAGGCUAUGGUCAACCGGCUCAACCGGUUGAGGAACCAAUCGAUCGGUUGUGCUUGUCCGAUCGAAGACCAAUCGAGGGAUGCCAAAAAAUUUCUCUCUCUCCUAGUGGCCUUCUCUUCCCGGUCGAGGUUCGGUCUAGGCAACGGUAACAUGUCAAGCAUUAAAUGCUCCGACGACUAGUGAAUCGGUCGACCCCUAGCCCGAUCGGACGAGGUUGCCUUUUGCUGUUUUUGACUCCCGAGCUUAGAAACCUAUAAAUUGAGAGCUCCACUUCAUUUAUUGAUAAAAGAGAACACUUGCAUUCAAUAGUCUACCUACCUUUUCUUGAUCAAAAAGCUCUCAUUUCCUUCAUAGUGCAUUAAAUCAUCACUUGCAUAUCCUUUAGUGCACUAUUGUGUGUCAUCCUAGCUUUGUUUUGUAUUUGAGCUAUCCUUAAGCUAGGUUGAGGGAUUAUUUCUUAUAAAAAUCUGAGUGUUAAAGCCUUCAAGAGAUUUGAAUCUUGAAGAGAUUGUGUAAGAGCCCAUUGGAGCCGGAGUCCAAGUGUAAGAAGAUUGGAAGCUUGGUUGAAGCUUCAAGUUAGUGGAACCCUCACUCGGUUAGGAGGUUGAGGAGAGUGGACGUAGGUAAGGAAGUGUCGAACCAUUAUAAACCCGAGUUUGAAUUCUCUAACUCUAUCUCUUUAUUUUGCUUAUAUUGUGUUUGAAUUUGUUGUGAUUGAAAAGAUUUUAAAAACCUAAUUCACCCUCCCCCCUUUUGGGUUUUUUUUUCUUAAUUAAGCAUAACCUUUGUUUUCUAAUUUUCUUUUUAGGAAAAUCCAUGCGUGGUAUGUCCAAACUCUCCAAGUGGCAGUCUGCCUUCUUCUAAAAAAUUUGUUUCUAUUUCUUUAUUCGACUACCUUCCAUGUCUUCCUAAUGAGUGCUUGUGCUCAAUGGUCAAUCCCUGGUGGUUGCCUCCUUUUCCCAUAUAUACGUGUUGCAAAAUCAACAUCCCACUAUAUGUGGGUUGCCUCUAUGGCAAGUUCACAUUUCCCACAUGAAACCUAUGAGUUUCCACCAAAAAUUGCCAUGAAAAAGUCUUUAUAUGCAUCUCAUGCAAUAAAAAGUCAAGCCAAUACUCAUCUUAUCUCGAAAAAUAAGUAACCAAAAUCAAGAUCAUGCCUAAGUGAACUAUGCCAAAAGAAGUGUCCAAGUGACCUAUUAUGAAAAAAGUGCCUAAGUGACCUAAGGUGAAUGUGUGUAAGCUGGAAGGUGUCUAGGAUGUUUAGGACAAUGCCUAAGCCUAAAAUAGGGUUGCCAAGGGUCACAAUGGGGUUAGAUAAAUCUCUCAAUCAGAGUCUCCAAGGUGGCUCAUAAAAGAUAAGCUACACGAGUAAUGAUGGGCCACCAGGGAAUUAUUGUAAAGCACCAAACGAACACAUAAUAGGACAUGUGUUAGAAUGAAAAAAUGGAGGGUUUACAAGUGGUCUCAUGGAUGAGCUUGAUAAUUUAAAUGACUCACAUAAUGAACGUAUGUGAUGUUUCUCUCCAAUAACAAGCAAAACAUCACUAGCAAUAUGAUGAAUGUCUCCUAAAUCACUUGAAGUAGUCCUAGCAAAUCAAUUAGAAAAAUCACACAUAUUGCUCUAAUGUAAUAUUAUAUACAUCUGUCAAUGAAUGGGAGAACUAAUGACACAACCAUCAUGUUGAUAUCUCGAACCCUCUAAUCUCAUAUGUAGGUGGGAUCACACUUAGAAACUCAUAACACAGUAAUGACCAAUCUAAGUCAAAAUGUGUUGGUGAUCGGAGGCCCAUGAAUAUGAAGUUCUAGGAUGAUAAUGACAUCUUAUAAAGUAAUGAUCAUCUCCUUAAUAGAUAGGUGAAAUGUGUGUGUCUUAGGACACCAUCUCUCAACAAGACUUGUGAUCAAUCCCCAGUCUAGUGUAACAUGCCUAUUAUGACAUCCAUCGUAAAAUCUAGACUAGAUAAUAUAAGGACAAAUGUGAGGGUUCAUCUCCCUUUCCCACAUAAAUUUAAAAAAUUAUUAUUGACAAGUUAAGACCAAACUAAGUUGCAAAAUAUAAAUAAGUCCAUUAGAUAACAAAUUUAUGUUUUCUCAUUUUCUCAUUUUUAAAGAGAUAUUAUGUGCUUCCAUGUACAUACAUGCUAAAGUCAAUUAUACGAGACUUAUAUCCAUCUUGUAGAACCAAAUCGAACCUAUCUAAUAGAUCCAGAUUAGAAGUAUGUCCUCUAUACUCCAUAUUUAUAACACAUUUAUAAAGAUAAAUGCUAAAAAAAUGUUAAAGAUAUAAAUUUAAUGAACCAUACUUUAUGAUUUUAAUUCUCAAUUAUUGUUCAUAUUUAUAAGAGAAAAGUUAAAAAAAUUGAUAGAGUUUUCCCUCUAUCAUGGACAUUAUCCCAAAUAAAAAUAAAUUGAUUAUGCAAAUUACAUUAAUAUUUGUAACCAAAUGAUCAAUAACUAUCUUGUAUCAAUUUAGUAAAUAAAUUUAAGUAUAUCUUUUCAUUUAUGACUAACAAAUAACUCAUACUUGUCCAAUAAAAGCCACACCUAAUUUCUAAAAUUUUGUCUUCACCUCAAGUGAGUGUUACAUUGAGAAAGAAAAAAUAUGAAAGAAAAAAUGAACACCUUUUUCUUUUAAUAAAAAAAGGCCAUAACGAAACAUUAAAUCUCACUGUUACACCUAUCUUCAAUGGAAACAUGAGGAUGUGAAUGGUGGCGGUGAUAUUCUUUGCUUGAAGCUCAUAAACAAAUAUUCCUUACUAAGCCUAUGCCAUUUAGUAUUUCAAUAGUGGACCCCCCCCCCCCCCCCCCCCCCCUCCUUGCAUUUCAGAUUUAGCAAACUUAGAACCAAAUAACAAAGUGCAUUUGAACCCAUAAAGAAGUAAUGAGACUCUCCUAUAUUGGCAAUAGAAGAAAUUUUUGGAGGUAUAGGAGAUUCACGGAUGAAGAAGUUGGGCCCCAAUUGAGAUAAGACCCAAGAAAAGAUGGGGUAGAGAGGGAUGGUUGGAAAUUGUAAAGUAAGAUUUUCAAAAUGUAGUUGAUGACUAAGAUUUUGACAAUUUAAAAAAGGUUUAAAAAUGUAGUUAGCAAUCGGGGUUUUGUAACAUUUAAAAAAUAAAAUAAAAUCUCAGGCCACAUGGUAGCCCAUGUGAUUCAGAAGCUUGAGAAUUAUUUUAUAAGAAGACUUAAUUUGUGAUUUUUUUAUAACUAUAUUAUUUUUUUUCUUAACACACGAAAAAAAUUAUGAAAUAAGACAAUUUUCCUAAGAAAGCAUGUAAGUGACUCUUGGUUAUUUUAUUUAACUUCUUCUAGUUUGGAGAGGAUUAAUACCUUUGCUUUUACUCACUUGCUUGGAUAUGUACACGUUGUUCAUGUCACUUUUCAUUUAAUUUUCUGAUUAAGGGAAUUGGAACCGUACGUAACUGUCUUUAUUCCCUCUGAAACUUGGACUUGGAGUUGGACUUUCAAUCUCAUCAGUCGUGUUUCCAUAAAAAAGAAGAUGGAUUAACCAAUUUUCCUAUGCCUACUAAUCAUACACAAAACUCCACUUCCAAAUAAAAAGGAAUGGGAUAUCACUUGUUAAUAGUGGCUAAAGACUAUUAAUAACCAUGCAAAGAAAUGUCACAUUUUUUGUUCUACGCAAAUUUUAUUCAUCAACUACUAGAACCAUUUCAUACAAUAGUAGCUUUUCGAUCCUUUGAUAAAUGGACACUUGAUGUGAUAACACCAACUACACCUAUAUAUUCAAGCAAUCAUGCGUAUAUAAUAGUGGAUAUGGAUUACUUCUCUAAAUGGGCAAAAGUUUUGUCAUUCAAGGAAAGUGAACGAGGAAACACAAGUUUACUUUCAUCGGAACUAAUAUUAUAUAUUGAUAUGACUUCCCAUUAUUACUUACGAUGGAAUAUGCUUCCAUAAAAUGGCCUAGAUGAACAAACUAUCCAAGAAGUUUGGGAUCAAAUAAUAUAUAUAUAGUUCAUGUGUGAUUCUUUGGUUGACAACCUUGUUAAGGGGUGAGUGAAGCACUUUGGGCAUACCACAUACUACAUGCUAGACUUCCACCCAAGCUACCCUAUAUUCCUUAUGAACAAAGUAGAAGUUGUCAUCUCUCUUGAAUACCAAAUCCUUUCACCUAAUAAUGCUAUCUAAAAAGGUCUUAAAAAGGAUAAAAAUGCGCAUAUUUGAAUUUUUGAAUUAGGAGUGCUACUUAAAAAGAAGCUAGAUAUACAAUAAUAGAAUGUUAUCAAGCAUAUCUCUUCAAAGUUUUUGACCAAAAAAUAUAUGAUUUCUCAUUUUAGGUAGGAGACUUAGUACUCACUAUUCAAAAACCAAUUAUCAUUACUCAUAAAAACUAAUAGAAAGUUUGGGCCAAAGUAGGAUGGACCUUAUAUUAUGCAACAAUUAUGCCUAUAAAAUUGUUGCAAAAGAGGUUUUAGAAUCAAAUCAAUGAAUGAAAAAUUAUUAAAGCAUUACUAUGCUUGAAGGCUAGUCAUUUUCCCUUAAAGUGCAAUAUUAAGUUGCAUAGUACUAUGUGGAUCCGCAUUUUUCACAUGCGUUCCCACUCAUUGUCGAGACUCACUUUUUAGAAGUGAAAAAUUAGUUUUAUUAAAGUCGAAGUUGCCACUGGGGAUUUGAACCCUAACAAAAGGUUCAAUUUAAGGAUAAAAAUAUCGAUAAUCACAUAUAUAUAUAUUGGUACUUUGAUUUUAUGAAUAUAUUGAAGAAAUAUGGACAAAUAUUUUGACACAAAAUAUGUACAAAAUAAAAAUUAUAUAAAAAGUAAAAAUAAAUAUUUUAAAAUUAUUUUUUUAAAUAUAUAUAUAUAUAAUUUGACAUAUUUGAUAAUAAUAUAUAAGGGUCUCCAAAAAGCCCGUGGCCCGCUUUAGGCCCGGUCCGACCCGACAGGCUAAAGCCCGGCCCAAGCCCGCCGGGCCCAAGCUCGGCCCGAGCCCGUUUAUGGGUGGGCCGGGCCGCGAGCCCGUAGGCCUGCUCCUUUAAAAAAAAACUACAAAAAUAAAAAGUAUUAAAAAAAAUAUUCAUUUCAAAAUUUUAUUCAUUGAAUGUAUAAUUACAUUUGAAAAUGUGGGAAAAGUUUACAUCACUACAAAAUAAAUACAUCCCAACUAGGUUGGCACCUAUUUAUUUGUCAAUCAUCUGUAUUUUUCAACCACAAAAAAUAAAAAUAAAAAUAUAAUAUACAUUUAGUCAUUAUUUUCUGGCGGUGAUGGCGAACUAUCAUGCAUCCAUGAAGAUCUUGAUAAUUUUAAAGAUUCCAUAUCGGUAAGCAUCUUUGUUUCUCGAAUGGAAUCAUACAUCCUUUUAUCUGCUAUUUCCCAAUCUUUCACACAUAUCCCUGCUUUAAUAACAUCUGACGCUAAGUUGCAUCGUUUUUUACUAACUACUCUUCCACCUGCACUAAAAGCAGCUUCUGAUGCAACUGUACUCACAGGAACUGUUAGUACAUCACGAGCAAUUAUAGAAAGCACAGGAUAUUUGUGUUGAUGUGAUUUCCACCAUAUUAAAAUAUUAAAAUCUUCUUGAUCUUCAAAUGAAAUUAUAUCAGUAUUAAGAUAUUUAUCUAAAUCAGAUGUAUUAUUUGGAGAAUUAUUUGUUGUCUUUUUUCGACUUUUCAACAUUUCUAGAGCUCCUUUAUAAAAAGAUGAGGAGUUUGUAGAUGUAGGUGGUAAUUUAAUAGUAUUAAUAUCAUUACCAUAUUUUUCUUUAUAAUAGUUAUAUAAAUUAUAUAAUAAUGAAUUUAUUUCAUUUUUAAUUUCUUCAAUUUUUAUUUGGUCAUUAAAAUAAAUAAUUGUUAACCAUUCAUCCAAAGCUUCAAAUUUCAAUCUAGGGUCCACAAUUAAAGCAAUAUAAAAAAUUAAAGGUAUUUCUCCCCAAUAUUUUCUAAAUUUUUAUAUCAUUACAAAUAUUGUAUCAUUAAAUAUUUCAAAACUUAAAUAUUUUUGAAGUACAAUAAAAAUAUUAGUUAUUUGCGUAAUAACUCGAUUUGAAGUUGGAUAAUAUACACCACAAAAAAUGUUUGUUGAAGUAUCAAAAAUUUCAAAAAGAUCUCUUAAAACAUCCGCAAUAUGCCAAUCAUAAUCAUUUAAUGCAUAAAUAUCUGCUUCAUAAUCAUUGUUAAUUAAUUGUAUUUCAUAUAAUUCGACUACUUUUCUAUAUUUUGUAAUAUUUUCUAAAAGUUUAUAUGUGGAAUUCCAUCUAAUAGCCAUAUCCAAAUUUAUAUUUUUUCUUUUCAUAUUUAACAUUUUGCAACAAUCAAAAAAUAAUUCAUGUUUUGCUUGAAAACUAUUAAUACUAUAUGCAAUGCCUCUAAUUUUUUUCCAAUGUACUAUCAACAUUUUUUAAUCCAUCCUUUACAAUUAAAUUUAAAAUAUGUGCACAACAACGCACAUGAAAUAUUUUAGCAUGAUCUUCUUUUACUUGCCAAUAUCGUUUUAGUCUAUGUAUUGCUGCAUCAUUAUUAGCAGCAUUAUCUAAUGUUAUUGUCAAUAUUUUAUCACGAAUGCCUAAAUCUAUAAUUUCAUCAUUUAUUAAAGAUGCUAUAUUUUUACCACUAUGUGGAGUAUUUAUUAAUUUAAAUAAAAUUAUUCUUUUAUUUAAUUUCCAUUCAUUAUCAAUGUAGUGAACAAUUAUAUAUAAAAAACCAGUAUGAGUUAAAGAUGUCCAAAUGUCAGAUGUUAAACGAAUAUUUCCUUCAAAAUUUGCAAAAUUUUUUUUUAAAAUUUCUUUUUGUGUAUAAAUUUUUUUCAUAAUAUCUCUUUUAACUGUAUUUCCAGAUCAACCUUUAAAUUGAGGAUUAAUACCUCGUUGAAUUGUUCUUGCAAAAUCAUGAGUUUCCAUCAUGUUGAAAGGUUGUUCUGCUCUUAUUAUAUAAUCAAUCAUUUCUUCACAACAGUUAGAUUCAUCAUAAGAAAAUGUUUUUAAAUUUCCACUUUCAUUUUUACUUAAUUGCAUAUAAUUUCUAAUAUCUACAUUAUUUUUAGUUUUACAAUUUUCAUGAUGUCUUUUUAAAUGACUUGUAUCUGCAUUUGAGCCACCAGUAAGAAAUUUAUUACAAAUUUUACAUUUUGCUUUUAUUUUUUUUUUAUUAUUUUCUAAAAUUAUUUCUAUUCUAUCAAAAAAAUUCCAUAUAUUUAAAGUAAAUUUUUUGUUUGAUGAUAUUUCAUCACAUGGACUAGACGAAGAAGCACUUGUCAUAUUAUAAUUAUUGAUAAAAUAUUAUGCCAAAAAUAAUAAAGUAAUAAAUAUAAAAAAAAAUGUAACAAAAAAAAUAAAGUAGUAGGGGUGAAGUAUGUUACUCAAUUAGAGAACCUAUGCAGAAAUUCCUAGCAAAUUUGAACUCUUGGAGCCACCAAUGCUUGUUUUGCACCAUCAACAAUAUUGUAUAAUUUGAGGGAAAAAUAAAAGAAUUUAAAAUAUUGUAGAAUGUGAGAGAAAUAGAGAGAAUUUGAUGAAAAAAUGAAAAGGAAGAAAAUGUAUUUAUAGGAAGGUUAAAAAUAAUAAUAAUAAUAAUAAUAAUAAUAAUAAUAAUAAUAAUAAUAAUAAUAAUAAUAAUAAUUGGCCAUGUGACCGUUGGAGGCUUAGCUCCAACGGUCACAUGGGCUGGAGCUAGGCUCCAACAGUCACAUGACCGUUGGAGCCUUUAAUUUUUUUUUUUAAAAUAAUAUACUUUAUUUUUAUAUAUAUAUAACUAACUCAAUUAAUAAACAUAAAAAGAAUAUAGUUCAGUUGGUUAGAACCUUGAAGUUUAAACAUGAGGGGAGGGGUUUGAAUCCCUCCCUCUCCCUUAGGGGCUUUUUUAAAAGCCAUUUUGGCUUAUUUCAAAAAGCCUGUCGGCCCGACCCGCCCUGCAGCCCGCGGGCCUAGCAUUUUAGCAUGGCCUGGUCUGUUGACUAGUCAAAUGGCUCAUAGGCUCGGCCCGAACUGGGCCGCGGGCCUCUUAUUUACGGACCGGCCCGACCCGGCCCGCCCGUUGGAGACCCUUGAUAAUAUCUUCUAUAUUAAGUUACAUUAUAGUUUAUUUUACAAUAUUAUUAUGAUAAUAUGUCUAAUUUUAAAAUAUAUUUAAUAUUAAAAUUAUGAUCUAUUUUAAUUUAAAUGUAUUCAAUGAUAUCAAAUAAAUAAUAAUAUAUGUAUAAUUCUUUUAUUAUUUAUAUUUAUUAUUUUUAAUAAAUAUAUAGAUUAUAUAAAAAAGACCGGAUAUAUCUUUUCAAAUUUUGUAUCGCUCUCCAAGGAUAUUAGAUGUAUGGGAAUUUGUAUUGCUAUCUACGGAUACGUUGAUAUAUGGGUGAUUUAUCAGGAUAAUUAGAAAUUCUAAUUAUGUAAGCAGGUACGGAGUUCUGUGUCGGUGCGAUCUUGUCGACAACAGCUCCAAAUUGUGCAUCUUGCUCAUAGAGAGUAGCGGAAUGCACCAAUCGUAGGCUCAGAGUACCACUGAGUCGUCUGGCAGAGACCCAACUGAAGGUGCCUGUGUUGUUCCUGAUCUGAUCAGGCUUCAAACUACAAGGUGGAAUACUGGUUCCCCUAUAUCAGAAGCUGGAGAUACCCACCCCAUAUGCUCGUCUGGAUGUGCUCCUACCCUUUGAAGCCUUCUUCCGAGUCAAGUCCGAAUUGAUAAGGCUAGUGAGUUCCCAACCAACUGUACUCAGCAUGCUGCCAGGUGGAGACCCUCCAUAUUUGAUGGCUUCCUAAUAUUAAAAUGCUGACCACUGGUCUUCAUGUUCCACAGGCUUAAUUGUGUCCUUUGCUGAAAGAAUGGAUAGUGAUCCAUUUUAACACAUGAUUCACGCCGUCUUUGCCAUUCUUCAUGGUCUAGCCCUUUUAUAUAUAUGCUUCCUGAACUGUUGCUAUUAAUAAAAUGUGGUAUCUAUCCCGUACACCUUCCUGAUGGCCAGCGAAUGCAGAAGCUACAGAAACGGUUCCAUCUUUUGCUUCCGCCACUUUGGCAUCCUCCAUGAUGAGAUCGAAGGUGAAUAAUCAUAUUCUGGGGAUUUAUGUCCUGGAUAUUCUCAGUAAUGCCCAAUUUCCUGGUGCCGGCCUCAUUUCCAUGGGAACUGAUGGAUAACUUAAGGCUUCUACCAUCUGCGUGGUUCGCUUCUAACACAGGAAACUUCACGGCUAAAAGCAAGAUACCAAGAACAUCAAGGCUGUGACAAAAAUUAGUAUUUUUAACUUGUAGGAAUUUGAAAGGCAACCAACCAUCUAGCUCUGUUCUUAAAGCUCCCAUAGGAGGAUCAGAGGCUGGAUUGCUCAAGAUGAACUCAUCCAUUGUUGCACUUAAAAAGAAUUGGCAUGAAUUGUGGCCGCUCUAAUAGGUUCCCUAAACCAUCAUCCAAGUGGGCUUGCGGAAGGUAGCGAGUUUAAAACACCUAGGGCGAUGAACAGUGGACUGUGAUGCUCACAAAAGAGAAAAGGAAGAAUUCAAUAAUUCCUAAGAAUCCAUUUGCCUGUCAUCCAAAUUUUUAUAUUCUCUUCAGUCUGACGCGUUAUGCCAUAUAUUAAAAAUAGCGGCUUCUUCCAAGCCGAGACAGACUGUGCAAAGUUCGCAAGGCCAAUCAUCACCAUAAUCUGAAGUUGGCCUCCUCAAUCGCAGCUUGUAUCCGAAUGCUCACUUCACGGGAUGGAUUGUAAUGAAAACUAAUCUCAGUCCCAGCUAUGGCAGCAUCCUCACUUGACAGCAUUUUCUGCAUAUUCUAGAACAAAGCAAUAAACCCUCAAAGGCUCCUUCGGAUCAGAGUUAGAAGACUGUCCCUCAGGAACGUGAACACUAUGGUGGUUCUGAUAAGCAGUGAUAUUGCAUUAGAGCCUUUUGGAACAAGAGGAUCUUUUCAGGUGGAAACUGUAAACUGCUUCAUGUUGGGCUGCAACCUUUUCUUCAAGCAAUACUUUCUUUCUGUAUCACGACUUAUGUUGCUUCCGGAGCCAUCCCGUGUGGACUGCCCUUCAGUGAAAGAAUAUGUGUGUUGACAUGUUGGAUUGUAAUCUUUGUUCCACUCUAAUGGCUUUUGGUCCUCCUCUUUCUCUUUAUGACAGAGAACCAUUUAGUGAUCCAUCUCUAUAUUGUAGCAUUGCUGGUGCUUUGCAAUACUACACUCUCACCAAGCAUAACAUCUAUUUUUCCGUGACCAAAGUAUGUCGGUUUAUGCAUGCGCAAACUCUUAUUCAUUGGCAAGUUGUCAAGCGUAUCUCAUGAUUUCCCAAAGCCACAAGUUCUUAUGGUCUUUCUGUUCAAGCUUACAAUGAUCUAUCUUUUCUUGGUUAUACUGAUGUCGAUUGGGCUAGUUGCCCUGAUAACAAGCACAAUACUAGUGGGUACAACACUUUUCCUGGUCCUAAUCUCAUUUCAUGGGCAUUUUCAAAGCAGAAGGUUGUGUCUCACUCCAAUAACGAAUCUGAAUAUAGGGGACUCACUAAUUAAUGUUGUUGCCAAGGUCACUUGGAUUGAAUCUGUCUUACGUGAGUUGCGUGUUUCUCUACCCCAACCACCAAUUUUGUUGUGUGACAACAUUAGUGCUACACACUUGGACAAACCAUGUUGAAAUACACUAUCAUUUUAUCCAUGAAAGGCUUAUGCAUCACACACUCAAAAUUCAAUACACCUCUUCUAUAGACCAACUAGUCAAUGCUAUGACCAAAGCUCUUCCUUCAUCUCACUUGUACAAUCUUCAGUGCAAGCUGAUUGUUCUUCCCAAACCACUCAACUUGAGGGGAGAUGUUAAGCCAAUUUAAUAAAUUGAUUUCUUUUGGUUAAUUUGUUAGAAUCAUUUUUAUUAGAGGUUUGUUUGUACAAUUACAUCCAUUUAUCAGGAGAGUACACGUGUACAACUCCUCUUUUAAUCUCACCAUUGUAUAUAUAUGAUACACGACCUUACUCAGAAUUGCAUAACAUUUCCUCUGCUCAUUCCUUUUCUUCUUUGAAUUUUCCCUUACCUCACUGAUUUUGAUUUAUACCUGGUGUUUUCACCUUUGGUCUCUACCUUUCUAGCCAGUUUUCUAAUUAAUCCGUAUAUGGUAUACCUGUCAACUAAUGAGGAGAAAGAGAAAAGGGGAUUGCUGUUCCACCAGCUACAUAUAAUAAUUAAUUACAAUCAUGGUAAUGGAUCCUGAAAUCCAUCCUUUGUGGAUUUUGUACGGAAUAUUGUUGUUAUGUAUGUGGGCUCACUUAGAUGUAUAUUGCUAGCCUGUCUGGGAAAUGUGAUUGCAGGUCCAGAUUAUGAUGUUGAUAUUAGUGGGAUAAGCAAGAGAUGCAGUUAACACGUAUGUGAUGGACUUGAGUAACUUUUCCAUUUCAGUCCAUUUUUUAAGAUUAUGCUUAGUCUUAUUACAAGGAAAGACCAUAAGAAUCAUGAGUCAUUGGCAAGGUAAUAUCAUUCCCUCUUUACAGGCUUCUUCACCUUUUGGUUUUUUUAAUAUCCAUCAAGAUCUUUUAAUUGGAGGACAAUUACAAGUAUAUAUAUAUGUAUUAAAAGGGGAAAAUAUUAAAACAGGAAAUUUUAGGGAAAAUAUAAUAAUUAUUUCUUCCUUCUUUCCCAUAUAGAACUACACAAAAUAAAACUUUAAUAAUUUUUUCUUAUCUUUUUUAUUAUUAUUUUUUCUUAGAAACAUCCGUGGUCUCACAAGCUUGUAAUCCUAGAUUGUUAGGCUCCUUUAACAGUGCCCCAACAUCGUGGUCCAAUGACAAGCUUCCACGCCUUAAAAUCAGAAAAUGCCAUUAAACUUUAUCAGACAUUACAGUUCAAGACAAAGCUUUCAUUUGCUUAAUGUGAUAAUGAAAUUGUUAAUUUCAUUUCGUGGGCAUCUAAAUUUGGACGAGCAAGACCUCUGAAUUCCCUGUUUUUAUCACCAGCAGAGGAGAUAAAAUCUUAAUGGUGAGAAUCUCCACGUGAAAUUUAUGUGUACUGUCAACAUAUUUUUGUUUAUAUAGUCCAGUAGCUGCAGGAAGUCUAGAUUAUAUAGGUAGCAGUAGCACUAUUUAUAGCACUCGAUAUUCGCUGUAUGAAUACAUUAAACCUUGUUUUCAAUACGCAUCACAAGCAAGUACUAGAUACUACAAGGAGUGACAGUCGCAUCAACAUUUCUUGAUAAUAGCAGUGACUGAUUUAUACACAGAACAGUACUGUACACGUACCAGUCACCAGAGAUAGGAUCUUAUUCCUACAUACGACUCUUAUUGAUCGAAGUCACUCAGUUGGGGUAGCCUGGAGUUGGAGGUUUGUGUGGUGGCUUCUUCUUUGGAGGAGGCUUUAUCUUUGGAGGCAUCAUCUUUGGAGGCAUCUUGUGUGAGUCUUCUUCAGCAUUCUCUACAGGAGGAUGGCCAGGCUUAUGACCCUUAGGUGGUUUGCCAACUGGGAUUGGUGGCUUGUGUCCUGAGAGUGGCUCCUCUUCUUCGGGAGGUUUGCCAACUGACGUUGGUGGCCCGUGUCCUGGGGGUGGCUUGUGUUUUGGGGGUGGUUUCACUCCACCGGGAGGUUUACCAAUUGGUGUUGGUGGUUUGUGCUCAAUCGGUGGCCUCUCAACUGGGGGGCGCUUGGGGUAAUCAGCGAGUGAAGAAGUGGUGAGAACCACCACUCCAAGCAACAACACUAGCAAGUAUGUGGAAGACAUCUUUGAGUUUGGCUCAGAUGGUGUAGAACUAGAAUCCUGGGUGGCCUUUUAUAUUAGUUGGGCCCUAUGCCCGAACGACAAGUGUCAUGGUGACACAUAAAGUGAUGGGGUCGAUUUGGGCCUACCGGAUUUGAAAACUUGGACAAUUCGAGAAGCGUCUCCUGACUCCGGGUUGUAAAGUGAAAGAUUAGGUAUCGACCAUUGAAGUAUGAUCACAACUUUUGGCCUUUGGCUCUCUCUACUGCCGUAUAGCUUUUUUCCUUUGGAUAUUUUUCUUAGCUAGACACAAUUAUUGAGCAGUCUAAUCUCGAAAUGGGAUUAGUAUAGCUUUAAGCAAAUUUAUUAUAGUUAGUGGAGGACUUUUAAGAGUGCAGACGACAUUUAACACAUGCAUGCAGUAGUAUAGGGGACAUAACACUAUUCUUUUUCCAAAGAUUCACAUGAUUUUUAUAUUAUAGUAUUGGCACAUUGUAUGUAGCUGGUUUUGUGGUUAAAAUUCCAUAUGUAGACACUGGCGUUUCUCCAUUUCUCACAAUUGAUGUUUACCUCCACGAUUACUAGAUUAGAUAUACCAAACAAUAACACAUUGUAUAAUCUAUCCGCCCUUCAAAAUCUACUGUAUGAUGAAAUGUUUCAUGUGUGUGUGAAGUGUUAGAAAUGCACUAUAGGCAACAUCAUCUUCUUUUGUCUAGGCUUGGGCCUCAAAUUAUACUCCCAUGCCAUGAUAAAUUUUCAUGUGCAUUCUCUAAAGAAGAGUGUCUUGAAUGUGCCAAAUCAUUUUGAUUGAUUUUAUGAUGUUAAUUGCUCCGCAUAUGGAUGGGUAUGUGCUUUAUUUGCUUAUUCAAUCCACAAUUACCUUGAACUGAAGUCCUAUUGGAGCUCUAUUAUUUUAGCAACGUCCUGUCAAAUAGGCUGCUAACUUGGGGUGGUAUGGACCCAAUGAUCCAUCUUAAUCUUGGGUUGAUUUUGUCUGACUCUAUCUAUCUCAGAGAGAACCAGGAUCACCAGUGCUGGUCUGCUUAAAGAAGACUCAGUACUGGAUUAAUAUUGGUUUGGGUCAAUAGCUUAUAAUGCAUUGAAUGCAGAAUAAACAAGAUCAAUGAAACCCAAAACACACUGCCCACACAACUUCACUCUGGUGUCUGUUAUUCAUCAAUUCUAUUCCCACAUGAACUGGUUCAAGUUUAAGAAAAUGACAACGGAUCCACUGUAUUAACUUGGUUUUGCUUGGUUUUGAGCUAGUUGCCAAACCAGCCAUGAGUUUUACCUCUAAUGUCAAUGAACAAACCCCAAAUGAACAACUGCAACAGCUUAAAGAGAAGGAAUGGAGAUGAAAAUCCCUGUUUCUUCUCAUUCUGGGGACAAAUUAGAACAUAACUACAAAGGUUCUAUUAAUUGACUUACUCUACCAUGAAUUAUGGUUCUUUGGUUUUCCAAAUUUAAAUUGUACAUGAGAUUAUUUUUUUCCUUUAUAUAUAAACAUAUUAAGGUUUUCUUAUUUCGUGGGCAAAUGCGCUAAGGAUGAAAGUCAUUUCAUUUGGCUGCAACAGCAUCUUAUAAUCAACAUGCAUAAGCAGCAGUUUUAAUUGAUCGAUUGAACACCGACUCACAAGAAUAGAUAGAAUGGUACAAGACAGCUCUUAUUAAUUUAUACUCGUUACUCAUUUUAUGUAGCCCCAUUAAGAUGGCUGGCUGGACCACCGAGGUCUGGGGGUGGUGUUGCUUGUGUGAUGCAGCGGGCCGGGCAGACACUUCUCUAGUUGCUUCUAUUUGGAGUUAGAGGAUCAGUCUCUGCCAACCUUGAGGACUCUCUACCUCAGAGGGUCCAGGUGGUGGACUCUGGUGUCGGUAGCUUUGAACUCUCAGUAGACUAGUGUGUCUUAAUCAGUCACUGCCAGAGGCUGGCGUAGGCAGUGACGAUAAGGUGAGACAAAUUACCGAAUAGUCAAUAUCGACUGCACUUGACCAUUAUAGAUUUGUUCUGACAAAAGUGAGAAAAGGGAGAAAAUCGGAUGUUGACCUUUAUAGAAAAAGAUAAGAUUUACUGCAACACAGAGCACUGAUUUGUUACUUGGAAACCAAGUUAUGCUAUUAGCUAGCCUCCAUUAGCAGCAGGGUACCUUGCUGCCUGAUCCUAAUCUGAGUUCCCAAGGUUUCAAUCUUCGUUUGUUAACGCUUCAGGAUUUGGAUAUUUCAGCUUCGUUUCUCCAUUUAGCCAACGCUGCCUGGUUUGGAUUUCAAUCCUCAUCUGGAACAUUCUUUUUUCGGUCUGAUUCAGGAAGUGUUUGGUGAUAGUUGAUUAAAAUUAAACAGUACUAUCAUACAAAUAAAGCUGAUCUAAUUUUGGUGGGCAAUAUACCAACUCAUUUAUUCUUGAAAACACCAUGGGGAAUUGGAGGUCCAUCCGAAGUACUAUUUGAUGGGACUCACAAAAAGAACAGGUGCACAUUUAUGAGAUCCGUGGAAGAGAUAACUAUGACAGCUAUGCAUGUACAACAGAUUUAUGUCGAGUUCACCUCGUAGAUAUUUUGUUUUCAGUGUCGGUGGACCCCAAAAUGGAAAUCGGAAAUUAAGGUUAUAUUUAUUUUUUUAUUUAAUUUUAAAUAGAAUUUUAAUUUUUAAUAAUAUUAAGUAUUAAAUUAUUUUUUUAAGGGUAUUUUAUUUUUAUUAAGUAUUAAAAAGUAAAAAAAAUUAAUAUGUUGCUUUUUUAUUUUAAAAAAAUUAUAUAUUUUAAUUUUUUCUAUUUACUAAAAAGUUUAUAAUAAAUUAUAAAAAAAUAAAAAAAUAAAAAACUUAAAUUCUGAAAAUAAAUUAUUUUUAAUAAAAAAAUCCAAAAAAGCAAACACCACCUAAAUUUGAGAUGACUCAAAAUUUUAUAUUUUUUUUCACCUAAAUUAUAUUCAUAAAUUUAAAAUUAAAAAAUUAGGAAGUUGAAUUUUAUUUUGGAUAAUUGGAAACUACAAGAAAUCAAUAAAAAUAUUUGGAAAAAAAAGAAAAAGAAAAACUAUCUAUAUAUUCACCCCCUUCUAAGAAACAUAACUUUAGUUUUUAACUAUUUUUUAAAAUAAUUUUUGAAAAAUGUUAUAUAAUAUUUUAUAAAACAAAAAAUCUGUUUGACAAUUUGAUAUGUCUUUAACUUAUUUUUAAUAUUUAUAUAUAUAUAUUUUAAAAAUAAUUUUAUAUUUAGAACUUUAUCUUUAAUUAUUAUAUAUAUUUAUAUAAUUAUUUUUUUUAAAACAACUCUUAAAAAAUAAGUGAAAGUAAUUGAAAACAACUCAAAGAUAUUUGAUGAAAACACUCUAAUUUGUAUUUUUGAGAAUAAAAAAAUAAAUAAAUAAAUUUCUAGUUAUCAAAUGUAUUUUUUAAUUCUUUUAUUCUAAAAAAUAGAAAAUCGUUUUUGAAAAUAAUUAUUAAACAACAUUCUUAAAAAUUCACUCGUUACAAUCUAGAUUUAAUGCAAGAAUGAUUGAAGGAGUCCUCCAAUAGAACCCAAAGUUAUAAACAUGAACAAGAAGCCCUAGAAACACCAAAGAUCUCAUAUGGUAUAUAUAUGAGCUUGAUUGAGAACUGUUUUAAAUUCAGUUUUUUUUUUUUUUUUUUUUUUUUGUUUUCAAAGUCAAAACAAGUUUACUUUUAAUUUUUACUUCUUUUUUUUAAUUUUAUAAAUAACAGUUUUUUAAUAAUUUAUUUUGAAAACAUGAUUAUUUUUAAAACUUAUAAUGAAAAUAGGAAUUUUUUUUUUAAUAUCAUGGUUAUUUUCCCUUCUUUUAAGGAGGGCUAUUUUAAAAAUAAAUUUACAAAUAUGAAAAAUGAUUCAAACUAAAGCAGUACAAAUAAAAAACAUUUUUAAGAAAUAUUUAAAAAUAGAGAAAAUUAUUUGAGAACAUUUGAAGUCCUUAAAUAGACUUUUGUUUUAGAAAAGGCAAGAUAAUUAUUUUUGAAAAUUGUUUUCAUAAUGAUAUGCAAAAACCUACGUAAAAACCAUAAUUAUAAUCGGCCACAUAUCAAAUCUACUAAAUAUGAAAAGUAAGUACAUAAUUAUAUUUGACUUAGAUGCAAGGAGGAAAAUGUCGCGAUAUUAUCGCCGAAAUAUCGUGUGUCGAAGGGUAUCGACACGAUUUUUCUUGCAGAAAUAUCGGCCAGUCGAUUUUUCGGGAUAAAUCUCGAGAAAUCGGCAAUUUAUCGCGAUAUAUCGGCGAUUUUUCCUCGAUAUAUCUUCUGGUCAACGCGGGUCAACGGAGUCAACACGCUACAGUGAAAGUCAAAUGUGCUACAAUGUCCCCGCUACAAUCACCUCCCCAAACAAAUUGCCAAAUUGCUUCCGAGGGGAUUUGAACCAGCCUUCUUGCCAUUUGGGCUAACUCGCCCUUAUGAUAUAUAUUGCAUUAAACAUAUAUAUACUUAAAGUCCUUAUAUAAAGAAAAUGUUAAAAAAAUAUUUUAAAGAGCAAAUUAAUUAUAAUUAUUUUAUAAUUAAAAGCAAAAUUUUCUUUUAAUUAAUUACCAAAAAUAUAAAAAUUAUAUAAUUUUCUUCAUAAUGUUUUUAAUAUCAUUAAUAAUUAAUUAAAUAUUAAAAAAUUAUAUAUAUAUAUAUAUAUAUAUAUAUAUAUAUUAUAAUUUAUUUUAUAUUGUUUAAUACAAUUGAAUUAAAUGGAUCAUAUUUUAAUAUUAAUAUAUAUUUUAAAAUUAGACAUAUUGUAAUCAAAUAUCAUAAUAUUAUAUGUAAUUUAAUAAUAAAUGUACACUUAUAAAAUUCAUAUUUUUAUCGAUGCAUACAAUAUUAUUAUCAAAUAUGAUAAAUCAUGUUAUACAUAUAUCAAAAUUUUCAAUAAAAUAACUUUAAAAUGUCUAUUAUACUUCUAAUUAUAUUAUUAUGAGGUUUUCUUUACAUUUUCAUGAGUUUUAAACAAUUUUAAGCACCAAUAUUUUUUUCCAAAAUAUCCACCGAUAUAUCUCCGAUAUAUCCAAUAUAUCUCCGAUAUCUCCGAUAUAUCCGUAAAAUCGAAGUACCGAUAUAUCCGUGAUUACCGAUAUUUUCAUCAUUGCUUAGAUGCAACCUUCUUCCAAAUGACAUACUUUAGUCAAUACUUAUAUUUUUUCGUUUCACUUCUUUGAUACAACACCUCAUGGAUUUAUUGUUUAAUUUAUUUGUAAUUAUAAAACUAUUUUUCAUUUUUAAUAAGACUUGAAUUAAUUUAAUAAAUAUUAUAUAAUUUGAAUUUAUAAUUCUUUUUAUAAAAUCAAAGUAUAUUAAAAAAAAAACAAUUUAUCCGAAGAAAGUUUUUUAUUUUUUAUUUUUUAAAACCGAUUUUAAAAAUAACUAGCUAGACACCCUUAUUUUGAUAAAAUACGAAAUAAAAGUGUAAAAACAACAUGGCCAAAUAGGGGCUUAAAUUUUAUUUUUAAAACAUUUUUUUACACUAAAGUGCAUUUUAAAAACACCAUCAAAACCAACUACAAGUUAUGCUUCUUCCCGUAAUAGAAAUAUUUUAGGCCAAAAUAGAACCUCCCCAAAUAAAGACCCUAUACUAAACUCCUUUUCAUUUUAUUAAUACAAAAGUGGGGAAAAAAGGUCUAUGCUCACCUAAAAAACAUGAAUAUUGUGAAUUCACCAUUUCUAUAAGGAAGUUGAAAACUUCAAAAUUUUAUCAACAAAUUCUCUAAAAUCCUCAAAAUAUAUAGGGCCUGUUUCACAAAGUUUUUUAAAAUUUGUUUUUAUAAAUUGCUUUUAAAAUAUAGAAUAAAUAACAGUUUUUUAGAUUUUUUGAAAAAUAAGAGUGUUUGGUAAGAUGUUUUUUUUUUUUUUUUUUUUUUUAAGAAUUAAAUAAAAAAUAAAAAAAUUGUUUAGAUAAAAGAAUUUGUAUUGUUUUUAAAAACAAUGUCUUACUUUUAUGUUAUAAAAAUUUUAUUAAUUUAAUUUAUAAUAAUAUGAAAUGAAAUUCAAGUUAAGUCUUAUUAAAAAAUACAAAUUAAAUCUAUAAUUAUGCAUGAGUUAAAGAUAAAUAUAUAUUUUUUAAAACUAUAAAAUAAAUUUUCUAUUAUAGUGAAACAAAAAUUACUAUAAAAUAAAAAUAAUUUUAAUAUUCAUUUUUAAUACAAGUCAAAUAAGUACUUUAAUUAAUUUUUUUUAUCAUGAUUUCUUAUGUUUUUUUUUUUUUCUAGAAAUUAUUUUAAGUAAUAUAACUAAUUUUUUUUUUAAUGUUUUAUAAAAAUAAGGAUAUUUGGCAAGUUGUUUUUAUAAAAGGAUUUUAAAAAUAAAUGGAUUUUUUUUUUUUUUAAAAAAAGAACAAAAUGAUUUGUUUGAAUAAAUUGUUUUGAUUUUGUAAAAACAUUUUAAAUUCAAUUUAUAUAAUAUUAAUUAAUUAAAUUAAAUUGAAGUUUUAUUGAAAAUAAAAAUAAUUUUGUAAUUAAAAUUAGAUUAAAAAAUAUAUAGGUUUUAAUAAAUCGUAAAUAGUAAUAUUAUAAUAAAAUUAUAAAUUAUAUUUUUAACAUAAAAUAUACUAUUUAUUACAUAUUAAAAAAAAUAUUUUAUUAUAUUAAUAAUUUUAUGGUAUUAAUGAGUUUAUUAUUUAAGUUUUAAAUUAUUUUUAAAAAUUAAUAAAUUUGUUAACAAAUGCAAUGUACUAAAUGUGGUUUAAUUUGGAGUUAAUUUGUUUAGGGAAAAAAAUAAAAAAUAAAAAUCUUAUGUAAAAGAGAAAUAAUAGAGUGUGUGUGUUUUUUUUUAUUAUUUUUAAAAAUCAGUAAAAAGAACUUUUACUUAUUGCCUAAAAAUUAUUCUCUAUUUUAUUUUAUUUUUUAAAUCUAGAAAUAGAUAACAAUAAUAAAAAAAAUUAAAAAAGAAAAAUGUUUUUUAAAACUCAGACUUAUAAUUGCUUUUGUUUCUCAUUCGCACCCCUGGAUUCCUGGAUUCUAAACACAAAAUUAAGUUGAAUCGUCCAUCUAUCUUGUAAGCCAAGAAUUCACAUAGAAGAAAUAAUCGGAAUUUGAUUUGAUAUCAGAUUUAGAGUGGCUCACUACUCAUGCAUUGUCCCACAAUAGUAAUGCUUUGGGCCGAGAUAAACCCAUUUGUGGGCCCAAAUAAAACCCCUGGUUUGAAAACAUCGAUUUUACAGUGGCCCAAAAGAUUAUCUAUGAGGGGAAGAUAACUUGGAAGUCAAGCAAACACAUUUAUCGCUAACUUUUCUCUAAUUAUAAAAUUAUAACUUGGUCUUCUACACGUCUCACUUAAGAGGCGGAGCCACUUGGCACUACCUUUCCAUAUUGUAAAAGGAGAAGAAGCAGAAGGAGAAGAUUCUUAUGCCAUUCCACACACCAUGGCUAGUACUGCUAUGCUGCUUGGCCCGCCGGCUCUCCGCCAUCCUAAUUCUCCCGCCGGCACUGUCUUUGAAGAUGGGGUCAUUCUAACGGAUUCCCUGAUCGUCCGCACCAGUAAUCUGGAGCUUUCUGAAAAACCGCCACUGGAAUCCCUGGCGUAGUGCUCUGUCAGUGGGGAUAUUGCUAUGGAUUGUUUGGAUUCCCAAGCCCACAAUCUUCAUCUUCCCGGGAAACCGCCGAUGGGCUUAACGGAAAACAAGUCUCCGACCUUUUUGUCUUCCGGGAACCCGUGCUUGGACUUCUUCUUCCAUGUGGUUCCCGAUACGUCGUCUGAUGAUCUGAUCCGACGGUUUGAGUUGGCUUGGGAAUUCAAUCCGCUGACGACGUUAAAACUGAUAUGCAACUUGAGAGAGGUGAGAGGCACCGGAAAAUCUGACAAAGAGGGUUUCUACACGGCGGUUCUCUGGCUCCACGACCACCAUCCCAAAACCCUAGCCUGCAAUGCUAGGGUGUUGGCCAGCUUCGGUUAUUUCAAGGAUUUUCUCGAGAUUCUCUACCGGCUUCUGGAGGGCCCUAAAAUUCGAAGAAUCGAAAAGAAAGACUGGCUGGAUCGAAAAGGAAGGAAGAAAAAUUCCCGGAAAAGGAACUCAAUAUUCAAGCGAGAAAAUAGGCCUGGAGUUGAAUUUCCUGUAGAAGAGAAGGAUGUGGAGUAUAUGGUGGAAGAAUUUGUGGAUAAAGAAAAGGCUAGGGUACUGAGAAAGGAGAGAGAACUUGCUCUUGCCAAAAGAGCCCUGCACAAGUAUUCUACUGAUUCUAAUUAUCAGUUCUUACAUGAUCAGAUUUCAGAUUUAUUUGCUGAACUUCUGAAAUCUGAUAUUCAGUAUUUAAACUCCGGUGAGCUUUACAAGAUUAGUCUCGCAUCCAAAUGGUGUCCCACAAUUGAUUCUUCUUAUGAUAAAUCCACCUUGAUAUGUGAAAAUAUUGCUCGAAAGGUUUAUUCUCGCGAGGAAUAUAUAUCCAGAAUACCAAGGAAUUGAGGAGGCUCACUAUGUUAAUAGAGUCAGGGAUAGGUUGAGAAAACAAGUACUUGUUCCAUUACGUAAGGCCCUGGAGUUGCCAGAGGUUUUCAUGUGUUCGAACCAGUGGGGAUCACUUCCCUACAACCGUGUGGCUUCAGUGGCCAUGAAAUCAUACAAGAGCCUCUUCUCAAAACAUGAUACAGAGCGGUUUGGUGUGUAUCUUGAGAAAGUGCAAACUGGGAAGGCUAAGAUUGCAGCUGGUGCAUUACUUCCCCAUGAGAUUAUAGCUUCAUUGAAUGAGGAGGAUGGCGAGAAAGUUGCAGAGCUUCAGUGGGCGAGAAUGGUGGAAGAUUUAUCAAAGAAUGGGAGGCUCACAAAUUGCAGUGCGGUAUGUGACGUAUCAGGAAGUAUGAGUGGAACUCCAAUGAAGGUGUGUGUGGCUCUGGGGCUGUUAGUUUCAGAGCUCAGUGAAGAUCCAUGGAAAGGUAAUGUAAUUACUUUCAGUGCAAGUCCUGAGCUUCACAAGAUCCAAGGAGACAGCCUUGUAUCCAAGACUGAAUUUGUGAGGAUGAUGGAAUGGGGUGCGAACACUGAUUUUCAGAAAGUUUUUGACAGAAUCUUACAAGUAGCAGUGGAGGGAAAUCUGAGUGAAGAUCAAAUGAUAAAGAGGGUUUUCGUUUUCACUGAUAUGGAGUUUGAUGAAGCUUGUGGGAGGUAUAACUAUUGUGAAUAUGACUAUGAUAUGGAGGAAAUUGAUGAGAGUCAGAAGGCAUCUCAGAAGUGGGAGACAGAUUAUGAAGUGAUACAGCGGAAAUUCCAGGACAAAGGAUAUGGAAAAGUUCCGGAGAUAGUGUUUUGGAACCUUAGAAACUCAUCAGAGACUCCAGUGAUGGCCACAGAGAACGGGGUGGCCUUAGUAAGCGGGUUUUCGAAGAAUCUGUUAGACCUUGUUUUUGGAAGGAGGUGGAAUUCUGACCCCUCAGGAUGUGAUGGAAUUAGCCAUCUCUGGUGAAGAUUACAAGAAACUUGUUCUAUUUGAUUAAGAUAUCAAGAGAUUUAUCAAUAAUAAUAUGUUUUUUUUUUUCUAUGUGAAAUACAUGUAAUAUUAACUAUGGAGUUAUCAAAGUUCUGGAAAUUUAAUUAUUUCUUCUUUUCAAGUUUUGUUUGUCUUUGUUAGGAAUUCCCCUUGGGCGGACCCAGCUGGGGACUUGGAUUGAGGAAGUAAGGAGGCGAAAUUGUGUUCUUCUAUGGACAGAGAAAAAAGAUAAAAAUAAAAAAUAAAAAAGGAGGUUAUUUGCAUUUGGAUGUCAUGUGGUUUCAGGGUACAACUACAAGUUCGAAAUUGUACAUAAUGUGAAAAUUCCUGUGUGGAGAACAGCAUAAAUAUGUAUCUCAGUGUGUUUUGUUUGAGCUAAUUGGCAAAUUCGCUUUAAACAUGGUCACAUGGAUGCAUAUUUAUUUGUGAAAUGAUAGUAGUCGAUUACUUGGUCAGUAAGGUUUGUAUCUCUAACUCCAACAUCUUAUUGUAGUCUUUUAAAAUGUCAAAAGUUUAAUGCUAGCUUGAGAAAUUUUGGAAUGGAGACAUUCUAAACAAAGUUAAUAAUCCAUGAGACUUGGUAAAACCGAUCAGAUGAUGCUUACGUACAUGAAUGCCUUCUUUAAGCCGUAUCCUAUUUUCAUUGAAUGAGACGUGCCAUCUAGUUUUGUUCUUGUCUUGAUUGGAUCAUGAUCCCGGGAAUUGAUUACUGUUCUGAAUUUGCGAAUGUUCAAGGUAUUAGAGAAAGUUAAUAUUAUCGUUAAUUUACAUAUUAGUAUUUAUCUAGUUAUUAUAUAUUAGUUUGAAUUAUAAUAUAAUAUAGAAUUUGAAUCAAGUUUACUAUUAGUUUGAAUUACAAUAGGAAAUAAAGUUUGAAUUAUAGUAUAACUCAAAUAUAUUUGUAUAUAAAUAUCCAUCUUUAUCAAUGAGAAUAGUAAACCAUAUUUUUCUCUAUCUUCUUCUUUCUCUAUAUAUAUGGUAUCAAAGCCUCCAAAUCCUAAACCUAGUCUCAACUUAGAGCAAAUUUAGGGUGCAGGGUUUAGGCCCCGCCUCCCCCAACCCUUACCACAAAUGGUAGUGACCUUGUUAUGCCUAUGUAUUGUCAAUGCCUCAUUUUCUAUGGUCUUCAAUACAAUAUCUAGUUUCAAUGUCUCUUUCCUUACUAUCUCCAAUGCAAUAUAUUGAUUUCAAUAUCUCUUUACAACCAAGAGCUCCAAAUUUUCCUGGUUCAAAUCUACCAUAAUUUUUAUUCUCCUUUGCUUUUUACCAAUAUUAGUUCCCCUAAUUUAAUAUAUAUCUCUUUAUUACCUUCAACUCUACCUCUCUCUUUCUUUAAAAGCUUCCUCAAAGAUUUGAUUGCUUUCUUGCAUGUUUUGGGAAAACAAACAUGCUCAUAUUCUAUUACCUCUACUUGAGAUCUGCCUUAUACUCUACCUUCUUCUUUACCUCCUAUAUCAUCUACUACAUUAGCUUCAAAAACAUUAUUUAGUUUGAUGCUAAAUAAGGCUCCUAAUCCUACCCUUCCUUCAACUAACUUUCUUUUACAAGUCCCUCAAAGUUUUUUUUUUUUUUUUUUUGGAAAUUUGGCUUAGAAAGAUUUCAUUACUCUUACCUAAUCUUUCAACCAUCAAGUCGAAUCCACUUAUCUCUUGAAUCCAAGGAGACUACCCUCCACAAAAACAAGGAGAUUGACCCCCACAAUAACAAAGAGAUUGUCCUCCAUAGAAACAAAGAGAGCUUCCUUCAUGGAAGCCGAAUACAUCGCAAUCUAUUUUCUUUCUCUCAAGAUCAAAUCUCCAAUCGGAGCUCCAUCUUGUGGGGAUAUAUUAGAAAAAGUUAAUAUUAUCCUUAAUUUACAUAUUAGUAUUUAUCUAUAUUAUAUAUUGAAUUAGAAUAGAAUAUAGAAUUUGAAUUAAGUUUACUAUUAGUUUAAAUUACAAUAGGAAAUAGAGUUUGAAUUAUAGUAGAACUCAAAUAUAUUUAUAUAUAAAUAUCCAUCAUUAUCAAUGAGAAUAGUAUUCCAUAUUUUUCUCUUUCCCUGAGGCUUCAGAAUGUGAUCUUGAACAUUUGAUCUUUUGGAUUCUUCUUGUUUCGGUGGUUUAAUAUAAUGGAAUGUUUAAUUAUAGCCUACUUUAUCACCAUGGAUGUGCUCCUGCAGAUUUCUUGAGGGUGAUGGUUAUUUUGUCAUGUUUCUUGAAUGGUUUGCAUCAGCUGCCUGAGCUGUUGUUGCUGGUCACUUUUGCAACCAGGGAAAGAAUCAUGGCUUUGGAGAAGCCAGCUUCUGUUUUUGUUGCCCAGCUGUUAGUUCACUAAGAUUGGGGGUCCUAACAUGUAUGUAUAAUCAUAAGCAAGGAAAUUUUAUGUCUUACGCUAGAUAGGUACCAUGAUAUGAUGUUUGAUUGAUUUAUUAACUCUACCUGUUUCAAAAGGCAUCAACAUUAAUUUUACCCUUUUAACACAUUGGAUUGUUUGACCUUACGAGAUUUUCUAUUUCUGUACUAUUUGAACUGCAAUCGUUAUGGUCCUUAGGUCUCUAAACCUUCGUUUAAAAUAAAAGUAAGGAGCACACAUAGUAAAAGUUAAUUUUGGGUAACUUUUAAAACAAAGAGAAAAGUAAAAGUUGUUUUUGAGAAAAACAUAUAGAAAUUGAAAGAUUUUUUAUUUUGAGAAAAAAAAGUCAUAGAAAAGAAAUAAUAUCCCCAUAUAAGUAGAUAUGAUCUAUCCGAAGUGUAGCUACUCUCCUGGAUUUAUUCUAACAUUUUAAAAUUUUUCUCAAUGGGCAAAGGAAUAUCAAAUCAAGCUUGAGUAGGAUUAAUUUCUUAAUUUUUAAAAUAACUUAUAAUUAAAAUUUUUUGGUGUUUUCUUUUUUGGACAAUUUUUUAUGAAGACUCUGAAUCAUGCAAGAGAUAUGGUUAUUUUAAAAAAAAAAAUAAUUUAAAACUCAAAUACAUAAUCAAUGUCACAAAUUUAUAAACAAAAGGUUUUUAAAAAAUACUAUUAUUUCCCCUCUACACAUAAUUUUACUUUUCCGAUUUAUUUAUUUUUGUUGGAAAACAGUCUUCAAAUCAAGUAAAAUUAAUAUGUUAAAUUUGUUAAACAAAUAAAUUUUAAAAUACAAUUUGGAACUCAAAAAUCAAUUCAAGUAAUGCUAAAAUUCAAAAAAUCAAAUUUGGAAUAAAAUGACUUUGUAAAUUUUUUUACUAAACAAAUGAAUUUUAAAUCAAGUGAGAUUUAAUACAUUGGAUUUUUAUGAGAAUAGUAAUUUUAAAAAUUAAUUUGGAACUCAAAAAUAGACACAAUAAAUACCAAAAAUCAAUGAACCAAAAUUGGUUUGGAAUAACUCCAUAAUUUUUUAUUUAUUUAUAUAUUUAUUUUUUUGUGCACACGAAUUUCUUACUAAGCAUAUUGCUUCCAAAUUGAGAAAAAUUUACUAUUUAGAUUUUUUUAAUGAGUUUAAUGGUAUUUAAAAAUAAUUCAAAAAUUCGAAAAUUGACUAAUUUAAUAUUAUAAAUUCAUAAACCAAGACUAAUUCAAAAUGCAUUGGGGGCUAAGGGGGUUGAAAUUAAUGCUCCAUUUGGUUGUGGCCACCAAUUGGCAAUGGCCACCAAUCAACCAAUCAAGGUGGCUAAGGGGGUUGAAAAUAGGGACAAUGGGGUGGGUUUGGGACAGGACACUCAUAUCCCAUUCCCAUCCCAAUUACACAGUUAUUUCCCAUCCUUAUUCCAAACUUGUGUUGGGGCAAGUUGAUUUGUUCCCAUCUUUGUUAACGAAAUGACUAAUAACCUCAUCCUCUCCUUGUCUUAGAUGUACAUUUUCUCAAAUUUGGUCAGGUAUGAUUGAUUCAAGCCCUAACCUUAAUUGGUAAUGAGUGGAUACCACACCUAAUUGCAUUCUUCUUUCGUUGCAAAAUAAUGAGAUUAUAAUAAUCUAGCAAAUAAGAAAAAAUAGUAUGGAAGUUCAAAUUAACACCAUAACUAUCAAUAAUUUUAAGCUUAUAGAUGACUUAAAUGAUUGAAAACUAAUGCAAAAUACUAAAAAAAAAAAAAAUCAUCUAAAGAAUUCACAAGAGAAUAGAACGAACAAAACCAAAUAGGAACAUGGGUCAACAUUAGUUACAGAUUUUGAUCCCUUUCAAGGCCAAUCUUUGAACCAAGACUUCAUCAAAUCUACUACUUCAAAGGCUUUUGUGUUCUUCUUGAGUUGUACUCUGGAACAAAGACUUCGAGGUGAUGCUUUAGAUGAUUGCAUUACACAUAUUUAGGGUAGGGAGAUUGGAGAAGCUUGAAGAUGCCAACGAUGGGUACAAUUGAGUGGUCAAUAAGAACAAUGUGGCCUAUGACUAGUUUGAUGUCAUGGUAUAGGAGUUUUGGGCAUUGAGGUGAAAGCAAGAGCAACAUGGAAUUGAUUUCAAAGUCUUUCAAUUAGUGUAAAGGAGGAAGAAGAAGUGGUAUUGAUCCUAGAAAUAGUGUUUUAGGUGUUGCAUUAGAGGAAAAGAAAAAGAAAAAGAAGGAACCAUUGGAAUUAGUACGAGUGUGAAGAGAGAAGUGUAUACAUAAGGGGAAGUAAAAGCAAAGUUCUAAAAAUUUAUUUUUUUAUUGGUGGUGUAUGGUUGCAUGAUUAUCCCUAUAAAUAAUAGGAGUUUUUUGGUGUUCUACUAGUAGUUGAAGGAUAAUUUCAUAAGAUAAUAUUUAGAGCGGGGUGGGGUGAGUUGUGACAAAAUCCAUACCCGUCCCAAACAUUGGUUCAGGUUUUUAAAAUAUUUUCAAACUUAUCAUAUACCCAAUUUUAUAUUUCAUACUUGUCCUAAUAGAGACAGGUUAGUCAGGGUUACUUGAGUAGCCUACAAAACUAUCAUCCCUAGUUGAAAUGCUCUUUUUGGCAGUGGCAGCUAGAAGCUCGAUCGAUUGACCUACAAGACUAGUUGUCAUCAUUUUAAAAAGAGUUUUGGCUUUGGUUGUGAGUGCAAUUGAAUCUAAACUAACAUUUCCUUAAUGCAUCUACUUCAAUCCUAAACUUCUUACUUAAGCCUCAAUUGUUGUUAAGAUUUUGGAAAACCCAUUUCCUUAAAUUGUAAAUUUAAGAAAAAAAAAAUUAAAAGUGAGACAUUUCUUGAUUGAAUGUUGUUAAAGGUCCCUUGGAAUUAAGACUUGGUUGAAGCCUUGGAAGAUUAGCAGAACUCUCAACUUAUGUUUGAACCUUGAGGAGAGUGGACGUAGGCCAAAAUUUUGUCAAACCAUUAUACAAAUUGAGUUUGAAUUCUCAUUUCUUGAUUUCUUAUUUAUUUGCUUUUUCUUAUUAUUACUUGAAUUGUCAUUUGCAUUCAUUAAUGUUAAAAUUGGUUAUAAUUAGCCAACACUAAUUCUCUUUCCCCUUCCCUUAAUUUCUUGGGUGUAAACCUAGGUUGGAUUAACUAGAUUUUAUCAAAUCUAUUAAGAUGGUAAAAGAAUAAUUAUUCUUAACAUACAUAAGAUCAUCUUCAAUCAAAUGACUCAUUGGCUGAUAUGUUGAAUUUGCUUAUUACUUGCAACUCAAAAUUGUGUUCUAGUUGAUAUGUCAAGUCCUGAGUGUAUGGACAUUAAAUUUGUAGUACGUGAUGAGUAUUUAGAUGGUCCAAUUCCAAGAAAGUGAUUGAAAACUAGUUCAAGAAAGGUGCAAAAGGGAAUUGUUUUGGUAUUUUCGUUUUUAUUCUUGAAGGUGGCAGAGCUAAAAUUUGAGAAAUCAAGCAAAACAUACUGAAAUUACAUUGAAAGAAAGAAAAUGGGAGUUAAUGUCUUGCAGUACAUGAUAAGGACUUCAUGCAUGUAGUGUGACCCAUGUCUUGGACUGAUGCCACACUCACGGUUACACUUAUACCCUUAGUUCUCUCUUUACUACCUUAGCUAACCUAGAUCAGGUUAUGAGAUAGGCACCUCACCACACCAUUACUUGCCCAUUAAUUAGUGACAUUUUCAAGCAAUGAGGUAACAUGGUGACACCAAGAGGGUAUAUUCCUCACCCCCAACAAGCCUAGACCUGGUCUAAAAAAAAUGGAGAAAAAUGACGUGUUGUUAUGCAGAAAUAUAGCAACCAUGCCUUCCUCAUUACUUAGAUUCAGAAUGUGAAGGUGAAAUUGAGAAACAGAAACUCUUGAAACCAAAAUGAAAAUUGAUACUUUUACGAAGAAUUACAACAACAUUAGAGGAAGACUACAUUCUUCCUCUUUAUUCCUACAUUUCUACACUACUUCUACUCCACUCCAUAUUUCUACAUACAUCUUUAAUCAGUCUUCCCUCCUUUAUAUAGAGCCAUCUUCACACAAAUUCCGCAAGGUAGAAAAGAGGAAUGAAACUUGGAGCAAGGUUCGACUACUGGCUGUAGCUUGUCAAGGCUGAAAGUGAACUUUUUUUCUUGGCUUUUCUGGGCAUAGGUAGUAACUUGUAGGUUCCUUUUUGGAAUGAAAAUGGUACGGCUAGAACAUGUGGCACUCUCUUGUUGGAUGAUGUGUCAAGCAUGUGGCAGCCAUCUAGUGGAGAUUAUGUCAAUUUUGGGAUGGAGAGUUGGCAUCCAAUUGCAAAGAAAUAUGACAUCUACCAACAUGCAAUGUCAACCUAUGUAGAUCAUAUGAAGAUAGAGAGGAAAAAUAUAGAAAUGGAUAUAUAACUAGAACUAGCUUUUUAUUAAAUGAGACGGAGAGCCAACAAUGAAGGAAAAUCAAAAUUUUUGGCUCAUAUCAAAGAAUUCACAUUGUGUUACCCUAGGUUUUCUUAAAACUUACUUUUAUGAUAAUAAAAAAUCAUUAUUGUUUAAUCCUUUGUUUUAAACGCAUGUUUAGCAGGUUGUAAAAUGUAAAUAUCUUUCGAAAUUCAAAUAUGAAGAUAUGACAUCAUUUCAAGCAAUAUAGUCUCUAGGAAUUAAUGUAAAGCUAAAUUAAGGUGCAAUUAAGUUAGUUCAAUGCAUUAUUUUAAGAAACUUGACCUAUCAAAACCUUGUCUUACUUCAAAGCCUCUUUUUCUUUUCUUCCAACUAACAUUUUAAUAAGUGAUCGCAAAAGUACAAAAUUAGAUGAAAUCCAUUUCAAUGGUUAAAAUGAUCAAAUUCAAACUUUUUCUAAGUAUCUUUUAAAAGCAUCAAUAUUGAAAGACAAUUUUAUAUUUAGUCAAAGCUUGGACAGAGCCAAAAAGCACACAAAAAUUUAUAUUUUCUAGCUCUCUACCUUGGAUGGUCUCUUGAUCCUACUUGGAGAUGUGCAUAAAUAAAAGGAUUUGAAAAUGACAAUUGACUAAGUAUGUAGUCAAUCAAUUACUCAUUGAUUGACUAGUUGAUCAAUUAACUUUGCAACAUCAUAUGCAAUCCUAAUAGCUAGUCAUCUAAUCAACUAGGUAGUAAAUCAAUAGGCCAAAAAUAUGUUUAUAAUGACUAUUUUGUACAAAAACCACUUAUAUAGUUAAAUAUAAUGCAUUUCAUUUAUAAAUCUUCUAAUUCUUGAAUAACAAUCCUAUCAUCCUUUGAAAGUUUUUAUUACACCUUUUCUACAUUUGUUCUAAAACUUAUACAUCACCCUUAAUUGUACCAUGAGAACCUAGCAUUUUUUUUUUUUUUUUUGUAUUUCAUCAAAGUUAGCUCUUGUACUCAUUGUUGUAUUAUUUUUAUUGUAACUUAGAGAGCGAGUGUUUUCAAGUGAGUGAAAUUGACUUGUAAAUAUUGUAAAGAUUCAUUGAUAUGUAUCUCAAACUAGGUGUACAAGUUGAAACAUUUGCUAGUAGAUUUUCUCAAGAUUUAGAAUGAGCUUAAGGCUAUCGAAUUAGGUGGGGUUGCGCCAAACCAUAUCACAUCGUUGUUUGCACCUUUUUUUUCACUCUCUUUUACUUAGUUGCUCUAUAUAUAUUGUCUAGCAAUAUCCUAAAGGCUUGAUGGGCUAGGGAGCAUCCCUCUGAAUGAAAAAUUUUCAUUCAAUUCUUAGUUGUAUUACGCAUAUAUAAAAUGCCUCAUUGUUUUAAUGGUAUUCAGUCGUGGCACCACAGAUAUGGACAUCUAAAUUUUAAAAGUUUGAAACUUUUAGCUAAAGAAAAUAUGGUGCUUUGCCUUUUUGGAAAGCAUGUUGAUGAAAUCCAUGAGAAUUGUAUACUUGGAGAGCAACAUCGAGAUAACUUUUUUUUUUUCUUUUUUUAUAAUGCAUUGUUUGUCCAAAUUCCGUACAAAUUAGGCCACCACAUGUUCAUAAUUCUCCCUUCUUGAAUUUGAAAACUCGGACAAUUUGACAAUGCGACACCUAAGUCCGGUUUUUAAAUGCUAAAGUGAAAGGGCAGGUAUGGACCAUUGAAAUGUGAUAACAACUUUUGGCCUUUUCCUUUUCUCUGUAGCCAUGUUGUCUCUUUUUAAUUUCUUUUGCAUGAUUUUCUUACCUAAACAGAAUCAUAGACUUGUUUAAUCUCUAAGUGGGAUUUCAUCCACCUUAAGCUACUGUAUUAUAUCUCGGUGGAGGACAACCGACAUAGAGCACAUGCAAGUGGGUAUAUGGGACAUGAAAUAUCUUCUUAUAAAGCUUGUUUUGCAGUUAAAUUAAUUGGAUAAGUAGACACUGGCGUUUCUAAAUUUCCCACCUAAGAUAAUGACCUUAUCCUUGACUGCUAGAUACACAAACAAUUAUACCUUCAAAAUCUACUGUGAAGUGCUUCAUGUAUGUGUGAAGUAUUAGAAAUUUCUUUCUUGGCAACUUGUUUUUUUCUUUGCGGUCUACUGAUAGGUUUGACUAAAAUUAUAUUCCCUGUCCUGCUAAUUAAUUUUCACGUGCAUGCUCAAAAGAAGAGUAUGACCUUAGUGCACCAAAAUCACUUUCAAUAAUUUGUGAUAAGUUUUUUUGCAUGACAUUAACCUUAUUCAUUUAGAUAAUGUUUAGUUCUCAUAAAUAUUAAGAAAAUGAAAAUAAAUAUUAAGAAAAAUAUUCUUAUAUUUGAUUGUAUUAUGAAAAAUAUCAUAAAAAAUCAAAUAUAAUUAAAAUUAAUUAAUAAUUUAUAUAUUUUAAAAUUAUUUAAUUUUUAUAUUAAAGAUAUAAUAUAAAUGAAAUGAGUUUUAAGUAUUAUAUAAAAAUGAUUUAUUUAUUUAUUUAUAUAUAUAUAUAUAUAUAUAUUUAGUUUUUCUCUUUAUUUUAUUUUCCUUAUGUUUUCCUCACAUUUUCCGGAAUCAAAGAUAGGGAAAUCCACAAUUACCUUCAACUGAGUAGAUUCUAUUGUUUUAGCAAUGUUAGGCUGCUAACUUGUGGUGGUACGAACCAAAUGAUCCAUGUUAAUCUUGGCUUGAUUUAAUUUGGCUCUAUCUCAGAGAACUCAAGGAUCACGUCAACUCUGGUUUCUACUAUUCAGGUCCAUUCCCAGAUGAACUGGUUCAAAUUUGAGAAAAUGGUAACAGACCUUUAGUGAUAUUGGUUUGGAGCCAGUUGCCAAACCUGCCCUGAGCUUUACCACUAAUGUCAAGGGACAAAGCCAUUUGAACAAAAACAAUAGCUUCAAGAGACUGAAUCGUGGAUGAAAUCUGAUCCACAUUUCUUCUCAUUUUGGGAAAAAAUGAGGACUUAACCACAAAGAUUCUACUGCCUCAUAGUGCUUUUCCUGAUCUAAGGUUGGCUCGUUUCCCAAAUUGUGAGGUGCACGUGCCACUCUCACGCUCAGGAGUGUAUCCACGUGGUGGACAUAAGAUGGUGGCUUAAUAUCUGGUGUCGGUGGCUUUACUUUACUAGGAGAGUAGUGUGUCUUCAUCUCAUUCACUGCCAGAGGGUGGCGUAAGCAGUGACGCUAAGGUGGGGCACAGUCAAUAUCAUUUGCAUUUGACCAUUAUAAUUUUCUCCCGGCUUUAAAGUAACCUUAUCGUGAUAAUGGAUUACUAGCACUAGUUCAGAUGACAGUCAUGUUAAAUUCGGACCAUGUUUGUGUCACAUUAUCAGCAACCAUGUGCUUGUGGUUCAUGCUAUCUGCAACUAAACUUGAUAUAUAACCAGGUGAACUUCAAUCUAAAUUCUGGAAGUACUCAUGUGAUAGAUGGUGCCUGUCUGCAGUGAGUGUAUCUAUAAGAGGGAAGGCUUGGCAAAUGUUCAGUUUUCUGGGAAUUCAACAGGGAUCUAAAAUAGAUUGUUUUCUUUGCUGAUUUCAAUGGUUGAAAUUUGAGAAGAUUGUGUCCACAUAACACAACUAUUACUGGUCCUUCUGUUGCAAUUUAUCCUCUAAGGCUCUAACAUGUCUUCCAAUUCCCACUUCCCACUUCCCUGUUACUCCAGGAAAGCUGUUUCUGUCAUUGUGAAGAAGAAAAGAGACUGUACAUAUCGAUGCUUUUAAGUGGACUGGAGAAUUCAUAUCAGGUGGUCUGCAGCCAUACAUGCCACUUUGUGAAGGUUGGAACAGUCAAUCACUAGGCUAUAUUAGUGGGGCCCAGCCACUUCAAUCAAGGACAAGUCUUCAUACUUAAAGUCAAAUUCUGCCUUUAGUCUCAUUAUAAAUUGCUGUUUAAAUAUCAAGCAAACAUUUGUUUAAUGCGAUUAAGACAGCACUAACUCAAUACUUGUUCUAUUUUUGGAUGCAAAUGCUUGAUAGUUUCAUCAUUGGAGGGGAUAAAGGUGCAUUCAUGAUUAUGAAUACUUGUAGUUAUAUUUUCAUUCUCUUUUUUCUCAAUGGGACUUGUUGGCACAAUUUUGCUGUUCAGAAACCUACCUCUCCAUGGAAAAUCAGUUGUGAUUGAUAUUACUGGAUAUAUUCAAGAAAGCUAAAUGUAGAUAGCACAAAAUAUUAUCGACAUAAAUAGCAUUAACAGCGUACGUAUGUCUCAAUGCUCAUCAGCUAUAAGCAAGGGGCAAACACUUACUAUGAGCAACUUACGUCAAAAUUCCGGAAUAGGACAUAGAAGUGACAGGUCAGUAAAUAUAGAACACUGCAUAUGAGUCACAAGAAAGGAAAUUACGGGUACAUAGCAGCUCUUAUUUUACAUCCUACUCAUACUGAUCAAAGUCACUCAGUUGGGAUGGGUGGGAGUGGGAGGUUUGUGGGGUGGCUUGUGCGGAGGAGUUGGCAGCUUCUUUCCAGGACCUGGUUGCUUCUCUGCUGGAGUUGAAGGAGGCUUAAUCUUCCGAGGUGGCUUGUAUGAGUCUUCAGCAUUCUCAGCAGGAGGGUGACCAGGGUUGUGACCACAAUGUGGUGGCUUCUCUCCCUUAGGUGGUUUGCCAACUGGGGUUGGUGGCUUGUGUUCCGGAAGUGGCUUCUCUUUGUGUUCAGGAGGUGGCUUCUCCACUGGAGGCUUGUGUUCAGGAGGUGGCUUCUCCACCGGAGGCUUGUGUUCAGGAGGUGGCUUCUCCACCGGAGGCUUGUGUUCAGGAGGUGGCUUCUCCACCGGAGGCUUAUGCUCUGGUGGUGGCUUCUCCACCGGAGGCUUAUGCUCUGGUGGUGGCUUCUCCACCGGAGGCUUAUGCAAUGGUGGUGGCUUCUCCACCGGAGGCUUGUGUUCAGGAGGUGGCUUCUCUACCGGAGGCUUAUGCUCUGGUGGUGGCUUCUCCACCGGAGGCUUAUGCUCUGGUGGUGGCUUCUCCACCGGAGGCUUGUGUUCAGGAGGUGGCUUCUCCACCGGAGGCUUGUGUUCAGGAGGUGGCUUCUCCACCGGAGGCUUGUGCUCUGGUGGUGGCUUCUCCACCGGAGGCUUAUGCUCUGGUGGUGGCUUCUCCACCGGAGGCUUGUGUUCAGGAGGUGGCUUCUCCACCGGAGGCUUAUGCUCUGGUGGUGGCUUCUCCACCGGAGGCUUGUGUUCAGGAGGUGGCUUCUCCACCGGAGGCUUAUGCUCUGGUGGUGGCUUCUCCACAGGAGGCUUGUGUUCAGGAGGUGGCUUCUCCACCGGAGGCUUAUGCUCUGGUGGUGGCUUCUCGAAUGGGGGAUGCGUAGGGUAAUCAGCUAGUGAGGGGGCGGUGAGAACCACCAGGCCAAGCAACACUACUAGCAAGUAUGUAGGAGACAUCUUUGGGUUUGGGCUCAGAUGGUGCAAAACUAGGAGAAUUGGCUAGCCUUUUAUAGCGGAUCGUACCCAAUAAUGAAAUGACACGUGUCAUUAUGACCCAUGUGUCAUGUGGUCGAUUUGGGUCCUACAGUGUUGAAAACUUCGACAUCCACUUUUUUGGCCUUUUGCUUUCUCUACAGUCGCCUUGCUUUUUCCCUCUUUUCUUUUGUUUUCCUCCUGCCCCAUUCUAUCAACUAAUCACAAUUAUGUAGUUGUUUAAUUCUUAAAUGAGAUAUUAUCCGUCAAUCAUAUUAUCUUUUAUCAAGAGAGAACGGAGUGAAAAGUGGCAAUCCAAAGAAAGAAGAUCCAUAAUGCAGCUGUAAUUUUAUCGUUUACUUUUAUCUCUAGGACCACUGCAUUUUUGUUGAGAGGUGCAAUAAUACACGUCUUUAUCUGCCAUUCAAUGUUUACAGUAAAGAGAGGGCACAAAACUCUUCACUGCUCUGCAUGUGCCCCAAAAAUGCAAUUGGACAAAUUAUGAUUUGCAUGCUAAAAAGAGGCAAAUGAGGUUAAUUAGCACCAAAAUUAUUUUGUUUUCUGGACACCCCGGGGCCCUUUGGUUGGUUUGGGGGUCAGAAAAUGAACAUCAUAGGGGGUUUUUCCCUAAUGUGCAUUUGCAUUUGUAUCUGAUGGCUUUAACUCGCCUUGUUACUACAAAGAAAUUGUCACAGAUAGGAACUUAUUCCAGGCUGAGUAUCUCCGCAUGGACCCUAUAAAAGAAGACAAGUCAUAAUGAACAUCUAACCUUUGUUCAAUUUGAUUCAAUGCCCCUAUUGUGUCCAUCUCACAAAUCUGAAUUAUUAUAUCCAUUGAAUACAUAAAUUAAUGAAGAAAAUAUGAAACCCAAGAUACAUCUCUGCACAACCUCAACCCUGGUUGCUAUGUUUCACUUCUAUUCACAUGAGGAUAUUGAUUACGGAAUAAGGAAACCUAGCAAGGGUUUACUCGGCUCUGGUUUGAUGCUAAUUGCCAAACUUGCAACAAGCCCUGAGUUUGACACCUAAUCGAUGGGCGAAUUAAAAGUCUCCUCCAAACAUAUAUUCCACAGCUUGAAGCUCACAGAAGAUGCUAUACAGGCAGGGAAAAACCUUCAGAGUUAGCUACCAAAGAUAAUUAUCAAGGAGAUAUCACCAAGAGAAUUCCAUGGAGUCUGAAUCAAAGACAAAUUGCUCGCUCGUGGGGGUUCUUACUUAAUUUCUUUUGGGUAUAACUCACUGAGGGCACUGGCUUUGUUAUUUGCAUUUCGCAUUUAGAGUUCUGUUCUGGAAGGUUUGUUCUGGAAACAUAUAAAAGGAGCAUCAUUUUGUUCUAGGGUAACCCAUAGUUGUGAGUGGGUCCAUUUGCAUGCUACUUAGUUGAAAAGUUGGACAAUUUGCUCCGACGCCUACCUCCUGGAUUCCAUGCUCGGAUAAAGCAAGAAUAAUAAAAUAUUUAUAAUUUACAAAUGGGGGAAAGAAAAAAAUGUCAACAACAAACUAGGAAAAAAGAGUAGUAAAAUUUAUGCCACAUGCUAUUGAUAGAAGGGGCAUGUAUUAGAUCCAUCACCAUUUGGUAAGAUUUUAGUAUUAUAUUUUUCAAGGUUCAUUAUUUGAGGGUGUGUUCUUCAUCUCUGUUGCAUUGCUUCUUACUAGGCCCACUGAGGUGGGUUCUUCACCUUUUGUAUAUUCUCUGCACUAGAUCAAUGAGAAAGGGGGAAUUUUGGUGAAUUUGCAGCCGUUGGAUGAUUGAUUCUAGGCUCAGUCCACCAAUGAUGCUCUCUUCACUCUUUCUCAUCUAGUGUCAUUCACAACUAUGUUUUGAUUCAUAUUUGUACUAUCAAAGAUAUCUCAUUAUUCUAGCUCAUUAGGUAGAGUUCCUAAUCUUCCUCCUUUUUGGUCUAUGGACAGUAUUGGCUUCAUAUUAAGAUCAUGUUUCAAUAAUUGCACAUUAAUGAAUGGAUCAUGACCCACAUAAACAGAGUCAGGGUUGAGUCAGUGAACCCUAAAAUUUCACAAUUCUAAAUUUGGGUUCUUUAACAAUGCAGGGUCAAGGACGCGUGGUGAUGAAGGAAAGCUGGUAAGCUCAGUGUUACUUCAAUUCCUGCCAUGUAGGAUGGUGAGGAGAUAUUCACUAUGCAAUUAAUAAUAGACAAUAUUCACUAUGCAAUAAUAAAGCAUAAAUUAAGUUGAAUGAAAAGCAUUUUCUUUGCAAGGAGUUGAUUUUGGUUUCAUAGUUUGUUCAACUGCUAUUUUGGAUAGGAAAGUGUGAGGAGAAGAAAAUAAAAAAUAAAAAUAAAACAAAAAAUAAAAAAUAGAUUUUAUAAAUUCAUUUAAUUUAUUUUUUUUUUAUAAAAAUUAACUAAUUUAAAAUAUAUGUAAAUUUCUAAUUAAUUUAAUUACAUUUUUUUUUUCAGUUUUUCAUAAUAAACCAAAUAUUAGAAAAUUAUUUUUAUUAAGACACCCAAGAUGAGGUAAUAUGCAAUGAAAACAUGAAUUAUAUUAAAAUUCAAAACAAAUUAAGAGAAAUCGGAAAAUAUACAUAGAUAUCUAAACAAAGAAAUUUAAAGAGAAGGAACCACAAACUUUAUUUACAUAAUUUGAAAAUAAAAAACAUAAAACAUACUUAUAGUAAGGAGAAAUUGAAUAUCUUACAAUGGAAGAAGGGAGAAAAGCUUUGAAGAAAGCUUUUGCUUGGAAGCUUACAUGGUGAGAGGUAGAGAAAGGAGAGAGAGAGAAGAAAAUGAAAAAUGAGAAGUGGAGAAAAUUGGAAGUUUUGUGUGCUUACAACUGAGGAUAGAGCCUCCUUAAAUAGCAAAAAAUGGAAUAUUAAAUAGUACCAAUCAGGAGACAAAAUAUUGUUUGCUUUUGAAACCCGUGCAUGAAUAGUAAUCCCGUGAGUGAAUAGUGAAUAAUAAAAGUGAAUAGUAAAAGUCACUUUCUACUAUAGCACUUUAGACUUUUUCAUCGAGAAUCUUACUUUCGGCUGAGUGAUGAUAGCUGAUAGGUUGCUUUGGAUUGUGGAGUCAUAUGUUUGAUGUUUUCGGUGCUGAAACCGCUUAGUUGGAGAAUAAUCUCGUCAGUAGAGCAUCAUGAGAAGCUUGAAUGGAGAGAGCUUAAUGAUGCCAUAUGAUUGGAAGGAAUCCUAUUUUAAUUUCCUUAUUGGAGGGAGAAUACCCUCACAAUCAUCUUCAUUAUCUUGAAGGUAGUUUGAUAUAGAGUCAUCUGACUCAGCAUAAGAGUCCUCUUGGGAGAAGCUUGAACUGCUUUUGUCAAGGAUUUUCUGAAAUUCUUGAGGGGUUUUUGCUAUUGCUAACAUGGUUUGGAGUUGCUGUUUCUUAAGAAGAAACUGUGCAAUAUCAUAAGAUGAUGAAGCUUGUGUAGGAUGCUUUAGGAAAUAUUGCUUUAUUGCUUGUAGUGAGGUAUCAUUUUUCAAGGCAUCCCACCACUUAGACUUGAAAGUCCUUCCAAGGGUUGGAAAGGCUGCUGAUUCAUCUGCUAUAAUGAUAUAAUCCCACUGGACUAUCCAGGCAAGGCCAAAUUCACUAAAAAAGAAUAAUAAUUGGGGAAAACUGAAAGUUCUCUAGGGAUAACAAAAGAACUUUGGAAUAGCUCAAAGCCAUCCAAAAUGGGUUUUGGGAGAAUUUUAAUAGUUGGACCAAAAUAUGUCCACCAAUUGUGGAACCAAAAUGGAAAAGAGGGGAGUUGAUGCUUAGAUGGGAAAUAGAACAUCCCUGAAUGAUGGAAGUCCUUGUUCUGGAUCAGAAAAGCAUUGAACCAUACUCUUUGGUAGUCUCAAUAAUUGAAAAUUUUAGGUUUUGAAGGCUUAGAAAAUUCUCUUGAAAAAUUAGGAUUCCCACCCCACUGCUUAACUGUAAGGAUUUUAUAAAUAUGGUAAGUGGAGAAUGCCAAAUCCAAAUUGCUGAAUUUAUCAGCAUUGUGCUUGAUUUUAACAGAGCCGGUUUCCAUAAGGAUUGCUUCAUAAAAUUCUCUUGUUUUUAAAAGAUCACCAAAGGGAUAAUGAAAAUUUUCAUGAAAAGCUUUUGCUGCAAUAUCUCUAGGGUUUUUAGAGAAAAACUCUUUUUCAAUAACCAAAAGAGGUUGAUUUAAAUCUUUUUGCCAAUAUCUUGCUUUUGCUGAAAGAGGUGUGGGGUUGGCUACCACCACAAUUUGCUUAUUUGAAAAAGAAGAGCUUGAUGCUAAUUCAUUUUGAGAGGGAUUAGCUUUAGUAACCUGCUUAAAGGUCUGAGACACAGUAAUAGUUGGAUACUGAGUAGCCUUGACUGGUUUAGAAGGAUUCGAAGGAUCAUAGUACAAGGACAAAAUCUUAUUAGGCAUAUGGUCAGAAGAAUGAAGCCUUGCUUCUUCUUCUAGCUCAACUUGUUGGCUCCAAAGUAUUUUAUGGGGAGAAGGUUCUUUGCUGGUUUUAGAAGACUAGGAUUCUGGAAGUUUAGGAGCUUGGGUAUUCUUUUUAGGGGCCAUGGUUUCGUGAAUCCUGUAAAAUUCACAAGUUAAGAAAUCAGGGCUCGAAGAAUGUUCUCCUUUAAUAUACUCAAUUUGUAAAUUAAAAUUGCUUAAAAUAGCUUGAUAUAUAGCAAAAAUAUGCUUAGAAGUUAUAUUCUUAACAUCCUUUUGUAAAACUAAUUUUGCAAAUUUACAAUCAACUCUUAAUAAAAACUUUUGAUUCAAAAGAUCAUCUUGAAAUUUUGAAAUGCAUAAAACAACGCUUAAAGUCUCUUUUUUAAUGAUGUUAUGAAUGAGUUGGGUAGUAUUCCAGGUUCUUGAAGUAUACCUAACUAACAUCUCAAGGUUACCAACACUUUGCUUAAGAAUCCCACCAUAACCUAUGUCUGAGGUAUCGAUCCCAACAAACUCAAAGGUUUCUGGAUUGAUAGAGCCUAAACAUGGUAGGGUCUUGACUUUGGACUUAACAUCAAUAAUGAAAACAAUGGUGAAAACAGAAAACUGGUUAAAGUUUUCAUCCAUUAUAUUCUGGAAUUCUGAGGUGCAUUCUUAAGAUCAAAGGGCAUUAUGAACCAUUCAUAAUGUCCAAGAGAUACCACAAAGGUGGUCUUAUUUGGAAUAGGACACCUAAUCCAACUUAAUGUAUCAUUAAGAGGCAUGUAGUUGACGACUAGUCUAGGUGUUCCUUUUUCUGAUUCAACUUGUUCCUGAACAUAGAAGGUUGAACAACUCCAAAGGGACUUAGACUUCCUUAUCAACUUUUUAUCAAGAAGAUCCCAAAUCUCCUUAUCACAAUAGCUUAACAAACCCUUGUUCAUCUGGAUAGGUCUUGAUUUAGUGGGAAUAUUCUUGUCACUAAAGUCUAGUUCAUAAGGUAAUUCUACCUCAUGUUGUUUCCUAUGCCAAAAUGCAUUAGGAAUGUUAGAGCAAACUUCUUCAACAAUCAGAUUAAUUUCUUGCUCAUGACUUUCCUUAGCUUGAAUCACCUGAUCCCUUAAGGUGUUUAUAUUUUUCUUAUUAGGUGGUUGGCAAAUUCAAAAAUAAUUUCCUUAUCUAAGAGCUUUGUUCUUAUACUUUGGUCAUCUACCCACAUGGGAUAGAUGGAGCUUAAAAAGGGGAUUCCAAGGAGAGCUUUCUCCUUAAGAUCCUUAACUAGAAUGAAGGUUUGCUUGAUGCAAAUGCCUUGGUUAUUUAUGUGAGCAUCUGACAGCUUAUACUCAAUGUCAAGCCUUUUACCAUUAGCUCCAAAGAGAGAUUCUUUGGUUUUCUUACAAAACUUAAUAGGACCUAGACCUUCUUGUAGGCAAUUCAAAGCUGUUCCUGAAUCAAUCAAAGCAACAAUAUCAAUGACAAAUUUACUCUUAAUUACUAUAGUAAGGGAGACUUUCCACCUCUGGAAAAUAACCCUACUAACAGUAUUUAAGUAUCCAUCCGUCUUUUCAUCAUUAGCAUGUGAAGAUUCUAGAACCUCUUCAAGGUUUUCCUAGUUAUCAACAAGAUUUUCUAUAACAAUCCUAUUUAUUUGUUCUUGGAGAUCUGAAAAACCUAAGCUUGUGUAUUGUCUUAAAUCUUUAAUUUCCUUCUUAUACUGUCUUACUUCUUCUUGAAGAUCCUUAAUGGUUACGUCUUUGGUAGACUACUGGUUAAAUCUUCCUAAGAUUUCAUUUAAGUUAUAAGAAUUUACUGUCUUCUUAAUCUCUUGCUUAUCGACAAAUUUCUUAAAAACUUCAUAAAGAUCUUGUUUAGUUUUUUCAUCUUCAACUUUCCUUAAAACAUCUAGGACAAGUUCUUGAUCUUGGCUUAUGACAUUUAUAGUCUUAGGUUGGCAAUCACAAUUAUCCUUAAUGUAUUCUUCUUGGUCACUAGAAGUUUGGCUUGAGAUUUCCUCACCACUACUAUCUAGUUGGUUAAUACCAUUUUCAUUAUCUGAAUCAAUCCUUGAUUCAGACUCUGUGGAAUUUAACAUUACUUUACAAAGCAUAUCUUUUAAGUCUUCUGUGACAUUUAAGUUAUUAAUUUUCUGCUUAACCCUACAAUCUUUCUUAUAGUGGCCUAUCUUACCACACUUAAAACAAACUGGCUUAGAUUGUGAAGGAGCUUCUAGCUUUUUAUGGGCUUCUUUGUUCAUCAUUCUUUGGAUGUGCCUUUGUUUCUUAGUUUCAUUCAUCCUAUAGUUGCCAUGAGUUCCUCUCUUGUUGUGAUAGGACUUUUCCUUACUAGGCUUUGUACUUACUUGUUUCUUACGUUGCUUAGAGGGGGGCUUAGUUUCUUUUUGGUUGAAUCCAAACUAGCUACAAAAUGAACCAAACUCAUUCUUGUAGAUCCUUUGUUCAUUUUUCAUCUGUUGCUUAAGCUUAAAGUCAUUGCACAGUUUAAUUGCUUCUGAUGUGACAAUGCUUAUAAUUUCUCCAUAAGAAAGCUUAUCAUAAGGGAUUUGUCCAUUAAACUGUUCCCUUAUCUUAAUCCUAAUCCUCUCAGAGAAAAGUCUAGGUAGUCCUAAGAUGAAUUUUUCUUUCCAAAAAGACUGGUUAUAGUUUGAUCUUAGUAUGACUUUGGUUAGGAAAACUUCUCUAUACCAUCUAAAGUCAUGAAGCUUGGGACACUUAAGGUUGGUUAAGAGAUCUACAAUCUUAUCCUUAAUCUUUGCAGGAUCUCCAAUGAAGUGCUUUGAAAUUGAAUAGAUUAGAGUAGCCACUACAUCCUCUAUAUCUUGUCCAUCUUCAUCCUUAACCACUUCAUUUUCCUCAUUAAUCCUAUAGGCUUUUAGGAUACCAUUUCUAUCCUCAAAGGUGAGAUAAUUAUCCCACCAACCCUAAAGUUGACCUGUAAACCCAACAACAAUUGUUUGAGCUACAGCAUGGCCUGACAAUCUAUUGUUUAACUUAUAGGUUGUACUAACCAUGGUCAUUUCUUGAAGCUUAGUGAGUAUGUUGUACUCAAUCAUACCAUCUAUGUUCCAUUCAUAGAUAGUGUCACUAGUGUAGGAAGCUUGAGUAUGCUGGUUUCUUUCCUCAUACUACAUAUCAGGAAAAGUUGGUCUAGGGUAGUAAUUCCUAGUUCUUGGUUGUUGAUAAUCCUCAUAACUGUUUGGUUAGGAGGUUCCUUAAAAAUCUUAAUUAGUUCAUCAGCCUCUGCUUCAGAACUAAUUUCUCCUUUAACCAUAUUGAUUCUCUUGUGAGAUGGUUGAGGUGUCUCAGAGACAACAAGGCUAUCCUUAACCUUUUGGCUUAUCCUAUCAAUGAGGGCUUGAUCAAUAUGGAGAUUCUCUAGGAAUUUCUUAGAGAAUUCAAAAGGCUUAAAUAAAGACUUAUUAUCUUUCUUAACAAACGUAGUCUUAAUGUAGUCUUGUGUUUCAAUGAUAUCCUCAAACUUGUUGAGUUGAUCGCCUGUAGUCUUAAGAAACAUGUUAGUGUAGUUGUUUUGUUCCAUGAUUCUUCUAACGUCAACAACACUAUCAAUUCCUUUAUUCUUUGGCCUAGUCUUAAAAGGUGAAGCUUUGACUAUGGUUCAAUUAAUGUUCUUUUAUAUCUUAGCUUCUAGAGGGUGGAUGGAUUCUAUGAUAGUAUCGUCACUAGUUUUCCAUAUCUUAGUUUUUUUGGAUGUGUCAUUGACACGCUUACUAGGGUAAUCUAGAUAUUCCUCUUGUUUGAAGAGUUCAAACCAGAUCCAAUACUUAAUGUUCUUCUUUUCUUGUCUUAAGUAUGUGUAGAAUUCUUCUUGGUAGAGGGUUCUAAUGUCUUUAAGGACCUUGCUAAAGAACCAAACUCUCCUUUUCUUAUUGACUUCAGAAUAGAAGUCUUUCCUUAAGAGGUCCUUGUUGAUUCAAAGUCUUCGUUAAUUAGGCUUACAGUGUUAAUCAACUGAGAAUAAGUAGGAGACAUAUCAGGAGAUUCGUCCUGAUGUGAUUCUUGAGUAAACUCAUUUUCCUCCAUGUAAAAGGGUUUGGCCACGUUGGUGUGACUUCUAACACCUGUUAGCUUAAUAUUCUUAGGAUUUGCUGAACUAGAUCCUUCCUCUAUCCUAGUGGUUCUUAUUGGGAUAGAUGAACUUGAAGCUCUAGAGGGCUCAUAAUAUGAAAUUCUAAGGCUGCUAGAAUGAUGAAAAGAGUUGGAGAAAAUUAGAUCUCGUUCUCCAUCAGGAUAUUGAACAAUCUGUUCAAUUCUUUCAGAUCUUUGCUCUAUGGCUGGGACAACAUUAGCAAAAUGCCAAUUUUCUGGAAACUCAACCUCAUUCCACUUGAUUUUCAUGGGGACUAUGAAAUUAGACUUGUUUAUCAUAUCUAAGUGGAAGAUAGUGGUUUCACCCUUGGGACUGGUGCACAAUGCUCCAAAUCCAACGCUUAUGGUCAUGCUCUUAUAGGCAAAUCUGGUGAUGAUGGAAACAUGAUUGUUUCCUUGCUUGAACUUAAAGUCAUGGGUCUUAACAUGAAGGACAACUGAAUCUAAGAUGUUGACAUCUCUUAGUCUAACUGUGAAGUUAGGGAAACACUGGAAAUAAACAGGACCAUCAUUUAAUCCUGCUUGGGUAGCUCCAAUAAUAGAAUCUCGGUAAUCAAGAUGUCUAUUAUCUCUUAAACACAUGACAAUAAAGGUGUUUAGACCUAGUCUUGUCAAGGGCUUAGCUGCAACUUGAAUCAUGCCAAAGUGUAUGAAGUUGUAGUCUCGCUUAUGCUUAUCAAUGGACUUACUAUCCAAGAGUCUUAUGACUUGAUCGUCGUGUUCUAAACUUACUGACAUUUCAGGGGUUUUAAUGGUGUAAUCUGUAAAGAACUUAAAGGUUCCUUUCUUAUAAAUUUCUUGAUUAGGUACCUUGGGUAACUUCCAAUCAUCUAAAUCAUCUUGGAUCUUAGGAUAAUUGAUCUCUUCAUUGUUUACUCUUGAGAAUUUGUGGAUUUCCUAGACAUGGUUCUGAAAAUCAAACUCAUUUUAAGGUUUUAAUCUAGAGCCUAAUAGCAGAUUAACAGACCUAGUGAGUAAUCACCCCAACCCUUUUCCAACCUUAACAAACGCCUAUCUCCAGCUAACAAUGGGCUCAACUCGGCAAGGAUCGCACUCAGGCACACUACUAUCUUUCCUAGGAUAGAUCAAAACACCCAAAACAAACCCGACUUCCUUUUCCUAGGAUAUAUAUAGUAUUUUGGGUUUGAGUAGGAGUUCAUGUUUUGUAUGUAAUUGUAGUCUACGUUGGACUAGGUUGUUUGCUCCUAAUUGAAAUAGGAAUGGUUGGUGUCACAUCUCAUUCAUUUUCUCAUCUAUUUCCAUGUUUAGAUAACUCAAGUAAUCAUAGGAAUGAAAUUAAGAAUGAUUUGAGGGAAAUGAAAUCUCACUUGUAAGUGGGAUCUCAAUUCAUCAUUAAUAGAAGGUAUUUUGAUUACAUAGUGCAAGUUAUUUUUAAAAACACUUUUCAAAAAUUGAAAAACCAAAAACUCUCUUGGAUAAGUUGUUUUUAAAAAGAAUUUUUGUAUUUUUAUUUUGUAAAAAAAAAAAAUAGUAAUUCAAUUUAUAUAAUAUAAAUAGACUUUAAUUUUAUUAAAAAUAAAAAUAAUUUUUUAAUUACAAAUAAAUUAAAAAAUAAAUAUUUGUAAUAAAAUAUGAAUAGUAAUAUUAUAAUAAAAUCAUAAAUAAAUUAAAAAUAUUUUUAAAAACAAAUAAGUUUAAUUUUUUUGAGGUACAAAUGAGCCAAAUUUUUCAUUAGGUACACAACCAACAAUUUUUAUUGGAAACAUUCCUCAAAAAAGAAUUCGUUUCCCAUAUAGCAAAGAUAUUUAUUAUUUAGUAUCUAACCAUCCGUAGUAAUCAUAUCAAUUCUACUAAGUUAUUUAAUAAUUCAUUUAUAUAUAGUACUCAAUUAUGAAUUUUUUUAUUUGAUGUAUAAUUAAUUAAUCAAUGUUUUGAAUUUUGAAUUAUUCUUAAAAUUUAAAACAUUAAUUAUGUCUAUUACUUUUUAUAGUCAUUAUAUAUAUAUAUAUAUAUAUAUAUAGAGAGAGAGAGAGAGAGAGAGAGAGAGAGCUUAAAUUUAUCUUUAAAAAUUAUUAAAUUUAUUAAUAAAUUCAAUACAAAGACUCAUUUGAUUUGAAAUUCAUUUCUUUAGUGAAAAUUUUGAAACUAAAUAGUACUUUGUUUUACUUUGUUUUUAAAUCAUACUCACAAAUAAGUUUUUAUCAUUUAGCCAAAAAAUCUCAAAGAUGUUUCUAAUUUUAUUUAUUUAUUUAUUUGUAAAUGAAAAUAAAAAAUUAGUUUAAACUAAAUAUGCGGAUAUUAUUGUUAAUUUAUUUCAUUUUUUAUUUCCAUUGUUAUUUAACAUUGAAACGGAAACAAAUAAUCAUUCCAAUCUUACAUUCUUAUAUGCAUCUAAACACAAGAAUUGAAAUCACCAAAUUCAUAUUCAAGGCAAAAUAGAAAUGGAAAAAAAAUAUUCAUUUUCAUUCCUCAUUCUCAUGUGCUAAACAUGACAUUAGUUCUACUACCUAUUUCACCAUUCUUCUUGAUAAAUUUGGUAUAUGCAAUAUUGAUCUAAGUGUGAGGUGAAUAAGAAUGAUGAUGGGAUGGGCUUGGAAAUAAGGGCAAAGUUUCUAGGUGCUAUCUAGAGGGGCAACGCGACUUUUUCAAAUUUCGAAUAUUUGUUCUCAACAUAAAGCAAAACUUUACUCACACAAUAGAUAAGACUCUGUUUGUUUUCUUCAUCCACGACUAUAUAAUGUAUAGCUCUUACUCAAGGGAUGAGCUACUUACUAUUAAGGAUUGGGUAAGAUAUUGCCUAAUGGCCAAGAAGGCAUGUCAAAAAAUAAAUCUAAUCACCAUAAAAAAUAAUAGGGGAAAAUUAAUAUAUUAUGAAUGAUGACUUUACUAUUUCUCUAUAUACAUAAUUAUAUAUUUUGAAUUUUCUCACUAGGUAAUGAGAUUCUAAAUCAACUGAAACAUAAUUAAUAAUUUAUAUUUUUAAUGAAUCUUUUAAUUUUUAAAAAUAAUUUAAAAUUUUAAAAAACAAUUCAAUUAAUUACAUAUUAAAUCAAAACAUUUCAAAAUAUUGUGUUUGUAGAUGAGUACUAAAUGCUUGCAUAUAAUAAUAAUAAUAAAAAAAUUGACUCAUUUAGAUGUUAAAAAAGUUAAAUGUUUUUCAUUAUUCAUUUUAAGUAAAAUAUUAUUGACAUUAUUAUUAUAAAAUUAUUAUUAUUCAUUUUUAACAAAAAACAAAAUAAGUUAUUCUUUUACCAAGAUGUCAAUAUCUAUAUUUUUCUAACAUAUAUUAAAAUAGUAUACUUUUCUUUUAUUAAAAAUAAUAAUUAUUAUUAUAUUAUUAUUCAAGUUUUAUUAAAAAAAUUUAUCUUUUAAUUCAUUUGUAAUUACAAAAUAAUUUUAUUUUAUUAAGAAUUUAAUUUAAUUACGCUUUUUUUUUUUAUAAAAAAAACAGUUAUGCUUUUACCAAGAUGUUAAUAUUCAUAUUUUUCUAGCUAACAUAAAUAGAAUAGUACACUUUUUCAUAUAAAAAAAUAAUUUAUGAUUUUAUUAUAAUGUUACUAUUCACAUUUUACUAAAAAUAUUUAUUUAUUUUAUUUAUUUUUAAUUAUAAAAUAAUUUUAUUUUCAAGAAUUUAAUUUUAAAAAAAUAGAAAUCAUUUAUUCUUUUACCAAGAUGUUAAUAAACAUAUUUUUCUAACAUAUACUAAAAUAAAAAAGUUUACUUGUUCAUUAAAAAAUAUAAUUUAUGUUUUUAUUAUAAUACUACUAUCUAUGUUCUACUAAAAAUAUUUAUUUAUAAUUAAAAAAUAAUUUCAUUUUUAAUAAGACUUGAACUAAAUUAAAUUUAUAAUUUUUUUUUAAAAUAAAAUAGAAAAUUAUUUUUUAAAAACAACUUAUUGAAAGAAAUUUUUUAUUCUUUACUUUUAAGAACUGUUUUUAAAAGCAACCUAUAAACCCCUUUGGGUCUGUUUGGCUAUGUUUCAUGCAACUUGUUUUUAAAAAUUGUUUUUUAUUCUUUAAUUUAAUUUUUUUUAAGUUAAAGAAUAAAAAACAACUUUCUAGUGUUUUAUAAAAAUGAGAGCUUUUGACAAGUUGUUUUUAAAAACCAUUUUUAAAAAUAAAAAAUAAAAAACUUAUUUAGAUAAAUUGUUAUAUAUAUAUAUAUAUAUAUAUUUGUAAAAACAUUUUAAAUUCAAUUUAUAUAAUAUAAAUUUAAUUUAAUUUAAGUCUUAUUAAAAAAAAAUUGUUUGGAUAAGUUUUUUUUUUUAAAUAGUUUAUUAUUUUUGUUUUGUAAAAACAUUGCAAAUUCAAUUUAUAUAAUAUAAAUUAAUUUAAUUCAAGUCUUAUUAAAACCAAAAUAAUUUUAUAAUUACAAAUAAAUUUAAAAAUAAUUUUUUUAGUAAAACAUGAAUAAUAAAAUUAUAAAUUAUAUUAUUGUGGACCCUGCAUUUAUGCUCAUGCGCUUCCACUUGUUGGCGAACUCAUUUUUUAUUUGAAAAUGAUUUAUUUUUUUAGAAAAUGACUUAGAGUCGCCACUUAUUUUUGUUUUAUUUUUAAAGGGCAAGCAAAAUAAGAAAGAAAACCCUAAGUGUGACUCCUUAUUCGAAAAAGGUAGUCUGUGUAAAACCGGAUCAGGGUUCAGGGAUCAGGUUACUUAUUGGGAAGGUAUGACAAUGACCGUAGCACUCCUCUAAGUCCUUAAAAACGGGCCUCUACUAAAAAAAAUAAAGUAAUCAUGGCAAUCAGUAAGGAAAUCACUGGAUACCCAGAACAAUUAUGCACAUGUGAGAAUUAAAACAUGCAUAAGAAUGGACAAAGUGAGAGUGGGUGCGUACCUUGACAACGAACCACAAUGCGUUAUCAAGAAAUGGGGUUAGUGCACGAUCAAUGAACAUAAAACACGUCACACAUGUCACUAAGCAGAGUGAGAAAUCAUCAGAUAUUACAAUUCAAUCAAAUUUAUUUUUAGAAGAAACAUCUGUUGAUGUAGAGCCCCUACCAAAGCCUAAUUUAUUUUUGCAUGAAUCAAUUUCAUAAAUUCAAUCGCUUGGAAUUACAGAAUUAAAUUCAUGCUUAUUUUAAAACAUCUUUUUAAAAUCAUGGAAGAUGUGAAAAUGGUUUUCCAAAGAGAAAAUGACAACUGAUUUUAUUGAAAAUGGGAUUUUGGGGACCUAAACGUUAAAGAGGGAUUAGGAAUUGAAAAUUAAAUCAUUUGAAAAUUGAAUUUUUCAAAAAUCAGUUUUGAAAGCAUGCAUGCAAGUAUGGACUGUGAAAGUGGGCCUAGGGAGGGUGGCCAUGCAAAAUGAGGUCAUACACGUGGGCCUUGGGUACAAUUGGGACUACUUUGCUGGUGCCAGUGGUGCUUGCAGCUGUCAUCCAUGAUUUCUUCAUUGGGAUCAAUUUCCAUUCUUACUGCCAAACAUUCCAUAACAAUUGACCAAACUAGUAACCCUGACCUUGCAUGAAAAUGAACGUUACCUAGAAACUCACUGCCAGUGAGAUUCAUUGCUCUUUCAAAAGGUCUCAUUUUCUUUCUCAUCCAAUUGCUUUAAGGAGCAUUCUAGCGUCACGAUUGGUGACUGCGCAUCAUCUAGAGCCUUCUUUCUUCUCAGAAUCAGGUUUGCGUGCAGAGGCCUGUGCUUGUUCAAGGUUGACCUAAAUUCAUCUAGGUUUAGAACCGACCAGUUGAGCUUGGGGAGCAACGACAAGAAUAUCAGUCACUUGCGAAGAGAAAACUCGAGAUCUUUCAAGUAAUGCCUGACAUAGAUUCCUCCAACCUGUGGCCAAUAUCUCAUUCCUUGUUGGCCAGACGCCUAUUAGGGCGUAUCUCAAUCAAUAAUAUGAUUUUUCGUUUGUUCACAAUAAAGACCGGAAGCCAUGGUUGUGAUUUAUGCAGUACAGAAGAAGUUGCCAUGGCUGGUAUCCUUACAAAUUCUGGUGUUUCUGCUAUCUGUUCAAGUGCAAAACACAACAGCUUUAUCAAGUUUGUCCCUAACAACUGAUAUUGAGCCCUCUGGAGGAAACCUUGAUAAAUUCAUAAUCACUUUUGACUCAUGCAUGGGCUGCCCAUCAAAUUUUCCUAGCAACGAGACGACUGCUGUCAUCUACUGCAAAGAGAAUUUCUUCUCGCAAAGACAAGAGGAGUUUAAGAAUACACACUAUUCUGCCAUUUCAUUUCCUCUUUCUCCACAACCAACAUAAACCAUAGUGUCUACAUUAGAGUACUUAGAAAGAGCUUAACUGAUGACCGUUUUUCCACAACCAAAUGCCCCAGGUAUGGCACAAAUUUCACCGAAAACAGAAGGGAAAAGGGCAUCAAGAACACGCUGUCCUGUAAGUAGUGGGGUAUCAGGACUACUCUAGGGAAGUUAUUUCUGUCAUUUUGAAAAAGAAAAAUUAAAGAAUGUACACAUGCUUUCAAGUGGACUGGAGCAUUCUACAUAUCAGGUGGUCUGUAGCCACAUGUGCCACUUUGUGGAAGUUGGAACAGUCGAUCACUAGGCUAUUUAGUGUGGCCAAGCCACGUUAAUCAAGGACAAGUCUUCAUACUUAAAAGUCAAAUGGUGCCUUUAGUCUCAUUACACAUGGCUAUUUAAAGAUGAACUAAUCUUUAGUGUAAUGUGAUUAAGACAGUACUAACUGAUCAAUAUUUUUUCUAAUUUUGGAUGCAAAUGCUUGCUGGCUUCAUCAUUGGAUGGGAUAAAGGUGCAUUCAUGACUCUGAAUACUUGCAGUAAUACUUGCAGUAAUACUUCAUUCUCUUUUUUCUCGAUGAGACUUCUUGGCACAAUUUUGCUUCUCAGCAACCUACCUCUCCAUGGAAAAUGAGUUGCGAUUGAUGGUACUGGAUAUUUUCUAGGAAGCUAAAUAUAGAUAUAUAGCACUCAAUGUCAACGAUAUAUAUAGCAUUAACAGUAUAUGUCUCAAUGCUCAUCAGCUACAAGCAAGGGACAAACACUUACAAUGAAUAACUCACGUCAACAUUCCUAAACAGGACAUAGAAGUGACAGAUCUAUAUAUAGAACACUGCAUAUGAGUCACAAGAAAAGAUAAUACGGGUGCAUAGCAGCUCUUAUAUUACAUAUUACUCAUACCGUUCAAAUUCACUCAGUUGGGAUGGGUGGGAGAAGGAGGCCUCUGGGGUGGCUUGUGCGUGUGAGAAGUGGAAGAAAGUUGAAUGGAAUGAAACUGAAAAACAGGGUAGAAUAGAGGUUUCUUGAAUCUUCUGAAAUCUUUAUUUUUCUGAGAUUUAUUCUCUGUUUUUGUGAGUCGUGACUCUACAUAUAUACAUGUAUUUAAAGUUAGUUAUGCCUUAUAACUAAUUAUCUAACAGUACCAAAACUAAUCAUCUAGUUGCAUGUUUCUAAUUAAUGCUAUUUAGUUACAACUAUAUAUGGCUUAACAUCCUCUCUCAAACUCAAAAGUCUAGCUAGAACAGUGAGUUUGCUUCAUAGAUUGAGAAAUUGUUGAAUAGGUAAGGCUUUGGUAAGAGCAUUAGCAAUCUGGUCAUAAGAAGGAAUGUGUUGAACCACCAAAGUCUUAUUGAGCACCUUUUCCUGAACAAAAUGGCAAUCUAGUUCCACAUGCUUAACUCGAGAAUGAAAAUAGGAUUGGCAGCAAGAAAGGUGGCUGAAAGAUUGUCAUAGAACAAAACAAAAUAGGAGAAUAAGAAGAUGAGAUAGAAAACUCCUGAAGAAGAUGUUGAAUCCAUUGAAGUUCAAAAGCAACAUUUGCUAAGGCCCUAUACUCAGCUUCAUUGCUGGAACGAGACACAACUUUCUGCUUACUGGAGUUCCAGGAGACUAGAUUAGAGCUAAAAAAGAUGCAAUGACCACUUGUACUUCGACGAUCAUCAGGGCAACCAACCCAAUCAACAUCAGCAUAAGCAGUAAGUUGAAAAUCAGGAGAAGAAUAAAAGGAAAGACCAAAGGAAGUAGUGCCCUUAAGAUAAUGCAACAAUCGUUUAACAACUUGCCAAUGAAGAUCAGUUGGUUAUUGCAUGAAUUGGCAAAGUUUAUUGAUAGAGAAAGAGAUGUCAGGCCUUGUAAUGGUACAAUAUUGCAGGGCUUCAACAAUGUUGCGAUAUUGAGAAGGGUCAGCCAAGAGGGAACCUUUAGAGGCAGAUAAAGUGUGAGAGGUAGUCAUUGGUGUAUCAAUAGGUUUAAAAUAUGGAAGACCAGCACGAGUUAACAAGUCCUGAAUAUAUUUGGUUUGGGAAAGAUGAAGAGAAGAUCCUUGCCAACAUACUUCUACACCCAAGAAGUAAUUCAGAAUACCAAGGUCCUUGAGAGCAAACUGAAAGUGUAAAGACGAAACCAUUUGGUGGACUAGCACGGUAUUAAGACCACUAACAAUAAUGUCAUCAACAUAGAUGAGAAUAAUGAUCAUGUCAGUCCCUUUCCGAAGAGGAGCUUGCUUCAGACCCUACAAGGCUUUGCGAAGUUUACAGAAAAAACCGGGUUUAGAAUGAUCAACAAAGCCUGGAGGUUGAACCAUGUAAACCUCUUCUUCUAACUCACCAUUGAGAAAGGCAUUAUUAACAUCUAAUUGUUCCACUAACCAACCAUGAGAAAUAGCAAGAGAAAGAACAAUUCAUAUAGUAGUUGGUUUAACAACAAGGCAAAAGGUUUCAAAAUAAUCAAUACCAUAUGUUUGAUUAAAACCCUUUGCAACUAAGUAGGCUUUAAAACGAUCAAUUGAGCCAUUAGCUUUGAGUUUCAGCUUGUAUAUCCAUUUACAACUAAUAAUGCGUGUAUUAACAGGUUUAGGAACCAAUGUCCAUGUGGAAUUGGUGAGAAGAGCAUCAUACUCAGUCUUCAUAGCAGCUUGCCAAUUAGGAUGCAAUAUUGCUUCUUUGAAAGAGGAGGGUUCGACAACAGUAGUUUGGAUAGCAAGGCUAAAUAUUUUUUUGGGUUUAAAAAUACCAUUUUGGCUACGAGUAACAAUAGUUCGGUUUGGAAGUGAAAGAGGAUCAGUGGAGGAGGCUGGAACAAGGGAUUGUGGUAAAGUAGGAAAGGAAGGUGGAUGAGAUGGAACAAAAUCAGUAGGGACAAUAAUGGGAGAAGAAAAAUUAGGUGGAGAAUGAUGAGGAUUCCUUGAAGAUGGUGUAGGAAUAGAGAGAAUACCAGAAUCAAGAAGUGUUAAAGAAGAGUUGGAUGAUGAUACUGGUUGACAGGAUAAAGACUUUGUUAAAAAUGGAAAUCGAGUUUCAUCAAAUACAACAUGACGAGAAGCAUAUAUCCGAGAGGAAGCCAUAUCCAAACAGAGGAAUCCCUUGUGUUUAGCACUAUAACCCAAAAAACAGCAAACAACAAAUAUAUUUGCUAGCUUGUGAGAAGCAUAAGGGCGAAGAUAAGGAAAACACAAGCAUCCAAAACUUCAAAGAGAUGUAUAAUAAGGUAAACGAUUAUAAAGAACUCCAUAAGGAGAAUUUUGUGAAAGAACAGCAGAGGGAAGGCAAUUUAUGAGAAAAAUGGCAGUUUGAAAUGCAAAUGACCAAUAUUUGAGAGGGUAUACCAGCUUGUAUUAACAAAGAAAGACCAACUUCCACAACAUGACGAUUCUUUCUUUCAACUCUUCAAUUUUGCUAAGGAGUAUAAUGACAAGAGACUUGAUGAAGAAGACCAUUUGUAGCCAAAUAAUUCUGAAAAGCUGAAACUGAAACUCAUCAAAUUGAUUUUUAGUAUCAAAUUUUCUUCAGACUGAACACAUUGAUUUUUAGUAUCAAAUUUUCUUUCAACCAUGGCUUGAAAAUGUUGGAACAUAAGUAAAGCUUCAUCUUUAGUUUCCAAAAGGUACAACCAUGAGAAUAUGCUAAAAUCAUCAAUUAGCAAGAGGAAAUAUUGAGCAUUACCAUUGACAGAAACUAUAGGAGUUGCACCCCAAAGAUCAACAUGGAUGAGACCGAAUGGUUUUAUUGCUCUAGAAGUGGAUAUUUCAAAUGGAAAACGAUGGCUUUUAGCCAACUGACAAGACUCACAUACAGAGUUAUUAUUGUCAUGUUUCAAAGGUAUUUUAUAAAGAGAUAAGAUUUUGGAAACUACAUUAAUAGAGGGAUGACCAAGUCUAUUAUGCCAAAGCCUCAAAGAACCAACGGCUAAAGUACUACUAGUAGAGUAAAAUACUAGUGGAUGACCAACAACUCUUGGUGUAGCAAGAAGUUUAUAGAGACCCUUCUCAAUUUUUCCUUGAAGAAGAGCAAGUCUCGUUUCCUGAUCCUUUACCACAAAAUGAGAAGAACGAAAUUCAAUAAAGGUGCCAUUGUUUGAGUAAAAUCGUUGCACGCUAACUAAGUUGGUGGUAAUAGAAGGAACAUGUAAGACAUCAUUGAAAAACAAAGAACCACUUGAAGAGGCAAGAGAAAAUUUACCAAUAUUUGCAAUGGAUAAACCCUUACCAUCUCCAACAAUUACUUUGUCACCACUGGUAAAUGGAUUAUGGAUUGUUAAAUUGUUAAGAUCAGAUGUGAGAUGAUGGGUAGCCUUUGUAUCAAGAAACCAAUAAGUGUCUCCCAUUGUUGCAGAAGUUGUAGUCAUAGCCUCAGGAUUGUUAGAGGUGGAAUGUUUAGAAUCUUUUGGCUGAUAAUCAGAGUUAAACCGAUACCAGCAUUGUAAAGCGGUGUGUCCGAACUUACAACCGAGAGAAAUAAUCUUUACUUAUUCUCUAAAAACUGUUCUUUAUUCCACACAUUAUUUCUAAAAACUGUUUCUAGAUAACAAUGACAAAAUAGUAUUAGGAAUUUUUAAAAAUAAAAAUUGUUUUUAAAUUACAUGAUCUAUAUCAUUCACAUUUGACCAUUAUAGCUUUGUUCAGGAAAACACUUGAAAGUAACCUUAUCGUGAUAAGAGAUAUAAGUUGGCUGUAGUUUCAAACUGAAAACAGAGGAUGGCAAUAGAAAGCAAAGCAUUAGUUAUCUGCAAUCAGUGGUGAUCAUGCCCCAUGUCAAUUUCGGACCCAUAUCUUAAAACCGUAUAAUUUGCAUUUCAACAUUUCUGAUUUCUCAGAUGUUUCAUACUCCACAGAAGAACAUUGUUUGUGAAAGCAUGCAUUUAUGCUGGAUUUUGGAUGAUGUGGGAACUGGGGCAAGGAUCAUAUGGAAGAGUGGUCGAUUUUUUCUGUACUUUAACAUUUGAAAUAGGAGCAGCACGGGCAUUUGUGGGGCUUAAUUGAUUUUGAAGCCUGAAAUUGCGUUUCUGUCAUUUUGUAAAAAAUAUGGCAGAUUCCAUGCUCUCAUAUGUUUGGUCUGUGGCCAUGUAUAGAUGCCACUUAGUGACCAGUUUGUAACUGUCAAUCAUAGUGUUUUGACUCUGGCUCAACAACAUCAGCCAUUGACGGAUUUUCAUACAUGCAAAUCAAAUAGUCUUCUUCCUCCCUUAGGAAUUUCGGUUUAAAUGUUAUUAAGCAUACAUUUGGCUGACAAUUAUUAACCACUUCAUGAUAUGGUUUCUUACCCUUAAUCAAUGGUUUCUAAGUGAAUAUAUGCAGAAGGAAAUCUGAACUGUAGACAGCAGUAUUGAUAAUUAUCAAUAUUCUUUAUAUAAGAGAAUAAACAACGUCAUAGUGAUCGUCGCCUACAAGAAAGGUACAUUUCCCAACAAGAUGUAGUUGUGACUGGUACAUGGACGUAAUUAACUCGUAGAAAAGGAUAAGACCAGUGCACGGCAGCUCUUAUUUUACAUGCUAAUUAUGCUAACCAAAGUCACUCAGUUGGGAUGGGAGGGAGAUGGAGGUUUGUGCGGUGGCUUGUGGGGCGGAGUUGGUGGCUUCUUUUCAGGAGCUUGUGGCUUUUUCGGAGCUGAAGGAGGCUCAAUCUUAUGAGGCGGCUUGUACGAGUCUUCUUUACUCUCGACAGGAGGGUGGCCAGGGUUGUGACCAUAAUGUGGUGGCUUCUCUCCCUUAGGUGGCUUGCCAACUGGGGUUGGUGGCUUGUGUUCAGGAAGUGGUUUCUCUCCCUUGGGAGGUUUACCAAUUGGGGUUGGUGGCUUGUGUUCUGGGAGUGGUUUCUCUCCCUUGGGAGGUUUAGUGGGUGACUUGUGUUCUGGAGGUGGCUUCUCCACCGGAGGCUUGUGCUCCGGUGGUGGCUUCUUGGUUGGAGGGGGCUUGGGGUAAUCAGCAAGAGAUGGGGGGGUGAGAACCACCACUCCAAGGAACAACACUAGCAAGUAUGUGGGAGACAUUUCUGAGUUUGAGCUGAUCAGAUGAUGCAAAACUAGAAGAAUUACGUGACCUUUUAUAGCAAGUAGCUCCCAAUACCCACAUGACACGUGUUACUGUGACCAUAAAUAUUAUAGGGUCCAUUUGUGCCCUACCGGGUUGAAAACUUGGACGCUUGGCCGAGGACACACCGAACUAUGGAGGACUAUUGACGUGUGAUCACAGCUUUUGGAUUUUUCUUCCUGUGCAGCUGUCUAGCGGUUGGCAUUAUUUUUUUAAUCUUAAAUAAAGGCAUAGUUAUAGAGUACAUUUAUAUAUCUUCAGAUAGCCAUUAAUAUAUUUGAUGAAGAAAGACAAGUGCAUACAACAUGUAUACGGCUUGCUUCAAUCGAGUACAUUUAUGAUCAGUUUUCCAGUGCAAGUAAACCAGUUUUUUGUUCCACAACUAUUUUGGAAUCUUGUUUAUCAGUUUCUAUCAUUAUAAUGUCACAUAGGCUGCAAACUUGGGCACCCAAAGAUCUAGUUGGGCAAAUUUGUUUCAGAAUUUCAAUGGUGGAUUCAGUAAUUGUUAAAAGGUGUUUCUUCAUUAAGGAAAGAGUCCUGUAAAAAUAUUGUUAAAAGGUGUCAUAGAAACUAUAAUAAUUAAAUAACUUCUUUUCCCCGUGGGUGGUGUUUCUUCUGGGGAUACCCAAAAUGAGUUCAGAUUAAAAUUGGUUCGAGUCAAAGCUGUCUCUUUUGUCCAGAAAUCAACUAUUUUGCGCAUUGCAUGAAUCGAUAAAGAAAAAAUGAAAGCCAAAUCACACCUCCCCUGCAAAACCUAAACCCCGGUUGCUAACUUUCUAUGUUUCAGUCCUAUUCAUACAGGAAUAUUGGUUCAAGUUUGAGAAAAAUGGCAACUUACCUAGGGAUUACUUGGUUGUGGUUUGCGACGACUAUUUACGCAACCAACCAUGAGUUUGACUUUAACGUCAUGGGUUGAAGCCUCCUACAAUCGUGUAUGAUAGUUCAAAGCUCGUAGUAGAAAUUAUACAGGAAGGAAGAAACCUCCAAAGCUAGCUCCAAAAGAGAAUUAUCACAUCGAUAGCUCCAGAGAUUCCCAAGGGGACUGAAUCAAAGACAAGUUCCUCACUUUUUCUUCUUUUGAGGCCAAAUAUGAACCAAGGAUCACACGACCUCAUUCAACUUCAUAAGUUUGAUUUCAUGCAGUUGAACACUGGGUGAAGGCCAUGACAAGAAUUGAUUAAAAAAUUCUACCACUGUUUUAAGUAAUGGAAGAUUAUUAUCUCUGAUUGGCACCACAACAGCACAUGCUGCUAGAUCUUUCUAGACACUCCAUGCAAUGAAAGUACAAUGGAUCUUGUAACGAUAGAAACUAAGCCAUGCUACAGUACUAGAUGACGAGGUAAAACUAUUAGACAUGGGUGGCAGCCUAUAUGGGAGGGACACAAGUCUAAUUGAUUUGCAUUUCAGCGUUCUAGAUGGGUAUGUUUUGGAAGAUUUGUUCUGGAAAUACCGCACCAAGUAGGAUUCUUUUUUCUCUUGAGUGGGUCCACUUGCAUGCCAAUUAUCGAGUUGAAAAGUAGAGCACCUACCUCGUGCUCGUGGAACCGAAGGUCAGUGAAGUGGGGCUCCUUUUGGCCUCUUGUGUUUCUGUUCCAACCAAGGCGGCGGAGGGAAAAACAGCAAUAUGUCUCCGCUAAAUAUCAACGCAUGAUAGCGAAUGAGGGAGAAAAAAAGUAAUUGGCAUCUCAAUCUCACAAACUUGGUACAGUAGUGACAUUAAUAGUCUUCCACAUGGUUUUUAUUUUAUUUUAUUUUAUAUUUUAUAUUUUCCAUUUUUUUAUUUUUUUGUAUGUCAAGGCUAAUGAAUAAAAUGCGUUAGCUUGUUUUGUGAUUGGAACUGCAAAUGUCCAAAUUGGAGUUUCUCCAUUUCUCAGUUCGGAUGGUUAACUUUAUAAACAAGAUAUAGGAAACAUGUGAACGUCUUGAGGAACAAUUCGAAUUAUUGAUUAGAACUCCUAGGUUGAGUUCCAAGAUUUAAAUCAGACCCCUCUAGCAGCUUCAGGGGUACCUAGCAAUUAGAACAUAUUAAUGAAGAUUUAGGAUUUAGACUCCGGAAUACAAAUUAAUAUGUAUCUUAUGCUCUGACUAGCUUCCCUGCAUAUGCACAAAAUGGAGAUGACCCAAAAAAUAGCAGAAUCGCCUUAGUUUAUGUGGUUAAGGUGAUUCUCCGGUUAAUAUCCACAUUGGCUCAUUAUGCAAAUCAACUGAGCUAUUUUUUUUUUAAUGUCAAAUAGGAACUCCUAAUUAACCUAACCAUUGGCCUGUGUAAAUUGAUUUCACAUGCACAAUGUUGUAGUAGAAGUCCACAUUUUGAAUUUUAUUUUUGGAAAGGUAAGGAAAAUGAAGCAUUGUGUAAUUAUAAAAAUAACUUCAUUGGAAUUCACAAGGUUCACCCAAAAUGGAGCUACAUCCGUAUUCUAUCUUACAGUAGACUAUAUAGAUUGUACAAUAGUAAAUUGCAAAUACAAUUAAUAAGUCUUGUGUUUCCUUACUAAUAAUCCUUUGACAUAAACAUUGCAGCACUAAGGUCCUCUUGGGCAGACACCUUGCACCCAUGAGAGCACUAAGAGGAAGCAAGGCGGAGUCAUGGGUGCAAUGUCAUGACUUGUUGCACUAAGAGAGGCUUGGUGAUGGCAUAGUGCUGCAGUAGCAAGAAUGUUGCCUUGGCAGGGACACGAUCUAGGGACAGAUGCCAAGAAAGGCUUAGCACUCACAUGAGUUGCACAAAGAUGAAUGAAAUAGAACAUCAAAGAGACAUCUUGGCAAGCUCAAGAAAGACAUGUGGGUUGGUAAAUGAAUGGAUGCAAGAGGCAACAACAUGAGGAGUUUCAAAUGGAUAGGGAAUGAGUCAAAGACAUUUGAAAGCUACAAGUUGGAUUCUAAUUACGAUUGCAAUUUGAGUUUGAGUAGGAGUUUAUAUUAUGAUUGUAAUUGUAGUAUGAGUUGGACUAGGAUUGCUUAUCCCUAGUCAAAAUAGGAGUUGUUCAUGCCACACCCUAUGAAAAGAGUUUGAGUAGGGACUAGGAUUGCUUGCUCCUAGUCAAAUAUGGAGUAGGUGGUGCCACACCUAUAAAAAAAAAAGGGACAACAUGAGAGAGAGAGAGAAUGAAUUCACCAAAGAUAUUGUGGGAGUUUUGCUUUGUUACAUCUUGUAUUAUUAUUUAGAAUAGUAAUAAAAUACAAGUUGGGGCUAGAGCCCCAUAAUCUCGUGUGCCUUUGUGGGUUAUUCUUUAUUUGCCAUCUCGUGUGGAUUGGAUUAGAUUGAUGAGGCGAAAUAUUAUGUGGGAAAUUUAUGUUGGGACACUUACCAUAACCAGGUAAAAUCUACCAAGUCUUUUGUAAUAUCUUCUACAAAUAUUUUAGACCAGUUCUUCACAAAACAUCAUAAUAUGUUUUGUGUUUCUCUUGGAUUUUGAGUUGAAUUGUCUUAGAUCAAUUGAAUGCAUCUCAAUAUUAUUAUCUUGUUUGAAGGCUUGAUGAUUUUCCAUUUAACUUUACUUUCUUUAGGUUAUGCUUGAUUCCUUAAAAGUACUAAGGAAAACAAAAAAUAAAAAAAAAUAAAAAAUGCAGAGGGUUAGGACAUGUGUUAUCUAAUUGUCCUAUCCAAAGAUAUUAAGAAAGUCAUGUAGGAAAGUAAUUGAAAACUAGGUCAAGAAAGGAGCAAAAGGGAAUUGUUUUGGUAUUUUCUUUUUUAUUCUUGAAGGUGGCAGAGCUAAAAUUUGAGAAAUCAAGCAAAACAUACUGAAAUUACAUUGAAAGAAAGAAAAUGGUAGUUAAUGUCUUGCAGUACAUGAUAAGGACUUCAUGCAUGUAGUGUGACGACCCAUGUCUUGGACUGAUGCCACACUCACGGUUACACUUAUACCCUUGGUUCUCUCUUUACUACCUUGGCUAACCUAGAUCAGGCUAUGAGAUAGGCUCCUCACCACACCAUCACUUGCCCAGUAAUUAGUGACAUUUUCAAGCAAUGAGGUAACAUGGUGACACCAAGAGGGUUUAUCCCUCGCCCCAACAAGUCUAGACUCGGUCUCAAAAAAAUGGAGAAAAAUGAGGUGUCGUUAUGCAGAAAUACAACAACCAUGCCUUCCUUAUUACUUAGAUUCAGAAUGUGAAGGUGAAAUUGAGAAACAGAAACUCUUGAAACCAGAAUGAAAAUUGAUACUUUUACGAAGAAUUACAACAUUAGAGGAAGACUACAUUCUUCCUCUAUAUUCCUACGUUUCUACACUACUUCUACUCCACUCCAUAUUUCUACAUACAUCUUUAAUCAGUUUUCCCUCCUUUAUAUAGAGCCAUCUUCACACAAAUUCCGCAAGGUAGAAAAGAGGAAUGAAACUUGGAGCAAGGUUCGACUACUGGUUGUCGCUUGUCAAGGCUGGAAUUGAACUUUUUUUCUUGGCUUUUCUGGGCAUAGGUAGUAACUUGUGGUUCCUUUUUGGAAUGAAAAUGGUACAGCUAGAACAUGUGGCACUCUCUUGUUGGAUUAUGUGUCAAACAUGUGGCAGCCAUCUAGUGGAGAUUAUUUCAAUUUUGGGAUGGAGAGUUGGCAUCCAAUUGCAAAGAAAUAUGACAUCUACCAACAUGCAAUGUAAACCUAUAUAGAUCAUAUGGAGAUAGAGAGGAAACAUAUAGAAAUGGAUAUAUACCUAGAACUAGCUUUUUAUUAAAUGAGACGGAGAGCCAACAAUGAAGGAAAAUCAAAAUUUUUGGCUCAUAUCAAAGAAUUCACAUUGUGUUACCCUAGGUUUUCUUAAAGCUUGCACAAAGCCAAAAAGCACACAAAAAAUUAUAUUUUCUAGCUCUCUACCUUGGAUGGUCUCUUGAUCCUACUUGGAGAUGUGCAUAAAUAAAAGGAUUUGAAAAUGACAAUUGACUAAGUAUGUAGUCAAUCAAUUACUCAUUAAUUGACUAGUUGAUCAAUUAACUUUGCAACAUCAUAUGCAAUCCUAAUAGCUAGUCAUCUAAUCAACUAGGUAGUAAAUCAAUAGGCCAAAAAUAUGUUUAUAAUGACUAUUUUGUACAAAAACCACCUAUAUGGUUAAAUAUAAUGCAUUUCAUUUAUAAAUCUUCUAAUUCUUGAAUAACGAUCCUAUCAUCCUUUGAAAGUUUUUAUUACACCUUUUAUACUUUUGUUCUAAAACUUACACAUGUACAUCACCCUUAAUUGUACCAUGAGAACCUAGCUUUUUUUUUUUUUUUUUUUGUAAUUCAUCAAAGUUAGCUUUUGUAUUCAUUACUGUACUAUUUUUAUUGUAACUUAGAAAGCGAGUGUUUUCAAGUGAGUGAAAUUGACUUAUAAAUAUUGUAAAGAUUCAUUGAUGUGUAUCUUAAACUAAGUGUACAAGUUGAAACAUUUGCUAGUAGAUUUUCUCAAGAUUUAGAAUAGAGCUUGAGGCUAUUGAAAUAGGUGGGGUUGCACCAAACCACAUCACAUUGUUGUUUGCACCUUUUUUUCACUCUCUUUUACUUAGUUGCUCUAUAUUUGUUGUCUAGUAAUAUCCUAUAGGCUUGAUGGGUUAGGGAGCAUCCCUUUGUGAAAAAUUUUCAUUCAAUCCUUAGUUGUAUCACGCAUAUAUAAAAUGCCUCAUUGUUUUAAUGGUAUUCAGUCGUGGCAUCACAGAUAUGGGCAUCUAAAUUUUAAAAGUUUGAAACUUUUAUCUAAAGAAAAUAUGGUGCUUUGCCUUUUUGUAAAGCAUGUUGAUGAAAUCCAUGAGAAUUGUGUACUUGGGAAGCAACAUCGAGAUGACUUUUUUUUUUUUCAUUUUUUAUAAUGCGACACCUAAGUCCGGUUUCUAAAUGCUGAAGUGAAAGGGUAGGUAUGGACCAUUGAAAUCUGAUCACAACUUUUGGCCUUUUCCUUUCUCUGCAGCCAUGUUGUCUCUUUUUUCUUUUGCAUGAUUUUCUUACCUAAACAGAAUCAUAGACUUGUUUAAUCUCUAAAUGGUAUUUCAUCCAGCUUUAAGCUACUGUAUUAUAUCUUGGUGGAGGACUUUUAAGAGUGAAACCGACAUAGAGCACAUGCAAGUGGGUAUAUGGGACAUGAAAUUUCUUCUUAUAAAGACUGCAUGGUUUUUAUAUUAGAGUUGUUGAGGCGCAAUGUAUUUAGCUUGUUUUGCAGUUAAAUUAAUUGGAUAAGUAGACAUUGUCGUUUCUAAAUUUCCCACCUAAGAUAGUGACCUUAUCCUUGACUGCUUGAUGAGAUACACAAACAAUUAUACCUUCAAAAUCUACUGUGAAGUGCUUCAUGUAUGUGUGAAGUAUUAGAAAUUUCUUUCUUGGCAACUUGUUUUUUCUUUGCCCUCUACUGAUAGGUUUGACUCAAAUUAAAUUCCCUGUCAUGCUAAUUAAUUUUCACGUGCAUGCUCAAAAGGAUCACGUCAACUCUGGUUUCUACUAUUCAGGUCCAUUCCCAGAUAAACUGGUUCAAAUUUGAGAAAAUGGCAACAGCCCUUUAGUGAUGUUGGUUUGGAGCCAGUAGCCAAACCCGCCCUGAGCUUUACCACUAAUGUCAAGGGACAAAGCCAUUUGAACAAAAACAAUAGCUUCAAGAGACUGAAUCGUGGAUGAAAUCUGAUCCACAUUUCUUCUCAUUUUGGGAACAAAUGAGAACUUAACUACAAAGAUUCUACUGCCUCAUAGUGCUUUUCCUGAUCUAAGGUUGGUUCGUUUCCCAAAUUGUGAGGUACGUGCCAUUCUCACGCUCAGGAGUGUAUCCACGUGGUGGACAUAAGAUGGUGGCUUAAUAUCUGGUGUCGGUGGCUUUACUUUACUAGGAGAGUAGUGUGUCUUCAUCUCAUUCACUGCCGGAGGGUGGCGUAAGCAGUGACGCUAAGGUGGGGCACAGUCAAUAUCAUUUGCAUUUGACCAUUAUAGUUUUCUCCCGGCUUGAAAGUAACCUUAUCGUGAUAAAGGAUUACUAGCACUAGUUCAGAUGACAGUCAUGUUAAAUUCGGACCAUGUUUGUGUCACAUUAUCAGCAACCAUGUGUUUAUGGUUCAUGCUAUCUGCAACUAAACUUGAUAUAUAACCACGUGAACUUCAAUCUAAAUUCUGGAAGUACUCUUGUGAUAGAUGGUGCCUGUCUGCAGAGUCCAUCAAUUGAAAAAUGGAGUGAGUGUAUCUAUAAGAGGGAAGGCUUGGCAAAUGUUCAGUUUUCUGGGAACUCAACAAGGAUCUAAAAUAGAUUGUUUUCUUUGCUGAUUUCAAUGGUUGAAAUUUGAGAAGAUUGUGUCCACAUAACACAACUAUUACUGGUCCUUCUGUUGCAAUUUAUCCUCUAAGGCUCUAACAUGUCUUCCAAUUCCCACUUCCCUGUUACUCCAGGAAAGCUAUUUCUGUCAUUGUGAAGAAGAAAAGAGAAUGUACAUAUCGAUGGUUUUAAGUGACUGGGGCAUUCAUAUCAGGUGGUCUGCAGCCAUAUAUGCCACUUUGUGAAGGUUGGAACAGUCAAUCACCAGGCUAUAUUAGUGUGGCCCAGCCACUUCAAUCAAGGACAAGUCUUCAUACUUAAAGUCAAAUUCUGCCUUUAGUCUCAUUAUAAAUUGCUGUUUAAAUAUUAAGCAAACAUUUGUUUAAUGCGAUUAAGACAGUACUAACUCAAUACUUGUUCUAUUUUUGGAUGCAAAUGCUUGAUGGUUUCAUCAUUGGAUGGGAUAAAGGUGCAUUCAUGAUUAUGAAUACUUGUAGUUAUAUUUUCAUUCUCUUUUUUCUCAAUGAGACUUGUUGGCACAAUUUUGCUGUUCAGAAACCUACCUCUCCAUCGAAAAUCAGUUGUGAUUGAUAGUACUGGAUAUAUUCAAGAAAGCUAAAUAUAGAUAGCACCAAAUAUUAUCGAUAUAAAUAGCAUUAACAGCGUACGUAUGUCUCAAUGCUCAUCAGCUAUAAGCAACGGGCAAACACUUACUAUGAGCAACUUGCGUCAAAAUUCCAGAAUAGGACAUAGAAGUGACAGAUCUAUAUAUAUAUAGAACACUGCAUAUGAGUCACAAGAAAGGAAAUUACGGGUGCAUAGCAGCUCUUAUUUUACAUCCUACUCAUACUGAUCAAAGUCACUCAGUUGGGAUGGGUGGGAGUAGGAGGUUUGUGGGGUGGCUUGUGCGGAGGAGUUGGCAGCUUCUUUCCAGGACCUGGUUGCUUCUCUGCUGGAGUUGAAGGAGGCUUAAUCUUCCGAGGUGGCUUGUAUGAGUCUUCAGCAUUCUCAGCAGGAGGGUGACCAGGGUUGUGACCAUAAUGUGGUGGCUUCUCUCCCUUAGGUGGUUUGCCAACUGGGGUUGGUGGCUUGUAUGAGUCUUCAGCAUUCUCAGCAGGAGGGUGACCAGGGUUGCGACCAUAAUGUGGUGGCUUCUCUCCCUUAGGUGGUUUGCCAACUGGGGUUGGUGGCUUGUGUUCUGGGAGUGGCUUCUCCCCCUUGGGAGGUUUUUCCAAUGGGGUUGGUUUGUGUUCAGGAGGUGGCUUCUCCACUGGAGGCUUGUGUUCAGGAGGUGGCUUCUCCACCGGAGGCUUGUGUUCAGGAGGUGGCUUCUCCACCGGAGGCUUGUGUUCAGGAGGUGGCUUCUCGAAUGGGGGAUGCUCAGGGUAAUCAGCAAGUGAGGGGUUGGUGAGAACCACCAUGCCAAGCAACAGGACUAGCAAGUAUGUAGGAGACAUCUUUGGGUUUGGACUUAAGACAGUGGAAAACUGCGAGAAUUCUCUAGCCUUUUAUAGCGGGUCGACCCAGUACUCACAUGACACGUGUCAUUAUGACACAUGUGCCAUGGGGUCGAUUUGGGUCCUACAGUGUUGAAAAGUUGGGCAUUUGAGGUGUGAGCACAACUUUUGGCCUUUGCUUUCUCUACAGCCGCCAUGCUUUUCCCUUUUUUCCUUUUCCUUUUGUUUUCCUCCUGCCUCGUGUUCUCAACUAAACACAAUUAGGUUGUUUAAUUGUUAAAUGAGAUUUUUGUCUGUCAAUCAUAUUAUAUCCUAUCAAGAGAGAACAGAGUGUAAUGUAGUACACAUAACACGAGGCAGUAGUAAUUUUAUCAUUUAUUUUUAUAGCUUGGACCACCGCAUUUUUUCUUCUAAAAUAUUCUGUCUUGUUAAGAGACGCAAUAAUACACAAUUUUAUCUGCCAUUCAACAUUUACUGUAAAGUUCUUUUAUCUCUUUGUAGUUCUAGAAAAGUACAAAAUGGAACAUCAUGUAUAUGGUGCCUUCUGUCCUAAAAAAGAAACUGGACAAAUUAUGAACUGCAUGCUAAAAAGAGGCAAAGGAGCUUAAUUCGCAGCAUAAUUAUUUUGGUUUCUAGAGAGCCCGGGGCCUUUUGGUUGGUUUGGGGUCAGAAAAUGAACAUCAUAGGGAUUGUGCCCUUAACUGGCCUUGUUACUACAAAGAAAUUGCCAUAGAAAUUUAUUCCAGGCUGAGUAUCUCCGGAUAGACCCCAGAAAAGAAGAGUCAUAAUGAGAAUCAACCUUUGUUGAGUUUGAUUCCAUGCCUCCAUUGUGUUCAUUUCAUGAAUCUGAUUUGCAUUUAACAUUACAGUUUUGUUCUGGAAACAAUCAAAGGAGCAUCGUUUGCUUCUUGGGUGACCCAUAGUGGUGGGUGGGUCGAUUUGCUUAGUUGAAAAUUGGACAAUUGGCUCCAUCGCCUACCUCUUGGAUUCCAUGCUCGGAUAAAACGACAACAAAUAAAUAUUUAUAACUUACAACUGGGGAAAGGAAAAAAUAGUACUAAAUUCAUGGUACAUGAUAGUGAGAGAAGGGGGUGUUACACUCAGCUAAAGUUCUUUUCUAAAUAUUGCAUGGUGUUUAAUUUUAUGUGUCGGCGCGCGUGUGAAUGGAACCUGCAAAAGUCCAAAUUGGCGUUUCUCCAUUUUCCACAUAGGAUGGUGACGUUAAUAGACAAAGAUACAAUAUCUGUAGACAUUGCUUAAAAAUCGAUGUGAAGUAUUAGAAAUUACAGGCCACUGUACUGGGGGAGCGGCUGCCCCGCCAAAGGAAGAAUGUAGCAAUUUCUUCUGUUAGCCAGGCCUUAGGAUUUAUGCAUGGGAUGCCUAAUAACAAACAGAGAAAAUAUGCUUUUGGGGAAGGUAUCCAACAACAGACACCAUCAUUCAGAUGGUGGGAAGGUAUCCAACAGAUGCCAUCAUUCAGAUGGUAACAUAUAUAUACAUUUAUUAGUGAGUUUUUUUAAUACCUAUAAAAAAAAUAUACACUUUGAUAUUGUGGCUGAAUCCAUUACAUACUCAACUAACCUUGCUCAUUAGGGAUUUGACGUAACAAGGGCAACGUUGCAGUAAAAGCUCGAAACUUUAUGCAGGUGACAUUACAUUUGGUAAAGAAGAGGAAAAUAAGGAAAGCCAUCCAUAAAAGCAAAAUUCCUCAUGGGAUGAAAUUCACAAACUUCAUUUACGUUAGAGUCGCAUCCAGGCAAUUAAUUCCACAUUAGACCGCCUUUUGACAUGUGUACGGAUCUUUUUUCAAAAAUUAUUUAUAAAUAAUUGAUACUUACAAAAAUAAUUUAAGAUUUAUAAAGGAUAAAAAAAUAUUUUCAAAUCUAUGACAAUUUAUAAAAUAUUAAUAAAAAAUUAUCUCUUAAACUUAGUAUAGUUUUAUCGUAUUAAACUUUUAUUUUGAACAAAUAAUUUUAAUCUAAGUUUUAAAUUCUAAAAUUAUUUCCUUAAAAUAAAAUUUUAAAAUUCAACACUUCAAUUGAAAUUGUCUUUUAAAAAAAAUAUCUUCUUAUUUUAAUCCUUAUAAACUAUAGUUGAUUGAAAAUACUAUUGAAGUUCUCUCUUCAAAAAAAGUCUUAUUUUAAUCUUCAUAAAUUGCCCUUGAUUUGAAAAUAAACUUUGGGUUAUCAUAUUUUAAAUAAUAUAUAUAUAUAUAUAUAUAUAUAUAUAUAUAUAUAACAAAUACUCUAUUUUUUUUUUAAAUGAACUAAUUUUAAUUAUAUUUUAUUUUAUUUUUUUAUAUAUUUUUAAUGAUAAACCAAACAUAGAAAAUCAUUUUUCUAAAUAUUUUAAAAUUUCUAAGCAACCAAACAUAAUCUUCAAAAUAAAAGGAGAAUAAGGAGGGACAAGUGAGAAAUGGCGAUUAAAAAAAAGUGUACAAAAGCUCAAUUAAUUUUCUUCUAGUCUUUUAUAUAAAAAAGUAUUGGUAUGUAAAUUAAUAUUUGGAUUUUAAUAGUAUUUUAUUUGUCUUUCUCUAUCUCAUGUAAAAGAGAAUUUAAGAUAUUUCCUAAAGCAAAGCAUUAGUUAUCUGCAAUCAGUGGUGAUCAUGGUCCAUGUCAAUUUCGGACCCAUAUCUUAAAACCGUAUAAUUUGCGUUUCAACAUUACUGAUUUCUCAGAUGUUUCAUACUCCACAGAAGAGUAUUGUUAGUGAAAGCAUUUUGUAACUGUUACUCAUAGUGUUUUGACUCUGGCUCAACAACAUCAGCCAUUGACGGAUUUUCAUACAUGCAAAUCAAAUAGUCUUCUUCCUCCCUUAGGAAUUUCGGUUUAAAUGUUAUUAAGCAUACAUUUGGCUGACAAUUAUUAACCACUUCAUGAUAUGGUUUCUUACCCUUAAUCAAUGGUUUCUAAGUGAAUAUAUGCAGAAGGAAAUCUGAACUGUAGACAGCAGUAUUGAUAACUCUCAAUAUUCUUUAUAUAAGAGAAUAAACAACGUCAUAGUGAUCGUCGCCUACAAGAAAGGUACAUUUCCCAACAAGAUGUAGUGGUGACUGCUACAUGGACGCAAUUAACUCGUAGAAAAGGAUAAGACCAGUGCACGGCAGCUCUUAUUUUACAUGCUAAUUAUGCUAACCAAAGUCACUCAGUUGGGAUGGGAGGGAGAUGGAGGUUUGUGCGGUGGCUUGUGGGGCGGAGUUGGUGGCUUCUUUUCAGGAGCUUGUGGCUUUUUCGGAGCUGAAGGAGGCUCAAUCUUAUGAGGCGGCUUGUACGAGUCUUCUUUACUCUCGACAGGAGGGUGACCAGGGUUGUGACCAUAAUGUGGUGGCUUCUCUCCCUUAGGUGGCUUGCCAACUGGGGUUGGUGGCUUGUGUUCAGGAAGUUGUUUCUCUCCCUUGGGAGGUUUACCAAUUGGGGUUGGUGGCUUGUGUUCUAGGAGUGGUUUCUCUCCCUUGGGAGGUUUAGUGGGUGACUUGUGUUCUGGAGGUGGCUUCUCCACCGGAGACUUGUGUUCUGGAAUUGAUUAAAAAAAUUCUACCACUCUUUUAAGUAAUGGAAGAUUAUUAUCUCUGAUUGGCACCACAACAGCACAUGCUGCUAGAUCUUUCUAGACACUCCAUGCAAUGAAAGCACAAUGGAUCUUGUAACGAUAGAAACUAAGCCAUGCUACAGUACUAGAUGACGAGGUAAAACUAGUAGACAUGGGUGGUAGUUGAUUACUACUCAAAAAGUACUCUUUUAUAGUUUGAAACUAACUGUUUUAAACACUUUUGAGUAGUAGUUAAUAAAUUUUAACUCAAUUGGCACAUUAAGGAACCUAGCAAGGGUUACUAAUAAACUUUUGGCAAGUUUUGGUGUUUUUGGUAGUUAUUCGAUCAUUGAAACAAGCCAAGAAUGAGGGAGAAUUUUGUGAAGUCCAUGGCAAUGCAAGUUAAAGCUCAAAUACACGAAGAAUCCAAGCUUUGGAGCACUACAUAGCCCUUUGCCAAGCCAAUUAGAGAUGCAAGGAACAAAACCAAAGGAAGAAAUCCAACAACCAACAUUUUCGCAUGGUUGUGUGAAAUUUCGCACACCAUGCGAAACCACAAGAGGUAGCCAAAGAAUUUCACAUGGUAUGCGAAAUCUUCUCAUGCACCGACUCCGUUAGAUUUUUAUCUUCAGAUAUUUUGUGUAAUUUCCUAGUUUCUCCUUGUAACCAACCUAGAUAUUUUCUUUUAUAUCUUUUUUUAUAUUUUUUAGGUAACAUCAUAUAUAAGGGGAGAGACAUAAGGAGGAUAUGGAUGUUUUUCAUAGAACACUUGUAAAUUUUCAGUAGUAAGAAAUAUACAAAGCUUUUUGCUAUGCCUUACCUUCUCAUUUUGUUUUCACCUGUCUUUCUAGCCAAACAACCUCUAAGGAUGAUUUCUCAGGGGAUGAGUGGCUAGGUUUUACGUUUCUUGGAGUGAGGGAAGCUAGGUGAAGGACCUGAAUGCAAAGAUGAGAGUUUUCCUUGCUUUAAAUGAAAGUAGUUGUUAAACAUUAAUGGUUUUUAUUUUAAGGUUUAGCUUUAAAUCCCUUAAAAACACCUUGAAUGACCAAUACUUGGUAAGCUUUUCGGAUUCUAUGGAUGCUUAUUGCUAGAUCCAUGGAUGUCUAUUAGUUAUCAUUUACGAGCCUUUGGAAGGUGAUUCAAGGUGAGGGUCUUUAGUGUUUGAAGCCAUUAAUGGGAAGCAAUUACCAUUUUUUCAUGAAUCCUUUGGAUCAAAUCUUAAUUGCUAAAUAUAAAACCGAUUUGGGAAAUAACCAUCCUUUAUGUUAUUAUCCCCAACGCAAGGAGAAGAUCCGGAAUCUUCCCUUUUGUCUAAGGAACCCGAUCCUAGUGACCUAAAGCUCCAAGAGACCUUUUCUUUGUAGUUAACUUCAUUUAUUGUUUUUGCUUAACUUAAAAUCAAUCUUUGCAACCACAAUUCCAUUUUCUUUAAAAGCUAAUUUUUAUAAGGAAAAACACCAUUUUAUUUCCUUCACUAAGUCAACUGUACGAUGAAAACCCAUCCCUGUGGACGAUCCUAGAGCCAUUAUACUAUGUUAGCUAUGCUACCCUAGUGUGAGGUGAUUUAGGUUUUAUAAAUUUUGUUGAUAACACCCAUCUGAGCCAGAAUCAAAUGGCACAACUGAACCAGGGACGAAUCAAAUGGCGCCGCUAUCGAGGAUGGUGCCAAAGUACAUUGACAUGACUUUUGGUGAACACUUGUGAUCUUCAUCACAAGUUUGGUGAUUUUUCUAUUACUAAUUUUUUUCUUUGUUUUUAUUUUAGCUUAUCUUUUAUUUAGUUUUUAGCUAACCUUAACUUUUUCUUAGAAUUGUAUUUCUUCUAUUUUCUUUGUUUUUGUUUCAGUGAUCUUUAGUUGUGCAUGCCCUAUUGGAUAAGAAAUAUUGAGGGAAUACUUGUGAAGAUUGAAAAUCCUCGAGAAACUGAGUUGGAAGUGUGAUUGAACAUCAUGGAUGUUCCACCUGAAGACCAGAAUAGCCAACAUGGUUAAGAGGAUAAUUUCAAAGCAUACCGAUCCAUGAGGGACUGCAUGCAUCCACCUCGUAUGAGUGCACCGUCAUGCAUAGUGCCUCCCACUGAGCAACUAGUAAUCUGACCUCACAUUGUGCCACUCCUACCUACUUUCCAUGGGAUGGAGAGUGAGAAUCUCUACUCGCAUAUUAAGAAAUUCGAGGAGGUUUGUAAUACAUUCCAAGAAGGAGGAGCUUCAAUUGACUUGAUGAGGCUCAAGCUAUUUCCUUUCACUUUGAAGGAUAAGGCUAAGAUUUGGCUUAAUUCUUUAAGGCCAAGGAGUAUCCGAACUUGGACUAAUUUGCAAGCCGAUUUUCUUAAGAAGUUCUUCCUUACCCAUAGGACCAAUGGUUUGAAAAGGCAAAUUUCGAACUUCUCAGCUAAAGAGAAUGAGAAAUUCUAUGAGUGAUGGGAGAGGUACAUGGAAGCUAUUAAUGCUUGUCCUCACCAUGGCUUUGACACAUGGCUCUUAGUGAGUUAUUUUUACGAUGGUAUGUCUUCUUCAAUGAAGCAACUCCUAGAAACUAUGUGUGGAGGAUACUUCAUGAGUAAGAAUCCGAAGGAAGCCAUGGACUUUUUGAGUUAUGUGGCUGAAGUUUUAAGAGGAUGGGAUGAACCAAAUGCUAGAGAGGUGGAAAGAAUGAAGUCUCAACCUAAUGCUAAGGGUGGGAUGUAUGUUUUGAAUGAAGACAUUGACAUGAAAGCAAAGGUUGUAGCUAUGGCAAGGAGAUUGGAAGAGCUAGAAAUGAAGAAGGCACAAAAAGUGGAAGCCAUUUCUGAGACAUCAGUGCAAGCUAUGCCUUGUUCCAUUUGUCAACCUAAUGCUAAGGGUGGGAUGUAUGUUUUGAAUGAAGACAUUGACAUGAAAGCAAAGGUUGUAGCUAUGGCAAGGAGAUUGGAAGAGCUAGAAAUGAAGAAGGCACAAAAAGUGGAAGCCAUUUCUGAGACAUCAGUGCAAGCUAUGCCUUGUUCCAUUUGUCAAUCUUAUGAGUACCUAGUGGAGGAGUGUCCUACAAUUCCAGUAGUGAGAGAGAUGUCUGGUGAUCAAGCAAAUGUUAUUGAUCAAUUCAAGCCUAAUAAAAAUGCUUCAUAUGGCAACACCUACAAUUCAAAUUGGAUGAACCAUCCAAAUUUCUCUUGGAAACCAAAGCUACCUCAAUACACACAACCUGCUCAAGCACCUUAGCAAUCCUCGAAUCUUGAACAAGCUAUUGUGAACCUUAGUAAGGUUGUGGGAGAUUAAAAGUCCAUCAAUGCUCAACUGAAUCAGAGAAUUGACAGUGUAGAGAGUACAUUGAACAAAAGGAUGGAUGAGAUGCAAAAUGAUCUGUCUCAAAAGAUAGACAAUGUCCAAUAUGCAAUCUCAAGGCUUACCAACCUCAACACAGUGCAAGAGAAAGGAAAGUUUAUUUCUCAACCUCAUCAAAAUCCCAAGGGUAUCCAUGAAGUGGAGGCUCAAGAGAGAGAAUCUUCAAAGGUGAGGGAAGUCAAAGCAGUUAUCACCUUGAGGAGUGGUAAAGAGGUUGAUCAACCCACAUCCAAGCCAAAGCAUAAUGAAGAGAGUUUUGUAGAAAAAGAAAAGAGAGGAAAAUAAAGGAAAGAGAAUAGAGAAAAGUACAAAGAAAGAUGACCAUGAGUCUAGUGUGGAUGAAGAGCCCAAGAGGAUAGUGAUCAAGGAAAAUAUGAUGAAGAAACACAUGCCUCCACCUUUCCCCUAAGCUUUGCAUGACAAAAAAGGAACCAAUAAUACAUCGGAAAUUUUUGAAGUAUUGAGGCAAGUGAAGGUCAAUAUCCCUUUGCUAGAGAUGAUCAAACAAGUGCCGACAUAUGCAAAAUUCUUGAAGGACUUGUGCACUGUAAAGAGAGGGUUGAAUGUGAACAAGAAAGCUUUCUUGACCGAGCAAGUGAGUUCCAUCAUACAGUGCAAGUCUCCAGUGAAGUACAAAUAUCCGGGCUACCCUACCAUCUCAGUGAGUAUUGGAGGUACUUGUGUGGAAAAAGCUUUGUUGGACUUGGGAGCAAGUGUGAAUUUGCUACCCUACUCUGUCUAUAAGUAGUUGGGACUUGGAGAGUUGAAGUCAACAUCCAUCACCCUAUCUCUGGCAGAUAGAUCAGUGAAGAUUCCAAGAGAGAUGAUAGAAGAUGUCUUGGUUCAAGUUGACAAAUUCUACUAUCCAGUGGAUUUUGUUGUUCUUGAUACGGAUCCGAUUGUCAAAGGAACUAAUUAUGUUCCUAUCAUACGAAGACCCUUCCUAGCUACAUCAAAUGCAAUCAUCAAUUGUAGGAAUGGAGUCAUGAAACUCACGUUUGUCAACAUGACAUUAGAGCUCAACAUCUUCCAUUUGUACAAGAAGCAUAUCCAUUCAGAAGAAAAAGAAGGUCUAGAGGAAGUGUGCAUGAUUGACACUUUAGUGGAGGAGCAUUGUGAUCGACAAUGCAAGAAGAUUUAGUUGAGAGUUUUGGGGAUCUUGAUGAAGGGUUACUUGAACCCUCAGAUUUGCUUGCUACCCUACUCCAUUGGAGGAAGAGAGAAGAAAUUCUACCCUUAUUCAAUGAGGAGGAGACACAAAGAGCUGCUAAAGAUAAGCCCCCAAAGCUUAUUCUUAAGCCACUACCCACAGAGUUGAAGUAUGCAUACUUGGAAGAAGACAAGAAGUGCACUGUUGUUAUAUCUUUAGCUCUUACCAUUCAUCAGGAGGAUUGUCUACUUGAAGUCCUUAGAAGAAGUAAGAAGGUAAUAGGGUGGCAAAUUUCUGAUUUGAAAGGGAUCAGCCCUUUUGUCUGCACCCAUCAUAUUUACAUGGAGGAUGAAGCUAAGCCAAUUCAUCAACCUCAGAGAAGGUUGAACCCUCACAUGCAAGAAGUGGUGAGAGUUGAAGUUCUUAAGCUACUUUAGGCUGGUAUUAUUUACCCCAUAUCAGAUAGCCCAUGGGUGAGUCCUACUCAAGUUGUGCCAAAGAAGUCGGGGAUCACGGUGGUGCAAAAUGAUAAGGGAAAAGAUGUCUCUACAUGUCUCACUAUAGGUUGGAGGGUGCGUAUCAAUUACAGGAGGUUGAAUGUAGUGACAAGGAAUGACCAUUUCUCGUUGCCCUUUAUUGAUCAAGUGCUUGAGAGGGUCUCUGGGCAUCCUUUUUAUUGUUUCUUGGAUGGCUACUCGAGGUAAUUUAAGAUAGAAAUUGAUGUUGAAGACCAGGAGAAGACCAUUUUCACAUGCCCAUUUAGAACCUAUGCAUAUAGGAGAAUGUCUUUCGGCUUAUGCAAUGCACCCACAACUUUCCAAAGAUGCAUGUUAAGCAUUUUCAAUGAUAUGGUGGAGCAUAUUAUGGAAGUCUUUAUGGAUGAUAUCACCAUAUAUGGAAGUGCAUUUGAUGAAUGCUUGGUCAACUUAGAAGUUGUUCUGAACCGAUGCAUUGAGAAAGACUUAGUGCUUAAUUGGGAGAAGUGCCAUUUCAUGGUACACCAAGGGAUUGUCCUUGGGCACAUCAUCUCCAAGCAAAGCAUUGAAGUUGACAAAGCAAAGGUUGAACUCAUUGUUAAGUUGCCAUUCCCAACAAAUGUCAAAGGAGUAAGGCAAUUCCUUGGCCAUGCCGGGUUCUAUAGGAGGUUUAUCAAGGAUUUCUCUAAGCUUGCAAGGCCUCUUUGUGAAAUAUUGGUGAAGGAUGUUAAAUUCAUAUGGGAUGAUAGAUGCCAAAGGAGUUUUGAAGAAUUGAAGCUAUUUUUGACAACCUCACCAAUAGUGAGGGCUCCCAACUAGCAACUGCCCUUUGAGGUAAAGUGUGAUGUCAAUGACUUUGCUAUAGGAGCUGUUCUUGGGCAAAGAGAAGAUGGAAAACCUUAUGUGAUCUACUAUGCGAGCAAGACAUUGAAUGAGGUGCAAAGAAACUACAUAACCACCGAGAAAGAAUUGUUAGCUGUAGUUUUUGCCUUGGAUAAGUUUCGUGCUUACUUGGUGGGAUCCUUCAUCGUGGUUUUUAUUGAUCACUUUGCUUUGAAGUAUCUAUUGACUAAGCAAGAUGCUAAAGCAAAACUGAUUAGAUGGAUUUUCUUGCUUCAAGAGUUCAAUCUCCAGAUCAAAGACAAGAAAAAAAUGGAGAAUGUGGUAGUAGACCACAUUUCAAGGCUAGCUAUCGCACAUAAUUCCCAUGCUUUGCCCAUUAAUGACGAUUUUCUAGAGGGGUCUCUCAUGUUGGUGGAAGUUGUCCCUUGGUACGCUCACAUUGCUAACUACCUGGUCACAAGAGAAGUUCCAAGUGAGUGGAAAGCACAAGAUAAGAAGCACUUCUUUGCAAAAAUUCAUGCCUACUAUUGGGAAAAGCCAUUUCUAUUCAAGUAUUGUGCGGAUCAGAUAAUAAGGAAGUGAGUUCCUGAAGAAGAGCAACAGGGGAUCCUCAGUCAUUGCCAUAAAAAUGCAUGUGGAUGCCACUUUGCUUAUCAGAAGACAACCAUGAGGGUGCUGCAAUCGGGUUUCUGUUGGCCAUCACUUUUCAAAGAUGCCCACACCAUGUGCAAGAGUUGUGAUCGAUGCCAGAGGCUUGGGAAGUUAUCAUGUAGGAACAUGAUGCCUUUGAACCCCAUUUUAAUAGUUGAUCUUUUUUAUGUUUGGGGCAUUGACUUCAUGGGACUUUUCCCUAUAUCUUUUGGCUACUCUUACAUCUUGGUGGGAAUAGAUUAUGUUUCUAAGUGGGUUGAGGCAGUCCCAUGCAAACACAAUGACCAUAGAGUGGUUCUCAAGUUUCUUAAGGAGAACAUCUUCUCAAGAUUUGGGGUGCCCAAAGCCAUAAUUAGUGAUGGGGGUACUCAUUUUUGCAACAAGCCUUUUGAAACUCUCCUAGCCAAGUAUGGGGUGAAGCAUAAGGUAGCUACACCUUACCACCCUCAAACUAAUGGGCAAGUUGAGUUAGCAAACAAGGAGAUUAAAAACAUAUUGAUGAAGGUGGUGAACACAAACAGAAAAGAUUGGUCAGUCAAGCUCUUCGAUUCACUAUGGUCAUGUAGAACAGCUUACAAGACCAUUAUCGGGAUGUCUCUUUAUCACCUAGUCUAUGGAAAAAAUGCCAUCUCCUUGUGAAAUUGGAAUACAAAGCUUGGUGGUCAAUCAAGAAGCUCAACAUGGAUUUGAGCAGAGCUGGGUUGAAGAGGUUCUUAGACCACAAUGAGAUGGAGGAAUUGAGAAAUGAUGCCUACAUCAAUUCAAAAAUUGUAAAAGAAAAAUUGAAGAGGUGGCAUGAUCAGUUGAUUUCCCGCAAGAAUUUUCAAAAUGGAUAAAGAGUCUUGCUCUAUGACUCUAAACUCCACAUCUUUCCGAGCAAGCUGAAAUCAAGGUGGAUAGGUCCUUUUACCAUUCACCAAGUGCAUUCAAAUAGAGUAGUGGAACUACUCAACUCCAACAACAUCGGGAGCUUCAAAGUGAAUGACCAUUGUCUCAAGCCCUUUGUAGAGUCUUUUUUCUCGCGACAAGGAGGAAUUCAUCCUCCUUGAUCCACAUCAAGCUUGACAAGACCAGUUUUUUUUUAUGGACUUAGUCUUUCUAAAGACUAUCGAGUCCAUAACUUUUUAUUUUAUUUUUUAUUUGAGAGUUUUUCGGUAUUAUUACUUGUUUUGUUUUUUAUUUUUCGUUUUACUUUUAUUUGGUUUGAUUUAACUUAGAUUUUUUAUGAUCAAUUGCAGGGGGGAUUUCAAAUAGAGGAAAAACCAAGAUAAUUCGCACACCCUGCGAAAAUUUCGCAAGGCAUGCGAAAUUUAUGGCUCAUUUCGCAUGGGAUGCGAAAUUUCGCACACCCUACGAACCAAUUUCGCACACUUUGUGAAAAUAAACCAACCCUACGAAAUCAUUUCAAAUACUCUACGAAAUUUUCGCAGAGCAUGUAAAAAAUUUCGCAGACCAAACACCAUUUCGCAUACUAUGCGAAAAUGUAAGGGGUCUACAAAACCAUUUCGCACCUCCAAAGCCAUUUCGCACAUUGUGCAAAAAUGAAAAGUCGCCCUAUCAUCCAUUUUUAAACCCCUUGAGCCCUGAAAUCCCCAUUUCGCAAGCACCCCUGUCCUUGCGAAUCCCUCAUUUUCCUCUGCCACCUUGCGACCUUGUCCCUCUCCAUUUGAUAUCGUGCCCUGCGCACAUCUCAUUUCAAAGACUCGCACUCUGCGCCCUCUCAAAGCACGAACCCAAGGCUCACAUUCCAUUUCCGACAUGGCACAGACCCGAGGAGCCCUUCCCGCCCCUUCAUCGAGACGCACACCAAGGUAGAGAGCCUCUUUUGCUCAGAUGCCAAGUGAUUCUCCAUUUCAGGCCACGGAGGCCCUGCGGAUUCCACAUUCCAAGGGUAGAACAGCCACUGGUCCUUCCUCUUCUAUUCCUCAGCGUAGAUAUGAGACGAGGAGACCACCUACUACACAAAGGGCGACUACUUCGCGCCAUGAGAAUUCGGUACGACACCCUCCUGCCAAGAGGGCCAGGACUUCAGGCCCAGGCGAGUCAUCCAAAGCUUCACAGCCUGAGCCUCCUGCAGAUUCCGAGGUUCCUACUGACAUAUCAUCGGAGUCUAUUAUCAAACGCCCGAUGCUCACAGCACCGCCCAUUGAGGGCAACUCUGAUUGUAGAGCGAGACCUUUCCACUUGGAGCUAUAUUUUAAUUAAGAGGCCAUGCCACAGCAGCCUGAGCUCCAAGACUCUUAUGGCUUACUACAGAGGUACCAUCUUGAGGACCUUAUGACUCCUCGUGAGUUCUUUUAUCCCAGAGUAGCACUAGACUUUUACCAGUCCAUGACUACUCGUGGCGUCCCGAGUCCUACCGCGAUGCACUUCACCAUUAAUGGACGUCAUGGUAUCCUCGAGGCCAGACAUAUUGGAGAGGCUCUACAGAUUCCUUUCGAGCUAGAGGACCCAUCUGUUUUCUGCCAAUGGUCCCCAAUAUCUCAGAGGGACAUGGUCCAUAUUUUAUCCAGGGGGACAUCUACAUAUUCGAUCCUUCUACGGAAGGAGCUUCGACCUGGGAUACUCCUCGUAGAUGUGGUGCUACUUUCCAACCUCUUUCCCUUUUAGCAUUCGAUACAUAGGCGAGGAGCUAUUUUGGACGCUUUAUUCUGUAUAUCAGAGGGCUUCUACUUUGGCCCGCACCACUUGAUCAUGGUUUCCCUCAUCCAUUUUGAGGAGAAGGUCCAUAGAAAGAAGCUUCAGAGGGCGAACACCAUUCCAUUACUAUUCCCGAGGUUGCUCUACUAGAUCUUGGAGUACAUGGGCUUUCCUACUGAGCCUCGGCUUGUGUGCCGCCGCCUUUGUCAAGAGCGAUCCACUCUCGACAAAUGGAAUCAGUUGGCGGGCUAUUCUACACCUCCAGGAGCCCCUCCCAUGGUAGCACCUCUAGUGUCCCCACAGGCAGAGUAGGGCAAGCUCCCGGUAGAGACUGCACCCCUAGUGCCCACACCUGAGGCUACUUCUGCUGUUCCGCCUACGACUCCUACUGUUCCACCAGUUGGUCCUUUUACAUCUGAGUCUUCCAUCAACAUCUCGACUUCGGAGUUUCGCGCCCUUGUGCAUACCUUUCAGACACUCACCACCACACAUACUGCUCUCUUCUAGAAAAUGGCUGAGAUGCGUGCCCAUCAGGACCAGCAGACUACUAUACUCCGCCAAAUUCAACAGCACCUGGGACUUCUGCCUCUGCCUCAGCUUGACCUUCCCACAUCAUCAGAGCCUCUAGCUCCAGUUGAGGAUACUAUUCCACCUGAGGACACUACCACAGUAGAGGUUCAGAUUCCACCACCUCAGGAGGCCACCACAGCUACAUUAGAGGAUGCAUCAUCUCCACCUGAGGCUCCCACUACUUGAUCAUAGGACAUCUCUUUAUCUUAUUGUAUUUACAUAUUAUAUUACUGGAGAUUUGUCUUUGUUUUGAUACUUUAUAUUCUGGCAUUGAAUGUAUUGCCUAAUGAUAUCUCAAUUGUACUUUCUCAUAUUAAUAUAUAGACAUCAAUUUUUUUUAGUAUACUUAGGAUUUUUCUAUUUACUCUACUCAUUACUCUUUUGUUUUUUUUUUUUUACUCAUGUGGUUUCUCCUAUACGACUCAGACUCCAUUUCACUCAGGAGGUACCACUUCUUCCCUUUAUUUUCAAUUGCUCUUGAAACAUUGAGGGCAAUGUUGAUCUUGGUUGGAGGGAGAGUUGAGGAAGGAAGUGAUUACUACUCAAAAAGUGCUAUUUCAUAGCUUGUAAUUAACUCUUUUAAAACACUUUUGAGUAGUAGUUAUCACCUUUUAACCCAAUUAACAUAUUAAGGACCCUUGCAAUCAAUUCUAAUCAAAUUGUGUUAAGUUUUGGUAUUUUGAUAGCUUUUUUAUCACCAAAGCAAUCCGAGAUUGAGGAUAUUUAUUUGGAAUCCAUGGCAAAAGAUGUUUGGACAGGACGUCCGGACACACCAUCGGAGGGCGGCGGAACGUGGGCUGUGGCAGGCUGUCGGAAUGACGUAGCAAGGCUUGUGCACUUUAGCCAAUGAUCGGGAUAACAUAUCCGAAAUUCUGCUCCGCCGACAUUCCACCCGGAUGUCUCACAUCCGGAAUUCUGCUCCGCCGACAUUACACCCAGAUGUCUCACAUCCAAAAUUCUUCUCCGUCGACAUUCCAUCCGAAUAUUUCACAUCCGACGCUUGACGCCGGAUGGGAGAGGAGGGCGUUUCAACUUCCCCGGUCAGACAUAUCCGAAUCCUUUGAUAACGCUUACCCGGAGAGUUUCGCAGCCAUUUUGCACAGUGCCGCGGUGUUCUCUUGAAGCUUCCCGAUAUGUGCGACCGACAUUUUGAGAUAUUUUGCUUUAGAUAUUUGAUGUCUAAAUCCCCAAACUCUCCUUGUAACCCACCAAUUAUAGGAUUCCUUAGUUAUUAAGUUUGGAAAAAUGGUGAAUAACCCCUUAUAUAUAGUUUGCAAUUUUCAUAAAAAAGAUAUGUAGAAUCUCGGGAGCUUGUUCCCAGAGAGACGCAUCCUUUGUACAGUUUUGGAAGGAAGUAAAAUACAGAGCACUUGCUCUGCUUUUCAUAUAUAUUUUUGUUUUCUCGUUCUUUUUAUUUCUAGCCAAUCAAAGUCUGAGGAUUUUUCCUCAGAGGAUGAGAGGCUAGGCUCUUCGUCUCUUGGAGUGAAGAAAACUAGGUAAGUUUCCACAUGCAUAAAUUGAAAGUUUUGUUGUUUUAGUUUUUAAUGAAGAGAAAGUGUGACCCGUUAAUGGUUUUUAUCUUUUUAGUUAACUUAAAACGCCUUUAAAUCACCCGGGCCAACACUUGAUAAGGCAAGUGGUCUCCAUCCAUUGAGAUGCACUAGUUUAUCUCUUGCGAGCCUUUGGGAGGUGGUUUGAAGGUAGGAUUUUCUAGAAUAACCAACACUUGAUAAGCUUUUGGACUCUAAGGAGACAUCCAUUAGUUAUCUCUUGCGAGCUUUUGACGGGUAAUCCAAGGUUAAAGAUCACCUUGAAUGGCAAGUACUAGGUGAGAGGUAUGAGCCAUUGCAAGAUGCAUUAGUGAGAGGGAUUUAGUGUUUGAACCCAUUAAAGGGAAGCAUCUGUACCACACCGGUUCGGGAAAUAACUAUAUGUUAAAUCCCCAAUGAGAGGAAAAGAAACAAGUGACCGGAACUCCCUUUUUGUAUAAGGAACCUGAGCCUAGUGAUCUAAACUCCAAGAAACACUUUUCUUUGUAAGUAAAAUCAGUUACUAUUUUUGGUUAGUUUAAAACCAAACCUUUUUCAUUCAAACAUCUUUAUGUUUUCUUUUAAAGCUAACCUUGAAAUGAAAAGGCACCAAUUCAUAUUUGAAUUAAUAUCAAUUGUGAAGUGAAAACCCAUCCCAGUGAACGAUCCUAGAGCCACUAUGCUAUAGUAGCUUUGUCUUUGCUACCCUAGUUCAUGGUUUAAUAGGUUAUAAAUUUUGUUGAUUACUCCCACAAUCAAAGGAGCACCAGUUGGACAUGAAUCAACUGAGACACUAAUUGGGCACAAAUCAGGAAGUUUUGUUAAUAAUGCUAGGUUAAUUUGUUAAUUUAGUUACUUUCUGCUUAAUUUUAAAAGUUUUCACUUUACUUUCCAUAGUUAUUAAGGAAAAAUUCUCAAAAUGAAAUGGGAGAAAUUGAAUUCUUACAUUUUUACUUGAAUUUUAGAAUUUGUAUUAUGCUUAUUGAAGCUGAUGAAUUAUUGAAACUCCUAUUGAAUUCAACCUUAUUUCUUCCACUUUAAUCUUACCACACACGGUGCACAUUAGGUUCCGAUUAUAAGAGGUGCGUUCUUAGCCUAUUGGAGGUUGGUCAAUUUGUUAAAGUUUGAGAAAGAUCUAGGUUAGGGGAGAGAGAAUAGUCUGACAUACUAUAAUCGAAAACUAAUAAACUUAACACUUAGAUCUUUGUGGAAGAGUAAGGAUUGGACCUUUGGGAGUGGAAAUUCGUUUGAUGCUUAAAUUUGCAUAAUGCUUACACUUUAUAAAUUGUGAUUAGGCAAGAGAUUUGAUGACUCUUGUUCAAGGUUGGGUUUUGCCUCUUUGAUGUUCCAUGAGAGAGUAUAAUCCUCAUCAUGCCACUUGAAAUUUUUUUUGGAGUGAUUAACAUGAUUUUGUAAAUUACUUUACUGUCUAUUUUUUUUUUAUCUCUCCUUCAUUGCUAAUGGACUAGCAAUAUGUCAGUUGAGGGGAGUGAUUACUACUCAAAAAGUACUCUUUUAUAGCUUGAAACUAACUGUUUUGAACACUUUUGAGUAGUAGUUAAUACCUUUUAACUCAAUUGGCACAUUAAAGAACCUAGCAAGGGUUACUAAUUAGUUUUUGGCAAGUUUUGGUGUUUUUGGUAGCUAUUUGAUCAUUGAAACAAGCCAAGAAUGAGGGAGAAUUUUGUGAAGUCCAUGGCAAUGCAAGUUAAAGCUCAAAUACAUGAAGAAUCCAAGCUUUGGAGCACUUCAUAGCCCUUUCCAAAGCCAAUCAGAGAUGCAAGGAAGAAAACCAGAGGAAGAAAUCCAACAAUUAGCAUUUUCGCAUGGCUGUGCGAAAUUUCGCACACCAUGCGAAACCACAAGAGGCAGCCAAAGAAUUUUGCACACUAUGCGAAAUUUCGCAUGGUAUGCAAAAUCUUCUUGUGCACCAACUCCGUUAUAUUUUUAUCUCAAAUAUUUUGUGUAAUUUCCUAGUUUCUCCUUGUAACCAACCUAGAUAUUUUCUUUUAUAUAUUUUUUAGGUAACAUCAUCUAUAGGGGGAGAGACAUAAGGAGGAUAUGGAUGUUUUUCAUAGAACACUUGUAAAUUUCCGGUAGUAAGAAAUAUACAGAGCUUUUUGCUCUACCUUACCUUCUCAUUUUGUUUUCACUUGUCUUUCUAGCCAAACAACCUCUGAGGAUGAUUUCUUAGGGAAUGAGUGGCUAGGUUUUACGUUUCUUGGAGUGAGGGAAGCUAGGUGAAAGACCCGAAUGCUAAGGUGGGAGUUGUCCUUGCUUUAAAUGAAAGUAGUUGUUAAACAUUAAUGGUUUUUAUUUUAAGGUUUAGCUUUAAAUCCCUUAAAAACAUCUUGAAUGGUCAAUACUUGGUAGGCUUUUUGGAUUCUAUGGAUGCUUAUUGCUAGAUCCCUGGAUGUCUAUUAGUUAUCAUUUAUGAGCCAUUGGAAGGUGGUUCAAGAUGAGGGUCUUUAAUGUUUGAAGCCAUUAAUAGGAAACAAUUACCAUUCUUUCAUGAAUCCUUUGGAUCAAAUCUUAAUUGCUAAAUAUAAAACUAGUUCGGGAGAUAACCAUCCUUUAUGUUAUUAUGCCCAACGCGAGGAGAAGAUUCGGAAUCUUCCCCUUUGUCUAAGGAACCCGAUCCUAGUGACCUAAAGCUCUAAGAGACCUUUUCUUUAUAGUUAACUUCACUUAUUGUUUUUUCUUAACUUAAAAUCAAUCUUUGCAACCACAAUUCCAUUUUCUUUGAAAGCUAAUUUUCAUAAGGAAAAUCACCAUUUUAUUUUCUUCCCUAAGUCAACUGUACGAUGAAAACCCAUUCCCAUGGACGAUCCUAGAGCCACUAUACUAUGUUAGCUAUGCUACCCUAAUGUGAGGUGAUUUAGGUUUUAUAAAUUUUGUUGAUAACACCUGUUUGAGCCAGAAUCAAAUGGCGCAACUGAACCAGGGACGAAUCAACAACUUAUAUGGGAGGGACACAAGUUUAAUUGAUUUGCAUUUCAACGUUAUAUAUAGGUAUGUUUUGGAAGAUUUGUUCUGGAAAUACUGCACCAAGUACGAUUCUUUUUGUCUUGAGUGGGUCUACUUGCAUGCCAAUUAACGAGUGGAAAAGUAGGAGCACCUACCUCAUGCUCGCGGAACCGAAGGUCAGUGAAGUGGGGCUCCUUUUGGCCUCUUGUGUUUCUAUUCCAACCAAGGCGGCGUAAGGAAAAACAACAAUAUGUUUGUGCUAAAUAUCAACGCAUGAUAGAUGUUUUUGUUUUUUGGUAUGUCAAGGCUAAUGAAUGAAAUGCUUUAGCUUGUUUUGUGACUGGAACUGCAAAUGUCCAAAUUGGAGUAUCUCCAUUUCUCACUUCGGAUGGUUAACUUAUAAACAAGAUAUAGGAAACAUGUGAACAUCUUGAGGAACAAUUUGAAUUAUUCAUUAGAAGUCCUGGGUUGAGUUCCAAGAUUUAAAUUAGACCCCUCUAGCAGCUUCAGGGGUACCUAGCAACCUAUAGCAUAUUAAUGAAGAUUUAGGAUUUAGACUCUAGAAUACAAAUUAAUAUGUAUCUCAUGCUUUGACUAGCUUCCCUACAUAUGCACAAAAUGGAGAUGACCUAAAAAAAUAGCAGAAUCUAGCUUCCCUACAUAUGCACAAAAUGGAGAUGACCCAAAAAAUAGCAGAAUUUCCUUAGUUUCUGUGGUUAAGGUGAUUCUCCGCUUAAUAUCACAUUGACUCAUUAUGCAAAAUCAACUGAGCUAAUUUUGUUUAUUUAUUUAAUGUCAAAUAGGAACUCCUAAUUAACCUAACCCUUGGCCUGUGUAAAUUGAUUUCACAUGCCCAAUGUUGAAGUAGAAGUCCAUAUUUUGAAUUUUAUUUUUGUAAAGGUAAGGAAAAUGAAGCAUUGUGUAAUUAUAAAAAUAACUUCAUUGGAAUUCACAAGGUUCACCCAAAAUGGAGCUACAUCCGUAUUCUAUCCUGCAGUAGACUAUAUAGAUUGUACAAUAGUAAAUUGCAAAUACAAUUAAUAAGUCUUGUGCUUCCUUACUAAUAAUCCUUUGACAUGAACAUUGCAGCACUAAGGUCCUCUUGGGAAGACACCUUGCACCCAUGAGAGCACGAAGAGGAAGCAAGGCAGAGUCAUGGGUGCAAUGUCAUGACUUGUUGUUGCACCAAGAGAGGCUUGGUGAUGGCAUGGUGUUGCAGUAGCAAGAAUGUUGCCUUGGUAGGGACAUAAUCUAGGGAUAGAUGCCAAGAAAGGCUUAGCACUCACAUGAGUUGCACAAAGAUGAAUGUAAUAGAGCAUCAGAGAGACGUCUUGGCAAGUAAAUGAAUGGAUCCAAGAGGCAACAACAUGAGGAGUUUCAAAUGGAUAAGGAAUGAGUCAAAGACAUUUGAAAGCUACAAGUUGGAUUCUAAUUACGAUUGCAAUUUGAGUUUGAGUAGGAGUUUAGAUUCUGAUUGUAAUUGUAGUAUGAGUUGGACUAGGAUUGCUUAUCCCUAGUCAAAAUAGGAGUGGUUCGUGUCACACCCUAUGAAAAGAGUUUGAGUAGGGACUAGGAUUGCUUACUCCUAGUCAAAUAUGGAGUAGGUGGUGCCACACCUAUAAAAAAAAAGGGACAACAUGAGAGAGAGAGAGAGAGAGAGAGAGAGAGAGAGAGAGAGAGAGAGAGAGAGAAAGAGAUAAUGAAUUCACUAAAGAUAUUGUGGGAGUUUUUCUUUGUUACGUCUUGUAUUAUUACUUAGAAUAGGAAUAAAAUACAAGUUUGGGCUAGAGCCCCAUAAUUAAUCUCGUGUGCCUUUGUGGUUAUUCUUUAUUUGUCAUCUCGUGUGGAUUGGAUUACAUUGACUUAGAGGGCUUCUAAGCACCACCUUUGUGGGUUAUUAUUUAUUUUCCAUUUCUUGUGGAUUAGAUUAGGUUGACUUUGAGGGCUUUUAAGCACCACCUUUGUGGGUUAUUCUUUAUUUUCCAUAUCGUGGGGAUUGGAUUAGGUUGACGAUGAGAAAAAUUAUGUGGGAAAUUUGUGUUGGGACACUUAUCAUAACCAGGUAAAAUCUGCCAAGUCCUUUGUAAUAUCUUCAACAAAUAUUUCAGACUAGUUCUUCACCAUAAACAUCAUAUUGUGUUUUGUUUUUCUCCUGGAUUCUGAGUUGAAUUGUUUCAAGUCAAUUGAAUGCAUCUGAAUAUUAUUAGCUUGUUUGAAGGCCUGGUGAUUUUCCAUUUAACUUUACUUUCUUUAGGUUAUGCUCACUAUAAGAAAAAUGAGAAAUAAUGACGCUUUUUACGCGUUAAGAAAGGCAACAGAUGAUGCUUCUCUAAAGCGUCCUCUUCGGCUCUGUCAUUAUAUGUGUUAGCCAAUAAUGACGCUUCUAGGAAGUGCCAUCUUUGAAUAAUGUUAAUAACGACACUCGUAAAAAGUGUCAUCUUUAAACAUAUUCUGGUCAAAUAAUUUUUACAAAAUUAGUAAUCUUCAAGCCGUUUCUGAAUCAUAUCUGAGCCUAUUUCUGGGGACCAGAAAACCAUCUUUUUUCCAUUCGCCUGAGAGGUCUGAUUAGCAUUUCUGGAAUCAAUCUCUAAACCCAAGCUUCCCUCAUCUACCCAUUUAACCCUCAUGCCCUCCUGUUUGAACAACUUUCCCACUAUAUACACAAAUUUUUUACCUUCUGUUGUUGGUAUUCGACCUCUUCCCAUUCCCAGCACAGAAUCCACCAUUAGUGCCACUUUGUGAAUAAAAUCAUCGAACCAGAUCUUUCGGGCGGAAGAUGAGCUCCAGAGAAAUAAAAUUUUUGGGGUCUUCCCAGCAUGAAAGUCAUAGGUAGCAUUAAUGACAUCAAGAAAUGGGGCACUGUUGAGAAAAAACAUGUUCCCAUCAACCACCCAAGAAUUGUACCAGACUCCAAACACUUCUGGAUUACAUAUGCCUUUACUAAGAUAUAUUUCUUGAUCUCCAUAUCAGAAUCUUGGAGACUCUUCAUUUUAUGAGCUCUGACACUACUGUGAAAUUGGUCCACAUCAAUCACAGGAUGACCCCUUCUAGCAAGAUCAAGCAGGAAGUCUGAAUUCGGGCCCAUAAAAAUGUAGUUCUGAAUAUUGAAACUCUCAAAGUGGCACAACAAAUUCCUUAUGACUCUUUCAGAUGCUCCAAACAGGCUCACAAGUAUAAUGGUAUCCUGUUUUUGCACAGAGUAAAGAAAAUAUCCGAGUUCUUCAAAACUCCUUACAACUAUUCCAGGAUGUACUUCUUUGAAACAGAAAUCGUACCACUUUAGCUUAGUCAGAGGUUGAAUCUAAAAUAACAAAACCCAAACUGAAAUCAAAAUCGAAAUCAACCCUAAUAGAUUUCAGAAACAACAAAUUAAAAGAGUAAAGCACAAAAGGGGGAAAACACAUAUGAAGCAAUCUCCAUACAAGCCCUAACCUUAGAUAAACCCAAAAAAAAAAAUCAAAGCAGAGAGUUACCAUAGAGCAUCUCUGUUUCAAGCUUAGAAAAUGUUUAAUGCCAUUGAUAACUAGUUGGCUAGUGGUGGACUUCAAGCUUCUCUAUUUCGGUGUUAGUAGCUCUCAAUGGCUAUGGUGAGAACAAAGAAAUGAGAGGCUUAGGGUUUGGGAUGUGAGGUUAUUGAUGAUGAUGAGGAUAAAGUUAUGGGCUCUUGGAGGGGUUAGGGAAAUUGAAGAUGGCUGAGAGUAAAGGCUAGGGUUUUUGAGAUAGUUAAUAGCUUUUUAGGGUGUGACUGUCCAUAGAUAGAAGAUAAAUGAGGGUGUGAGAAUUUAUAGAUCUCUAGGUGAUAUGGCGGGUGUGAGAAUGAAAUUUUAGAGGGAAUUGUGUGUUUGGUAGAAAUUUCACACAUGCAUAUAUAAUGUUUCAGAACAUGGCACUUUAAAAAUACGACAAGGAAGAAAUUAUUUAUUGACGCUUAAAUAAAGCGCCAAGGUCUCCAACAUUUUUGCAAUCAAUGACGUUUGUAAAAGGUGCCAUUGAAUAGGAGUGCCAUUGCUUUCCCACAAAGCAUCAUUGUUAAUCAAGCCUUUAAAAAACGCCAAGAUAUGUUGCCACUUAGGUUAAAUAUUGACGCUUUUAAAAAACGCCAAGGAAAAAAACGUCAUUAUUCAUGUUUUUUGUAGUAGUGGCUUGAUUCCUAAAAAGUAAAGGAAAGCAAAAAGUAAAAAAAUAAAAAUGUGGAGAGUUAGGACAUGCGUUAUCUAAUUGUCCUAGUCCCAAAUAUAUUAAGAAAGUCAUGUAGGUUACUUGGAGUAACGAGUCAAGUAAAGCAAGCCUUCUAGUGUUUAAGACAUUAGAUAUUACCGAACUGAUUAUGUCAUUAAUGUAUUGCAUUUGUUGUUUCUAAUAUAUAGAAGAAGAUGAAAUUAUUGGAAUAAGUGGGAAAUAGGAAUAAAUCCAAGGUACCAAAAAGUCACUUUAUCUUAGAUGUUGUUGGAAACAUAAGUGAUUUCACAAUAACGACUAUGAGACAAUCAAGGAUUAAUAAGAUAGACUUUAUAUGAUAUACCUCCCAAUUAGAGCCUAAAAAUAUGGAUGAAGCACUUAGAGAUGAAUCUUCAAUUUUUGUACUAUAGGAAGAAUUAAAUCAAUUUGUUAGCUAUUCUUUGGAUAUUUGAUUCAUCACAAGCUACAAAUCACUUUUGAUGACCAAACACGAAACUAAGAGGAUUGGGCCCAAUUCGAUGCCUAUCAACAAUGAUUUGUAUUCCACCUCAUUAAUUAUUCAAAGUUGGGAAGCUAGGUCUAACCACUUUCUCUACCUGUUCACCCUUAGAGGAGCAGAAGAAAAUUCUAACUUUGGUGCCUAAUGCCUUUGACAAUCUUUCGACAAAGAGAGUUCACUAAUUACUUUGAUUAUUUCUCUGUUGGUCACUGGGGGACAAGACUUUUGUAAUGAAGUCAACUAGAACUUGCCCUUUGAGGGCCAUUCAUGGACGAUAUUACACCAUGAAUUCCCUUAGGUCAUGUUUGGUAUGUGAGAAUGAGGAGUGGAAUGGACAUCUUAUUCAUUUUUUCAUCUAUUCAAAUGUUGGGAUAACUCAAGUGACCAUGAGAAUGAAAUCAAGAAUGAUUCAAGGGAAAUGAAAUCUUACUUAUAAGUGUGAUUUCAAUUAAUCUCUAAUAGAAAUUAUUUUGAAUCAAUAGUGCAAGUUAUUUUUAAAAACAUUUUUCCAAAAUUAAAAAAAUCAAUUUUUUUUUUUUCGAUAAGUUGUUUUUAAAAGGAUUUUUUUUAUUUUGUAAAAAGAAAAUUGUAAUUCAAUUUAUAUAAUAUAAACUAAAUUUUAUUUUAUUCAAAAAGAAAUAAUUUUUUAAUUAUAAAUAAAUUAAAAAUAAAUACUUUUAAUAAAAUAUAAAUAGUAUUAUUAUAAUAAAAUCAUAAAUAAAUUUAAUUUUUUUUAUAAAUAUUAUAAAAAUAUGGAUAUUAACAUUGGAUAAUUGAUUUAUUUUGUUAAAAUAAAAAAUAAUAAUUUUUAAUAUUAUUUUAUGUUAAAUGAAUUUUAAAAUAAAGAAAGUUUAAUUAUUUUAAGGUAUAGAAGAGCCAAAUUUUGCAUUACAUACAUAACAAACAAUAUUUAUUAGAAACAUUUCUCAAGGAGAAUCUUAUUCCAUCUCACAAAGAUACUCGUUUAUUCGAUGUUUGACCAUCCGUAACAAUCAUGUCAAUUCUACUGAUUUAAUAAUUCCUUUACAUUUAUUACUCACUUAUGAACAUGGUAUUGUGAUUUAUUUAUUUAUUUGAUGUAUAAUUAAUUAAUCAAUUUUUUAAAUUUCAAAUUAUUUUUAAAAACUAUUCAUUAAGGAAUUUAAAGCAUUAAUUAUGUCUAUUAUUUUUUAUAGUCAUUAUAUAUAUAUUGAGUUUUAAUUUAUUUUUAAAAAUUAUUAAACUUAUUAAUAAAUUCAAUAUAAAGUCUCGUUUCAUUUGAAAUUCAUUUCUUUAGUGAAAAUUUUGAAAAAAAAAUUGUUAUUUAUUUUACUUUGUUUUAAAAAAAUUGUUUCUAGAGAACAAUAAUCAAAUAAUGGUAUGAAUUUUUAAAAACAAUUUUGUUUUUAAAUCAUAUGCCCAAAUAAUUUUUUUUUAUUUAGCAAAAAACUUUGUUGUAGUAUGUGGCUCAUAUUGAGGGAAAGACAUAUAUGGAGAAAAAUGUGCAAAUGUUGGAGUGGAGCGGAGUGGAAUGACGACAUUUGUCAUUCAAACUUGUAUUUUUAUUGUUAAGGGUGACCGAUAGGUUGGUACGGUUUAGGGGUAUUUUUGGAAUUUCAUUACCUGAGGGUUAGUAUAAAUACCAUUUUAUGUAACCCUAAUUUUACAUAUAAUGUAAGUUUUCUUCCUUGUUCUUGUGGACAUAGGCAAUCCGUCGAACCACGUUAAAUCUGUGUGUUUUUUUUUCUUUUUUCUUUUUCUCUAAUUUCUUCACCAGGAAUCGUUACACUAAGAUCAACAAACUCUCAAAGAUGAUUUUUAAAAUGAAAAAAAUAAUGUAUAGUGUGAGAAUUUUUUAUUUUUUAUUUUUUUAAAAUGAAAAUAAAAAAUUGCUUUAAGGUAAAAGUGUGGAUAUUAUUGUUAAUUUAUUUCAUUUUUCAUUUUCAUUUCCAUUGUUACCUACAAUUGAAAUGGAAACAACUAAUCAUUACAACCUUACAUUCUUAUAUGCAUCCAAAUACAAAAAUUGAAAUCACCAAAUUCAUAUUCAAGGCAAAAUAGGAAUGAAAACAAAUAUUCAUUCUCAUUCUUUAUUCCCACGUGUCAAACAUGACCUCAAAGUUAUAAACAUGAACAAGAAGUCCUUGAAACACCAAUGAUCUCUUCUGGUAUAUAUAUGAGCUUGAUUGACAACUGUUUUAAAUACAGUUUUUUUUUUUUUUGUUUUCAAAAUCAAAACAAAUUUAUUUUUAUUUUUUAUAAAUAGUAGUUUUUUAAUAUUUUUUUUAAACCUUAUUAUGAAAAUAGGAUGUUUUCUAAUAUCAUAUUUUAAUUAUUUUCAAUUAUUUUCCCUUCUUUUAAGGAGGGCUAUUUUAAAAAUAUGAAAAAUGAUACAAAAUAAAGCAUUACAAAUAAAAAUCAUUUUUAAGAAAUAUAUGAAAAUAAUUUGAGAACAUUUGAAGUUCCUUAAUUAAACUUUUGUUCUAGAAAAUGCAAGAAAACUGUUUUUGAAAAUUGUUUUCAUAAUGAUAUGCAUUGAUCGUUUAAAAUUUAAUUACAUGAUAAAAAGACCUAUGUAAAAACCAGAGUUAUAUAAUCAGUCAUAGAUCAAAUCUACUAAAUAUGAAAAGUAAGUACAUAGUUGUAUAUGACUUAGAUGGAGCCUUCUCCGAAUGACAUUCUUUAGUCGGUACUCAUAUUUUUUUGUUUCGUGUCUUCAACAUAACACCUCAUGAUCCUUAAUAAAUCACCUGAAAACUAUAUUAGCACCUUAUUGUUUAAUAUUUCUCUAAAUUUUUUUAUUAAGCAAAUAAAUUCCAAAUUUAAAAUGACAAAUAAAAUUUAUUAAUUUUUAAAAAUAAUUUAAAACUCAAAAACCAAUUUAAUUGAUAUUAAAAGUCAUGAAACUUAAUAAUAUUAGAAAGUCAUGUAUCCAAAUUUAUUUUAAAUGACUUGUUUAAUUUCUUGUUUAUAUAUAUUAUAUUUUUAUAAUUUUUUUUACUAUACAAAUAAAUUUUAAAUUAAACAAAACUUAAUGCGUUGAAUUCAUUAACGAGUCUAAUAAUUUUUAAAAGUUACUUAAAAUUUAAAUACUAAAUCAAUUAGUACCACAAAUUCAUGGAAAAAAAUUGAUUUAUUACUACUAUAUUGUUUCUCUAUUGCAUAGAACCAUUAUUUUUCAAUUUUUUCAUUUGGCAAAUGAACAUCAAAUUAAACAAGACUAAGUGUAUUAAAUUCAUUAAUGGGUCUAGUAAUUUUUUAAAAUAAUUUAAAAUUCAAAUAUUGAUACUCCAAAUUAAACAAGACUUAGGUGGUGUUUGUUUUUUGGUUGAAUAGAAAAAGGUAAAAUAUUUGACUUUUUCUAUUUAGUUAAAAGUAACUUGUUGACAUCGUCCAAUAUAAUUAAAGUAAACCUAUUGAGGGCAAGUUCACUUUAAUUAUGUUGGACGAUGUCAACAGGUUACUUUUAACUCAAUAGAAAAAAUCAAAUAUUUUGACUUUUUUUUUAACUCAAAUAAUAAAUCCAUUAAUACAAAAAAAUUAUGGAUAAUUUGAAACUUUCUUUCUUUUUUUUUUUUUUUUUGCUACACAUAGCUAUAUUUUUAUAAAUUUUAUCAUUAGAGAAAUGGAUUUCAAAUCAAGUGAAACUUUGUAUUGAAUUAAUGGAUUUAACAUUUUUUAAAAAUAAUUUGGAACUAAAAAAAAAAGAUUUAAUUACUAAGAAAAUCAUAGAUCAAAACUAAUAUAUUCUGAUCCAUGAUUUUAUUAUUUUUCCUAUACAUACAAUUAUAUUUUUAUAAUUUUCUCACUAGGUAAAGAUAUUAUAAAUUAAGUGACACAUAAUUAAUAAUUUAAAUUUUUGAAUGAAUCUUUUAAUUUUAGGAAUAAUUUGAAAUUUAAAAAGUUGAUCCAAUUAAUUGUAAAUUAACUUAAAAUAUUAUAAAAUAUUAUGUUCAUAAUUAAGUACUAAAUGUAUAUAUGUAAUGAAAACUUAACUAGUUACAUGUUACAAAAGCCAAAAUUUAUUCAUUCUUUAUUUUAAAUAAAAUAUUAUUAAUAAUUAUUUUUUUUAAAAUAAUAUUUAGUAAUUAUUGUUUUUAAAUUAUUAUUAUUAAUUUUUAAUAAAAAAAUUGCAAAGUUAUUAAUAUCAUUAUAUUUCUAACAUAAAUUUAAAUAGUAUAUUUUUUAAUAUAUAUAUAUAUAUAUAUAUAUAUAUAUAUAUAUAUAUAUAUAUAUAUAUAUAAUUUAUGAUUUCAUUAUAAUAUUUUUAUUCAUGAUUGACGAAAAAUUAUUUAUUGUUUAAUUUAUUUGAAUUGCAAAACUAUUUUUCAAAAUUCAAGCGAGAAAAUAGGCCUGGAUUUGAAUUUCCUGUAGAAGAGAAGGAUGUGGAGAAUAUGUUGGGAGUAUUUGUGGAUAAAGAAAAGGCCAGGGUACUGAGAAAGGAGAGAGAACUUGCUCUUGCCAAAAGAGCCCUGCACAGGUAUUCUACUGAUUCUAAUUAUCGGUUCUUACAUGAUCAGAUUUCAGAUUUAUUUGCUGAGCUUCUGAAAUCUGAUACAGUAUUUAAACUCCGGUGAGCUUUACAAGAUUAGUCUCGCAUCCAAUUCCAAAUGGUGUCCCACAAUUGAUUCUUCUUAUGAUAAAUCCACCUUGAUAUGUGAAAAUAUUGCUCGAAAGGUUUAUCCUCGCGAGGAAUAUCCAGAAUACUAAGGAAUUGAGGAGGCUCACUAUGUUUAUAGAGUCAGGGAUAGGUUGAGAAAACAAGUAGUUGUUCCAUUACAUAAGGCCCUGGAGUUGCCAGAGGUUUUCAUGUGUUCGAACAAGUGGGGAUCACUUCCCUACAACCCUGUGGCUUCAGUGGCCAUGAAAUCAUACAAGAGCCUCUUCUCAAACCAUGAUACAGAGCGGUUUGGUGAGUAUCUUGAGAAAGUGCAAACUGGGAAGGCUAAGAUUGCAGCUGGUGCAUUACUUCCCCAUGAGAUUAUAGCUUCAUUGAAUGAGGAGGAUGCCGAGAGAGUUGCCGAGCUUCAGUGGGCAAGAAUGCUGGAAGAUUGAUCAAAGAAAGGGAGGCUCACAAAUUGCAUUGCAGUAUGUGACGUAUCAGGAAGUAUGAGUGGAACUCCAAUUGAGGUGUGUGUGGCUCUGGGGCAGUUAGUUUCAGAGCUCAGUGAAGAUCCAUGGAAAUUAAGGUAAUGUAAUUACUUUCAGUGCAAAUCCUGAGCUUCACAAGAUCCAAGGAGACAGCCUUGUAUCCAAGACUGAAUUUGUGAGGAUGAUGGAAUGGGGUGCCAACACUGACUUUCAGAAAGUUUUGACAGAAUCUUACAAGUAGCAGUGGAGGGAAAUAUGAGUGAAGAUCAAAUGAUAAAGAGGGUUUUCGUUUUCAGUGAUAUGGAGUUCGAUGAAGCUUGUGGGAGGUAUAACUAUUGUGACUAUGACUAUGAUAUGGAGGAAAUUGACGAGAGUCAGAAGGCAUCUCAGAAGUGGGAGACAGAUUAUGAAGUGAUACAGAGGAAAUUCCAGGAGAAAGGAUACAGAAAAGUUCCAGAGAUAGUGUUUUGGAACCUUAGAAACUCAUCAGCGACUCCAGUGACGGCCACAGAGAACGGGGUGGCCUUAGUAAGCGGGUUUUCAAAGAAUCUGUUGACCUUGUUUUUGGAAGGAGGUGGAAUUCUGAUCCCUCAGGAUGUGAUGGAAUUCGCCAUCUCUGAUGAAGAUUACAAGAAACUUGUUCUAUUUGAUUAAGAUAUCAAGAGAUUUAUCAAUAAUAAUAUAUUUUUUUUCUAUGUGAAAUACAUAUAAUAUUAACUGUGGAGUUAUCAAAGUUCUGGAGGUUUAAUUAUUUCUUCUUUUCAAGUUUUGUUUAUUUAAGGUUUUCUUUGUCUUUGUUAGGAAUUCCCCUUGGGUGGACCCAGCUGGGGAGUUGGAUUGAGGAAGUAAGCAGGCGAACUUGUGUUCUUCUAUGGACAGAGAAAAAAAAUAAAAUAAAAAAAUAAAAAAGGAGGUUAUUUGCAUUUGGAUGUCGUGGUUUGAGGGUACAACUACAAGCUCGAAAUUGUACAUAAUGUGAAAACUCCUGUGUCCAUUGCUGAGAACAGCAUAAAUGAUGGUGAUUUUCAAGUUGUGCCUGGUAUUCUACAGGAUGAAACAAGAAAGGAUCCAGGUGGUAUAUUGAACAAUAUCCCAAUCAUGUUGGUGGCAUCUUUAUUUAGUUAAUGGUAUUCAUUUGGUGGAAGCUGGUUGUUUAUGAUGUUUUUAAUUUUUUUUAACAUGAAGUUCGAUCAAAUACGUAUCUUAGUAUGUUUUGUUUGAGCUAAUUGGCAAAUGCGCUUUAAACAUGGUCACAUGGAUGCAGUUUUAUUUGUGAAAUGAUAAUAGUCGAUUACUUGGUCAGUAAGGUUUAUAUCUCUAACUUCAACAUCUUAUUGUAGUCUUUUAAAAUGUCAAAAGUUUAAUGCUUGAGAAAUUUUGGAAUGGAGACAUUCUAAACAAAGUUAAUAAUCCACAAGACUUGGUAAAACCGAUCAGAUGAUGCUUACGUACAUCAAUGCCUUCUUUAAGCCAUAUCCUAUUUUCAUUGAACGGGAUGUGCCAUCUAGUUUGGUUCUUUAAGCCUCCAAAUCCUAAACCUAGUCUCAAUUUAGAGCAAAUUUAGGGUGCAGGGCCUGCAUGCCUCCCCCUCCCCCUUCCACAAAUAGUAGUGACCUUGCUAUGCCUAUGCAUUGUCAAUGCCUCAUUUUCUAUGGUCUCCAAUGUAAUAUCUUAGUUUCAAUGUCUCUUUCCUUACUAUCUCCAAUGCAAUAGAUUGAUUUCAAUACCUCUUUACAACUAAGACCUCCAAAUUUUCUUGGUUCAAACCUACCAGAAUUUUUCUUCUCCUUUGCUUUCUAUCAAUAUUAGUUCCCCUAAUUUAAUAUAUACUUCUUUAUUACCUUCAACUCUACCUCUCUUUCUUUCUCUAAAAGCUUCCUCAAAGAUUUAAUUGCUUUCUUGCAUGUUUUAAGAAAACAAACAUGCUCAUAUUACAUUACCUCUACUUGAGAUCUACCUUAUACUCUACCUUCUUUCUUUACCUCCUAUAUCAUCUACUACAUUAGCUUCAAAAAUAUUAUUUAGUUUGAUACUAAAUAAGGCUCCUAAUCCUACUCUUCCUUCAACAAACUUUCUUUUUACAAGUUCCUUAAACUUUAUUUUUUAUUUUUUAUUUUUUGGAAAUUCGGGUUAGAAAGAUUCCAUUACUCUUACCUAAUAUUUCAACCAUCAAGUUGAAUCCACUUAUUGCCUAAAUCCAAGGAGUCUGCCCUCCACAAAAACAAGGAAAUUGAUCCCACAAUAACAAGGAGAUUGCCUUCCACAGAAACAAAGAGAUCUCCCUUCACAGAAGCCGAAUACAUUGCAAUCUAUUUUCUUUCUUGUAAGAUCAAAUCUUCAAUCGAGCUCCAUCUUAUGGGGGCAUAUUAGAGAAAUUUAAUAUUAUCCUUAAUUUACAUAUUAAUAUUUAUCUAUUUAUUAUAUAUUGAAUUAAAAUAGAAUAUAGAAUUUGAAUCAUAGUAGAAGUUUACUAUAAGAUUGAAUUACAAUAGUUAAUAGAGUUUAAAUUAUAAUAACUCAAAUACAUUUAUAUAUAUUUGACCUUACGAGAUUUUCUAUUUAUGUAUUUGAACUACAAUCCUUAUGAUCCUUAGGUCUCUAUACCUUCGUGAUGGGCUCCUUGACAUUUCAUAGGUUGUGCUACACAUGCAUUUGAAAUUUAGAGUGCAUUUGACAGUGAUUCUGGGAAGUGUUUUUGGCAUUUCUAACACUUAAAAUUUUUUAUUUUUCAAGUAUUAGAAAUGCUACAAACACUUUUGAAAAUUACUGUCAAACACACUCUUAGGAGCGCAUAUAGUAGAAAACUAGAAAUUGUGGUUUUUUUAGGAUUUACUGUAAUGUCAUUAGGAGGGUAGUAAGUUGAAACUGAGUAUGAAUAAAUAUUUCUUUCUUUGGGAUGUUCUUCUGGUAGGUGCUGAUGAAACUGUUCUUUUUACUGCCAAUGUCACAUAUCAGCCAGAAAUUGAAAAUUUCAGUCAAGGUGUCCUCGGUUUUAGUGGUGAGGAAAGCUAGAAAUUUUAAGGUGAAGUUCUGUUAAAAACCUUAAGUAGCUGGGAUAUCAGGCCUGUUUUGCUUGAAAAAAAAAGUUGCAAGAUAACUCAUAUGCCAAACAGGUUCUGAUAUUGUGAAUCUAUCGGCAGACAUCAGUAAUCUCAUCUUCUGAGAUGGAUGUUGGGGGUGCAUGUGGUGGUGGAGGGGCAAGGUUUCAUUUGGUUUAUUUUGUUGAUGGAUAUUGUCUAGCCCCCUGCGCCAAGUUUGAGGGGUGGUGGGUUGUGAUGGCCCUACAAUUACUAUUAAUUUCUUCCUCUUUUACCGAUUAAAGUGUCCGAACAGUCGAAGUUACCCUUAUGCAUGUCAACUUGAUCACUUACCUCUUCAAUGGAGUUUAUGCUGGUUCAUUUAGGAACUGAUUUUUAUUGUUAUGCAUUCUAUGCUGAUGUUUAGGCCUCUCCAUCAUCACUAUAUACAAAAAUUCUAGGUUGAUACUAUAGGUUGAGAUUUAUUUUUUAAAUAAAAAAUAAUAAAAAUAAAAAUUAUGGUGAUGUUUAGUUGUUUUAUGGAAAAUUUUAACAAGUUAUUUUUGGGCAAGUUUUCAAACAAAAAGAAAAGUAAAAGUUGUUUUGACAAAAACAUAUAGAAAAAAAAAAUCAUAGAAAAGAAAUAAUUUCCCCAUAUUCUAACUUUUUUUAAUUUUUCUCAAUGGGCAAAGGAAUAUCAAAUCAAGUUUGAGUAGGAUUUCUUAAUUUUUAAAAUAACUUACAAUUAAAAAAUUUUGGUGUUUUCAUUUUUGGACAAUUUUUUAUUAAGCAAAUGGACUCUGAGUCAUGCAAGAGAUAUGGUUGAUUAAUGGGUCAAACAAUUUUUUUAAAAUAAUUUAAAACUCAAAUACAUAAUCAAUGUCACAAAAUUUAUAAACAAAAAUAGGUUUAGAGAAGAUCUACACAUAAUUUUACUUUUCUAAUUUUAUUUUAUUUUAUUUUUUUGUUGGAAAAUAGUCUUCAAAUCAUGUAAGAUUUAAUAGGUUAAAUUUGUUAACAAUAAAUUUUAAAUUAUAAAAUAUAAUCUGGAACUUAAAAAUCAAUUCAAGUAAUGCUAAAAAAAAUCAAAUUUGGUAUAGAAUGACUACGUAAAAUUUUUUACAAAACAAAUGAAUUUUAAAUCAAGUGAGAUUUAAUGCAUUAGAUUUUUAUCAAAUAUAGUAAUUUUAAAAUUUAAUUUGGAACUCAACAAUAGACACAAUAAAUACCAAAAAAUAAUGAACCAAAAUUGGUUUGGAAUAACUCCACAACCUCUUUUUUUUUUUUUUGGUGCACACGAAUUUUCUUACUAGGUAUAUUGCUUUCAAAUUGAGAAAGAUUUACUAUUUAGAUUUUUUUUUUUAAUGAGUUUAAUGGUAUUUUAAAAUAAUUCAAAAUUUCAAAAAUUGACUAAUUACUAUUAUAAAUUCAUAAACCAAGACUAAUUCAAAAUGCAUUGGGGGCUAAGGGGGUUGAAAAUAGGGACAAUGGGAUGGGUUUGGGACAUGACACUCAUAUCUCAUUUCCAUUCCAAUUACAUAGUUAUCUCCCAUCCUUAUCCCAAACUUGUGUUGGAGCAAGUUGAUUUGUUCCCAUCUUUGUUGAUGAAAUGACUAAUAACCUCAUCCCCUCCUUAUCUUAGAUGUACAUUUUGUCAAAUUUGAUCAGGUAUGAUUGAUCCAAGCCCUAACCCUAAUUGGUAAUGACUGGAUACUACACCUAAUUGCAUUCUUCUUUCGUCGCAAAAUAAUGAGAUUAUAAUAAUCUAGCAAAUAAGAAAAAAUAGUAUGGAAGUUCAAUUUAACACCAUAACUAUCAAUAAUUUUAAGCUUAUAGAUGACUUAAAUGAUUAAAAACUAAUGCAAAAUACCAAAAAAAAAAGUUCAUAUAAAGAAUUCACAAGAGAACAAAAUGAACAAAAACCAAAUAUGAACAUGGGUCAACAUUAGUUAUGGAUUUGGAUUCCUUUCAAGGCCAAUCUUUGAACCAAGACUUCAUCAAAUCUACUACUUCAAAGGCUUUUGUGUUCUUCUUGGGUUGUGCUCUCAAACAAAGACUUCAAGGUGAUGCUCUAGAUGAUUGCAUUACACAUAUUUAGGGUGGAGAGAUUGGAGAAGCUUGAAGAUGCCAACGAUGGGUACAAUUGAGUGGUCAAUAAGAACAAUGUAGCCUAUGACUAGUUUGAUGUCGUGGUACAAGAGUUUUAGGCAUUGAGGUUAAAGCAAGAGCAACAUGGAAUUGAUUUUGGAGUCUUUCAAUUAGUGUAAAGGAGGAAGAAGUGGUAUUGAUUCUAGAAAUAGGGUUUUAGGUGGUGCGUUAGAGGAUGAAGAAGAAGAAAAAGAAGGAUCUGUUGGAAUUAGUGUGAGUGUGAAGAGAGAAGUAUAUAAAUAAGGGGAAGUAAAAGCAAAGUUCUAAAAGCUAUAUUUUUUUUUAUUGUUGGUGUAUGGUUGCAUGAUUAUCCCUAUAAAUAAUAGGAGUUUUUUUGGUAUUCUACUAGUAGUUGAAGGAUAAUUUCAUAAAUUUAUAUUUAGAGUGGGGUGGGGUGAGUUGUGACAAAAUUCAUACCCGUCCUAAACCUUGGUUCAGAUUUUUAAAAUAUCCUCAAACUUAUCAUAUACCCAACUUUUAUAUUUCAUACUUGUCUUGAUAGAGGCAGGUUAGGCCGGGUUACUUGAGUAACCUACAUAAUUGUCAUCCCUAGUUGAAAUACACUUUUUUGGCAGUGGCCACCAACUGAGCUAGAAGCUUGAUCGAUUGACCUACAAGAUUAGUUCUCAUCAUUUUAAAAAAAGUUUUGGCCUUGGUUGUGAGUGCAAUUGAAUCUAAACUGGCAUUUCCUUAAUGCAUCUACUUCAAUCCUAAAUUUCUUACUUCCUAAGCCUCAAUUGUUGUUAGGAUUUUGGAAAGCCCAUUUCCUUAAAUUGUAAAUUUAAGAAAAAAUAAAAUAAAAGUGAGACAUUUCUUGAUUGAAUAUUGUUAAAGGUCCCUUGGCAUUAAGACUUGGUUGAAGCCUUGGAAGAUUAGUGGAACUCUCAACUUGUGUUUGAAUCUUGAGGAGAGUGGACGUAAGCCAAAAUUUUGUCAAACCAUUAAACAAAUUGAGUUUGAAUCCUCAUUUCUUGAUUUCUUAUUUAUUUGCUUUUUCUUAUUAUUACUUGAAUUGUCAUUUGCAUUCAUUAAUGUUAAAAUUGGUUAUAAUUAACCAACACUAAUUCUCUUUCCCCUUCCCUUUCUUGGGUGUAAACCUAGGUUGGAUUAACUAGAUUAAUUUAUAAAAUCUAUUAAGAUGGUAAAAGAAUAAUUAUUCUUAACACACAUAAGAUCAUCUUCAAUCAAAUGACUCAUUGGCUAAUAUGUUGAAUUUGCUUAUUACUUGCAACUCAAAAUUGUGUUCUAGUUGAUAUGUCAAGUCCCCAGUGUAUGGACAUUAAAUUUGUAGUACGUGAUGGUAAUUAGAUGGUCCAACUCCAAGAAAGUGAUUGAAAACUAGUUCAAGAAAGGUGCAAAAGGGAAUUGUUUUGGUAUUUUCGUUUUUAUUCUUGAAGGUGGCAGAGCUAAAAUUUGUGAAAUCAAGCAAAACAUACUGAAAUUACAUUGAAAGAAAGAAAAUGGGAGUUAAUGUCUUGCAGUAGAUGAUAAGGACUUCAUGCAUGUAGUAUGACCCAUGUCUUGGACUGAUGCCAACUCACGGUUACACUUAUACCCUUGGUUCUCUCUUUACUACCUUGGCUAACCUAGAUCAGGCUAUGAGAUAGGCUCCUCACCACACCAUUACUUGCCCAUUAAUUAGAGACAUUUUCAAGCACUGAGGUAACAUGGUGACACCAAGAGGGUUUAUUCCUCGCCCUCCUCGCCCUCAACAAGUCUAGACUUGGUCUCAAAAAAAUGGAGAAAAAUGAGGUGUCGUUAUGUAGAAAUACAACAACCAUGCCUUCCUCAUUACUUUGAUUCAGAAUGUGAAGGUGAAAUUGAGAAACAGAAACUCUUGAAACCAAAAUGAAAAUUGAUACUUUUACGAAGAAUUACAACAACAUUGGAGGAAGACUACAUUCUUCCUCUUUAUUCCUACAUUUCUACACUACUUCUACUCCACUCCAUAUUUCUACAUACAUCUUUAAUCAGUCUUCCCUCCUUUAUAUAGAGCCAUCUUCACACAAAUUCCGCAAGGUAGAAAAGAGGAAUGAAACUUGGAGCAAGGUUCGACUACUGGCUGUAGCUUGUCAAGGCUGGAAGUGAACCUUUUUUCUUGGCUUUUCUGGGCAUGGGUAGUAACUUGUGGGUUCCUUUUUGGGAUACAAAUGGCUAGAACAUGUGGCACUAUCUUGUUGGAUGAUGUGUCAAGCAUGUGGCAGCCAUCUAGUGGCGAUUAUGUCAAUUUUGGGAUGGAGAGUUGGCAUCCAAUUGCAAAGAAAUAUGACGUCUACCAACAGGCAAUGUAAACCUAUGUAGAUCAUAUGAAGAUAGAGAGGAAAAAUAUAGAAAUGGAUAUAUACCUAGAACUAGCUUUUUAUUAAAUGAAACGGAGAGCCAACAAUGAAGGAAAAUAAAUUUUUUUGGCUUAUAUCAAAGAGUUCACAUUGUGCUACCCUAGGUUUUCUUAAAACUUACUUUUAUGAUAACAAAAAAAAAAAAAAACAUUAUUGUUUAAUCCUUUGUUUUAAACGCAUGUUUAGCAAGUUAUAAAAUGUAAAAAUCUUUCUAAGUUCAAAUAUGAAGAUAUGACAUCAUUUCAAGCAAGAUAGUCUCUAGGAAUUAAUGUAAAGCUAAAUUAAGGUGAAAUUAAAUUAGUUCAAUGCAUUAAUUUAAGAAACUUGACCUAUCAAAAGUACAAAAUUAGAUGAAAUCCAUUUCAAUGGUUAAAAUGAUCAAAAUCAAACUUUUUCUAAGUAUUUUUUAAAAGUAUCAAUAUUGAAAGACAAUUUUAUAUUUAGUCAGAGUUUGGACAAAACCAAAAAGCACACAAAAUCCAAGCGACCAUCUCUAGCUUGGAUGGUCGCUUGAUCUCUAGCUUGUGUACUUGGAAAGCAACAUCGAGAUGAUAUAUAUAUAUAUAUAUAUUUUAUAUAAUAUUGUUUGUCCAAAUUCCCUAAAAAUUAGGCCACCACAUGUUCAUAAUUCUCCCUUCUUGAAUUUGAAAACUCGGACAAUUGGACAAUGCGACACCUAAGUCCGGUUUCUAAAUGCUAAAGUGAAAGGGUAGGUAUGGACCAUUGAAAUGUGAUCACAACUUUUCUCUGUAGCCAUGUUGUCUCUUUUUUCUUUUGCAUGAUUUUCUCACCUUAACAGAAUCAUAGACUUGUUUAAUCUCUAAAUGGGAUUAAUUUCAUCCAGCUUUAAGCUACUAUAUUAUAUCUAGGUGGAGGACUUUUAAGAGUGCAACCGACAUAGAGCACAUGCAAGUGGGUAUAUGGGACAUGAAAUUUCUUCUUAUAAAGAUUGCAUGAUUUUUAUAUUAGAGUUGUUGGGGCGCAAUGUAUGUAGCUUGUUUUGCAGUUAAAUUAAUUGGAUAAGUAGACAUUGGCGUUUCUAAAUCUACUGUGAAGUGCUUCAUGUACGUGUGAAGUAUUAGAAAUUUCUUUCUUGGCAACUUGUUUUUUCUUUGCGGUCUACUGAUAGGUUUGACUAAAAUUAUAUUCCCUGUCAUGCUAAUUAAUUUUCACGUGCAUGCUCAAAAGAAGAGUAUGACCUUAGUGCACCAAAAUCACUUUGAUUAAUUUGUGAUAGGUUUUUGUGCAUCAUGACAUUAGCCUUAUUCAUUUAGAUAAUGUUUAGUUUUUAGAAAGUAUUAAGAAAAGGAAAAUAAAUAUUAAGAAAAAUAUUCUUAUAUUUGAUUGUAUUAUGAAAAAUGUCAUAAAAAAAUCAAAUAUAAUUUAAAUUAAUUAAUAAUUUAUACAUUUUCAAAUUAUUUAAUCUUUAUAUUGAAGAUAUAAUAUAAAUGAAAUGAGUUUUAAGUAUUAUAUAAAAGUGAUUUAUUGAUCUUGCAUAUAUGUAUUUCUUUUUUUUUUCUUCUAUUUUUUUUCUUUAUUUUAUUUUCCUUAUGUUUUCCUCAACAUUUUCCGGAACCAAACAUAGCCUUAGGAAAUCCACAAUUACCUUCAACUGAGUAUAUUCGGUUGUUUUAGCAAUGUUAGGCUGCUAACUUGUGUUGGUACGAACCUGUUAAGCCUAAAGAUGUAAUUAGUUAGGAUAUUCUUUUCCCUCUAGUCUUGUAGCUCCACGUGUAUAGUUGGUUAGGACCUCAUUGUAUAUAAUGCCUGCCCUGUUAUUGUUGAAGACAACAGAGAUAAAUAAUAUUAACAUUUUUCCUCUCAUCUCUCUUUGUUUCCCUCUGUUUUCAUCUCCUCUCUCAUCUUGGUAUCAGAGCCUCCAUGGAUUCUUUCAAAGAAACCUCCGAAUCACCUUCUGCUAGCAUUGUUAAUGUGCAAAACCCAUUAUCUCAGUCAAACAACCUUCCUUCACCAGCAGCCACACCCUCUUUUUCUUUCUUGUCUAUGAAUCAACCUCUCACAGUGAAGCUGGAUAAUGGAAACUACCUCAUCUGGAAGAAUUAGCUUCUGAAUGUCAUCAUUGCGAACAGACUCGAUGAUUUCAUUUAUGGAACUCGACCCUGCCCUCCUUGAUUUCUCAAUCUGCAACAACAAACCCUCACUCCAGAGUACUCGGUCUAGCAGAGAUACAAUCGACUUCUAAUGAGUUGGCUGUACGCAUCCUUGUCCGAAGAUAUAAUGACUCAGAUUGUUGGGUAUUCAACAACUGUGGAGAUUUGGAACGUCCUUAAUCAGAUUUACUCUGCCUCUUCAAUGGCGUGGGUUACCGAGCUUCACACCAAGCUUCAAACGCUCAAGAAAGAUGGACUCUCAGUUGGUGAAUAUAUUCAAAGGCUCAAAUCCAUUUGCAAUAGUCUUGCAGCAAUAGGAGAACUAGUUUCUGAGAAAGACCAGCUUAUCUAUUUGUUCAAUGGAUUAUAUUGUGAGUAUAAUUCUUUUGUUACCUCCAUUCAAAAUCGAUCUGACCAACCAACUAUUGAGCAAAUCCAUAGCCUAUUGCUUAGCUAUGACUUUCGGCUUGAACAACAAAACUCUGUUUCUCUCCAUUAUGCCCAAGUCCGUAUGGCUCAUCUGAACAAGAAACCUUAUAAAUCAACUCCUCAACCUACAUUCAAUCAUAUUCACAUUCAACCUAGAUACUCUUCUCCACCUUUUAAGCCAACCACUAGUCAAUAUCAACCCAGGAUUUUGGGCAAACCACAACCACAACCAUGACAGCCUCAACCUCAAUGGAAACCACAUUUUUCAAUCCAGAAUCAAAAGCCUCAGUGCCAAAUUUGUGGUAAAUUUGGACACACUGCUCUUAUUUGCUUCCAUUGCACAAAUUUGAACUAUUCACCCCAACCUUCUCCUAAAUCUUUCAAUACUGUUCUCACCACAAAUUCCCAGCUCCCUAAUCCUCCAAAAUUUUCUUACCCUACAAUGGCUCAUCCUGCUGCUACGCAUAACACGAUUCCUGAUACAAAUUGGUACAUGGACUCAGGUGCUACACAUCACUUUACUCCGGACAUCAACAUGCUUGACACUGUGACACCAUUUAGUGGUUUAGAACAGGUGACAGUUGGGAAUGGUAAGCAACUCUGUAUCUCACAUCUUGGUACUGCAAAACUACCAUCCUCGUAUUCUCCUCUUGUUCUACAUCAGGUAUAUCACACUCCAAAAAUUUCAAAUAAUCUUAUUAGUGUUAGAAAAUUGUGUUCUGAUAAUAAAGUUUUUGUUGAAUUUUAUGCCACUCAUUUUCUUAUCAAAGAUCAAGUUUCGAAGAGAGUUCUCUUUCAAGGUCAACUUGAUAAUGGCUUAUACAAAGUUCAGUCGUCAUGCUCUCCUUCUACUAUUUCCUUUCAUCCUCAAGUUUUCAUAGCCAACAUCAAGGAUCAAAAUUUGUGGCACAAGAGACUAGGCCACCCAGCUUUAUCUGUUAUUAAUCAAAUCUUGGAUUCUUGUAACAUUGCUCGAACACAGAAAAUUGGUUUUAAUUUUUGUAGUUCUUGUCAAUUAGCAAAAAGCCACAGGCUUCCUUUUUCUCUGUCUCCAUCCAUUGCAGAAAAACCUUUUGAGUUAAUUCAUACAGACCUAUGGGGUCUUUCUCCUGUUCGCUCUAUUUCUGGUGCUCGUUAUUUUUUACUUUUCAUUGAUGAUCAUACUCGUUUUACUUGGUUUUAUUUGCUCAAAACAAAAGAUGAAGCAUAUCCUACUUUUCUCAAGUUUCAAGCUCUCAUUGAAAAUCAAUUUAAUACCAAGAUUAAGGUUGUCCAAUCUGAUUGGGGAGGUGAGUUUCGAUCUCUCUCCAUACUGUUUUCAAAUAUGGGCAUUGUCUAUCGUUUAUCAUGUCCAUACACCUCACAACAGAAUGAGUGGGUUGAGCGAAAAAAUCACCAUGCGGUUGAAAUGGGAUUGUCCUUUCUUGCUCGCUCGGGUAUGCCCUUAUCUUAUUGGCCUUAUGCCUUUCAAACUGCCACUUACCUUAUUAAUCGUCUCUCUACCCCUGUGCUGCACCAUCAAUCCCCUUACUUCGCACUCUAUCACAAAUUCCCAGCUUAUACUCAUCUUAAGGUCUUUGUUCCUCUUGUUUUCCAUAUUUACGCCCUUAUAAUACCCAUAAACUCCAAUACAGGUCACUGGAGUGUGCUUUUCUUGGUUGCAGUUCACACCACAAAGGUUAUCUAUGUCUUGACAUUCAUUCUAGCAGGGUGUAUAUUUCUCGCCAUGUGAUUUUUAAUGAAGAUUCUUUUACAUUCAAGAAUUUGAAAUCUUCUCUCUCUUAGUCUAUUUCUUCUUCCUCUUCUUUAUUAGUUCCUCUGUUCAUUUCCUUGCCUCCCCUCUCCCCAUAUCCUCCUAUUUCUCCAUCUAUAUCUCAUUCUUUUCUCUCUUCUUCUUCUACCUCUAGUACUUGUUCCCCUCUCGUUGCUCCUACCUCUCUUCCUCCCUCUUCACACUUUGUGUCCCAUCUAUUCCACCUCCUUCUCCACCUUCUUCGAGUGUGGACCUGCUUGUACCUUGUGUGAAUACAAAUUUACUUACUUUUUCUCGCACUCACAAUAUUCAUCCUAUGGUGACCAGAUCUAAGGGUUUGUAUCUAUAAACCUAAGUUGCUAUUGAGUGUCUCCAUAGGUUCUCUCACUAAGCCUACUUCCUUUCUUCAAGCUAUUAAAGAUCCUUCAUGGAAGCAAGCCAUGGAAUUGGAGUUUGCUGCCCUUCAACACAACAAGACCUGGCAUCUAGUUCAUUCACCUUCCUCAGGCAAAGUAAUUGGUUGUAAAUGGGUCUAUAAGAUAAAGCUUUAGCCUGAUGGCUAAUUGAGAGAUACAAGGCCCGCUUAGUAGCUUAGGGUUAUCAUCAAACUGAAGGUAUUGACUACUUCGAAACAUUCAGCCUGGUUGUCAAGCCUUCUACUACCGUAUUGUGCUCAGUCUUACUUUUUCCCAGAAUUGGUGUAUUAGACAGCUGGAUGUUCAUAAUGCCUUCUUACAUGGUGACUUAGCUGAAGACGUUUUCAUGGAACAACCACCUGGAUUUGUUGAUCCUCUCUAUCCUACUCAUGUCUGCAAGUUGGAUAAGUCUCUCUACGGUCUUAAUAGUCACCUCGGGCUUGGUAUACUAAGCUGAGUACUUCUCUACUACACUUGGGAUUUGUUACUUCUAAGAAUGACUCUUCCUUAUUUAUUUGUCAUUCGUCUCAUGGGUUACUUCUUGUUCUUGUCUAUGUGGAUGAUAUAAUCGUCACUGGGAGCCACUCUCCUCAAGUUACUCACCUUAUCCAAUAGUUGCAUCAUCAGUUUUCUUUAAAGGAUCUUGGUCAUUUACACUAUUUUCUGGGCUUGGAGGUUCAUCACACCCCUACUGGUAUUCACCUCAGCCAAGCAAAGUAUAUCACUGAUCUCCUUACCCGGGCGGCUAUGUUGGAUGCCAAGCCAUGUCCCACUCCUAUGUCCUCCAACACAUAUCUUUCUCUUCAUGAUGGAGUGGCUCUUGAAAAUGGUUCAGAUUAUUGAAGUUUUGUUGGUGCCCUUUAGUAUUGUACCAUGACACGCCCAGAUAUAGCUUUUGCAGUAAAUAAAGUGUGUCAAUUCAUGCACCAUCCCUCUGAUGUUCACUGGCAGGCUAUAAAACGUAUUCUCCAGUACUUAAAGGGCACAUCUCAUUUUGGUCUCUUCCUACAGCCUUCCUAUGACUUCAACAUCACUUGCUAUACAGAUGCCGACUGGGCUUCCUGCCUUGAUGACAAGUGUAGCACCAGUGGCUACUGCCUCUUUCUUGCCUCUAAUCUGGUUUCUUGGUCAUCUUCCAAACAAAAAGUGGUCUCCCGCUCCAGCGCCAAAUCAGAGUACCGAGGGGUAGCAAAUGGGGCUGCUGAAAUUGCUUGGACUGAAUCUCUUCUUUGUGAACUUUCCACCCACUCGACCUCCCCUCAUUGUCUGUGACAAUAUCAGUGCCACAUACUUAGCUGUCAAUCCUAUUUUGCAUGCCCGCACCAAAACAUGUGGAAAUCGACUAUCACUUUGUCUCGGAACGUGUUCUUCAACGCUCUCUCUCUCUCCAGUUUACACCUUCGGAUGAUCAACUUGCUGAUUGCAUGACCAAGCCUCUCUCCACCCAACGUUUCAUCACUCUACGCUCCAAGCUCACUGUUCUCACUAGACCAAUGAGCUUGAGGGGGGAUGUUAAGCCUAAAGAUGUAAUUAGUUAGGAUAUUCUUUUCCCUCUAGUCUUGUAGCUCCACGUGUACAGUUGGUUAGGACCUCAUUGUAUAUAAUGCCUGCCCUGUUAUUGUAGAAGACAACAGAGAUAAAUAAUAUUAACAUUUUUCCUCUCAUCUCUCUCUCUGUUUCCCUCUGUUUUCAUCUCCUCUCUCAUCUGAACCAAAUGAUCCAUGUUAACCUUGGCUUGGUUUGAUUUGGCUCUAUCUUAGAGAGCUCAAGGAUCACGUCAACUCUGGUUUCUACUAUUCAGGUCCAUUCCCAUAUGAACUGGUUCAAAUUUGAGAAAAUGGUAACAGACCUUUAGUGAUGUUGGUUUGGAGCCAGUUGCCAAACCCGCCCUGAGCUUUACCACUAAUGUCAAGGGAGAAAGCCUUUUGAACAAAAACAAUAGCUUCAAGAGACUGAAUCGUGGAUGAAAUCUGAUCCACAUUUCUUCUCAUUUUGGAAACAAAUGAGAACUUAACUAAGAAGAUUCUACGGCCUCAUAGUGCUUUUCCUGAUCUAAGGUUGGUUCGUUUCCCAAAUUGUGAGAUGCACGGGCCAGACUUCAGAACUCUCACGCUCAGGAGUGUAUCCACGUGGUGGACAUAAGAUGGUGGCUUAAGAUCUGGUGUCGGUGGCUUUACUUUACUAGGAGAGUAGUGUGUCUUCAUCUCAUUCACUGCCGGAGGGUGGCGUAAGCAGUGACGCUAAGGUGGGGCAUAGUCAAUAUCAUUUGCAUUUGACCAUUAUAGUUUUCUCCCGGCUUGAAAGUAACCUUAUCGUGAUAAAGGAUUACUAGCACUAGUUCAGAUGACAGUCAUGUUAAAUUCGGACCAUGUUUGUGUCACAUUAUCAGCAACCAUGUGUUUAUGGUUCAUGCUUUCUGCAACUGAAAUUGAAAUUGAUAUAUAACCAGGUGAACUUCAAUCUAAAUUCUGGAAGUACUCAUGUGAGCGAUGGUGCCCAUCUGCAGAGUCCAUCAAUUGAAAAAUGGAGUGAGUGUAUCUAUAAGAGGGAAGGCUUGGCAAAUGUCCAGUUUUCUGGGAAUUCAACAAGGAUCUAAAAUAGAUUGUUUUCUUUGCUGAUUUCAAUGGUUGAAAUUUGAGAAGAUUGUGUCCCACAUAACACAACUAUUACUGGUCCUUCUGUUGCAAUUUAUCCUCUAAGGCUCUAGCAUGUCUUCCAAUUCCCACUUCCCUGUUACUCCAGGAAAGCUAUUUCUGUCAUUGUGAAGAAGAAAAGAGAAUGUAGAUAUCGAUGCUUUUAAGUGACUGGAGCAUUCAUAUCAGGUGGUCUGCAGCCAUAUAUGCCACUUUGUGAAGAUUGGAACAGUCAAUCACUAGGCUAUAUAUUAGUGUGGCCCAGCCACUUUAAUCAAGGACAAUUCUUCAUACUUAAAAGUCAAAUUCUGCCUUUAGUCUCAUUAUAAAUUGCUGUUUAAAUAUUAAGCAAACAUUUGUUUAAUGCGAUUAAGACAGUACUAACUCAAUACUUGUUCUAUUUUUGGAUGGAAAUGCUUGAUGGUUUCAUCAUUGGAUGGGAUAAAGGUGCAUUCAUGAUUAUGAAUACUUGUAGUUAUAUUUUCAUUCUCUUUUUUCUCAAUGAGACUUGUUGGCACAAUUUUUCUGUUCAGAAACCUACCUCUCCAUGGAAAAUAAGUUGUGAUUGAUAGUACUGGAUAUAUUCAAGAAAGCUAAAUAUAGAUAGCACAAAAUAUUAUCGACAUAAAUAGCAUUAACAGCGUACGUAUGUCUCAGUGCUCAUCAGCCAUAAGCAUGGGGCAAACACUUACGAUGAGCAACUUACGUCAAAAUUCCAGAAUAGGACAUAGAAGUGACAGAUCUAUAUAUAUAGAACACUGCAUAAGAGUCACAAGAAAGGAAAUUACGGGUGCAUAGCAGCUCUUAUUUCACAUACUACUCAUACUGAUCAAAGUCACUCAGUUGGGAUGGGUGGGAGUAGGAGGUUUGUGGGGUGGCUUGUGCGGAGGAGUUGGCAGCUUCUUUCCAGGACCUGGUGGCUUCUCUCCCUUAGGUGGUUUGCCAACUGGGGUUGGUGGCUUGUAUGAGUCUUCAGCAUUCUCUGCAGGAGGGUGACCAGGGUUGUGACCAUAAUGUGGUGGCUUCUCUCCCUUAGGUGGUUUGCCAACUGGGGUUGGUGGCUUGUGUUCUGGGAGUGGCUUCUCCCCCUUGGGAGGUUUUUCCAAUGGGGUUGGUUUGUGUUCAGGAGGUGGCUUCUCCACUGGAGGCUUGUGUUCAGGAGGUGGCUUCUCCACCGGAGGCUUGUGUUCAGGAGGUGGCUUCUCCACCGGAGGCUUAUGCUCUGGUGGUGGCUUCUCCACCGGAGGCUUAUGCUCUGGUGGUGGCUUCUCGAAUGGGGGAUGCUUAGGGUAAUCAGCAAGUGAGGGGGCGGUGAGAACCACCAGGCCAAGCAAGACCACUAGCAAGUAUGUAGGAGACAUCUUUGGGUUUAGACUCAGAUGGUGCAAAACUAGGAGAAUUGUCUUUUAUAGCGGAUCGCACCCAAUAAUGAAAUGACACGUGUCUUUAUGACCCAUGUGUAAUGGGGUCGAUUUGGGUCCUACAGUGUUGAAAACUUCGACAUCCACUUUUGGCCUUUUGCUUUCUCUACAGCCGCCUUGCUUUUUCCCUCUUUCCUUUUGUUUUCCUCCUGCCCCAUUCUAUCAACUAAACACAAUUAUGUAGUUGUUUAAUUCUUAAAUGAGAUAUUAUCCGUCAAUCGUAUCAUAUUUUAUCAACAGAGAACGGAGUGCAAUGUGGCAAUCCAAAGAAAGAAGAUCCAUAAUGCAGCUGUAAUUUUAUCGUUUACUUUUAUCUCUUGGACCACUGCAUUUUUGUUAAGAGGUGCAAUAAUACACGUCUUUAUCUGCCAUUCAAUGUUUACAGUAAAGAGAGGGCACAAAACUCUUCACUGCUCUGCAUGUGUCCCAAAAAUGCAAUUGGACAAAUUAUGAUUUGCAUGCUAAAAAGAGGCAAAUGAGGUUAAUUCGCACCAUAAUUAUUUUGUUUUCUGGACCCCGGGGCCCUUUGGUUGGUUUGGGGGUCAGAAAAUGAACAUCAUAGGGGGUUUUUCCCUUAUGUGCAUUUGUAUCUGAUGGCUUUAACUCGCCUUGUUACUACAAAGAAAUUGUCACAUAUAGGAACUUAUUCCAGGCUGAGUAUCUCCGCAUAGACCCUAUAAAAGAAGACAAGUCAUAAUGAACAUCUAACCUUUGUUCAAUUUGAUUCAAUGCCCCAUUGUGUCCACCUCACAAAUCUGAAUUAUUAUAUCCAUUGAAUACAUAAAUUAAUGAAGAAAAUAUGAAACCCAAGAUACAUCUCUGCACAACCUCAACCCUGGUUGCUAUGUUUCCCUUCUAUUCACAUGAGGAUAUUGAUUACGGAAUAGGGAAACCUAGCAAGGGUUUACUCGGCUCUGGUUUGAUGCUAAUUGCCAAACUUGCAACAAGCCCUGAGUUUGAAGCUCACAGAAGAUGUUAUACAGGCAGGGAAAAACCUUCAGAGUUCGCUGCCAAAGAUAAUUAUUAAGGAGAUAUCACCAAGAGAAUUCCAAGGAGUCUGAAUCAAAGACAAAUUGGUCGUUCGUGGAGGUUCUUACUUUCUUUUGGGUAUAACUCACUGAGGGCACUGUCUUUUUUAUUUUCAUUUCACAUUUAGAGUUCUGUUCUGGAAACAUAUAAAAGGAGCAUCAGUUUGUUCUUGGGUAACCCAUAGUCGUGAGUGGGUCCAUUUGCAUGCUACUUAGUUGAAAAGUUGGACCAUUUGCUCCGACGCCUACCUCCUGGAUUCCAUGCUCGGAUAAAACAAGAAUAAAAAAAUAUUUAUAAUUUACAAAUGGGGGAAAGAAAAAAAUGUCAACAACAAACUAGGAAAAAAGAGUAGUAAAAUUCAUGUCACAUGCUAGUGAGAGAAGGGGUUGUUACACUCACUCGAAGUUCUUUUCAAAAUAUCGCAUGGUAUUUUAUUUUAUGUGUGAGCGCAGUUGUGAAUGGAACGUGCAAAAGUCCAAAUUGGUGACCUUUAAUAAAUAUUUAAAACAAAAAACGAAAAAAAGGAGGGAAAAGGGAUCAGAAAAGAUAAAACAAUGUGUACAAAAGCUCAAUUAGUUUGCAAAUUACUGUUUGGAUUUUGAUAGUAUUUUAUUUGAUGUAAAAGAGAAUUUAAGAUAUUUCCGAAACAAAAGCAUUAGUUUGCUCCAUGUCAAUUUCGGCAUUUCUCAUAUGUUUCACACAUACACAGAAGAGCAUCGUUUUUUAAAGCAUGCAUUUAUGUUGGAUUAAUUUGGAUUUUGUGGGAACUGGGGCAAGGAUCACAUGGAAGAGAGGUUGACUUUUUUCAGUACUUCAAUGGUUGAGACAGGUGAAGGCCUGAUUGAUACUGAAGCCUGAAAUUGCGACUCCGUCAUUUGUCAAAACAUAUGACAGCUUCCAUGCUCUCGUUUGGUUGCAUUGUUCUGUGGUCAUGCAUACAUGCCACUUAGUGAUCAGUCUGUAACUGUCAAUCAUUGGGCUUUGACUGAACAACAUCAGCCAUGUAUAAAUACUUGCAAAUCAAACGGUCUUCUUCCUCCCAUAAGGAAUUUCGGUUUAAUUAUGAAGCAUGCAUUUGGCUGACCAUCAUAAACCACUUCUUUAAAUUGAUGAAUGAUAGUUUUUCAUUCAUUCUUUCAUUCGUUCAUAUACAGAGUAUAUAUAGAGGGUAAUCAUCAUUCUAAGAAUGGGAAAGAAUGAUACAAGGAAAUAAUGAUAUAAAGAAAUAACAACUAAUAUUCUAAUAUCUCAACUUUCCUAAUAUCUAAACAUUCCUAAUAUCUCAACACUAAAUGAUAUAAAGAAAGAAUGAUAUAAGGAAAGCAUUCCUAAUAUCUCAACACUCCUCCUCAAGUUGGUGCAUAGAUGUCAAACAUGUCCAACUUGUCUAAAAAUUUUGAGAACAGUUGACUUGAGACAUCUUUGGUGAGGAUAUCGGUCAAUUGAUCUUCUGAUCGAAUCUUAGGCAAUUCCACAAUCUUAUCAUCCAACUUUUCCUUAAUGAAAAAUCUAUCCAUCUCGACAUGCUUUGUACGAUCAUGUUGUACUAGAUUAUGAGCAAUGUCACAUGCUGCUUUAUUGUCACAAAACAAUCGGAUUGGUUGCCUAGAUAGGUAACCUAAAUCCUAUAAGAGGAGUCUUAGCCAUAAUGCCUCACAAAGUCCUAAAGUCAUACCUCUAAAUUCCGCUUCUGCACUUGAACGAGCGACGACAUUUUGCUUCUUACUUUUCCAUGUCACAAGAUUACCACCUACAAAGGUAAAGUAACCAGAUGUAGAUCGCCUAUCAUCCACUGCACCGACCCAAACAGCAUUAUACUUCUAUACUCUGAUGAUCAACAUUUUUAGCGAACAAAAUUCCCUUCCUAGGAGCAUUCUUCAAAUACCUCAAAAUACGCAUGACUACAUUCAUAUGUUGCUCUCCAGGAUUAUGCAUGUAUUGACUCACUACACUCAAUGUAUAAGCAAGAUCUAGUCUUGUAUGAGCUAAGUACAUUAAUCUCCCCACAAGUCUCUGGUAUCUUCCCUUAUCGAUUGAUACUUGAUUAGGCUCAACACACAAUUUCAGACCUUCUUCUAUUGGUGUAUUAAUAGGUUGACAUCCCGACAUUCCAGUUUCCUGUAGAAGAUCUAAGGCAUACUUUCUUUGAGACAGAAAAAUUCCUUCACUUGAUCGAGAAACUUCAAUCCCAAGAAAGUAUUUCAGACGACCAAGAUCUUUCAUUUCAAAUUCUCUAGAUAGAUACUUUUGCAAAGCUUUUCUUUCUUCAGGAUCAUUUCCUGUAACUACAUGUCAUCCACAUAUAUCAUAAGUGUCGUAAUCUUACCAUGUUGCUUUUUCAAGAACAAAGUGUGAUUUGAAUUACUUUGAUGAUAGCCAAAAGCUCUCAUUGAUUUUGUGAACCUUCCAAACCAUGCUCUCGGGGAUUGCUUCAACCCAUACAAUGACUUCUUCAAUUCGCACACCUUCUGACAUUGCUUUUCUGACACCAUGCAUCCUGGUGGAAGAUCCAUAUAUACUUCUUCAGAUAAAUCGCCAUGCAGAAAGACAUUUUUUACAUCGAACUAUUGUAAUGGCCAAUCUAGGUUUGCAGCUAAAGACAAUAAUACUCGAACUGUGUUGAUCUUAGCUACAGGUGCAAAUGUCUCUGUGUAGUCAAUUCCAUAAGUUUGAAUGUACCCACUAGUCUUGCUUUAAAUCGUUCAAUACUACCAUCUGCCUUGUACUUCACAGUAUAGAUCCAACGACACCCAACUAGCUUCUUUCCUGGUGGACAUUCUACGAGUUCCCAUGUUUCAUUUUUCUGCAAUGAUUUCAUCUCUUCAUUCAUGGUUGCUUUCCACUUUGGAUCAGCUAAAGCUUCCUGCACACUAUUAGGAAUAGCUACAGUAGAUAAUUGAUUUACAAAUGACUUAUUUGAUUCAGACAAACCAUGGUGUGGACCCGCAUUUUUCACGUGCGCCUCUACUCGAUCGGCGAGACUCGCUUUCUAUUUGUGAAAAAUUAAUUUUAGAAAAGUUGGAGUCGCCACCUAUUUUAUUUUUAUUUUGAAGGGAAAAUAAAACAAGAAAGAAAAACCCUAAAAAGUGACUCCAUAGUUUUGGAAAAAGCAUGUCUUUGGGAAACCUGAGUCUAGGUCCGGGGAUCAUGUUACUUAUUGGGAAGGUACCUCUAGGAGGUAGCACCCCUCUAAGCCUUAUGAAGGUCUCUACUAACUAAAUUAAGGGAAGUGUGGCAAUAAAUCGAUUGAUCAUAGAUACCUAAGUAGACUAGGUGAUUUUAAAGUGUGGCAUGUCAAACACAAUCAAAUUGCAAUAAAGGAGAGUUAGGGCGCGUACCUGAACCGCUUCUCAAGCGCUAUCAUAAAACAUCAAUGGUUAAUUUAAAUAAUAUAUCAUCCAGCAUGUAUUUUAUUAGAAAUAAUCAAACAAUGAAACAUGUAUAUCAGAACACUCAAGCAUUAUUAGACAUAAGCAUUAUUUCACUAUUCACAGAAUUCAGAAAGUAGGUGAUAGAGGACAUACCUGGAUAGCAUAGAUAAUUUGUAAUGUGCUUCCUCAAGUUGUAAGGGGUUAGAUAACAAAUAAUAAAAUAUAGAAAUCCUAGCAUGCUCGUUAUCUAAUUAGCAUAGCAAAAGUGAUCACAGUAUACAGAAUCAUCAAUUAUCACAUACAUCUUGUAUAUAAUUCCUAAAAAAAAUAGAUAGACAUGAUUUCAACAAGUGUCAAAUGUGGCAACAAAAAUAAAUUUUGAAAAGAUUUUCUUAUGUAGGGGUUUCACCAAUUCCCCAAAUUAAUAUACACGAAUUUAGCUUAGAAUUAUCCCAUUUAUUUGGGACUACAAGCUUUGAUUCGUGUUUUUGUUCAAAACCAAAAAUUUUUGUUGAAAAUCAAGAAGGAUGCGAACCGAACAAGAUAUGGUUGCAUAUUAUUUUUAAAUAAAUAAAUAAAUAAAUAAAGGAGAUUUUGAUCCUGAGGACUUUAAUGAGUUUUUUUUUUUAAAAUAGAUUUUUAAAAUGAUUUUUUUGAGAAAAGUAUUUUAUUUUAAAAUAAAAGGGAUUAAUUUGGGAAAAAAAUAAAAUAUAAGAAAUAAAAUACCAAACAAAACAAAAAUGAAACCUCAAAGUAAAAUUUUUUUAGUAAUUAACAAAAAUGAUAAUGGUGAUGGUAGAGGGCAAUCUUCAUGAUUUUCCAAUGGCCUCAGAAAGAAAAUCAAAUUAAAUGAAGGAUCACUAACAGGCAAGACAUUCUAAAUUAGACAAACUAACAAAGUAUCAAUUCAUGAACUAACCGCUAGGAUUUUGAAAGCAUAUAAGCUAAGAUAAGGGUGAUCAGGAACUAAUAUUAAUGAUUUUGAAAUAAAAACUAAAAAAAAGGAUCAAUUCGGGUAAGGAACUAAAAUUAUAAAAGUACCUAAACUAAUUAUGACGAGUUUGACUAAAUUAAACUAAAAACAUGAACUUUCAAACAUAGAAUUAAUUUUACUAAUGAACCAAAGCAAACUAAAAAUAUGUACUUUCAAGCAUAGAAUUAAUUUUAUUGAUGAACUAAACUAUAACAAAUAUCUAAACUAAAUAUAAUGAAUCAAAUUAAAUUAAAGCAACUUAAAAACGCAAACUUUCAAACAUAGAAUCAAUUUUAUCAAUGAAUUAAAACUAUAAAUGUAUUUGAACUAAAUAGAUGAAUCAAACUAAAUCAGAGCAAAAUUAAAAAAAAAAAAGAACUUUCUAACAUGAAAUCAAUUUUAUCAACAAAUAAAUGAAUGAAUAACAAGUAAUUAAAAGAAUAGCUACUACAUGAAUAACUGAAUGAAUAAAAUUCAAAUGUUUUCAAUCUGAAGCAAUCAAUCAAAAUUAAAUAGGGAUCAAAUCAAAAUAAUCGAAAUCGGAAAAACAAUAUGCAAUCUUUCUAAAGGUUUAACCAGACAAUUGAAUUAAAAUUAUGAAUAGAAUAAAUUAAUAAACCAAAUCGAAACCUAAAUUGUACCUAAAAAGAUUAAUUAAUUAAACUAAGAAAUCAAAAUCAAUAACAAAACUAAACUAAGGAGUAAAUUAAGACAAGACUAAUUAAAUUAAACUCACAAACACGUUUUAACUAUCAUAUGGAUUAAAACAAAAUUAGCAUGGACUUAUGAAUUACGAACAAAAAUAAUCAAAACUAUUUUAAAAAACUCACCUCUAUUAUAAGAAAAAAUCUGCCUUUGAUGCGUUGAGGUGGCUCCCCUCUCUGUGUGGAUCUCUCUGCUCCCCAGAAAAAAAAUGUCUCUUCCUCCGUUCUCUUUUGUUUCAGCAAAAUAAUAUAUCCCCUGCUGUGGAUCUCUCUACUCCCAGAAAAUAAUAUAUUCUCUCCGUGUCCUAAAGUGGACCUAGGGUGCCUAAGUGGACCUAGGGUGCCUAAAUGGGCCUAGGGUGCCUAAAUGGGCCAAGUGUAUCUAAAUAGGCUUAGGGUGCCUAAGUGGGCCUAAGUCUAAGUGAGCCUAAGUCUAAAUCAAGACUACCAAGGAUCAUAAUAAGGGGUUAGGCAAUCCCUUAACCAAAGUCUCCAAGGUGGCUAAAAAAAAGUAAGUAGUAUGAGUAGCUAUGGGUCACCAAGGAACUACUGUGGAGCAUUGAAAACGAAUUUAAAGACAUGUGCCAAAGGGACAAAAUUGAGGGUCUACAGAUGGUUAGACACAUAGUUGCUCAUGGGAUAUUUGACUUUGGUAAACAAUUCAGAUUCAUAUGUGGGUUUAGGAAUACCUUUAUUAUGACGGUGUGGUAAUCGUUUCAUGAAUGGAUCAGGUUGCAAAUUAAGAACACCCUCAGCAAACAACGAUUGGUUUGGUAUUUCAGUGAAGACAUCUUCGAACCCAAAUUGUUGACCACUCAUAUCCAACUCACCCGCUUCCUGGUUCACUAGUUCAGAUUGUCCAAAUUCAUCAUUCUCAUAGAUAUGAUAAUCAUAAUCGAGAGUCUGAAUUUCCUUAUGGUACUCCCCCUGAAGUUCAGACUUAGAUGAAAAAUACAUCGAAUAUUCAUGAAACAGCNNNNNNNNNNNNNNNNNNNNNNNNNNNNNNNNNNNNNNNNNNNNNNNNNNNNNNNNNNNNNNNNNNNNNNNNNNNNNNNNNNNNNNNNNNNNNNNNNNNNNNNNNNNNNNNNNNNNNNNNNNNNNNNNNNNNNNNNNNNNNNNNNNNNNNNNNNNNNNNNNNNNNNNNNNNNNNNNNNNNNNNNNNNNNNNNNNNNNNNNNNNNNNNNNNNNNNNNNNNNNNNNNNNNNNNNNNNNNNNNNNNNNNNNNNNNNNNNNNNNNNNNNNNNNNNNNNNNNNNNNNNNNNNNNNNNNNNNNNNNNNNNNNNNNNNNNNNNNNNNNNNNNNNNNNNNNNNNNNNNNNNNNNNNNNNNNNNNNNNNNNNNNNNNNNNNNNNNNNNNNNNNNNNNNNNNNNNNNNNNNNNNNNNNNNNNNNNNNNNNNNNNNNNNNNNNNNNNNNNNNNNNNNNNNNNNNNNNNNNNNNNNNNNNNNNNNNNNNNNNNNNNNNNNNNNNNNNNNNNNNNNNNNNNNNNNNNNNNNNNNNNNNNNNNNNNNNNNNNNNNNNNNNNNNNNNNNNNNNNNNNNNNNNNNNNNNNNNNNNNNNNNNNNNNNNNNNNNNNNNNNNNNNNNNNNNNNNNNNNNNNNNNNNNNNNNNNNNNNNNNNNNNNNNNNNNNNNNNNNNNNNNNNNNNNNNNNNNNNNNNNNNNNNNNNNNNNNNNNNNNNNNNNNNNNNNNNNNNNNNNNNNNNNNNNNNNNNNNNNNNNNNNNNNNNNNNNNNNNNNNNNNNNNNNNNNNNNNNNNNNNNNNNNNNNNNNNNNNNNNNNNNNNNNNNNNNNNNNNNNNNNNNNNNNNNNNNNNNNNNNNNNNNNNNNNNNNNNNNNNNNNNNNNNNNNNNNNNNNNNNNNNNNNNNNNNNNNNNNNNNNNNNNNNNNNNNNNNNNNNNNNNNNNNNNNNNNNNNNNNNNNNNNNNNNNNNNNNNNNNNNNNNNNNNNNNNNNNNNNNNNNNNNNNNNNNNNNNNNNNNNNNNNNNNNNNNNNNNNNNNNNNNNNNNNNNNNNNNNNNNNNNNNNNNNNNNNNNNNNNNNNNNNNNNNNNNNNNNNNNNNNNNNNNNNNNNNNNNNNNNNNNNNNNNNNNNNNNNNNNNNNNNNNNNNNNNNNNNNNNNNNNNNNNNNNNNNNNNNNNNNNNNNNNNNNNNNNNNNNNNNNNNNNNNNNNNNNNNNNNNNNNNNNNNNNNNNNNNNNNNNNNNNNNNNNNNNNNNNNNNNNNNNNNNNNNNNNNNNNNNNNNNNNNNNNNNNNNNNNNNNNNNNNNNNNNNNNNNNNNNNNNNNNNNNNNNNNNNNNNNNNNNNNNNNNNNNNNNNNNNNNNNNNNNNNNNNNNNNNNNNNNNNNNNNNNNNNNNNNNNNNNNNNNNNNNNNNNNNNNNNNNNNNNNNNNNNNNNNNNNNNNNNNNNNNNNNNNNNNNNNNNNNNNNNNNNNNNNNNNNNNNNNNNNNNNNNNNNNNNNNNNNNNNNNNNNNNNNNNNNNNNNNNNNNNNNNNNNAACCAAAGGAAGCAUGUUCCAGACGUCGAUGCCACAACCAAAUUUCAGACUUUUUCUUCUCCUCCUUAGAUCCAUCUGCCAUCAAGGCUUGUUGCAACUUAUUUGAAUCCUUUGAUUGCAAGUCCAAGUAUAGAGUUUCCCCCGCUUAAUACGACAACCAAUCGUCUGUCUUGUUUGAAUGUCCUUAAUCACACAAAAUUCAGGCCAAAAAAUGACAAUACAAGAUAAGGCUGCAGUGAUUUGAGAAACUAACAAAAGAUUGUAAUCUAAAGAUGGAACAACUAAAACAGAAUCCAAAUUCAAAGUAUCAGUAAGAGUUAAGGAUCCUUCCCCAAUGACUGGGGUUGUGUUACCAUUGGCUGUGGAAACAAUUUUUUGUGAGGAAGGUCUAAGGGGUGAAACCUGUCUAGAAUCAAAAGUCAUAUGAUCUGUAGCACCAGAAUCAAUUAUCCAUGCACUAUUAAUAACAGGUGUAAAAGUAUUUAAAAACUUACCACAAUGAUCUGUAGCGGCUACUAAUGCAGAGACUUUCUCAACAACAUUAGUCUUUGUUUUUAUUUCGGUAACAGUUGCAAUCAAGGUUUUCUUGGAAUUCUUCUUCCGUUGAUCACGAUUAUUAUCAUUAAUAACAAAGUGUUGAUAGCCUAAACAUGAUCUAAAGGUCCAUGGUGCAAACCCUCGGUUCCUCAUUGUUUUCCUGGUCAUACCAAGAGUUGUUGCUUUGAAAUUGUGGGAUAUCCAGACUGGUGGGAUCAGUUUUAUUGCAGUGAGUGCAUUUGAAUGUUGACUUAUCAAUAUUAGGGCUUGUCUUCGGAUGGUUGAUUGCUGUUGGACUACCAUAGCGACAAAAUAUCCAGGAUUUCAAUUCCAGGGCUCUGAUACCAUCUUCAAAUUGAUGAAUGAUAGUUUUUCAUUCAUUCUUUCAUGUACAGAGUAUAUAUAGAGGGUAAUCACCAUUCUAAGAAUGGGAAAGAAUGAUACGAGGAAAUAAUGAUAUAAGGAAAUAAUAACUAAUAUCCUAAUAUCUCAACUUUCCUAAUAUCUCAAUAUUCCUAAUAUCUCAACUUUCCUAAUAUCUAAACAUUCAUAAUAUCUCAACACUAAAUGAUACAAGGAAAGAAUGAUAUAAGGAAAACAUUCCUAAUAUCUCAACACCACUUCAUGAUAUAUAUAGUUUCUUACCCUUAAUCAAUGGUUUCUAAGUGAAUUUAUAUAGAAAGAAAUCCAAACUGUAGACAGCAGUAUUGGUAACACUCAAUAUUCUGUAUAUAAUAGAAUAAAUAGCGUCACAGUGAUCGUCGCCUACAAGCAAGGUACAAAUACCACAAAGAGUGACCCACAUAGACAUUCCCCAACAAGAUGUAGUAGUGACUGACACAUAGCCACAAUUAACACGUAGAAAAGGAUAAGACCGGUGCACAGUAGCUCUUAUUUUACAUACUACUUAUGCCAACCAAAGUCACUCAGUUGGGAUGGGAGGGAGAUGGAGGUUUGUGCGGUGGCUUGUGGGGCGGAGUUGAUGGCUUCUUUCCAGGAGCUUCUGGCUUUUUCAUCGGAGCUGAAGGAGGCUCAAUCUUAUGAGGCGGCUUGUACGAGUCUUCUUUGCUCUCGAAAGGAGGGUGGCCAGGGUUGUGACCAUAAUGUGGUGGUUUCUCUCCCUUGGGAGGUUUACCAAUUGGGGUUGGUGGCUUGUGUUCUGGGAGUGGUUUCUCUCCCUUGGGAGGUUUAGUGGGUGACUUGUGUUCUGGAGGUGGCUUCUCCACCGAAGGCUUGUGCUCCGGUGGUGGCUUUUUGGUUGGAGGGGGCUUGGGGUAAUCAGCAAGAGAUGGGGUGGUGAGAACCACCAGUCCAAGGAACAACACUAGCAAGUAUGUGGGAGACAUUUUUGAGUUUGGGCUGAUCAGAUGAUGCAAAACUAAAGCAUUACGUGACCUUUUAUAGCAAGUAGCUCCCAAUACCUACUUGACACGUGUUACUGUGACCCAUAAAUAUUAUGGGGUCUAUUUGUGCCCUACCGGGUUGAAAACUUGGACAAUUGGGCAAGGACCCGCCUGACUAUGGAGGACUACUGAGGUGUGAUCACAGCUUUAGGAUUUUUCUUCCUCUGCAGCCGUCUUGCCGUUGGCAUGAUUUUCUUAAUCUCAAAUAAAGGCAUAGUUAUAGAGUUGUUUAAUCUCUAAAUGGGAUUUUAUAUAUCUUCAGAUAGCCAUUAAUACAUUUGAUGAAGAAAGAAAGACAAGUGCAUACAACAUGUAUACGACUAGCUUUCAUGGAGUUCAUUUAUGAUCAGUUUUCCUGUACAUGUAAACCAAGAUCAUAUAUGUUUUUGUUCCACAACAAUUUUGGAAUCUUGUUUAUCCGUUUUUAUCAUUAUAAUGUCACAUAGGCUGCCAACUUGGGCGCUAAAUUAAAGAUCCAGUUGGGCAAGUUCGUUUCAGAAUUUCAAUGGUGGAUUCAGGAAUUGUUUUAUAAGAUAUGCAAAAUAGUAGAGGGAUGAAUAGUGUUUCAUUAAGAAAAGAGCCCUGUAAAAAUAUUGUUUAAAGGUGCCAUAGAAACUAUAAUCAAUAAAUAACUUUUUUUCCCCAUGGGUGGUGUUUCUUGUGGGGAUCAGUGACUGGUUUGAGUCAACGCCGUGUCUCUUUAGUCCAGAAAUCAACUAUUUUAUGCAUUGAAUACAUCAACAAAGAAAAUAUGAAAGCCAAAUGACACCUCCCCCGCAAAAACUAAACCCUGGUUGCUAACUUUCUAUGUUUCAGUUCCAUUCACACAAGAAUAUUAGUUCAAGUUUGAGAAAAAUGGCGACUUACCUAGUGAUAACUCGGUCUUGGUUUGCGAUUUGACUUUAACGUCAUGGGUUGAAGCCUCCUACAAUCAUCGUGUAUGCUAGUUCAAAGCUCGUGGAAGAAGUUAUACAGGGAGGGAGAAACCUCCACAGCAAGCUCCAAAAGAGAAUUAUCACAUUGAAAGCUCCAGUUGAACACUGGGUGAAAGCCAUAACAAGAUUGGUUUUCUAUCGCUCUUUUAAGUAAUGGAAGAUUAUUAUCUCUGCUUGUCACUACAACCGUGCAUGCUGCUAGAUCUUUCUAGACACUUCAAACAGUGAAACCAAGUAUGAUUCUUUUUCUCUUGAGUGGGUCCACUUGCAUGCCAAUGAACGAGUUGAAAAGUUGGACAAUUGGCCACAGCGCGCACUUACCUUCUGGAACCGAAGGUCAGUGAAGUGGGGUUCCUUUUGGCCCCUUGUGUUUCUGUUCCAACCUACUCCAGGAACCGAAGUUCAGUGAAGUGGGGCUACUUUUGGCCUCUUGUGUUUCUGUUCCAACCAAACAAAAAUGGGAGGGAAAAAUAGCAUUAUGCUUGUGCUAAAGAUCAACGCAUGAUAGCUGAAUAAGGGAGAAAAAGGCAUUGCUAUCUCAAUUUCAUAAACUUGAUAAGUAGUGACAUUAAUAGUCUUCCUCAUAGAUGGAUACAUGGUUUUAUUUUAUUUAUUUAUUUUUAUUUUUUUGUUUUAUGUCAAUGCUAAUGAAUGAAGUGCAUUAGCUUGUUUUGUGACUAGAACUACAAAUGUCCAAAUUGGAGCUUCUCCAAUAUAUUUCUCAGUGAGUUAUUGAUUAGAACUCUUGGAUUGAGUUCCAAGAUUUGAAUCAGACCCCUCUAGCAGCUUCAGGGGUACGUAGCAACCUAUAGCAUAUUAAUGAAGACUUAGGAUUUAGACUUAGGAAUACAAAUUAAUAUGUACCUCAUGCUCUGACUAGCUUCCCUGCGUAUGCACAAAAUGGAGAUGACUCCCAAAAAAAUAGCAGAAUCGCCUUAGUAUGUUUUUGUGGUUAAGAUGAUUCUCCACUUUAUAUAUCCACAUUGGUUCAUUAUGCAAAUUAAUCAACUAAGCUAUUUUUAUUUUUUCUUAAAUGUGAAAUAGGAGCUCCAAAUUAACCUAACCAUUGGCCUGAUUGAAUUGAUUUCACUUGCAUAAUGUUAUAGUAGAAGUCCGUAAUUUGAAUUUUAUUUUUGCAAAAGGUAACGUAAAUGAAGCAUUGUAAUUAAAUUUAUUUGUAAUUACAAACUAAUUUUAUUUUAUUAAGAAUUAAUUUAAUUACUCAUUUAAAAUAAAAAUCAGUUAUACUUUUACCAAGAUGAUAAUAUUCAUAUUUUUCUAGUUAACAUAUAUAAAAUAGUACACUUUUUCAUAUAAAAAAAUAAUUUAUGAUUUAUUAUAAUGUUACUAUUCACAUUUUACUAAAUUGAUGGUACAUGAUAGUGAGAGAAGGGGGUGUCACACUCAGCUAAAGUUCUUUUCAAAAUAUUGCAUGGUGUUUAAUUUUAUGUGUCGGCGCGCGUGUGAAUGGAACCUGCAAAAGUCCAAAUUGGCGUUUCUCCAUUUUCCACAUAGGAUGGUGACGUUAAUAGACAAAGAUACAAUAUCUGUAGACAUUGCUUAAAAAUCGAUGUGAAGUAUUAGAAAUUACAGGGCACUGUACUGGGGGAGCGGCUGCCCCGCCAAAGGAGGAAGAAUGUAGCAAUUUCUUCUGUUAGCCAGGCCUUAGGAUUUAUGCAUGGGAUGCCUAAUAACAAACAGAGAAAAUAUACUUUUGGGGAAGGUAUCCAACAACAGACACCAUCAUUCAGAUGGUGGGAAGGUAUCCAACAGAUGCCAUCAUUCAGAUGGUAACAUAUAUAUACAUUUAUUAGUGAGUUUUUUUAAUACCUAUAAAAAAAAAUAUACACUUUGAUAUUGUGGCUGAAUCCAUUACAUACUCAACUAACCUUGCUCAUUAGGGAUUUGACUUAACAAGGGCAACGUUGCAGUACAAGCUCAAAACUUUAUGCAGGUGACAUUACAUUUGGUAAAGAAGAGGAAAAUAACGAAAGCCAUCCAUAAAAGCAAAAUUCCACAUGGGAUGAAAUUCACAAGCUUCAUUUACGAUAGAGUCGCAUCCAGGCAAUUAAUUCCACAUUAGACCGCCUGUUGACAUGUGUACCAAUCUUUUUUCAAAAAAUAUUUAUAAAUAAUUGAUACUCACAAAAAUAAUUUAAUAUUUAUAAAGGAUAAAAAAAUAUUUUCAAAUCUAUAACAAUUUAUAAAAUAUUAAUAAAAAAUUAUCUCUUAAACUUAGUAUAGUUUUAUCAGAUUAAACUUUUAUUUUGAACAAAUAAUUUUAAUCUAAGUUUUAAAUUCUAAAAUUAUUUCCUUAAAAUAAAAUUUUAAAAUUCAACACUUCAAUUGAAAUUGUCUUUUUAAAAAAUAUCUUCUUAUUUUAAUCCUUAUAAACUAUAGUUGAUUGAAAAUACUAUUGAAGUUCUCUCUUAAAAAAAAGUCUUAUUUUAAUCUUCAUAAAUUGCCCUUGAUUUGAAAAUAAAUUUUCAGUUAUCAUAUUUUAAAUAAUAUCUAUAUUUAAAAUACUCUAUUUAAAAAAAAAUGAACUAAUUUUAAUUAUAUUAUAUUUUAUUUUUUUAUAUAUUUUUAAUGAUAAACCAAACAUAGAAAAUCAUUUUUCUAAAUAUUUUAAAAUUUCUAAGCAACCAAACAUAAUCUUCAAAAUAAAAGGAAAAUAAGGAGGGACAUUUGAGAAAUGGCGAUUAAAAAAAAGUGUACAAAAGCUCAAUUAAUUUUCUUCUAGUCUUUUAUAUAAAAAAGUAAAGGAAUUGAAAAGUAUUGAUAUGUAAAUUAAUAUUUGGAUUUUAAUAGUAUUUUAUUUGUCUUUCUCUAUCUCAUGUAAAAGAGAAUUUAAGAUAUUUCCUAAAGCAAAGCAUUAGUUAUCUGCAAUCAGUGGUGAUCAUGCCCCAUGUCAAUUUCGGACCCAUAUCUUAAAACUGUAUAAUUUGCAUUCAAACAUUACUGAUUUCUCAGAUGUUUCAUACUCCACAGAAGAGCAUUGUUUGUGAAAGCAUGCAUUUAUGUUGGAUUUUGGAUGAUGUGGGAACUGGGGCAAGGAUCAUAUGGAAGAGUGGUCGAUUUUGUUCUGUACUUUAACAUUUGAAAUAGGAGAAGCUCGGGCAUUUGUGGGGCUUAAUUGAUUUUGAAGCCUGAAAUUGCGUUUCUGUCAUUUUGUAAAAAAUAUGGCAGAUUCCAUGCUCUCAUAUGUUUGGUCUGUGGCCAUGUAUAGAUGCCCCUUAGUGACCAGUUUGUAACUGUCAAUCAUAGUGUUUUGACUCUGGCUCAACAACAUCAGCCAUUGACGGAUUUUCAUACUUGCAAAUCAAAUAGUCUUCUUCCUCCCUUAGGAAUUUCGGUUUAAAUGUUAUUAAGCAUACAUUUGGCUGACAAUUAUUAACCACUUCAUGAUAUGGUUUCUUACCCUUAAUCAAUGGUUUCUAAGUGAAUAUAUGCAGAAGGAAAUCUGAACUGUAGACAGCAGUAUUGAUAACUCUCAAUAUUCUUUAUAUAAGAGAAUAAACAACGUCAUAGUGAUCGUCGCCUACAAGAAAGGUACAUUUCCCAACAAGAUGUAGUUGUGACUGGUACAUGGACGCAAUUAACUCGUACAAAAGAAUAAGACCAGUGCACGGCAGCUCUUAUUUUACAUGCUAAUUAUGCUAACCAAAGUCACUCAGUUGGGAUGGGAGGGAGAUGGAGGUUUGUGCGGUGGCUUGUGGGGCGGAGUUGGUGGCUUCUUUUCAGGAGCUUGUGGCUUUUUCGGAGCUGAAGGAGGCUCAAUCUUAUGAGGCGGCUUGUACGAGUCUUCUUUACUCUCGACAGGAGGGUGGCCAGGGUUGUGACCAUAAUGUGGUGGCUUCUCUCCCUUAGGUGGCUUGCCAACUGGGGUUGGUGGCUUGUGUUCAGGAAGUGGUUUCUCUCCCUUGGGAGGUUUACCAAUUGGGGUUGGUGGCUUGUGUUCUGGGAGUGGUUUCUCUCCCUUGGGAGGUUUAGUGGGUGACUUGUGUUCUGGAGGUGGCUUCUCCACCGGAGGCUUGUGCUCCGGUGGUGGCUUCUCCACCGGAGGCUUGUGCUCCGGUGGUGGCUUCUUGAUUGGAGGGGGCUUGGGGUAAUCAGCAAGAGAUGGGAUGGUGAGAACCACCACUCCAAGGAACAACACUAGCAAGUAUGUGGGAGACAUUUCUGAGUUUGAGCUGAUCAGAUGAUGCAAAACUAGAAGAAUUACGGGACCUUUUAUAGCAAGUAUCUCCCAAUACCCACAUGACACGUGUUACUAUGACCAUAAAUAUUAUAGGGUCCAUUUGUGCCCUACCGGGUUGAAAACUUGGACGCUUGGCCGAGGACACACCUGACUAUGGAGGACUAUUGACGUGUGAUCACAGCUUUUGGAUUUUUCUUCCUGUGCAGCUGUCUAGCGGUUGGCAUUAUUUUCUUAAUCUUAAAUAAAGGCAUAGUUAUAGAGUUGUUUAAUCUCUAAAUGGGAUUUUAUAUAUCUUCAGAUAGCCAUUAAUAUAUUUGAUGAAGAAAGACAAGUGCAUACAACAUGUAUACGGCUUGCUUCAAUCGAGUACAUUUAUGAUCAGUUUUCCUGUGCAAGUAAACCAGUUUUUUGUUCCACAACUAUUUUGGAAUCUUGUUUAUCAGUUUCUAUCAUUAUAAUGUCACAUAGGCUGCAAACUUGGGCACCCAAAGAUCUAGGUGGGCAAAUUUGUUUCAGACUUUCAAUGGUGGAUUCAGUAAUUGUUAAAAGGUGUUUCUUCAUUAAGGAAAGAGUCCGGUAAAAAUAUUGUUAAAAGGUGUCAUAGAAACUAUAAUAAAUAAAUAACUUCUUUUCCCCAUGGGUGGUGUUUCUUCUGGGGAUCAGUGACUGGUUAGGGUCACCCAAAAUGAGUCCAGAUUAAAAUUGGUUCGAGUCAAAGCAGUCUCUUUUGUCCAGAAAUCAACUAUUUUGCGCAUUGAAUGAAUCGAUAAAGAAAAAAUGAAAGCCAAAUCACACCUCCCCUGCAAAACCUAAACCCCGGUUGCUAACUUUCUAUGUUUCAGUCCUAUUCAUAUAGGAAUAUUGGUUCAAGUUUGAGAAAAAUGGCAACUUACCUAGGGUUUACUUGGUUUUGGUUUGCGACUAUUUACGCAACCAACCAUGAGUUUGACUUUAACGUCAUGGGUUGAAGCCUCCUACAAUCAUGUAUGAUAGUUCAAAGCUCGUGGAAGAAAUUAUACAGGAAGGAAGAAACCUCCAAAGCUAGCUCCAAAAGAGAAUUAUCACAUCGAUAGCUCCAGAGAUUCCCAAGGGAACUGAAUCAAAGACAAGUUCCUCACUUUUUCUUCUUUUGAGGCCAAAUAUGAACCAAGGAUCACACGACCUCAUUCAACUUCAUAAGUUUGAUUUCAUGCAGUUGAACACUGGGUGAAGGCCAUGACAAGAAUUGAUUAAAAAAUUCUACCACUCUUUUAAGUAAUGGAAGAUUAUUAUCUCUGAUUGGCACCACAACAGCACAUGCUGCUAGAUCUUUCUAGACACUCCAUGCAAUGAAAGCACAAUGGAUCUUGUAAUGAUAGAAACUAAGCCAUGCUACAGUACUAGAUGAGGGGGUAAAACUAGUAGACAUCUUUCUAGACACUCCAUGCAAUGAAAGCACAAUGGAUCUUGUAAUGAUAGAAACUAAGCCAUGCUACAGUACUAGAUGAGGUGGUAAAACUAGUAGACAUGGCUGGCAGUUGAUUACUACUCAAAAAGUACUCUUUUAUAGCUUGAAACUAACUGUUUUAAACACUUUUGAGUAGUAGUUAAUACCUUUUAACUUAAUUGGCACAUUAAGGAACCUAGCAAGGGUUACUAAUCAACAUUUGGCAAGUUUUGAUGUUUUUGGUAGCUAUUUGAUCAUUGAAACAAGCCAAGAAUGAGGGGGAAUUUUGUGAAGUCCAUGGCAAUGCAAGUUAAAGCUCAAAUACAUGAAGAAUCCAAGCUUUGGAGCACUUCAUAGCCCUUUGCCAAGCCAAUCAAAGAUGCAAGGAAGAAAACCAAAGGAAGAAAUCCAACAAUCAGCAUUUUGGCAUGGCUAUGUGAAAUUUCGCACACCAUGCGAAACCACAAGAGGCAGCCAAAGAAUUUCGCAUGGUAUGCGAAAUCUUCUUGUGCACUGACUCUGUUAGAUUUUUAUCUUCAGAUAUUUUGUGUAAUUUCCUAGUUUCUCCUUGUAACCAACUUAGAUAUUUUCUUUUAUAUCUUUUUUUAUAUUUUUUAGGUAACAUCAUAUAUAAGAGGAGAGACAUAAGGAGGAUAUGGAUGUUUUUCAUAGAACACUUGUAAAUUUUUGGUAGUAAGAAAUAUACAAAGCUUUUUGCUCUGCCUUACCUUCUCAAGGGAUGAGUGGCUAGGUUUUCUUGGAGUGAGGGAAGCUAGGUGAAGGACCUGAAUGCAAAGGUGGGAGUUUUCCUUACUUUAAAUGAAAGUAGUUGUUAAACAUUAAUGGUUUUUAUUUUAAGGUUUAGCUUUAAAUCCCUGAAAAACACCUUGAAUGGCCAAUACUUGGUAAGCUUUUUAGAUUCUAUGGAUGCUUAUUGCUAGAUCCAUGGAUGUCUAUUAGUUAUCAUUUACGAGCCAUUGGAAGGUGAUUCAAGGUGAGGGUCUUUAGUGUUUGAAGCCAUUAAUGGGAAGCAAUUACCAUUUUUUCAUGAAUCCUUUGGAUCAAAUCUUAAUUGCUAAAUAUAAAACCGGUUUCGAGAGAUAACCACCAUCCUUUAUGUUAUUAUCCCCAACGCGAGGAGAAGAUCCGAAAUCUUCCUUUUUAUCUAAGGAACCCGAUCCUAGUGACCUAAAGCUCCAAGAUACCUUUUCUUUGUAGUUAACUUCAUUUAUUGUUUUUGCUUAACUUAAAAUCAAUCUUUGCAACCACAAUUCCAUUUUCUUUAAAAGCUAAUUUUUAUAAGGAAAAACACCAUUUUAUUUCCUUCACUAAGUCAACUGUACGAUGAAAACCCAUCCCUGUGGACGAUCCUAGAGCCACUAUACUAUGUUAGCUAUGCUACCCUAGUGUGAGGUGAUUUAGGUUUUAUAAAUUUUUUUGAUAACACCCAUCUGAGCCAGAAUCAAAUGGCACGACUGAACCAGGGACGAAUCAAAUGACGCCGCUACCAAGGAUGGUGCCAAAGUACAUUGACAUGACUUUUGGUGAACACUUGUGAUCUUCACCACAAGUUUGGUGAUUUUUCUUUUACUAAUUUUUUUUAUUUUAGCUUAUCUUUUAUUUAGUUUUUAGUUAACCUUAAAUUUUUCCUAGAAUUGUAUUUCUUUUGUUUUCUUUGUUUUUGUUUCAGUGAUCUUUAGUUGUGCAUGCCCUAUUGGAUAAGAGAUAUUGAGGGAAUACUUGUGAAGAUUGAAACUCCUCGAGAAACUGAGUUAGAAGUGUGCUUGAACAUCAUGGAUGUUCCACCUGAAGACCAGAAUAGCCAACAUGGUUAAGAGGAUAAUUUCAACACAUACCGAUCCAUGAGGAACCGCAUACAUCCACCUUGUAUGAGUGCACCGUCAGGCAUAAUGCCUCCCACUGAGCAGCUAGUAAUCUGACCUCACAUUGUGCCACUCCUACCUACUUUCCAUGGGAUGGAGAGUGAGAAUCCCUACUCGCAUAUUAAGGAAUUCGAGGAGGUUUGUAAUACAUUCCAAGAAGGAGGAGCUUCAAUUGACUUGAUGAGGCUCAAGCUAUUUCCUUUCACUUUGAAGGAUAAGGCCAAGAUUUGGCUUAAUUCUUUAAGGCCAAGAAGUAUCCAAACUUGGAUUGAUUUGUAAGCCGAGUUUCUUAAGAAGUUCUUCCCUACCCAUAGGACCAAUGGUUUGAAAAGGCAAAAUUUGAACUUCUCAGUUAAAGAGAAUGAGAAAUUCUAUGAGUGUUGGGAGAGCUACAUGGAAGCUAUUAACGUUUGUCCUCACCAUGGCUUUGACACAUGGCUCUUAGUGAGCUAUUUUUACAAUGGUAUGUCUUCUUCAAUGAAGCAACUCCUAGAAACUAUGUGUGGAGGAGACUUCAUGAGUAAGAAUCCGGAGGAAGCCAUGGACUUUUUGAGUUAUGUGGCUGAAGUUUCAAGAGGAUGGGAUGAACCAAAUGCUAGAGAGGUGGGAAGAAUGAAGUCUCAACCUAAUGCUAAGGGUGAGAUGUAUGUUUUGAAUGAAGACAUUGACAUGAAAGCAAAGGUUGCAGCUAUGGCAAGGAGAUUGGAAGAGCUAGAAAUGAAGAACAUACAAAAAGUGCAAGCCAUUUCUGAGACAUCAAUGAAAGCUAUGCCUUGUUCCAUUUGUCAAUCUUAUAAGCACCUAGUGGAGGAGUGUCCUACAAUUCCAGCAGUGAGAGAGAUGUUUGGUGAUCAAGCAAAUGUUAUUGAUCAAUUCAAGCCUAAUAACAAUGCUUCAUAUGGCAACACCUACAAUUCAAAUUGGAGGAACCAUUCAAAUUUCUCUUGGAAACGAAAGCCACCUCAAUACACACAACCUACUCAAGCACCUUAGCAAUCCUCGAAUCUUGAACAAGCUAUUGUGAACCUUAGCAAGGUUGUGGGAGACUUUGUGGGAGAUCAGAAGUCCAUCAAUGCUCAACUGAAUCGGAGAAUUGACAGUGUGGAGAGUACAUUGAACAAAAGGAUGGAUGAGAUGUAAAAUGAUCUGUCUCAAAAGAUAGACAAUGUCCAAUACGUAAUCUCAAGGCUUACCAACCUCAACACAGUGUAAGAGAAAGGAAAGUUUCCUUCUCAACCUCAUCAAAAUCCUAAGGGUAUCCAUGAAGUAGAGGCUCAAGAGGGAGAAUCUUCAAAGGUGAGGGAAGUCAAAGUAGUUAUCACCUUGAAGAGUGGUAAAGAGGUUGAUCAACCCACAUCCAAGCCAAAGCAUAAUGAAGAGAGUGUAGCAGAAAAAGAAAAGAGAGGAAAAUAAAGGAAUUAGAAUAGAGAAAAAUACAAAGAAAGAUGACCAUGAGUCUAGUGUGGAUGAAGAGCCCGAGAGGAUGGUGAUCAAGGAAGAUAUGAUGAAGAAACACAUGCCUCCACCUUUCCCCUAAGCUUUGCAUGACAAAAAAAGAACCAAUAAUACAUCAGAAAAUUUUGAAGUAUUGAGGCAAGUGAAGGUCAAUAUCCCUUUGCUAGACAUGAUCAAACAAGUGUCGACAUAUGAAAAAUUCUUGAAGGACUUGUGCACUGUAAAGAGAGGGUUGAAUGUGAACAAGAAAGCUUUAUUGACCGAGCAAGUGAGUUCCAUCAUACAGUGCAAGUCCUAGUGAAGUACAAAGAUCCGGGUUGCCGUACCAUCUCAGUGAGUAUUGGAAGGACUUGUGUGGAGAAAGCUUUGUUGGACUUGGGAGCAAGUGUGAAUUUGCUAUCCUACUCUGUCUAUAAGCAGUUGGGAUUUGGAGAGUUGAAGCCAAUAUCCAUCACUCUAUCUCUAGCGGAUAGAUCAAUGAAGAUUCCAAGAGGGAUGAUCGAAGAUGUCCUGGUUCAAGUUAACAAAUUCUACUAUCCAGUAGAUUUUGUUGUUCUUGAUAUGGAUCCGGUUGUCAAAUGAACUAAUUAUGUUCCUAUCAUACUUGGAAGACCCUUCCUAGCUACAUCAAAUGCAAUCAUCAAUUGUAGGAAUGGAGUCAUGCAACUCACAUUUGUCAACAUGACAUUAGAGCUCAACAUCUUCCAUUUGUACAAGAAGCAUAUCCAUCAGGAGGAAAAAGAAGGUCUAGAGGAAGUGUGAAUGAUUGACACUUUAGUGGAAGAGCAUUGUGAUCGAGAAUGCAAAAAGAUUUAGUUGAGAAUUUUGGGGAUCUUGAUGAAAGGUUACUUGAACCCUCAGAUUUGCUUGCUACCCUACUCCAUUGGAAGAGAAGAGAAGAAAUUCUACCCUUAUUCAAUGAGGAGGAGACGCAAAGAGCUGCAAAGGAGAAACCCCCAAAACUUAUUCUUAAGCCACUACCCACAGAGUUGAAGUAUGUAUACUUGGAAGAAGACAAGAAGUGCCCUAUUGUUAUAUCUUCAACUCUUACCAUUCAUCAGGAGGAUUGUCUACUUGAAGUCCUUAGAAGAUGUAAGAAGACAAUAAGGUGGCUAAUUUCUUAUUUGAAAGGGAUCAGCCCUUUAGUCUGCACCCAUCAUAUUUACAUGGAGGAUGAAGCUAAGCUAAUUCAUCAACCUCAGAGAAGGUUGAACCCUCACAUGCAAGAGGUGGUUCGAGCUGAAGUUCUGAAGCUACUUCAGACCAGUAUUAUUUACCCCAUAUCAAAUAGCCCAUGGGUGAGUCCUACUCAAGUUGCGCCAAAGAAGUCUGGGAUCAUGGUGGUGCAAAAUGAUAAGGGAGAAGAUGUCUCUACACGCCUCACUACAGGUUGGAGGGUGUGUAUCAAUUACAGGAGGUUGAAUGCAGUGAUAAGAAAGGACCAUUUCUCAUUGCCCUUUAUUGAUCAGGUGCUUGAGAGGGUCUCUGGGCUUUUUUUUUUAUUGUUUCUUGGAUGGCUACUCCGGGUACUUUCAGAUAGAAAUUGAUGUUGAAAACCAAGAUAAGACCAUUUUCACAUGCCCAUUUGGAACCUAUGCAUAAAGGAGAAUGCCUUUCGGCUUAUGCAAUGCACCCGCAACUUUCCAAAGAUGCAUGUUAAGCAUUUUCAGUGAUAUGGUGGAGCGUAUUAUGGAAGUCUUUAUGGAUGAUAUCACCAUUUAUGGAAGUGCAUUUGAUGAAUGCUUGGUCAACUUAGAAGCUGUUCUGAACCGAUACAUUGAGAAAGACUUAGUGCUUAACUGGGAGAAGUGCCAUUUCAUGGUACACCAAGGGAUUGUCCUUGGGCACAUUAUCUCCAAGCAAGGCAUUGAAGUUGACAAAGCAAAGGUUGAACUCAUUGUUAAGUUGCCAUCCUCAACAAAUGUCAAAGGAGUAAGGCAAUUCUUUGGCCAUGUCGGGUUCUAUAGGAGGUUUAUCAAGGAUUUCUCUAAGCUUGCAAGGCCUCUUUGUGAAAUAUUGGUGAAUGAUGUUAAAUUCAUAUGGGAUGAUGGAUUUGAAAGGAGUUUUGAAGAAUUGAAGCUAUUUUUGACAACCGUACCAAUAGUGAGGGCUCCCAACUGGCAACUGCCCUUUGAAGUAAUGUGUGAUGUCAAUGAUUUUGCUAUAGGAUUUUUUCUUGGGCAAAGAGAAAAUGGAAAACCUUAUGUGAUCUACUAUGCGAGGAAGGCAUUGAAUGAGGCACAAAGAAACUACACAACCACCGAGAAAGAAUUGUUAGCUGUAGUUUUUGCCUUGGAUAAGUUUCGCGCUUACUUGGUGGGGUCCUUCAUCAUGGUUUUUACUGAUCACUUUGCUUUGAAGUAUCUGUUGACUAAGCAAGAUGCUAAAGCAAGGCUGAUUAGAUGGAUUCUCUUACUUCAAGAGUUCAAUCUCCAUAUCAAAGAUAAGAAAGGAGUGGAGAAUGUGGUAGCAGACCACAUUUCAAGGCUAGCUAUCGCACAUAAUUCCCAUGCUUUGCCCAUUAAUGACGAUUUUCUAGAGGGGUCUCUCAUGUUGGUGGAAGUUGUCCCUUGGUACGCUCACAUUGCUAACUACCUGGUCACGGGAAAAGUUCCAAGUGAGUGGAAAGCACAAGAUAAGAAGCACUUCUUUGCAAAAAUUCAUGCCUACUAUUGGGAAGAGCCAUUUCUAUUCAAGUAUUGUAUGGAUCAGAUAAUAAGGAAGUGCGUUCCUGAAGAAGAGCAACAGGGGAUCCUUAGUCAUUACCAUGAAAAUGCAUGUGGAGGCCACUUUGCUUAUCAAAAGACAGCCAUGAGGGUGUUGCAAUCGGGUUUCUGUUGGCCAUCACUUUUCAAAGAUGCCCACACCAUGUGCAAGAGUUGUGAUCGAUGCCAGAGGCUUGGGAAGUUGACACGCAGGAACAUGAUGCCUUUGAACCCCACUUUAAUAGUUGAUAUUUUUUAUGUUUGGGGCACUAACUUCAUGGGACCUUUCCCUAUGUCUUUUGGCUACUCUUACAUCUUGGUAGGAGUAGAUUAUGUUUCUAAGUGGGUUGAGGCAGUCCCAUGCAAACACAAUGACCAUAGAGUGGUUCUCAAGUUUCUUAAAGAGAAUAUCUUCUCAAGAUUUGGGGUGCCCAAAGCCAUAAUUAGUGAUGGGGGUACUCAUUUUUGCAACAAGCCUUUUGAAACUCUCCUAGCCAAGUAUGGGGUGAAGCAUAAGGUAGCUACACCUUACCACCCUCAAACUCAUGGACAAGUUGAGUUAGCAAACAGGGAGAUUAAAAACAUAUUGAUGAAGGUGGUGAACACAAACAGAAAAGAUUGGUCAGUCAAGCUUCUUAAUUCACUAUGGGCAUAUAGAACAACUUACAAGACCAUUCUCGGGAUGUCUCCUUAUCGCCUAGUUUAUGGCAAAGCAUGCCAUCUCCCUGUGGAAUUGGAAUACAAAGCUUGGUGGGCAAUCAAGAAGCUCAACAUGGAUUUGAGCAGAGCUGGGUUGAAGAGGUUCUUAGACCUUAAUGAGAUGGAGAAAUUGAGAAAUGAUGCCUACAUCAAUUCAAAAAUUGCAAAAGAAAAAUUGAAGAGGUGGCAUGAUCAGUUGAUUUCCCGCAAGGAUUUUCAAAAUGGACAAAGAGUCUUACUUUAUGACUCUAAACUCCACAUCUUUCCGGGCAAGCUGAAAUCAAGGUGGAUAGGUCAUUUUACCAUUCACCAAGUGCAUUCAAAUGGAGUAGUGGAACUACUCAACUCCAACAAUAUCGAGAACUUCAAAGUGAAUGGCCACCGUCUCAAGCCCUUUGUGGAGUCUUUUUCUCACAACAAGGAGAAAUUCAUCCUCCUUGAUCCACAUCAAGCUUAACAAGACCAAUUUUCUUGAUGGACUUAGUCUUUCUAAAGACUAUCGAGUCCAUAACUUUUUGUUUUAUUUUUUAUUUGAGAUUUUUUCGGUAUUGUUACUUGUUUUGUUUUUUAUUUUUCGUUUUAAUUUUAUUUGGUUUGAUUUAACUUAGGUUUUUGAUGAUCAAUUACAGGGGGGAUUUCAAAUAGAGGAAAAACCAAGAUAAUUCGCACACCCUACGAAAAUUUCGCAAGGCAUGCGAAAUUUAUGGCUUAUUUUGCAUGGGGUGAAAAUUUUCGUACAUCUUACGAACCAAUUUCGAACACUUUGCGAAAAUAAACCAACCCUGCGAAAUCAUUUCGAUUACUCUACGAAAUUUUCGUAGAGCAUGCGAAAAAUUUAGCACACCAAACACCAUUUCGCAUACUAUGCAAAAACCUAAGGGGUCUGCGAAACCAUUUCGCACCUCCAAAUCCAUUUCGCACAUUGUGCGAAAACCAAGAGGCGCUGUGCGAAAAUGAAAAGUCGCCCUGUCAUCCCUUUUUAAACCCCUCGAGCCCUAAAAUCUCCAUUUCGCAAGCACCCCUGUCCUUGCGAAUCCCUCAUUUUCCUCUACUACCUUGCAACCUCGUCCCUUUCCAUUUGAUAUUGUGCCCCGCGCACAUCUCAUUUCAGAGACUCGCACUCCGCGCCCCCUCAAAGCAUGGACUCGAGACCCACCUUCCAUUUCCGACGUGGCACGGACCCAAGGAGCCCUUUCUGCCCCUUCACUAAGACACACACCAAGGCAGAAAGCCUCCUUUGCUCAAGUGCCUAGUGAUUCUCCAUCUUAGGCCUCAGAGGCCUCGGAGGCCCCGUGGAUUCCACCUUCCGAGGGUAGAGCAGCCAUUGGUCCUUCCUCUUCUACUCCUUAGCGUAGAUACGAGACGAGGAGACCACCUACUACACAAGGGGCGACUACUUCGAGCCUUGAGAAUUCAGUACGAUGCCUUCCUGCCAAGAGGGUCAAGACUUCAGGUCCAAGUGAGUCAUCCAGAGCUUCAUAGCCUAAGCCUCCUGUAGAUUCCAAGGUUCCUACUGACAUAUCACCGGAGUCUAUUAUCAGAAGCCCGAUGCUCAUAGCACCGCCCAUUGAGGGCAACUCAGAUUAUAGAGCGAGAUCUUUCCACUUGGAGCUAUAUUUUGAUCAGGAGGCCAUACGACAGCAGCCUGAGCUCCGAGACUCUUAUGGCUUACUGCAGAGGUACCAUCUUGAGGAACUUAUGACUCCUCGUGAGUUUUUUUAUCCCAGAGUAGCACUAAACUUUUACCAGUCCAUGACUACUCGUGGCGUCCCGAGUCCUACCACGAUUCACUUCACCAUUGAUAGACGUCAUGGUAUCCUCAAGGCCAGACAUAUUACAGAGGCUCUACAAAUUCCUUUCGAGCUAGAGGAUCCAUCUGUUUUUCGCUAAUGGUCCCCAGUAUCUCAGAGGGACAUGGUCCGUAUUUUAUCUAGGGGAACAUCUACAGAUUCGAUCUUUCUACGGAAGGAGCUUCGACCUGGGAUGCUCCUCUUAGAUGUGGUGCUAUGCUCCAACCUCUUUCCCUUACAACAUUCGGUACAUAGGUGAUGAGCUAUUUUGGACGCUUUAUUCCGUAUAUCAGAGGGCUUCUACUUUGGCCCGCACCACUUGAUCAUGGUCUCCCUCAUCCACUUUGAGGAGAAGGUUCAUAGGAAGAAGCUUCAGAGGGUGGACACCAUUCCAUUACUAUUCCUGAGGUUACUUUGCCAGGUCUUGGAGUACAUGGGCUUUCCUACUGAGCCUCGGCUCGAGCUUUGCCGCCUUUGUCGAGAGUGAUCCACUCUCGACAAAUGGAAUUAGUUGGCGGGCUAUUCUGCACCUCCAGGAGCCCCUCCCAUGGUAGCACCUCCAAUGUCCCCACAGGCAAAGUAGGGCGAGCUCCCGGCAAAGACUGUACCACCAAUGCCCACACUUGAGGCUAUUUCUGCUGCUCUGCCUAUGACUCCUACUGUUCCACCAGUUGGUCCUUUUACAUCCGAGCCUUCCAUCACCAUCUCGGCUUCGGAGUUUCGCGCCCUUGUGCAUACCUUUCAGACACUCACCACCACACAUACUCCUCUCUUCUAGCAAAUGGUUGAGAUGUGUGCCCAUCAGGACCGGAAGACUACUAUACUCUGCCAAAUUCAGCAGCACCUAAGACUUUUGCCUCAACCUCAACCUAACCAUCCCAUAUCAUCAGAGCCUCUAGCUCCAACUGAGGAUACUAUUCCACCUGAGAACACUACCACAGUAGAGGUCCGGUUUCCACCACCUUAAGAGGCCACCACAGCUACAUCAGAGGAUGUGUCAUCUCCACUUGAGGCUCCCACUACUUGAUCAUAGGACAUAUCUUUAUCUUAUUGUAUUUACAUAUUAUAUUACUAGAGAUUUGUCCUUGUUUUGAUACUUUAUAUUCUGGGAUUGGAUGUAUUGCCUGAUGAUAUCUCAAUUGUACUUUCUCAUAUUAAUAUAUAGACAUCAAUUUUUUUUAGUAUACUUAGCAUUUUUCUAUUUCCUCUACUCAUUACUCUUUUGUUUUUUUUUACUCAUGUGGUUUCUCUUAUACAACUCAGACUCCAUUUCACUCAGGAGGUACCACUUCCUCCCUUUAUUUUCAAUUGCUCUUGAAAUAUUGAGUGCAAUGUUGAUCUUGGUUGGGGGGAGAGUUGAGGAAGGAAGUUUUGUUAAUAAUGCUAGGUUAAUUUGUUAAUUUAGUUACUUUCUGCUUAAUUUUAAAAGUUUUCACUCUACUUUCCAUGGUUAUUAAGGAAAAAUUCUCAAAAUGAAAUGGGAGAAAUCGAAUUCUUGCAUUUUUACUUGAAUCUUAGAAUUUGUAUCAUGCUUAUUAAAGUUGAUGAAUUAUUGAAACUCCUAUUGAAUUCAACCUUAUUUUUUCCACUUUAAUCUUACCACACACGGUGCACAUUAGGUUCCAGUUAUAAGAUAAAAAACUAUCUCACCCCCUAAACUUAGAAAAAUUUACACUUGGUACCUUUGACAUCGUUUUAAUAGUGUUGGGACACCUUAUAAAAGGCCAAUGAGCCUUUAAAAAAAAAAAAAAAAAAAAAAAGAGAAAGAACAAAGUAUUGCACUUGCCUUGAAACCUGAGCAAGAUCCGAGGGGUAUACAGUGAAAGUCUUUAAAACCUGGUGCCCUAAGCCUUGAUUGGUUGGGAGUCACCGACCUCAAUGCUCGUUAUAAGGGUGAAUAGGUGGAGUUUAACAUAUUGUAGGUGCUUGGGUAUUGAAUUUCAAUCUCAAAAGUCCGGGAAAAAAUCUAAGGAGUUAGUGGUCAAAAGAUCCUUAAAGCUUGAUGCCCUAAACCUUGAUUGGUUGAGAGUCAUUGAUGGAUCCCCGCUACAUGGACAUUUUAGAAAACAAUACCUUUAGCAUUGCACGCCUACAAUGAAAAAAAAAUGUGAAAUAAAAGAGGUGCGUUCUUAGCCUAUUGGAGGUUGGUCAGUUUGCUAAAGUUUGAGAAAUCUAGGUUGGGGGGAGAGAAUAGUCCGACAUACUAUAAUAAAAAACUAAUAACCUUAACACUUAGAUUUUUGUGGAAGAGUAAGGAUUGGACCUUUAGGGGUGGAAAUUCUUUUGAUGCUUAAAUUUGCAUAAUGCCUACUCUUUAUAAAUUAUGAUUAGGCAAGAGAUUUGAUGACUCUUGUUCAAAGUUGGGUUUUUCCUCUUUGAUGUUCCAUGAGAGAGUAUAAUCCUCAUCAUGCCACUUGAAAUCUUUUUGGAGUGAUUAACAUGAUUUUGUAAAUUAUUUUACUGUCUAUUUUUCUUUAUCUCUCUUUUAUUGCUAAUGGACUAGCAAUAUGUCAGUUGGGGGGAGUGAUUACUACUCAAAAAGUACUCUUUUAUAGCUUGAAACUAACUGUUUUAAACACUUUUGAGUAGGUGUUAAUACAUUUUAACUCAAUUGGCACAUUAAGGAACCUAACAAGGGUUACUAAUAAGUUUUUGGCAAGUUUUGGUGUUUUUGGUAGCUAUUUGAUCAUUGAAACAAGCCAAGAAUGAGGGAGAAUUUUGUGAAGUCCAUAGCAAUGCAAGUUAAAGCUCAAAUACAUGAAGAAUCCAAGCUUUGAAGCACUUCAUAGCCCUUUGCGAAGCCAAUCAGAGAUGCAAGGAAGAAAACCAGAGGAAAAAAUCCAACAACCAGCAUUUUCGCAUGGCUGUGCGAAAUUUUGCACACCAUGCGAAACCACAAGAAGUAGCCAAAGAAUUUUGCACACCAUGCGAAAUUUCGCAUGGUAUACGAAAUCUUCCUAUGCACCAACUCCGUUAUAUUUUUAUCUUCAGAUAUUUUGUGUAAUUUCCUAGUUUCUCCUUGUAACCAACCUAGAUAUUUUCUUUUAUAUCUUUUUUUUAUAUUUUUUAGGUAACAUCAUAUAUAGGGGGAGAGACAUAAGGAGGAUAUGGAUGUUUUUCAUAAAACACUUUUAAUUUUCUGGUAGUAAGAAAUAUACAAAGUUUUUUGCUCUGCCUUACCUUCUCAUUUUGUUUUCACCUAUCUUUCUAGCCAAACAACCUCUGAGAAUGAUUUCUCAGGGGAUGAGUAGUUAGGUUUUACGUUUCUUGGAGUGAGAGAAGCUAGGUGAAAGACCCAAAUGCUAAGGUGGGAGUUGUCCUUGCUUUAAAUGAAAGUAGUUGUUAAAUAUUAAUGGUUUUUAUUUUAAGGUUUAGCUUUAAAUCCCUUAAAAACACCUUGAAUGGCCAAUACUUGGUAAGCUUUUCGGAUUCUAUGGAUGCUUAUUGCUAGAUCCAUGGAUGUCAUUAGUUAUCAUUUAUGAGCCAUUGGAAGGUGGUUCAAGAUGAGAGUCUUUAGUGUUUGAAGCCAUUAAUGGGAAACAAUUACCAUUUUUUCAUGAAUCCUUUGGAUAAAAUCUUAAUUGCUAAAUAUAAAACUGGUUCGGGAGAUAACCAUCCUUUAUGUUAUUAUGCCCAAUGCAAGGAGAAGAUUUCGAAUCUUCUCAUUUGUCUAAGGAACCCGAUCCUAGUGACCUAAAGCUCCUAGAGACCUUUUCUUUGUAGUUAACUUCAUUUAUUGUUUUUGCUUAACUUAAAAUCAAUCUUUGCAACCACAAUUCCAUUUUCUUUAAAAGCUAAUUUUUAUAAGGAAAAGCACCAUUUUAUUUCCUUCACUAAGUCAACUGUAUGAUGAAAACCCAUCCCUGUGGACGAUCUUAGAGCCACUAUACUAUGUUAUCUAUGCUAUCCUAGUGUGAGGUGAUUUAGGUUUUAUAAAUUUUGUUGAUAACACCCGUCUGAGCCAGAAUCAAAUGGAACCACUGAACCAGGGACAAAUCAACAGCCUAUAUGGGAGGGACACAAGUUUAAUUGAUUUGCAUUUCAGCGUUAUAGAUAAGUAUGUUUUGGAAGAUUUGUUCUGGAAAUACUGCACCAAGUACGAUUCUUUUUCUCUUGAGUGAGUCCAUUUGCAUGCCAAUUAACGAGUUGAAAAGUAGGAGCACCUACCUCGUGCUCAUGGAACCGAAUGUCAGUGAAGUGGGGCUCCUUUUAGCCUCUUGUGUUUCUGUUCCAACCAAGGCGGCGUAGGGAAAAACAACAAUAUGUCUGUGCUAAAUAUCAACGCAUGAUAGAUGUUUUUUUUUUUUUUUUUGGUAUGUCAAGGCUAACGAAUGAAAUGCAUUAGCUUGUUUUGUGACUAUAACUGCAAAUGUCCAAAUUGGAGUAUCUCCAUUUCUCACUUCGGAUGGUUAACUUUAUAAACAAGAUAUAGGAAACAUGUGAACAUCUUGAGGAACAAUUCAAAUUAUUCAUUAGAAGUCCUGGGUUAAGUUCCAAGAUUUAAAUCAGACCCUUCUAGCAGCUUCAAGGGUACUUAGCAACCUAUAACAUAUUAAUGAAGAUUUAGGAUUUAGACUCCGGAAUACAAAUAAAUAUGUAUCUCAUGCUUUGACUAGCUUCCCUACAUAUGCAUAAAAUGGAGAUGACCCAAAAAAAAUAGCAGAAUCUAGCUUCCCUACAUAUGCACAAAAUGGAGAUGACCCAAAAAAUAGCAUAAUCGCCUUAGUUUCUGUGGUUAAGGUGAUUCUCCGCUUAAUAUCCACAUUGACUCAUUAUGCAAAAUCAACUGAGCUAAUUUUAUUUAUUUAUUUAAUGUCAAAUAGGAACUCCUAAUUAACUGAUUACUGUCGAAAAGUGCUAUUUUGUAGACCUAAUUAUAAGGGUUUUAAGCACCUUUGAGUAGUAAUCAUAUUCAUUUAACCUAAUUAAUUCAUUAAGCUCCUUAGUAAUUAGUUCUAACCAUUUUUAGUGGCAAGUUUACAUGUUUUUCAUCAGCUUAUGAACCAAUUCAAGCAUGCCAAUUGAUGGAGGAGCUACUUGGGCGAGUUAAGCAAGGAUUUUGGACGUUUACAGGCUUGAAUUUCAAGUGGAAACACGAGCACAAGCAAUGGGAACACCAUUUCGCAAGGGGAGGCAAUUCACCUUGCCAAAUGACCAAUUUCGCAAGGGGAUUUUCCUCAUGGUGCAAAAUUUGGUCAUUUCGCACCAUGAAGAAACCACCUUGCAAAAUUUCGCAAGGUGGAUUUAGGCACCUUGCGAAAUGCCAAAUUUCACAAGGUGGCUUUUCACCUUGCGAAAUUUGGACCUUUCAUCUUCCCCCCUUGCGAAAUGCCUUUGAAAUCCCCUGUUUUGAGACGCUGUUGAUGAUAUUCCACUGCCGGUUCUCCAAGAUAUUUUGCUUGACUUUUAGCUUUAUAAAUACCUAUUUUACCCUUGUAAUCAACCAAUGAAAAGGUUGCUUUUGUAAUAGCUCUUGUAAUUUAGCUUUUUAUUGUCUUUAAAUAGAGGUGAAGAGCCUCAGACACGAUCAUCUUGUAACCUGUAACUUUAUAAGUUAUAAGAGCACUUUUGUUCAUACGCUUCUUUUCUCUUUUCUUUCUCAUUUUCUUAGUAGCCAAACAUCCUUGGAGGAUGAAAUCCCCAAGGAUGAGAGGCUAAAACCUUUUAGUUUCUUGAAGUAAUGGAUGCCAUGUGAAGCUCCCGUGUCAGGAUGGAGAUUUCCAAGCCAUAAAUGUAAGUAGCUGAGCGUCAUAAAUGUUUUCAUUCAAAGUAAAGCUUUUAAUCCCUCUGACUUGCUUUGAAUGGCCAAUACUUGAUAACCUUUUGGUCUCAAUGGAUUCUUAUUGUUAGAUCCACUGACGUUCAUUAGUUAUCUCCUACGAGCCAUUGUAUUGCAAGUCGAGGAGAUGACCUAUACCAAUAAAAGAGCAUUUAUGAGGUUCAACUACCCUUUUUGUAAGUUUUCAAGGACUAAAACUCAGUUGUUAAACUCAUACCGGUUCGAGAAGUAAGCAUCACCUUAGUUGCUUCCCCAACUCGAGGUGAAAAGUCCCAAAAUCUCCAUUUUUACACAGUGAGUUAAGCAUGGCUAUCCAAAGCUUUAAGAAACUUCUUUUUCCAUCUUUUAACCUAUUUUCAUGUUAGUUUAGUUUACAACACCUUCAUCUUUUUAUGUUUUCAUCUUAACCUAAUUUUUAUUAAGAAAAGUUCACUCCAUCCUCCGAACUUCACCAGUUAAAGUAAAAACCCUUCCCAGUGUUCGAUCCUAGAGCCACUAUGCUAUAGUAGCUUUGCUACUUUAGUGUAAGGACCUUAGGUAUAAAUUUUGUUGAUACCCUUACAUGCCAAGCUACCAAGAGUCGGGUUAUCAUUAACCUAACCAUUGGCCUGUGUAAAUUGAUUUCACAUGCACAAUGUUGUAGUAGAAGUCCAUAUUUUGAAUUUUAUUUUUGUAAAGGUAAGGAAAAUGAAGCAUUGUGUAAUUAUAAAAAUAACUUCAUUGGAAUUCACAAGGUUCACCCAAAAUGGAGCUACAUCUGUAUUCUAUCCUACAGUAGACUAUAUAGAUUGUACAAUAGUAAAUUGCAAAUACAAUUAAUAAGUCUUGUGCUUCCUUACUAAUAAUCCUUUGACAUGAACAUUGCAGCACUAAGGUCCUCUUGGGAAGACACCUUGCACCCAUGAGAGCACUAAGAGGAAGCAAGGCAGAGUCAUGGGUGCAAUGUCAUGACUUGUUGUUGCACCAAGAGAGGCUUGGUGAUGCCAUGGUGUUGCAGUAGCAAGAAUGUUGCCUUGGCAGGGACACGAUCUAGGGAUAGAUGCCAAGAAAGGCUUAGCACUCACAUGAGUUGCACAAAGAUGAAUGUAAUAGAGCAUCAGAGAGACGUCUUGGCAAGUAAAUGAAUGGAUCCAAGAGACAACAACAUGAGGAGUUUCAAAUGGAUAAGGAAUGACUCAAAGACAUUUGAAAGCUACAAGUUGGAUUCUAAUUACGAUUGCAAUUUGAGUUUGAGUAGGAGUUUAGAUUUUGAUUGUAAUUGUAGUAUGAGUUGGACUAGGAUUGCUUAUCCUUAGUCAAUAUAGGAGCGGUUCGUGUCACCCUAUGAAAAGAGUUUGAGUAGGGACUAGGAUUGCUUACUCCUAGUCAAAUAUGGAGUAGGUGGUGCCACACCUAUAAAAAAAAGGGACAACAUGAGAGAGAGAGAGAGAGAGAAAGAGAGAGUGAAUUCACUAAAGAUAUUGUGGGAGUUUUGCUUUGUUACGUCUUGUAUUAUUACUUAGAAUAGGAAUAAAAUACAAGUUGGGGCUAGAGCCCCAUAAUUAAUCUCGUGUGCCUUUGUGGUUAUUCUUUAUUUGUCAUCUCGUGUGGAUUGGAUUAGGUUGACUUAGAGGGCUUCUAAGCACCACCUUUGUGGGUUAUUAUUUAUUUUCCAUCUCUUGUGGAUUAGAUUAGGUUGACUUAGAGGGCUUCUGAGCACCACCUUUGUGGGUUAUUAUUUAUUUUCCAUCUAUUGUGGAUUAGAUUAGGUUGACUUAGAGGGCUUUUAAGCACCACAUUUGUGGGUUAUUCUUUAUUUUCCAUAUCGUGUGGGUUGGAUUAGGUUGACAAGGAGAAAAAUUAUGUGGGAAAUUUGUGUUGGGACACUUACCAUAACCAAGUAAAAUCUACCAAGUCCUUUGUAAUAUCUUCAACAAAUAUUUUAGACUAGUUCUUUCAGUUAGUGUAAAGGAGGAAGAAGUGGUAUUGAUUCUAGAAAUAGGGUGUGUGUAUUUGAACUACAAUCCUUAUGAUCCUUAGGUCUCUAAACCUUCGUGAUGGGCUCCCUGACAUUUCAUAGGUUGUGCUACACAUGCGUUUGAAAUUUAGAGUGCGUUUGACAGUGAUUCCGGGAAGUGUUUUUGGCCUUUCUUACACUUGAAAAUUUUUAUUUUUCAAGUAUUAGAAAUGCUACAAACACUUUUGAAAAUUACUGUCAAACACACUCUUAGGAGCGCACAUAUAUAGUAGAAAACUAGAAAUUGUGGUUUUUUUAGGAUUUACUGUAAUGUCAUUAGGAGGGUAGUAAGUUGAAAUUGAGUAUGAACAAAUAUUUCUUUCUUUGGGAUGUUCUUCUAGUAGGUGCUGAUGAAACUGUUCUUUCUACUGCCAAUGUCACAUAUCAGCCAGAAAUUGAAAAUUUCAGUCAAGGUGUCCUCUGUUUUAGUGGUGAGGAAAGCUAGAAAUUUUAAGGUGAAGUUUUGUUAAAAACCUUAAGUAGCUGGGAUAUCAGGCCUGUUUUGCUUGAAAAAAAAAGUUGCAAGAUAACUCAUAUGCCAAACAGGUUCUGAUAUUGUGAAUCUAUCGGCAGACAUCAGUAAUCUCAUCUUCUGAGAUGGAUGUUGGGGGUGCAUGUGGUGGUGGAGGGGCAAGGUUUCAUUUGGUUUAUUUUGUUGAUGGAUAUUGUCUAGCCACCUGCGCCAAGUUUGAGGGGUGGUGGGUUGUGAUGACCCUACAAUUACUAUUAAUUUCUUCAUCUUUUACCGAUUAAAGUGUCCGAACAGUCGAAGUUACCCUUAUGCAUGUCAACUUGAUCACUUACCUCUUCAAUGGAGUUUAUGCUGGUUCAUUUAGGAACUGAUUUUUAUUGUUAUGUAUUAUAUGCUGAUGUUUAGGUCUCUCCAUCAUCACUAUAUACAAAAAUUCUAGGUUGAUACUAUAGGUUGAGAUUUAUUUUUUAAAUAAAAAAUAAUAAAAAUAAAAAUUAUGGUGAUGUUUAGUUGUUUUAUGGAAAAUUUUAACAAGUAAAAGUUAUUUUUGGGCAAGUUUUCAAACAAAAAGAAAAGUAAAAGUUGUUUUGACAAAAACAUAUAGAAAAAAAAAUCAUAGAAAAUAAAUAAUUUCCCCAUAUUCUAACUUUUUUGAAUUUUUCUCAAUGGGCAAAGGAAUAUCAAAUCAAGUUUGAGUAGGAUUUCUUAAUUUUUAAAAUAACUUACAAUUAAAAAAUUUUGGUGUUUUCAUUUUUGGACAAUUUUUUAUUAAGCAAAUGGACUCUGAGUCAUGCAAGAGAUAUGGUUCAUUAACCGGUCGAACAAUUUUUUUAAAUUAAUUUAAAAGUCAAAUACAUAAUCAAUUUCACAAAAUUUAUAAACAAAAAUAGGUUUAGAGAAGAUCUACACAUAAUUUUACUUUUCUAAUUUUAUUUUAUUUUAUUUUUUGUUGGAAAAUAGUCUUCAAAUCAUGUAAGAUUUAAUAGGUUAAAUUUGUUAACAAUAAAUUUUAAAUUAUAAAAUAUAAUCUGGAACUCAAAAAUCAAUUCAAGUAAUGCUAAAAAAAAAUCAAAUUUGGUAUAGAAUGACUUUGUAAAUUUUUUUACAAAACAAAUGAAUUUUAAAUCAAGUGAGAUUUAAUGCAUUAGAUUUUUAUCAAAUAUAGUAAUUUUAAAAAUAAAUUUGGAACUCAACAAUAGACACAAUAAAUACCAAAAAAUAAUGAACCAAAAUUGGUUUGGAAUAACUCCACAACCUUUUUUUUUUUUUUUUGGUGCACACGAAUUUUCUUACUAGGUAUAUUGCUUUCAAAUUGAGAAAGAUUUACCAUUUAGAUUUUUUUUUAAUGAGUUUAAUGGUAUUUUAAAAUAAUUCAAAAUUUAAAAAAUUGACUAAUUAAUAUUAUAAAUUGAUAAACCAAGACUAUUUCAAAAUGCAUUGGGGGCUAAGGGGGUUGAAAAUAGGGACAAUGGGAUGGGUUUGGGACAUGACACUCAUAUCUCAUUUCCAUUCCAAUUACACAGUUAUCUCCCAUCCUUAUCCCAAACUUGUGUUGGAGCAAGUUGAUUUGUUCCCAUCUUUGUUGACGAAAUGACUAAUAACCUCAUCCCCUCCUUAUCUUAGAUGUACAUUUUGUCAAAUUUGAUCAGGUAUGAUUGAUCCAAGCCCUAACCCUAAUUGGUAAUGAGUGAAUACUACACCUAAUUGCAUUCUUCUUUCAUUGCAAAAUAAUGAGAUUAUAAUAAUCUAGCAAAUAAGAAAAAAUAGUAUGGAAGUUCAAAUUAACACCAUAACUAUCAAUAAUUUUAAGCUUAUAGAUGACUUAAAUGAUUAAAAACUAAUGCAAAAUCCUAAAAAAAAUAAAAAUCAUAUAAAGAAUUCACAAGAGAACAGAAUGAACAAAAACCAAAUAUGAACAUGGGUCAACAUUAGUUAUGGAUUUGGAUUCCUUUCAAGGCCAAUCUUUGAACCAAGACUUCAUCAAAUCAACUACUUCAAAGGCUUUUGUGUUCUUCUUGGGUUGUGCUCUCAAACAAAGACUUCGAGGUGAUGUUCUAGAUGAUUGAAUUACACAUAUUUAGGGUGGAGAGAUUGGAGAAGCUUGAAGAUGCCAACGAUGGGUACAAUUGAGUGGUCAAUAAGAACAAUGUAGCCUAUGACUAGUUUGAUGUCAUGGUACAAGAGUUUUAGGCAUUGAGGUUAAAGCAAGAGCAACAUGGAAUUGAUUUCGGAGUCUUUCAGUUAGUGUAAAGGAGGAAGAAGUGGUGUUGAUUCUAGAAAUAGGGUUUUAAGUGGUGCGUGAUUACUACUCAAAAAGUGCUAUUUGAUAGCCUUUAAUUAAUCCUUUUUAACACUUUUGAGUAGUAGUUUAGGCCUUUUAACUCAAUUGGCAUGUUAAGGAUCCUUUAAAGCAAUUUUGAUCACUUUGUGCAAGUUUUGGUGUUUUUGUUAGUAUUUUGAUCACCAAAGCAAGUCAAGAAUGAGGAGAACUAUGAGGAAUCAUGGGCAAAGCUUAGAAUUCAAUUGCCAAGAGUGAAUCCGGAUUGCAAGGAGAAAAAGCAAAGAGAAUCUGUCAUGAAGCCUAUUCUUGAUGACAGUCGUAGCAGCCACUUUUGGAGCACUUUCUGAAGUCCAAAUGAUGCAAGCUAUAUACCAUUUCAAAGAUCAGGAAGUCAACAAUCCAAUGCUUCAAACGGUGCGCGAUUCGGAGUUGAAACGAAGAAGUUGCAGCCAUUACAAGCCAGUCACUCUAAAGUGUUGCGGAAUCAGCCUUUUGUUGCGAGAAUUUCGCAGCACUUUUGUACAGUAAGGUGUUUCUCCUUCUGACGAUGCACGAACCAUGCCGCGAGAGGGAAGCUAGGAACUUCAAGAUGGAAGCCAACUUUGCAGCCUGGUGAAGAUAGCUUGGUCUUGCGAAAUAAUUUCGCAGCCCUCUUGGGUGUCUGCGAAAUUUCGCAGGCACCACUUUUUUCCUGCGAAAUGGCUCCGGAAGCCUCCCGAAGCUUGCUACCGACAUUGGGAGAUAUUUUCCAUUAGAUUUUUGUUGUCUAAAUUCCAAAAUACUCCUUGUAAACCACCAAUUACAUGAUUCCUUAGUUUUUAAGUUAGUAAAAAGACCAAAUAUCUAUGUAAUAAUUAGUUUUAUAUUAGUUUGCUAUAAAUACCUCUCGGGAGCAUGUUCUCAGAGAGGAGUUCCUUCUGUAACCAUUUUGGUAAGCAAGUAAAGUCUUUUCUUUCUACUGCCUUACCUUCUCACUUUGUAUUUUCAUUUUAUUUCUAAGUUAUGAAUUCUCUGAGGAGCUUUCCCCAGAGAAUGAGUAACUAAACCUCCAAUUCCUUGGAGCUAAGGUUGCCGGGGAAGGUUCCAAGUGCAAGAAUGCAAAGCUCUGUGGUUUUAGCUAGUAAUGAAGAGGAAGUGAAAUCCUUUAGUGAUUUCAAUGUUUUUAGUUAACUUAAAACACCUUGGAGUCACCUGGGCCAACACUUGGUAAGGCAAGUGAUUUCCAACCGUGGAAAUGCACUAGUUUACCCCUUGCGAGCCUCUGGUAGGUGACUUCAAGGUAGGAUUUUCUGGAAUUACCAACACUUGGUAAGCUUUUGGACUCCUAGGAGACAUCCAUUAGUUAUCUCUUGCGAGUUUGUGAAGGGGAAUCCAAGGUUAAAGAUCACCUUGAAUGGUAAGUGCUCGUGAGAGGCAUGAACCAUUGCAAGUUGUAUCAGUGAGAGAAUUAAAGUGAAAUCUAAUUGAAGGAGUCUCUGUACAUCACCGGUUAGAGAAUUGACUAUAAGUUGAAUCUCUAAUGCGAGGAAAUGAACCAUCUGACCGGAGCUAUGUCUUUUGCAUGAGGAACCACCCCAGUGAACCUAAAUCUCCAAGGAAUGCUUUUCUUCCUAAAUUAUUCCAAACUUCUGUUAAGUUAGUUAGUUUAAGUCUAAACCUUUACCAAUCAAACUUUGUGUUUUAUUUCUUAAGCUAACCGUGAAAUGAAACAAAACCAAUUCACUUGGAAUUGGUAUCCUUGAUUGCUUGCAAAUCAUUCCCAGUGAACGAUCCUUAGAGCCACUAUACUAUAGUAGCUUUGUAUUUGCUACCCUAGUGUAUGGUGUUAUAGGUAUAAAUUUUGUUGAUCACUUCCUCAAUCAAGGAACACCAGCUGAACACAAAUCAGCUGAGACACCAAUUGGGCAUGAGUCAAAUGGCGCCGUUGCCGGGGAAUGAGUGUCAAGAUCAUUGUGAUACCAUUUUUGAGCACUUGUGAUUUUCAUCACAAGUUGGUAAAGUUUCUUUCACUUUACUAAUUUUCAUUCUCUCUUUGUUUAUUUACAAUCUAAGUUUAUCUUUUUAAAAUUUAGUCUAGUUUAAUUUUGCUAUUGUAGCCUUGUUUCUCUUGUUGUCCUCUGUUCUUGUUGUCCUCUGUUUUCAUUUUAGUUGCAGCUGAAUACUAGUUGUGUAUGCCAAAGUGGAUACGAGACAUUGGAGGUAGGCUUAUUAAGUGUGAUACACCUCAGAGAGGAGAAUUGGAAGUAAUCUUGAAUAUCAUGGAGGCUGCACCUGAAGAUCAGCAUAGUCACCAAGGUCGUCAAGACAAUCUCAAUGAAUUCAGAUCAAUGAGGGACCGUAUGCAUCCACCUCGUAUGAGUGCACCAUCAUGUAUAGUGCCCCCUACAGAGCAACUAGUGAUCAGACCAUAUCUUGUUCCACUUCUACCAACUUUCCAUGGGAUGGAAAGUGAGAAUCCGUAUGCACACAUCAAGGAAUUUGAAGAUGUUUGUAAUACAUUCCAAGAGGGAGGAGCUUCAAUUGAUUUGAUGAGGCUUAAGUUAUUUCCUUUUAAUUUAAAGGAUAAGGCCAAAAUUUGGCUUAAUUCUUUAAGGCCAAGGAGUAUCCGCUCUUGGACUGAUUUACAAGCUGAAUUCCUCAAGAAAUUUUUUCCUACUCAUAGAACAAAUGGCUUGAAAAGGCAAAUUUCAAACUUCUCAGCUAAAGAGAAUGAGAAAUUCUAUGAGUGUUGGGAAAGAUACAUGGAAGCUAUAAAUGCUUGUCCUCACCAUGGCUUUGAUACUUGGCUACUGGUGAGUUAUUUUUAUGAUGGUAUGUCCUCCUCAAUGAAGCAACUCCUCGAGAAAAUGUGUGGAGAAGAUUUCAUGAGCAAAAAUCCAGAGGAAGCUAUGGAUUUCUUGAGCUAUGUAGCUGAUGUUUCAAGGGGAUGGGAUGAACCAACUAAAGGAGAAGUGGGAAAGAUGAAGUCUCAGUUGAAUGCUUACAAUGCAAAGGCUGGGAUGUAUACUUUAAAAGAGGAUGAUGACAUGAAAGCAAAGUUGGCAGCUAUGACAAGAAGAUUGGAGGAGCUGGAGCUGAAAAGAAUGCAUGAAGUGCAAGCUGUUGCUGAAGCACCAGUGCAAGUGAAGUUGUGUCCCAAUUGUCAAUCGUUUGAACAUUUGGUAGAGGAAUGCCCUGCAAUUUCAGCUGAAAGGGAAAUGUAUAGAGAUCAAGCAAAUGUUGUUGGACAAUUCAGGCCCAAUAACAAUGCUCCUUAUGGAAAUACCUACAAUUCAAGUUGGAGGAAUCAUCCAAAUUUUUCAUGGAAGGCCAGAGCAACUCAAUACCAACAGCCGGAUCCACCAUCUCAACAAUCUUCAAGUAUUGAACAAAUAAUAGCUAAUCUCAGCAAGGUAGUGGGAGAUUUUGUGGGAAAGCAAGAAGCCACCAAUGCUCGAGUGGAUCAAAGAAUGGACAGAGUGGAUCAAAGAAUGGACAGAAUGGAGAGUAUGUUGAACAAAAGAAUGGAUGGAAUGCAAAAUGAUAUGAAUCAAAAAUUUGAUAACAUCCAAUAUUCAAUUUCAAGGCUUACAAAUUUGAAUACACUGCAAGAAAAGGGAAGAUUUCCUUCUCAACCUAACCAAAAUCCCAAAGGUGUCCAUGAAGUGGAAAGCCAUGAGGGAGAAUCAUCACAGGUGAAAGAUGUGAAAGCUUUGAUCACUCUAAGGAGUGGUAAGAAAAUUGAGCAGCCAACACCCAAGCCACAUGUUGAGAAAGAAGAAGAGAUGAAGAAAGGGAAGGAAAUGGAAGAUAAAGGCAGUGAGAUCAGUGAAGAAAAGAAGGACUCUGAUGCAACAAUGAAAGUAAUUCCAGAGAAGGAGCUUCUGAAGGAAGAAAUGCUGAAGAAAUCAACUUUUCCACCUUUUCCUCAAGCAUUACAGGGGAAAAAGGGGGUUAGAAAUGCAGCUGAAAUCCUAGAAGUAUUGAGGCAAGUGAAAGUUAAUAUUCCACUGCUGGAUAUGAUCAAACAAGUUCCAACGUAUGCAAAAUUCCUAAAGGACUUGUGUACUAUCAAAAGAGGGUUGACUGUAAACAAGAAAGCCUUCUUGACUGAGCAAGUAAGUGCAAUCUUACAGUGUAAGUCUCCUUUGAAGUACAAAGACCCUGGAAGUCCUACCAUUUCAGUCAUGAUUGGAGGAAAGGUAGUGGAGAAAGCCUUGCUAGACUUGGGAGCAAGUGUGAAUUUGCUUCCAUAUUCUGUCUACAAGCAACUGGGACUUGGAGAGUUGAAGCCAACAGCAAUCACUUUGUCUCUGGCAGAUAGAUCAGUGAAAAUUCCAAGAGGGGUAAUUGAGGAUGUAUUGGUUCAAGUAGAUAAUUUCUACUAUCCUGUAGAUUUUGUUGUUCUUGAUACAGAUCCUACUGUAAAGGAAGCUAAUUUAGUUCCUAUCAUCCUUGGAAGGCCAUUUCUUGCAACUUCAAAUGCAAUCAUCAACUGUAGAAAUGGGCUUAUGCAACUCACUUUUGGUAACAUGACACUGGAUCUAAAUAUUUUCUAUAUGUCUAAAAAGCAAAUCACUCCAGAAGAAGAAGAGGGUCCAGAAGAGCUAUGUAUUAUUGAUACUUUGGUGGAGGAGCACUGCAAUCAACAUAUGCAAGAUAAGUUGAAUGAAAGUUUUGUGGAUAUUGAGGAAGGUUUUUCUGAAUCUCCUAAUGGGCUUGCUACUCUACAAAGUUGGAGAAAGAUAGAAGGAAUUCUACCUUUGUUCAAUGAAGAAGAGGAGGCAGCUGUUGAAAAAGAAAUUCCAAAACUCAAUCUGAAGCCUUUACCUAUGGAGCUGAAAUAUACAUAUCUUGAAGAAAAUAAUCAAUGUCCUGUCGUAAUAUCUUCAUCUCAAACCAAGUCUCAAGUGAAGGAUGCAAGCUUCAAAUGGGAUCCGGGCAAACUGAAUCAGGAAGGGCAAAAAGUUUUGAUGUAUGACACAAGACUCCAUAUCUUUCCUGGGAAGCUCAAGUCAAGGUGGAUUGGUCCAUUUGUUAUUCACCGAGUAUAUUCCAAUGGAGUGGUGGACUUAUUGAAUUCCAAUGGCAAGGACAGCUUUAGAGUCAAUGGAUAUCGUCUUAAGCCGUUCAUGGAGUCAUUCAAAUCAGAAAAGGAGGCAAUCAACCUCCUUGAACCUCAAAAAGCCUAAGUGAAAUGGGUUUGCUGGACGUGGUUUUACCACAGUCCAAAAAUUUUUGUAAAUUUUGUAAAUUUUCAAGUUGUUUCCAUGCUUUUAAUCUUAGUUUUUGAUUUUAAAUCAUGUUUUUAGGUGUGUUUUAAUCGUUUUAUAUGAUCCCAGGCGGAAGAAAUUUCAAGGGGAUUGAAAAGAAAAAAAUCGGGUCGAAAUUGGAGCCGAAACAGAGCAAAAACAGGGGAAAAACAGAGCUCUGCGAAAUUUCGCAGGGUGAAGGAAACUUCUGCGAAAUUGGCAUUUUGCUGCCAAACCAUUCCGCAGCACUGUAGAAGCCUCUGCGAGUGUAUUUCGCAAUUGCGAAAGUGGAUUUGGCACACGAGUGCCACUUCGCAGCACAGUGACAUCAAUUUCGCAGCUGCGAAACUCACUGCGAAGUUGCUGCGAAAAUGGCAAGUUGCUGCGAAAUUGGCGUUUUGUUGCGAAACGUAAUCUGACCCCUGGGCUUCCGUUUUUCCUAUUUAUACCUGUCAAAAGUGCUGCGAAAAAGGUUUCAAAAAUUAGAGCACCAUUCUCGCAGCCCUUUCAUCUUCUUCGCCAAGCCACGCCGUCCGUUUCUCCGGUCGUCUUCUCCGUUUAGCAGCGCCGGCCAAAGAUCGAUAGCCCAAAAAUGGCACGAACGCGAGGGGCAAAGUCUUCAUCCCCUUCGAACCGCAAAAGGAGUCUGCGAAAGGAGCCAAGUUCAGGCUCUGUUCCAGAACCUGCUCCAAAGCCUUCGCCGUCGAGACCACAACCUUCUCCAGUGAAGCCGGCGCCACCAAAGCCGCCGGCAAGGCGAUAUUUAACCAGGUCAGGUGGUCAGCCAUUGAAGAAGAAAGCCAGAGUUGAGAGCUCUGAACCAAUCGAUUUGACUGAGCAAUCCCCUGAGAAAUCACCAAAUCCUUCACCGGUACAAAUUCCAGUGCCAUCACCGGUUCCCUCGCCAAUUCCCUCACCAGAAGCAACUCCAAUUCCAUCGCCGGUACCAUCUCCGGCACCCCAAGAAAAAGCUCAGGAGCCUCAAGCGCCAAUUCCAGAGCCCCAAAUUGCAGCUGAAGCACCUCUGGAAGAAGUGAUCCGAAGGCCAAUGCUGCCUCAGCCCCCAAUCGAAGGAAACCUGGAUUGCCGAACUCGGGCAUUCCAUUCUGAGCUUUGCUUCGAUUUAACAGCAUUCAGAGUGAGGCCAGAGCUUGCCCAAUCCUUCCAACUGCUGAGGAGAUAUCAUAUGGAGCAUCUGCUAGCUCCAAGGGAUUUUUUCUAUCCCCGGGUAGUCACGGAUUUCUACCAAACCAUGACAACCAAAGAAGUAAGAAAUCCAACUCUGAUUCAUUUCAUAAUUGAUGGAAGGCAUGGUAUUUUGGGAGCAAGACAUAUUGCUGAAGCCCUGCAAAUUCCUUUUGAGCCAACUCAAUUCGACAAUUUUAAAGCUUGGACAAAUCCUACUGAGUUAGAGAUGGUUAGCACACUAACCAGAGGAGCUGCAAAUCGAUCGCAUUUGUUGAGGGGGGAGCUACCUCCAGUUAUGUUUUUGAUUGAUGCCUUUUUGAGGCAUAAUAUCUAUCCCCUGCAGCAUUGGACCCAAAGAAGGGGAAUUCUCCUAGAAGCCUUGUACAAAAUGUCUGAAGGAUUCUUCUUUGGGCCUCAUCAUCUGAUCAUGGCAGCCCUUCUAUACUUUGAGGAGAAGGUUCACAAGAAGAAGCUUCAAAGAGCAGAUUGCAUUCCACUCCUCUUCCCAAGGCUGCUAUGCCAAGUUUUGGAGCAUCUCGGAUACCCCUCUGAGCCUCAGCAGGAAAGAAAGAGAAUAUGCCGUGAGCCUUUUACCCUUGAUAAAUGGAAUAAUAUGACGGCCUACAAAAUUGAUCAGCCUGGGCAGCCUCAGCCAGCAGCAAGGAGAGUCUCCCCAAGACAUAUACCUGAAGGUAUAACACUUGCUACUCCUGCCAUCCCUCGAGCUCCACCAGCUGCACCUGCUCCAUCACAGCCAUCCACAUCAGCUGAGCCGAGGAUGGCCAUCCCUAUAUCCGAAUAUCGAGAGCUGUGCCGUGCAUUGGAGACUCUUACAGCUUCUCAGAGCAAUCUUGCUCAGGAGUUGGCAGCCAUUAAAGCAUGCCAGGAGCAGAUGUUAGCCUCUCAGACUCAACAAGCUGCCAUCCUAAGGCAGCUUCAAGUCCAUUUCGAUCUGCCACAAGCUGUAGAGCCCUCUAUUCCUACUCCACCAGAGCCACACUCUCAGCCUUCAGAGUCUCAUCCUCCAGAACCCGAAGCACCAGCUGAUCCACCUACUGAGGAGGCAGAUCCUUCUGCCUAGCACCAUCACCCCCCUCAUCAGACAUUAUAUAUAUAUUUGCUGUUUAUGUUUUUAUGCAUGUUUGUUUUGUUUUAGUUGAAAAGAAAUCCCAGUAUUUUGGUACUAUAUAUGGGAUUCCUUGUGUUACUUGUCUUUAGUAUUGUAAUCACAUGAACUCAAAGUAAUACAAGUUGACUAUUUCUUGUUAAAAGUUAGCAUUAAAGUUUCCUUAUUUCCUUUUCUCACAUAUUCUAUUCUUUUUGAAACAUGUGGUUUUCCCCAAUCAAUAUUCGAAUUUGAUAUCAGCAUGGAGGUACCACUUCCUCCCUUUUAUUACAGUCACUCAAAUCACAUUGAGGACAAUGCUCAGUUCGGUUGGGGGGUAUGAGGAAGGAAGUAUUCUAAACCUUUUUGGUAUUGCAAUUAUAUUGGUUAAUUAGUUGUAGAUUUUACUUUUUACUAGUGUUACUCUAUUCUCCAUGAAUUUUGAGGAAAAAUUUUCAAAUUAAACCAAGAGAAAUUGAACUGUUGUUUUUCACUUGACUUAGAGUAUGGAUUAUGCUUACUAAAGUGGUUCAAUUGUUGAAACUUCUACUGAAAUUGAAUUGAGUUCUUCCACUUUAAGCUAUCCACACACUGUGCACAUUAGUUUCCGAUUAUAAGAUGAAAAGCUAUUUCCCUCUUGACUUAGUAUAUUUUUGGGACUUGGUAUAUUUGACCUCAUUUGAUAAAAAUUGAAACACCCUGCAAAAGGCCAAUGAGCCUUUGAAAUAAAGAAAGUUGUUUGCUUGCCUUGAAACCCGAGCAAGGUCUGAGGGGUAUAUGGUGAAAAUCUUUAAAGCCUGGUGCCCUAAGCCUUAAUUGGUUGGGAGUCACCGACCUCAAUGCUCGUUACAAGGGUGAAUAGGUAGAGUUAGCAUAUGGUAGAUGCUUGGGUAUUAGAAAUUCAUUCUUAAAAGUCCGGGGAAAAAUCCGAGGAGUUAGUGGUUGAAAGAUCCUUAAAACUUGGUGCCCUAAACCUUAAUUGGUUGGGAGUCAUCGAUGGACCCCCAUUACAUGGACAAGUCAGAAAGAGUACCCCAUAAAGCUACCUUAAAAAAAAAAAAAAAAAAAAAAAAAAAAAAAAAGAUGAAAGUGUGUUCUUUUCUUAUUGAUUUUGGUCAGUUUGCUAAAGUGUUGAAAAGAGAUAGGUUGGGGGGUGAGAUUAGUAGCAUAUUAUUCUCGGAACCUAAGGAACCAAUACACAUAGAUUUUUGUGGAAGAUUGAAGUUUAGUUCUUAGAAAAUGAAAUGAUUUUAAAACUUCAGUUUGCAUAAUGCACUCCCUUGAUUGACAGUGUUUAGCAUAGGUGUUAUGACUCUUGUUGAGAUUUGGGUUUGUAUUUCUUUAAUGAUUCAUGUGAGAAAUAGAUCAUCAUGCCACUUGAGAAUUAUUUUCCUUUUAGCAUGAUGUUGUAAAUUUUAGAUUAGUUUGCUAUUUAUUUUUUAUUUUCUCUCCUAUAUUGCUAAGGGACUAGCAAUAUGUCGGUUGGGGGGAGUGAUUACUACUCAAAAAGUGCUAUUUGAUAGCCUUUAAUUAAUCCUUUUUAACACUUUUGAGUAGUAGUUUAGGCCUUUUAACUCAAUUGGCAUGUUAAGGAUCCUUUAAAGCAAUUUUGAUCACUUUGUGCAAGUUUUGGUGUUUUUGUUAGUAUUUUGAUCACCAAAGCAAGUCAAGAAUGAGGAGAACUAUGAGGAAUCAUGGGCAAAGCUUAGAAUUCAAUUGCCAAGAGUGAAUCCGGAUUGCAAGGAGAAAAAGCAAAGAGAAUCUGUCAUGAAGCCUAUUCUUGAUGACAGUCGUAGCAGCCACUUUUGGAGCACUUUCUGAAGUCCAAAUGAUGCAAGCUAUAUACCAUUUCAAAGCUCAGGAAGUCAACAAUCCAAUGCUUCAAACGGUGCGCGAUUCGGAGUUGAAACGAAGAAGUUGCAGCCAUUACAAGCCAGUCACUCUAAAGUGUUGCGGAAUCAGCCUUUUGUUGCGAGAAUUUCGCAGCACUUUUGUACAGUAAGGUGUUUCUCCUUCUGACGAUGCACGAACCAUGCCGCGAGAGGGAAGCUAGGAACUUCAAGAUGGAAGCCAACUUUGCAGCCUGGUGAAGAUAGCUUGGUCUUGCGAAAUAAUUUCGCAGCCCUCUUGGGUGUCUGCGAAAUUUCGCAGGCACCACUUUUUUCCUGCGAAAUGGCUCCGGAAGCCUCCCGAAGCUUGCUACCGACAUUGGGAGAUAUUUUCCAUUAGAUUUUUGUUGUCUAAAUUCCAAAAUACUCCUUGUAAACCACCAAUUACAUGAUUCCUUAGUUUUUAAGUUAGUAAAAAGACCAAAUAUCUAUGUAAUAAUUAGUUUUAUAUUAGUUUGCUAUAAAUACCUCUCGGGAGCAUGUUCUCAGAGAGGAGUUCCUUCUGUAACCAUUUUGGUAAGCAAGUAAAGUCUUUUCUUUCUACUGCCUUACCUUCUCACUUUGUAUUUUCAUUUUAUUUCUAAGUUAUGAAUUCUCUGAGGAGCUUUCCCCAGAGAAUGAGUAACUAAACCUCCAAUUCCUUGGAGCUAAGGUUGCCGGGGAAGGUUCCAAGUGCAAGAAUGCAAAGCUCUGUGGUUUUAGCUAGUAAUGAAGAGGAAGUGAAAUCCUUUAGUGAUUUCAAUGUUUUUAGUUAACUUAAAACACCUUGGAGUCACCUGGGCCAACACUUGGUAAGGCAAGUGAUUUCCAACCGUGGAAAUGCACUAGUUUACCCCUUGCGAGCCUCUGGUAGGUGACUUCAAGGUAGGAUUUUCUGGAAUUACCAACACUUGGUAAGCUUUUGGACUCCUAGGAGACAUCCAUUAGUUAUCUCUUGCGAGUUUGUGAAGGGGAAUCCAAGGUUAAAGAUCACCUUGAAUGGUAAGUGCUCGUGAGAGGCAUGAACCAUUGCAAGUUGUAUCAGUGAGAGAAUUAAAGUGAAAUCUAAUUGAAGGAGUCUCUGUACAUCACCGGUUAGAGAAUUGACUAUAAGUUGAAUCUCUAAUGCGAGGAAAUGAACCAUCUGACCGGAGCUAUGUCUUUUGCAUGAGGAACCACCCCAGUGAACCUAAAUCUCCAAGGAAUGCUUUUCUUCCUAAAUUAUUCCAAACUUCUGUUAAGUUAGUUAGUUUAAGUCUAAACCUUUACCAAUCAAACUUUGUGUUUUAUUCCUUAAGCUAACCGUGAAAUGAAACAAAACCAAUUCACUUGGAAUUGGUAUCCUUGAUUGCUUGCAAAUCAUUCCCAGUGAACGAUCCUUAGAGCCACUAUACUAUAGUAGCUUUGUAUUUGCUACCCUAGUGUAUGGUGUUAUAGGUAUAAAUUUUGUUGAUCACUUCCUCAAUCAAGGAACACCAGCUGAACACAAAUCAGCUGAGACACCAAUUGGGCAUGAGUCAGUGCGUUAGAGGAUCAAGAAGAAGAAAAAGAAGGAACUGUUGGAAUUAGUAUGAGUGUGAAGAGAAAAGUAUAUAAAUAAGGGGAAGUAAAAGCAAAGUUCAAAAAGCUAUAUUUUUUUAUUGUUGGUGUAUGGUUGCAUGAUUAUCCCUAUAAAUAAUAGGAGUUUUUUGGUAUUCUACUAGUAGUUGAAGCAUAAUUUCAUAAAUUAAUAUUUAGAGCGGGGUGGGGUGAGUUGUGACAAAAUUCAUACCCGUCCCAAACCUUGGUUCAGAUUUUUAAAAUAUUCUCAAACUUAUCAUAUACCCAACUUUUAUAUUUCAUACUUGUCCUAAUAGAGGCACGUUAGGCCGGGUUACUUGAGUAACCUACAUAAUUGUCAUCCCUAGUUGAAAUACACUUUUUGGCAGUGGCCACCAACUGAGCUAGAAGCUUGAUUGAUUGACCUACAAGAUUAGUUCUCAUCAUUUUAAAAAAAGUUCUGGCUUUGGUUGUGAGUGCAAUUGAAUCUAAACUGGCAUUUGCUUAAUGCAUCUACUUCAAUCCUAAACUUCUUACUUCUUAAGCCUCAAUUGUUGUUAGGAUUUUGGAAAACCCAUUUCCUUAAAUUGUAAAUUUAAGAUAAAAUAAAAUAAAAGUGAGACAUUUCUUGAUUGAAUAUUGUUAAAGGUCCCUUGGCAUUAAGACUUGGUUGAAGCCUUGGAAGAUUAGUGGAACUCUCAACAUGUGUUUGAAUCUUGAGGAGAGUGGAUGUAAGCCAAAAUUUUGUCAAACCAUUAUACAAAUUGAGUUUGAAUCCUCAUUUCUUGAUUUCUUAUUUAUUUGCUUUUUCUUAUUAUUACUUGAAUUGUCAUUUGCAUUCAUUAAUGUUAAAAUUGGUUAUAAUUAACCAACACUAAUUCUCUUUCCCCUUCCCUUUCUUGGGUGUAAACCUAGGUUGGAUUAACUAGAUAAAUCUAUUAAGAUGGUAAAAGAAUAAUUAUUCUUAACAUACAUAAGAUCAUCUUCAAUCAAAUGACUCAUUGGCUAAUAUGUUGAAUUUGCUUAUUACUUGCAACUCAAAAUUGUGUUCUAGUUGUGUCAAGUCCCCAGUGUAUGGACAUUAAAUUUGUAGUACGUGAUGAGUAAUUAGAUGGUCCAACUCCAAGAAAGUGAUUGAAAAGUAGUUCAAGAAAGGUGCAAAAGGGAAUUGUUUUGGUAUUUUCGUUUUUAUUCUUGAAGGUGGCAGAGCUAAAAUUUGAGAAAUCAAGCAAAACAUACUGAAAUUACAUUGAAAGAAAGAAGAUGGGAGUUAAUGUCUUGCAGUACAUGAUAAGGACUUCAUGCAUGUAGUGUGACCCAUGUCUUGGACUGAUGCCAACUCACGGUUACACUUAUACCCUUGGUUCUCUCUUUACUACCUUGGCUAACCUAGAUCAGGCUAUGAGAUAGGCUCCUCACCACACCAUUACUUGCCCAUUAAUUAGAGACAUUUUCAAGCAAUGAGGUAACAUGGUGACACCAAGAGGGUCUAUUCCUCGCCCGGAACAAGUCUAGACUUGGUCUCAAAAAAAUGGAGAAAAAUGAGGUGUCGUUAUGUAGAAAUACAACAACCAUGCCUUCCUCAUUACUUAGAUUCAGAAUGUGAAGGUGAAAUUGAGAAACAGAAACUCUUGAAACCAAAAUGAAAAUUGAUACUUUUACGAAGAAUUACAACAACAUUAGAGGAAGACUACAUUCUUCCUCUUUAUUCCUACAUUUCUACACUACUUCUACUCCACUCCAUAUUUCUACAUACAUCUUUAAUCAGUCUUCCCUCCUUUAUAUAGAGCCAUCUUCACACAAAUUUCGCAAGGUAGAAAAGAGGAAUGAAACUUGGAGCAAGGUUCGACUACUGGUUGUAGCUUGUCAAGGCUGGAAGUGAACUUUUCUUGGCUUUCUGGGCAUGGGUAGUAACUUGUGGGUUCCUGUUUGGCAUAAAAAUGGCUAGAACAUGUGGCACUAUCUUGUUGGAUGAUGUGUCAAGCAUGUGGCAGCCAUCUAGUGGCGAUUAUGUCAAUUUUGGGAUGGAGAGUUGGCAUCCAAUUGCAAAGAAAUAUGACGUCUACCAACAUGCAAUGUAAACCUAUGUAGAUCAUAUGAAGAUAGAGAGGAAAAAUAUAGAAAUGGAUAUAUACCUAGAACUAGCUUUUUAUUAAAUGAAACGGAGAGACAACAAUGAAGGAAAAUAAAAUUUUUUGGCUUAUAUCAAAGAGUUCACAUUGUGUUACCCUAGGUUUUCUUAAAACUUACUUUUAUGAUAACAAAAAAGAAAAAACCAUUAUUGUUUAAUCCUUUGUUUUAAACGCAUGUAAGGUGUAAUUAAGUUAGUUCAAUGCAUUAAUUUAAGAAACUUGACCUAUCAAAAGUACAAAAUUAGAUGAAAUCCAUUUCAAUGGUUAAAAUGAUCAAAAUCAAACUUUUUCUAAGUAUUUUUUAAAAGCAUCAAUAGUGAAAGACAAUUUUAUAUUUAGUCGGAGUUUGGACAAAACUGAAAAACACACAAAAUCCAAGCGACCAUCUCUAGCUUGGAUGGUCGCUUGAUCCCACCUAGAGAUGUGCAUGAGUAAAAGGAUUUGAAAAUGGAAAUUGACUAUGUAGUCGAUCAAUUAACUUUGCAACAUCAUAUGCAAUCCUAAUUGCUAGUCAUCUAAUCAAUUAGGUAGUCAAUCAACAGGCCAAAAAUAUGUUUAUAAUGACUAUUUUGUACAAAAACCACCUGUAUAGUUAAAUAUAAUGCAUUUCAUUUAUAAAUCUUCUAAUUCUUGAAUAACGAUCCUAUCAUCCUUUGAAAGUUUUUAUUACACUUUUUUUACUUUUGUUCUAAAACUUACACAUCACCCUUAAUUGUACCAUGAGAACCUAGCUAUUUUUUAUUUUUUUUUUUGUAAUUCAUCAAAGUUAGCUUUUGUAUUCAUUGUUGUAUUAUUUUUAGUAUAACUUAGAAAGCUAGUGUUUUCAAGUGAGUAAAAUUAACUUGUAAAUAUUGUAAAGAUUCAUCGACAUGUAUCUUAAACUAAGUGUACAAGUUAAAACAUUUGCUAGUAGAUUUUCUCAAAAUUUAGAAUAGAGCUUGAGACUAUUGAAAUAGGUGGGGUUGCACCAAACCACAUCACAUCGUUGUUUGCACCUUUUUUCACUCUCUUUUACUUAGUUGCUCUAUAUUUGUUGUCUAGUAAUAUCCUAUAGGCUUGAUGGGUUAGGGAGCAUCCCUUUGUGAAAAAAUUUUAUUCAAUCCUUAGUUGUAUCACGCAUAUAUAAAAUGCCUCAUUGUUUUAAUGGUAUUCAGUCGUGGCAUCACAGAUAUGGGCAUCUAAAUUUUAAAAGUUUGAAACUUUUAUCUAAAGAAAAUAUGGUGCUUUGCCUUUUUGUAAAGCAUGUUGAUGAAAUCCAUGAGAAUUGUGUACUUGGGAAGCAACACCGAGAUGACUUUUUUUUUUUUUUUAUAAUAUUGUUUGUCCAAAUUCCCUACAAAUUAGGCCACCAGAUGUUCAUAAUUCUCCCUUCUUGAAUUUGAAAACUCGGACAAUUGGACAAUGCGACACCUAAGUCCGGUUUCUAAAUGCUAAAGUGAAAGGGUAGGUAUGGACCAUUGAAAUGUGAUCACAACUUUUCUCUGUAGCCAUGUUGUCUCUUUUUUCUUUUGCAUGAUUUUCUUACCUUAACAGAAUCAUAGACUUGUUUAGUCUCUAAAUGGGAUUAAUUUCAUCCAGCUUUAAGCUACUAUAUUAUAUCUAGGUGGAGGACUUUUAAGAGUGCAACCGACAUAGAGCACAUGGAAGUGGGUAUAUGGGACAUGAAAUUUCUUCUUAUAAAGAUUGCAUGAUUUUUAUAUUAGAGUUGUUGAGGCGCUAUGUAUUUAGCUUGUUUUGCAGUUAAAUUAAUUGGAUAAGUAGACAUUGGCGUUUCUAAAUCUACUGUGAAGUGCUUCAUGUACGUGUGAAGUAUUAGAAAUUUCUUUCUUGGCAACUUGUUUUUCUUUGCGGUCUACUGAUAGGUUUGACUAAAAUUAUAUUCCCUGUCAUGCUAAUUAAUUUUCACGUGCAUGCUCAAAAGAAAAGUAUGACCUUAGUGCACCAAAAUCACUUUGAUUAAUUUGUGAUAGGUUUUUGUGCAUCAUGACAUUAGCCUUAUUCAUUUAGAUAAUGUUUAGUUUUUAGAAAGUAUUAAGAAAAGGAAAAUAAAUAUUAAGAAAAAUAUUCUUAUAUUUGAUUGUAUUAUGAAAAAUAUCAUAAAAAAAUCAAAUAUAAUUUAAAUUAAUUAAUAAUUUAUACAUUUUCAAAUUAUUUAAUCUUUAUAUUGAAGAUAUAAUAUAAAUGAAAUGAGUUUUAAGUAUUAUAUAAAAGUGAUUUAUUGAUCUUACAUAUAUAUAUUUCUUUUUUUUUUCCUUCUAUUUUUUCUCUUUAUUUUAUUUUCCUUAUGUUUUCCUCAACAUUUUCCGGAACCAAACAUAGCCUUAGGAAAUCCACAAUUACCUUCAACUGAGUAGAUUCUGUUGUUUUAGCAAUGUUAGGCUGCUAACUUGUGUUGGUACGAACCUAUUAAGCCUAAAGAUGUAAUUAGUUAGGAUAUUCUUUUCCCUCUAGUCUUGUAGCUCCACGUGUACAGUUGGUUAGGACCUCAUUGUAUAUAAUGCUUGCCCUGUUAUUGUAGAAGACAACAAAGAUAAAUAAUAUUAACAUUUUUCCUCUCAUCUCUCUCUGUUUCCCUCUGUUUUCAUCUCCUCUCUCAUCUUGGUAUCAGAGCCUCCAUGGCUUCUUUCAAAGAAACCUCCGAAUCACCUUCUGCUAGCAUUGUUAAUGUGCAAAACCCAUUAUCUCAAUCAAACAACCUUCCUUCACCAGUAGCCACACCCUCUUUUUCUUUCUCGUCUAUGAAUCAACCUCUCACAGUGAAGCUGGAUAAUGGGAACUACCUCAUAUGGAAGAAUUAGCUUCUAAAUGUCAUCAUUGCUAACGGACUCGAUGAUUUCAUUGACGGAUCUCGACCCUGCCCUCCUCGAUUUCUCGAUCUGCAACAACAAACCCUCAAUCCAGAGUACUCAGCUUGGCAGAGAUACAAUCGACUUCUGAUGAGUUGGCUGUACGCAUCCUUGUCCAAAGAUAUAAUGGCUCAGAUUGUUGGGUAUUCAACAGCUAUGGAGAUUUGGAAUGCCCUUAAUCAGAUUUACUCUGCCUCUUCUAUGGCGCGGUUUACUGAGCUUCGCACCAAGCUUCAAACGCUCAAGAAAGAUGGACUCUCAGUUGGUGAAUAUAUUCAAAGGCUCAAAUCCAUUUGCAAUAGUCUUGCAGCAAUAGGAGAACCAGUUUCUGAGAAAGACCAUCUUAUCUAUUUGUUCAAUGGAUUAGAUUGUGAGUAUUAUUCUUUUGUUACCUCCAUUCAAAAUCGAUCUGACCAACCAACUAUUGACAAAAUCCAUAGCCUAUUGCUUAGCUAUGACUUCCGGCUUGAACAACAAAACUCUGUUUCUCUCCAUUCUGCCCAAGUCCAUAUGGCUCAUCUGAACAAGAAACCUUAUAAAUCAACUCCUCAACCUACAUUCAAUCAUAUUCACAUUCAACCUAGAUACUCUUCUCCACCUUUUAAGCCAACCACUAGUCAAUAUCAACCCAACAUUUUGGGCAAACCACAACCACAACCAUGACAGCCUCAACCUCAAUGGAAACCACAUUUUUCAAUCUAAAAUCAAAAGCCUCAGCGCCAAAUUUGUGGUAAAUUUGGACACACUGCUCUUAUUUGCUUCCAUCACACAAAUUUGAACUAUUCACCCCAACCUUCUCCUAAAUCUUUCAAUACUGUUCUCACCACAAAUUCCCAGCUCCCUAAUCCUCCAAAAUUUUCUUACCCUACAAUGGCUCAUCCUGCUGCUACGCAUAACACGGUUCCCGAUACAAAUUGGUACAUGGACUCAGGUGCUACACAUCACUUUACUCUGGACAUCAACGUGCUUGACACUGUGACACCAUUUAGUGGUUCAGAACAGGUGACAGUUGGGAAUGGUAAGCAACUCUGUAUCUCACAUCUUGGUACUGCAAAACUACCAUCUUCGUAUUCUCCUCCUGUUCUACAUCAGGUAUAUCACACUCCAAAAAUUUCAAAUAAUCUUAUUAGUGUUAAAAAAUUGUGUUCUGAUAAUAAAGUUUUUGUUGAAUUUUAUGCCACUCAUUUUCUUGUCAAGGAUCAGGUUUCGAAGAGAGUUCUCCUUUAGGGUCAACUUGAUAAUGGCUUAUACAAAGUUCAGUCGUCAUGCUCUCCUUCUGCUGUUUCCUUUCCUCCUCAAGUUUUCAUAGCCAACAUCAAGUAUCCAAAUCUGUGGCACAAGAGACUAGGCCACCCAGCUUUAUCUGUUGUUAAUCAAAUCUUGGAUUCUUGUAACAUUGCUCGAACACAGAAAAUUUGUUUUAAUUUUUUAAAUUCUUGUCAAUUAGCAAAGAGCCACAGGCUUCCUUUUUCUCUGUCUCCAUCCAUUGCAGAAAAACCUUUUGAGUUAAUUCAUACAGACCUAUGGGGUCUUUCGCUCGUUCGCUCUAUUUCUGGUGCUCUUUAUUUUUUACUUUUCAUUGAUGAUCAUACUCGUUUUACUUGGUUUUAUUUGCUCAAAACAAAAGAUGAAGCAUAUCCUACUUUUCUCAAGUUUCAAGCUCUCAUUGAAAAUCAAUUUAAUACCAAGAUUAAGGCUGUCCAAUCUGAUUGGGGAGGUGAGUUUCGAUCUCUCUCCAUACCGUUUUCAAAUAUGGGCAUUGUCUAUUGUUUAUCGUGUCCAUACACCUCACAACAGAAUGGGCGAGUUGAGCGAAAAAAUCGCCAUGCGAUUGUCCUUUCUUGCUUGCUCUAUGCCCUUAUCUUAUUGGCCUUAUGCCUUUCAAACUGCCACUUACCUUAUUAAUCGUCUCUCUACCCCUGUGCUGCAUCAUCAAUCCUCUUACUUCGCACUCUAUCACAAACUCCCAACUUAUACUCAUCUUAAGGUCUUUGGUUCCUCUUGUUUUCCGUAUUUGCACCCUUAUAAUACCCAUAAACUCCAAUACAGGUCACUAGAGUGUGCUUUUCUUGGUUACAGUUCACACCACAAAGGUUAUCUAUGUCUUGACAUUCAUUCUAGCAGGGUGUAUAUUUCUCGCCAUGUGAUUUUUAAUGAAGAUUCUUUUCCAUUCAAGAAUUUGAAAUCUUCUCUCUCUCAGUCUAUUUCUUCUUCCUCUUCUUUAUAAGUUCCUCUGUUCAUUCUCUUGCCUCCCCUUUCCCCAUCUCCUCUUAUUUCUUCAUCUAUACCUCAUUCUUUUCCCUCUUCUUCUUCUACCUCUAGUACUUGUUCCCCUCUCGUUGCUCCUACCUCUCUUCCUUCCUCUUCACACUCUGUGUCUCCAUCUAUUCCACCUCCUUCUCCACCUUCUCCGAGUGUGGACCUGCUUGCACCUUGUGUGAAUACAAAUUUACAUACUUCUUCUCGCACUCACAAUAUUCAUCCUAUGGUGACUAGAUCUAAGGUUUGUAUCUAUAAACCUAAGUUGUUGUUGAGUGUCUCCAUAGGUUCUCUCACUAAGCCUACUUCCUUUCUUCAAGCUAUUAAAGAUCCUUCAUGGAAGCAAUCCAUGGAAUUCGAGUUUGCUACCCUUCAACACAACAAGACCUGGCAUUUGGUUCCUUCACCUUCCUCAGGCGAAGUAAUCGGUUGUAAAUGGGUCUAUAAGCUAAAGCUUCAGCCUGAUGGCUAAAUUGAGAGAUACAGCCUGCUUAGUAGCUAAGGGUAUCAUCAAAUUGAAGUAUGGACUACUUCGAAACAUUCAGCCUGAUNNNNNNNNNNNNNNNNNNNNNNNNNNNNNNNNNNNNNNNNNNNNNNNNNNNNNNNNNNNNNNNNNNNNNNNNNNNNNNNNNNNNNNNNNNNNNNNNNNNNAGCUUCAGCCUGAUGGCUAAAUUGAGAGAUACAAGGCCUGCUUAGUAGCUAAGGGUUAUCAUCAAAUUGAAGGUAUUGACUACUUCGAAACAUUCAGCCUGAUUGUCAAGCUUUCUACUAUCUGUAUUGUGCUCAGUCUUACUUUUUCCCAGAAUUGGUGUAUUAGACAGCUGGAUGUUCAUAAUGCCUUCUUACAUGGUGACUUAGCUAAAGACGUUUUCAUGGAACAACUGCCUGGAUUUGUUGAUCCUCUCUAUCCUACUCAUGUCUGCAAGUUGGAUAAGUCUCUCUACUGUCUUAAAUAGUCACCUCGGGCUUGGUAUACUAAGCUGAGUACUUCUCGCUACACUUGGGAUUUGUUACUUCUAAGAAUGACUCUUCCUUAUUUAUUUGUCAUUCGUCUCAUGGGUUACUUCUUGUUCUUGUCUAUGUGGAUGAUAUAAUCGUCAUUGGGAGCCACUCUCCUCAGGUUACUCACCUUAUCCAACAGUUGCAUCAUUAGCUUUCUUUAAAGGAUCUUGGUCCUUUACAUUAUUUUCUGGGCUUGGAGGUUCAUCACACCCCUACUGGUAUUCACCUCAGCCAAGCAAAGUAUAUCACUGAUCUCCUUACCCGGGCGGCUAUGUUGGAUGCCAAGCCAUGUCCCACUCCUAUGUCCUCCAACACAUAUCUCUCUUUUCAUGAUGGAGUGGCUCUUGAAAAUGGUUCAGAUUAUCGAAGUUUUGUUGGUGCCCUUUAGUAUUGUACCAUGACACGCCCAGAUAUAGCUUUUGCAAUAAAUAAAGUGUGUCAAUUCAUGCACCAUCCCUCUAAUGUUCACUGGCAGGCUAUAAAACGUAUUCUCCGGUACUUAAAGGGCACAUCUCAUUUUGGUCUCUUCCUACAGCCUUCCUAUGACUUCAACAUCACUUGCUAUACAAAUGCCGACUGGGCUUCCUGUCCUGAUGACAAGUGUAGCACCAGUGGCUACUGCCUCUUUCUUGCCUCUAAUCUGGUUUCUUGGUCAUCUUCCAAACAAAAAGUGGUCUCCCGCUCCAGCGCCGAAUCAGAGUACCGAGGGGUAGCAAAUGGGGCUGCUGAAAUUGCUUGGACUGAAUCUCUUCUUUGUGAACUUUCCAUUACUCCCCCUCCCCUCAUUCUCUGUGACAAUAUCAGUGCCACGUACUUAGCUGCCAAUCCUAUUUUGCAUGCCCGCACCAAACAUGUGGAAAUCGACUAUCACUUUGUCACGGAACGUGUUCUUCAAUGCUCUCUUUUUGUCCAGUUUACACCUUCUGAUGAUCAACUUGCUGAUUGCAUGACCAAGCCUCUCUCCACCCAACGUUUCAUCACUCUACGCUCCAAGCUCACUGUUCUCACUAGACCAAUGAGCUUGAGGGGGGAUGUUAAGCCUAAAGAUGUAAUUAGUUAGGAUAUUCUUUUCCCUCUAGUCUUGUAGCUCCACGUGUACAGUUGGUUAGGACCUCAUUGUAUAUAAUGCCUGCCCUGUUAUUGUAGAAGACAACAGAGAUAAAUAAUAUUAACAUUUUUCCUCUCAUCUCUCUCUCUGUUUCCCUCUGUUUUCAUCUCCUCUCUCAUCUGAACCAAAUGAUCCAUGUUAACCUUGGCUUGGUUUGAUUUGGCUCUAUCUUAGAGAGCUCAAGGAUCACGUCAACUCUGGUUUCUACUAUUCAGGUCCAUUCCCAUAUGAACUGGUUCAAAUUUGAGAAAAUGGUAACAGACCUUUAGUGAUGUUGGUUUGGAGCCAGUUGCCAAACCCGCCCUGAGCUUUACCACUAAUGUCAAGGGAGAAAGCCAUUUGAACAAAAACAAUAGCUUCAAGGGACUGAAUCGUGGAUGAAAUCUGAUCCACAUUUCUUCUCAUUUUGGAAACAAAUGAGAACUUAACUAAGAAGAUUCUACGGCCUCAUAGUGCUUUUCCUGAUCUAAGGUUGGUUCGUUUCCCAAACUGUGAGAUGCACGUGCCAGACUUCAGAACUCUCACGCUCAGGAGUGUAUCCACGUGGUGGACAUAAGAUGGUGGCUUAAGAUCUGGUGUCGGUGGCUUUACUUUACUAGGAGAGUAGUGUGUCUUCAUCUCAUUCACUGCCGGAGGGUGGCGUAAGCAGUGACGCUAAGGUGGGGCACAGUCAAUAUCAUUUGCAUUUGACCAUUAUAGUUUUCUCCCGGCUUUAAAGUAACCUUAUCGUGAUAAAGGAUUACUAGCACUAGUUCAGAUGAUAGUCAUGUUAAAUUCGGACCAUGUUUGUGUCACAUUAUCAGCAACCAUGUGUUUAUGGUUCAUGCUUUCUGCAACUAAAAUUGAUAUAUAACCAGGUGAACUUCAAUCUAAAUUCUGAAAGUACUCAUGUGAUAGAUGGUGCCCGUCUGCAGAGUCCAUCAAUUGAAAAAUGGAGUGAGUGUAUCUAUAAGAGGGAAGGCUUGGAAAAUGUUCAGUUUUCUGGGAAUUCAACAAGGAUCUAAAAUAGAUUGUUUUCUUUGCUGAUUUCAAUGGUUGAAAUUUGAGAAGAUUGUGUCCACAUAACACAACUAUUACUGGUCCUUCUGUUGCAAUUUAUCCUCUAAAGCUCUAGCAUGUCUUCCAAUUCCCACUUCCCUGUUACUCCAGGAAAGCUAUUUCUGUCAUUGUGAAGAAGAAAAGAGAAUGUACAUAUCGAUGCUUUUAAGUGACUGGAGCAUUUAUAUCAGGUGGUCUGCAGCCAUAUAUGCCACUUUGUGAAGAUUGGAACAGUCAAUCACUAGGCUAUAUAUUAGUGUGGCCCAGCCACUUUAAUCAAGGACAAGUCUUCAUACUUAAAGUCAAAUUCUGCCUUUAGUCUCAUUAUAAAUUUCUGUUUAAAUAUUAAGCAAACAUUUGUUUAAUGCGAUUAAGACAGUACUAACUCAAUACCUGUUCUAUUUUUGGAUGCAAAUGCUUGAUGGUUUCAUCAUUGGAUGGGAUAAAGGUGCAUUCAUGAUUAGGAAUACUAGUAGUUAUAUUUUAAUUCUCUUUUUUCUCAAUGAGACUUGUUGGCACAAUUUUGCUGUUGAGAAACCUACCUCUCCAUGGAAAAUAAGUUGUGAUUGAUAGUACUGGAUAUAUUCAAGAAAUCUAAAUAUAGAUAGCACAAAAUAUUAUCGACAUAAAUAGCAUUAACAGCGUACGUAUGUCUCAGUGCUCAUCAGCUAUAAGCAUGGGGCAAACACUUACUAUGAGCAACUUACGUCAAAAUUCCAGAAUAGGACAUAGAAGUGACAGAUAUAGAACAUUGCAUAUGAGUCACAAGAAAGGAAAUUACGGGUGCAUAGCAGCUCUUAUUUUACAUACUACUACUCAUACUGAUCAAAGUCACUCAGUUGGGAUGGGUGGGAGUAGGAGGUUUGUGGGGUGGCUUGUGCGGAGGAGUUGGCAGCUUCUUUCCAGGACCUGGUUGCUUCUCUGCUGGAGUUGAAGGAGGCUUAAUCUUCCGAGGUGGCUUGUAUGAGUCUUCAGCAUUCUCAGCUGGAGGGUGACCAGGGUUGUGACCAUAAUGUGGUGGCUUCUCUCCCUUAGGUGGUUUGCCAACUGGGGUUGGUGGCUUGUAUGAGUCUUCAGCAUUCUCAGCAGGAGGGUGACCAGGGUUGUGACCAUAAUGUGGUGGCUUCUCUCCCUUAGGUGGUUUGCCAACUGGGGUUGGUGGCUUGUGUUCUGGGAGUGGCUUCUCCCCCUUGGGAGGUUUUUCCAAUGGGGUUGGUUUGUGUUCAGGAGGUGGCUUCUCCACUGGAGGCUUGUGUUCAGGAGGUGGCUUCUCCACCGGAGGCUUGUGUUCAGGUGGUGGCUUCUCCACCGGAGGCUUAUGCUCUGGUGGUGGCUUCUCGAAUGGGGGAUGCUUAGGAUAAUCAGCAAGUGAGGGGGCGGUGAGAACCACCAGGCCAAGCAACACCACUAGCAAAUAUGUAGGAGACAUCUUUGGGUUUGGGCUCAGAUGGUGCAAAACUAGGAGAAUUGGCUAGCCUUUUAUAGCGGAUCGUACCCAAUAAUGAAAUGACACGUGUCAUUAUGACCCAUGUGUAAUGGGGUCGAUUUGGGUCCUACAGUGUUGAAAACUUCGACAUCCACUUUUGGCCUUUUGCUUUCUCUACAGCCGCCUUGCUUUUUCCCUCUUUCCUUUUGUUUUCCUCCUGCCCCAUUCUAUCAACUAAACACAAUUAUGUAGUUGUUUAAUUCUUAAAUGAGAUAUUAUCCGUCAAUCGUAUUAUAUUUUAUCAAGAGAGAACGGAGUGCAAUGUGGCUGUAAUUUUAUCGUUUAGUUUUAUCUCUUGGACCACUGCAUUUUUGUUAAGAGGUGCAAUAAUACACGUCUUUAUCUGCCAUUCAAUAUUUACAGUAAAGAGAGGGCACAAAACUCUUCACUUCGCACCAUAAUUAUUUUGUUUUCUGGACACCCCGGGGCCCUUUGGUUGGUUUGGGGGUCAGAAAGUGAACAUCAUAGGGGGUUUUUCCCUUAUGUGCAUUUGUAUCUGAUGGCUUUAACUCGCCUUGUUACUACAAAGAAACUGUCACAGAUAGGAACUUAUUCCAGGCUGAGUAUCUCCUCAUAGACCCUAUAAAAGAAGACAAGUCAUAAUGAACAUCUAACCUUUGUUCAAUUUGAUUCAAUGCCCCCAUUGUGUCCAUCUCACAAAUCUGAAUUAUUAUAUCCAUUGAAUACAUAAAUUAAUGAAGAAAAUAUGAAACCCAAGAUACAUCUCUGCACAACCUCAACCCUGGUUGCUAUGUUUCCCUUCUAUUCACAUGAUUUGAUGCUAAUUGCCAAACUUGCAACAAGCCCUGAGUUUGACACCUAGUAUCGAUGGGCGAAUUUAAAGUCUCCUCCAAACAUAUAUUCCACAGCUUGAAGCUCACAGAAGAUGUUACAGGCAGGGAAAAACCUUCAGAGUUCGCUACCAAAGAUAAUUAUUAAGGAGAUAUCACAAAGAGAAUUCCAAGGGGUCUGAAUCAAAGACAAAUUGGUCGUUCGUGGGGGUUCUUACUUUCUUUUGGGUAUAACUCACUGAGGGCACUGUCUUUGUUAUUUGCAUUUCACAUUUAGAGUUCUGUUCUGGAAACAUAUAAAAGGAGCAUCAUUUUGUUCUUGGGUAACCCAUAGUCGUGAGUGGGUCCAUUUGCAUGCUACUUAGUUGAAAAGUUGGACCAUUUGCUCCGACGCCUACCUCCCGGAUUCCAUGCUCGGAUAAAACAAGAAUAAAAAAAAUAUUUAUAAUUUACAAAUGGGGGAAAGAAAAAAAUGUCAACAACAAACCAGGAAAAAAGAGUAGUAAAAUUCAUGUCACAUGCUAGUGAGAGAAGGGGUUGUUACACUCACUCGAAGUUCUUUCCAAAAUAUCGCAUGGUAUUUUAUUUUAUGUGUCAGCGCAGUUGUGAAUGGAACGUGCAAAAGUCCAAAUUGGCGUUUUUCCUUUUCCCGUGUAGGAUGGCGACCUUUAAUAAAUAUUUAAAACAAAAAACGAAAAAAAGGAGGGAAAAGGGAUCAGAAAAGAUAAAACAAUGUGUACAAGAGCUCAAUUAGUUUGCAAAUUACUGUUUGGAUUUUGAUAGUAUUUUAUUUGUCCAUCUAUAUUUGAUGGAAAAGAGAAUUUAAGAUAUUUCUGAAACAAAAGCAUUAGUGUAAAACUAAAUUAAGGUAUAAUUAAGUUAGUUCAAUGCAUUAAUUUAAGAAACUUGAUCUAUCCAAAGUACAAAAUUAGAUGAAAUCCAUUUCAAUGGUUAAAAUGAUCAAAAUCAAACUUUUUCUAAGUAUUUUUUAAAAGCAUCAAUAUUAAAAGACAAUUUUAUAUUUAGUCGGAGUUUGGACAAAACCAAAAAGCACACAAAAUCCAAGCGACCAUCUCUAGCUUGGAUAGUCACUUGAUCCCACCUAGAGAUGUGCAUGAGUAAAAGGAUUUGAAAAUGGAAAUUGACUAAAUAUUUAGUUGAUCAAUUAAAUUUGCAAUGUCAUAUGCAAUCCUAAUAGCUAGUCAUCUAAUCAAUUAGGUAGUCAAUCAAGUGUUUGUAAUGACUAUUUUGUACAAAAAACCACAUGUAUAGUUAAAUAUAAUGCAUUUCAUUUAUAAAUCUUCUAAUUCUUGAAUAACGAUCCUAUCAUCCUUUGAAAAUUUUUAUUACACCUUUUUUACUUUUGUUCUAAAACUUACAUAUCACCCUUAAUUGUACCAUGAGAACCUAGCUAUUUUUUUUUUUUUUGUAAUUCAUCAAAGUUAGCUUUUGUAUUCAUUGUUGUAUUAUUUUUAGUAUAACUUAGAAAGCUAGUGUUUUCAAGUGAGUAAAAUUAACUUGUAAAUAUUGUAAAGAUUCAUUGAUAUGUAUCUUAAACUAAGUGUACAAAUUAAAACAUUUGCUAGUAGAUUUUCUCAAAAUUUAGAAUAGAGCUUGAGGCUAUUGAAAUAGGUGGGGUUACACCAAACCACAUCACAUCGUUGUUUGCACCUUUUUUCACUCUCUUUUACUUAGUUUCUCUAUAUUUGUUGUCUAGUAAUAUCCUAUAGGCUUGAUGGGUUAGGGAGCAUCCCUUUGUGAAAAAAUUUCAUUCAAUUCUUAGUUGUAUUACGCAUAUAUAAAAUGCCUCAUUGUUUUAAUGGUAUUCAGUCGUGGCAUCACAGAUAUGGGCAUCUAAAUUUUAAAAGUUUGAAACUUUUGUAAAGCAUGUUGAUAAAAUCCAUGAGAGUUGUGUACUUGGGAAGCAACAUCGAGGUGACUUUAUUUUUUUUUCCUUUUAUAAUGCCACACCUAAGUCCGGUUUCUAAAUGCUAAAGUGAAAGGGUAGGUAUGGACCAUUGAAAUGUGAUCACAACUUUUGGCCUUUUCCUUUCUCUGCAGCCAUGUUGUCUCUUUUUUCUUUUGCAUGAUUUUCUUACCAAAACAGAAUCAUAGACUUGUUUAGUCUCUAAGCUACUAUAUUAUAUCUCGGUGGACUUUUAAGAGUGCAACCGACAUAGAGCACAUGCAAGUGGGCAUAUGGGACAUGAAAUUUCUUCUUACAAAGAUUGCAUGAUUUUUAUAUUAGAGUUGUUCACGUGCAAUGUAUUUAGCUUGUUUUGCAGUUAAAUUAAUUGGAUAAGUAAACAUUGGCAUUUCUAAAUCGACUGUGAAGUGCUUCAUGUACGUGUAAAGUAUUAGAAAUUUCUUUCUUGGCAACUUGUUUUUUCCUUGCCAUCUACUGGUAGGUUUGACUAAAAUUAUAUUCCCUGUCAUGCUAAUUAAUUUUCAUGUGCAUGCUCAAAAGAAGAGUAUGACCUUAGUGCACCAAAAUCACUUUGAUUAAUUUGUGAUAGGUUUUUUUGCAUCAUUUAGAUAAUGUUUAGUUCUAAGAAAAAUUUAUAUAAAAAUGGUUUAUUUAUCUUACAUAUAUAUAUAUAUAUAUAUAUUUUUUUUUUUUUCAUUUUUUUUUCUUCUAUUUUAUUUAUUUAUUUUAUUUUCCUUAUGUUUUCCUCACAUUUUCCGGAACUAAACAUAGUCUUACGAAAUCAACAAUUGCCUUCAACUGAGUAGAUUCUGUUGUUUUAGCAAUGUUAGGCUGCUAACUUGUGGUGGUACGAACCAAAUGACCCAUGUUAAUCUUGGCUUGGUUUGAUUUGGCUCUAUCUCAGAGAGCUAAAGGAUCACGUCAACUCUGGUUUCUACUAUUCAGGUCCAUUCCCAGAUGAACUGGUUCAAAUUUGAGAAAAUGGUAACAGACCUUUAGUGAUGUUGGUUUGGAGCCAGUUGCCAAACCCGCCCUGAGCUUUACCACUAAUGUCAAGGGAGAAAGCCAUUUGAACAAAAACAAUAGCUUCAAGAGACUGAAUCGUGGAUGAAAUCUGAUCCACAUUUCUUCUCAUUUUGGGAAAAAAUGAGAACUUAACUACAAAGAUUCUACUGCCUCAUUCAUAGUGCUUUUCCUGAUCCAAGGUUGGUUCGUUUCCCAAAUUGUGAGGUGCACGUGCCACUCUCACGCUCAGGAGUGUAUCCACGUGGUGGACAUCAGAUGGUGGCUUAAUAUCUGGUGUCGGUGGCUUUACUUUACUAGGAGAGUAGUGUGUCUUCAUCUCAUUCACUGCCGGAGGGUGGCGUAAGCAGUGACGCUAAGGUGGGGCACAGUCAAUAUCAUUUGCAUUUGACCAUUAUAGUUUUCUCCCGGCUUGAAAGUAACCUUAUCGUGAUAAAGGAUUACUAGCACUAGUUCAGAUGACCGUCAUGUUAAUUCGGACCAUGUUUGUGUCACAUUAUCAGCAACCAUGUGUUUAUGGUUCAUGCUAUCUGCAACUAAACUUGAUAUAUAACCAGGUGAACUUCAAUCAAAAUUCUGGAAGUACUCUUGUGAUAGAUGGUGCCUGUCUGCAGAGUCCAUCAAUUGAAAAAUGGAGUGAGUGUAUCUAUAAGAGGGAAGGCUUGGCAAAUGUUCAGUUUUCUGGGAAUUCAACAAGGAUCUAAAAUAGAUUGUUUUCUUUGCCGACUUCAAUGGUUGAAAUUUGAGAAGAUUGUGUCCACAUAUCACAACUAUUACUGGUCCUUCUGUUGCAAUUUAUCCUGUAAGGCUCUAACAUGUCUUCCAAUUCCCACUUCCCUGUUACUCCAGGAAAGCUAUUUCUGUCAUUGUGAAGAAGAAAAGAGAAUGUACAUAUCGAUGCUUUUAAGUGACUGGAGCAUUCAUAUCAGGUGGUCUGCAGCCAUAUAUGCCACUUUGUGAAGGUUGGAACAGUCAAUCACUAGGCUAUAUAUUGGUGUGGCCCAGCCACUUCAAUCAAGGACAAGUCUUCAUACUUAAAGUCAAAUUCUGCCUUUAGUCUCAUUAUAAAUUGCUGUUUAAAUAUUAAGCAAACUUUUGUUUAAUGCGAUUAAGACAGUACUAACUCAAUACUUGUUCUAUUUUUGGAUGCAAAUGCUUGAUGGUUUCAUCAUUGGAUGGGAUAAAGGUGCAUUCAUGAUUAUGAAUACUUGUAGUUAUAUUUUCAUUCUCUUUUUUCUCAAUGAGACUUGUUGGCACAAUGUUGCUGUUCAGAAACCUACCUCUCCAUGGAAAAUAAGUUGCGAUUGAUAGUACUGGAUAUGUUCAAGAAAGCUAAAUAUAGAUAGCACAAAAUAUUAUCGAUAUAAAUAGCAUUAACAGCGUACGUAUGUCUCAAUGCUCAUCAGCUAUAAGCAUGGGACAAACACUUACUAUGAGCAACUUACGUCAAAAUUCCAGAAUAGGACAUAGAAGUGACAGAUCUAUAUAUAUAGAACACUGCAUAUGAGUCACAAGAAAGGAAAUUACGGGUGCAUAGCAGCUCUUAUUUUACAUACUACUACUCAUACUGAUCAAAGUCACUCAGUUGGGAUGGGUGGGAGUAGGAGGUUUGUGGGGUGGCUUGUGCGGAGGAGUUGGCAGCUUCUUUCCAGGACCUGGUUGCUUCUCUGCUGGAGUUGAAGGAGGCUUAAUCUUCCGAGGUGGCUUGUAUGAGUCUUCAGCAUUCUCAGCUGGAGGGUGACCAGGGUUGUGACCAUAAUGUGGUGGCUUCUCUCCCUUAGGUGGUUUGCCAACUGGGGUUGGUGGCUUGUAUGAGUCUUCAGCAUUCUCAGCAGGAGGGUGACCAGGGUUGUGACCAUAAUGUGGUGGCUUCUCUCCCUUAGGUGGUUUGCCAACUGGGGUUGGUGGCUUGUGUUCUGGGAGUGGCUUCUCCCCCUUGGGAGGUUUUUCCAAUGGGGUUGGUUUGUGUUCAGGAGGUGGCUUCUCCACUGGAGGCUUGUGUUCAGGAGGUGGCUUCUCCACCGGUGGCUUGUGUUCAGGAGGUGGCUUCUCCACCGGAGGCUUAUGCUCUGGUGGUGGCUUCUCCACCGGAGGCUUAUGCUCUGGUGGUGGCUUCUUGAAUGGGGGAUGCUGAGGGUAAUCAGCAAGUGAGGGGGCGGUGAGAACCACCAGGCCAAGCAACACCACUAGCAAAUAUGUAGGAGACAUCUUUGGGUUUGGGCUCAGAUGGUGCAAAACUAGGAGAAUUGGCUAGCCUUUUAUAGCGGAUCGUACUCAAUAAUGAAAUGACACGUGUCAUUAUGACCCAUGUGUAAUGGGGUCGAUUUGGGUCCUACAGUGUUGAAAACUUCGACAUCCAGUUUUGGCCUUUUGCUUUCUCUACAGCCGCCUUGCUUUUUCCCUCUUUCCUUUUGUUUUCCUCCUGCCCCAUUCUAUCAACUAAACACAAUUAUGUAGUUGUUUAAUUCUUAAAUGAGAUAUUAUCGGUCAAUCGUAUUAUAUUUUAUCAAGAGAGAACGGAGUGCAAUGCAGCUGUAAUUUUAUCGUUUACUUUUAUCUCUUGGACCACUGCAUUUUUGUUAAGAGGUGCAAUAAUACACGUCUUUAUCUGCCAUUCAAUGUUUACAGUAAAGAGAGGGCACAAAACUCUUCACUGCUCUGCAUGUGUCCCAAAAAUGCGAUUGGACAAAUUAUGAUUUGCAUGCUAAAAAGAGGCAAAUGAGGUUAAUUCGCACCAUAAUUAUUUGGUUUUCUGGACACCAUAAAAAGAUGUUAUACAGGCAGGGAAAAACCUUCAGAGUUAGCUACCAAAGAUAAUUAUCAAGCAGAUAUCACCAAGAGAAUUCCAUAGAGUCUGAAUCAAAGACAGAUUGCUCGCUCGUGGGGGUUCUUACUUUCUUUUGGGUAUAACUCACUGAGGUCACUGUCUUUUUUAUUUGCAUUUCACAGUUAGAGUUCUGCUCUGGAAGGUUUGUUCUGGAAACAUAUAAAAGGAGCAUCAUUUUGUUCUUGGGUAACCCAUAGUCGUGAGUGGGUCCAUUUGCAUGCUACUUAGUUGAAAAGUUGGACAAUUUGCUCCGACGCCUACCUCCUGGAUUCCAUGCUCGGUAAAACAAGAAUAAAAAAAAAUAUAUAAUUUACAAAUGGGGGAAAGAAAAAAUGUCGGAAAAAAUAGUAAAAUUCAUGUCACAUGCUAGUGAGAGAAGGGGUUGUUACACUCACUCGAAGUUCUUUUCAAAAUAUCGAAUGGUAUUUUACUUUAUGUGUCAGCGCAGUUGUGAAUGGAACGUGCAAAAGUCCAAAUUGGCGUUUUUAUUUUUCCCAUGUAGGAUGGUGACCUUUAAUAAAUAUUUAAAACAAAAGACGAAAAAAAAAAGGAGGGAAAAGGGAUCACAAAAGAUAAAAUAAUGUUUACAAAAGCUCAAUUAGUUUGCAAAUUACUGUUUGGAUUUUGAUAGUAUUUUAUUUGUCGUUCUAUAUUUGAUGUAAAAGAGAAUUUAAGAUAUUUCCGAAGCAAAAGCAUUAGUUUGCUCUGUGAUGUCCCACAUCGAAUAGGGGAGAAAGUUUCUGGCGCUAUAUAUGUAGAGGCUCCUCUUAACCAAGUAGAUGCGUUUUAAAACCAUGAGGGCCCCCUUAGGUCCAAAGCGGACAAUAUCUACAUGAUUGGGUGUAAGUCAUUACAAAUGGUAUCAGAGCCGAUCCCCGACCCCGGUGUGGGGGUUUGUUUGGCCCUGUAAGGGGUGUUUGUCUGUUUGACCCCACAAUCCCAUGGGACACAACGAGGACGUUGUGUCUGCAUGGGGGGGCGUUUGUGAUGUCCCACAUCGGAUAGGGGAGAAAGUUCCUAGUGCUAUAUAUGUAGAUGUUUCUCUUAACCAAGUAGAUGCAUUUUAAAAUUGUGAGGGCCUCUUUGGGCCCAAAGCGGACAAUAUCUACAUGGUUGAGUGUAAGUCAUUACAUGCUCCAUGUCAAUUUCAGCAUUUCUCAUAUGUUUCACACAUACACAGAAGAGCAUCGUUUUUUAAAGCAUGCAUUUAUGUUGGAUUAAUUUGGAUUUUGUGGGAACUGGGGCAAGGAUCACAUGGAAGAGAGGUUGACUUUUUUCAGUACUUCAAUGGUUGAAAUAUGUGAAGGCUUGAUUGAUACUAAAGCUUGAAAUUGCGACUCUGUCAUUUGUAAAAAAAUAUGACAGCUUCCAUGCUCUCGUUUGGUUGCAUUGUCCGGUCGAGAGGUGCAAAAAGCAUUCUCUCUCUUCUAAUAGUCUUUUCGUUUAAAUCAAGGGAUUUGCCUUCCCGGUCGAGGUCCAAUAGAGGGUAACGGUCACCUACUAAACAUUAAAUGCUCCAACAACUAGUGAACUGAUCGACCCCAGCUCGACUAGUUGAGGUUACUUUUUGGUUUUCUUGUCUCCCGAGGUUAGAAACCUAUAAAUAGAGAGCUUCACUUCAUUUAUGAGUAAGAGAACACCUAAAUUUAUUUGUUUACCUACUUGUUUUUGCCAUAAAAGCUCUCAUUUCUUUUCUUGGUGUAUUAAAUCUCCAUUUGCAUAUCCUUUAGUGCACCUUUGUGAUUCAUUCUAGCCUUGAGUUGUAUUUAAGCCUUUGUUGAGCUAGGUUGAGAGUUUCAUACUUGUUUAUUGAGUGUUAAAGCCUUCAAGUGAGUUAAAACUUGAAGAGAUUGUGUAAGAGCCCAUUGGAGUCGGAAUCCAAGUGUAAAGGUGAUUAAAAGCUUGGUUGAAGCUUCAAGUUAGUGGAACUCUCACUCGGUUAUGAGCUUGAGAAGAGUGGACAUAGACAAGGCAGUGUCGAACCACUAUAAAAUCUGAGUUUGAUUUCUCUAACCUUAUCUCUUUAUAUUUGCUUCUCUUGUGCUUAAAUUUUUUGUGUUUAAAAAGAAUUUUUAAAAACUCAAUUCACCCCCUUCUUGGGAGUUUUUCUCUUUUAAGAUCAGCUUUUAUUUUCUCAAUUGGUAUCAGAACUAUGCCUCUUGUUUAAGACUUAAUCGUCUAAGAGGAAAUGGCUAAUCCAUCAAGUUCAUCUCACAUUGAAAGUUUUGCAACCAAUAGACUUCUUUUUUUUUUUUUGCGGGAACUGAUUAUCCCUAUUGGAAAACUAAAAUGACUUGGUUUUUACAAUCAAUUGAUUUAGAUGUAUGAGAUGCCAUUGAAGAUGACCUAACUUUUCCUUCAAAACUAGUUGAUGGAGUCAUGGUUCCAAAACCUAAGCAAGAAUGGGAUGAGCGUGAUUGAAGAAAUUUUCAAUUAAAUGCUAAAGUCGUUUAUACUUUGCAAUGCUCUAUGGACAGAAAUGAAUAUAAUAGAAUAUGUCAAUGCAAAUCGGUUAAAGAAAUUUGGAGAUUGCUUGAAAUAACUCAUAAAGGAACAAAUCAAGUUAAAGAGUCAAAAAUCAAUUUACUUGUUCAUAGAUAUGAAUUGUUUUUUAUGAAAGAUAAUGAAACUAUUGUUAAGAUGAUCACUAGGUUCACCAACAUUGUUAAUGGUCUUAAAGCCUUGGGAAAGACCUACAAGGAAUCCGAAAACGUGAUGAAGAUCUUGAGGUCACUUCCAUCAAAGUGGCAUACCAAGGUCACCGCAAUUUAAGAAGCAAAAGACUUGAUCAAGCUACCUUUGGAGGAGUUCAUAGGGUCAUUGAUGACAUAUGAAAUCAAUUUGGCAAAGAAGUAACAAAAAGGUGAAGACAAAAAGAAGAAGAACAUAACUCUCAAAGCUACAACUAAGGAAGAAGAAGUUGAAGAAGAAAAACAAAUUGAAGAAGAUGAAGAUUUAGCCCUCAUCACAAGAAAGUUCAACAAAUUCAUGAGGGGUGAAAGGUUUAGAAGAAGAAGGUUCACUUCUAGAAGAGACUUUUCUAAAAAGGAAUCUUCAUCUAAUGGUGACAAAAAGAGAUGGGAAGAGAAAAGAGACUUGGUGUGUUUCAAGUGCAAGAAACCGGGACACAUUAAAUAUGAUUGUCCUCUCUACAAAAGUGAAGUCAAGAGGAAAAAGAAUAAGGCAAUGAUGGCCACUUAGAGUGAAAGUGAAGAUGAAUCAUCCGAAGAAGAAAAUGAGAAAGAAGUGGCAAACAUGUGUUUCAUGGCAAUAGAUGAACUUGAUGAGGUAAAAUCUAACCUUAGUGAUUAAGAUAUACAUGAUGCAUUUGAAGAAUUGUAUGAGGAUUUUUAAAAACUUAGUUUGAAAAAUAUUUCUCUUAAAAAGAAAGUUCAACAACUUGACAAAGAACUUAGAGAAGUAAAAGAAAAAUUUUCAAAUGUUAAAGUUUCUAAAACUCAUCUUGAAAAAGAAAAUGAGAUUCUAAGAAAGAAAAAUGAAUAGUUGAACUCCUCUCUUUCAAUCUUUUCUUCUAGACAAAAAUCUUUUGAAAUGAUUCUAACUAGCUAAAAAUGUGUUUUUGACAAACAAGGGUUAAGAUUUAAAUCUUCAAAAAAUCAAAAGUAUUUUAAAAACUAUUUUGUAAAGGAAUCCACAAGUGCAAGUCCUUCCACUACUUGCAACUUUUGUGGAAGAGAAUGGCACAUUAGUAGUACGCCCUUUAAGAAAUGGUUCUCAAAAGAAUUUAAAUGCAAAAACUAAAAAAGAUUUGGAUUGAGAAAUCCAAGGUCACUAACCCUCAAGGACCCAAAAAGAUAUAGGUACCUAAAUCAACUUGAGUUUUAUGUUGUAAGGUUCAAAGAAUGAUAAGUGGUUCUUAGAUAAUGGUUGCUCAAGACACAUGACCGGAGAUGAAUCCAAGUUUGCUUUUCUUAAAAAGAAAAAUGGAGGAUAUGUUACCUUUGGAGACAAUGCAAAAGAAAGGAUGAUUGGUCAAGGCAACAUUGGUAAUGGCACAUCCUCUCUCAUUGAAAGUGUUUUAUUAGUAGAUGGUUUCAAACAUAACCUUUUAAGCAUUAGUCAAUUUUGCGACAAAGGUUUUUAAGUGAUUUUUUAAGCAUCUCAUUGCAUCAUCAAGGAUAUUCAAAAUGAUAAAACCAUUUUCAUGGGCCAUAGAUGUGAUAAUGUUUAUGCUAUAAAUAUUUCAAAAUAUGAUGGCCAUGAUAGAUGUUUUUCAAGCAUGCAUGAUCAAAGUUGGUUGUGCCAUAGGAGAUUGAGACAUGCUAACAUAGACCUCAUUUCCCAACUCAACAAAGAUGAACUUGUUAGAGGCCUUCCCAAAAUAAUUUUUUAAAAAGAUAAAGUUUGUGAAGCUUGUCAAGUGGGAAAGUAAAUCAAAAACUCUUUUAAAAACAAAAACUUCAUUUCCACAUCUAGGCCACUUGAGUUGUUGCAUAUGGAUUUAUUUGGUCCCUCUAGGACACCAAGUCUUAGAGGAAAUUCUUAUGCAUAUGCUAUUGUGGACGACUUCUCUAGAUACACAUGAGUCUUGUUUUUUAGUCAAAAGAAUAAAGUUUUUUAUGAGUUUUCAAAGUUUUGCAAUAAGAUUCAAAAUGAAAAAGGUUUUUCAAUUACUUAUAUAAGAAGUGAUCAUGGGAGAGAAUUCGAAAAUAUUGAUUUUGAAGAGUAUUGCAAUGAGCAUGGAAUUGACCACAAUUUUUUGGCUCUUAGAACUCCUCAACAAAAUGGGGUAGUUGAAAGGAAAAAUAGAACUCUUCAAAAAAUGACAAGAACCAUACUAAAUGAAAACAACUUACCAAAAUAUUUUUAGGCCAAAACGGUUAACACUUCUUGUUAUGUUUUAAAUAGAGUAUUAUUGAGGCUCAUACUUAAGAAAACUCCCUAUGAGCUUUGGAAAAACAAAAAACCCAACAUUAGUUAUUCCAAAGUCUUUGGAUGCAAUAUUUUAUAAUAAACACCAAAGACAAUCUUGGAAAAUUUGAUGCAAAAUUGGAUGUUGGAAUUUUCCUUGGUUACUCAACUUCAAGUAAAGCUUUUCGAGUUUUAACAAAAGAACCAUGGUUGUAGAGGAGUCCAUCCAUGUUAUUUUUUAUGAAUCUCCAAGAAAGAGAGAGGAUUGAUGAUGAUUUAGGUUUGAAGACCUCUAUAGGAAGAUUGCAAAUCGAAGAUAGAAGACAACAAGAAGAAAAUGGAGAGAAUCCAAAGAAAGAAGGAUCACCAUUGGCACUACCCCCUCAUCAACAAGCGCAAGGUGAAUCAAGUCAAGAGCUUCCUAAAGAAUGGAAGUUUGUCAUCAAUCACCCACAAGAUCAAAUUAUAGGCAAUCCAUCUAGUGGGGUAAGAACUAGAUCCUCUCUUAGAAAUAUUUGCAAUAAUCUAGCUUUUAUCUCUCAAAUUGAGCCUAAAAAUAUAAAUGAUGUUUUAGAUGAUGAAAAUUGGAUAAUUGCAAUGCAAGAAGAGUUAAAUCCAUUUGAAAGAAGUGGAGUAUGGGAAUUAGUACCAAGACCUUCAAAUCAAAGUGUUAUUGGAACUAGAUGGAUCUUUAGAAAUAAAAUGGAUGAAAAUAGCAUAAUUGUUAGAAAUAAAGCAAGAUUGGUAGCCCAAGGUUUUAAUCAAGAAGAAAUGAUAGAUUAUGAAGAAACCUUUGCCCCCGUAGCUAGGUUGGAAGCCAUUAGGAUGCUACUUGCCUUUGCAUGUUUUAAAGACUUUGUUUUAUAUCAAAUGGAUGUGAAAAGUGCUUUUUUAAAUGGUUUUAUAAAUGAAGAAGUAUAUGUUGAACAACCACCCGGUUUUCAAAGUUUCAACUUUCCUAACCAUGUUUUUAAACUUAAAAAGACACUUUAUGGUUUGAAACAAGCACCUAGAUCAUGGUAUGAAAAAUUGAGUAAAUUUCUUUUGAAAAAAAUGUUUUAAAAUGGGAAAAAUUGACACAACUCUUUUUAUAAAAACCAAAGAAAAUGAUAUGCUCUUAGUUCAAAUAUAUAUUGAUGAUAUCAUUUUUGGUGCUACUAAUGUCUCUCUUUAUGAAGAAUUUUCUAAGUGCAUGCAUAGUGAGUUUGAAAUGAGCAUGAUAGGAGAACUCAACUUCUUCCUUGGACUUCAAAUCAAGCAACUAAAGGAAUGAACCUUCAUCAAUCAAGCAAAGUAUAUAAGAGAUCUUCUCAAAAGGUUCAACAUGGAAGAAGCCAAAACAAUGAAGACUCUAAUGAGCUCAUCCAUUAAGCUUGAUAAGGAUGAGAAAGGUAAAUCCAUUGACUCUAUUAUGUAUAGAGGCAUGAUAGGUUCUUUGCUCUAUUUGACCACUAGUAGACCUUACAUUAUGUAUAGUGUGUGUUUGUGUACUAGAUUUCAAUCUUGUCUUAAAAAAUCUCACUUAAGUGUCGUGAAAAGAAUCCUCAAAUAUUUGAAAGGGACAAUGGACAUAGGCUUAUGGUAUCCUAAGAGUGAUAACUUUGAAUUAAUUGGUUUUUUGGAUGCUGAUUUUGUCAGUUGUAGGGUUGAAAAAUAAAACACUAGUGGCACUUUUCAUUUCUUAAGACACUUACUUGUCUCAUGGCAUAAUAAGAAGCAAAAUUUGGUAGCUUUGUCAACAGCAGAAGCUAAAUACAUAGCAACUGGUUUAUGUUGUGCACAAAUCCUUUGGAUGAAAUAAACACUUAGUGAUUUUGAUUUAUCUUUUGAGCAUAUUCCUAUUAAAUGUGAUAAUAGUAGUGCCAUAAGUAUAUCAAAAAAUCUCGUGCAACACUCUAGGACUAAGCAUAUAGAGAUUAGACAUAAUUUUCUUAGAUAUCAUACACAAAAGGAUGAUAUAACACUUGAAUUUGUAAGCAUAAAAGACCAACUUGCCGAUAUCUUUACAAAACCUCUAAGAACAUUUUGUUGAUAUUAGAGGACAAUUAGGAGUGAUUUCUUUAUGAUCUAAUGUGAUGAAUUCUUGAUGAAUAUACUUUUUGAUUGCAUGAAUUUCAUGUCAUAUAUGCAUCAUAUAGAAAUAUACUUAGAUAAUGGUCAAAUUUCGACCAAAAAUCAAAAUUCCCAUGGCAUUAGGCAUAAAAAUUUUGGAAUUUCAACUGAAAAUGGUAGGAGGAGGAUCACAAAAUGAGAAAGUAUGCAAAAAUUGAAAAAUCAAAACGUUGACCAAGCGGUCAAUCGGACUAGACCGAUCGACUAGUUUGUCGAGAUUUAGGAUUUUUAAGAGACUCCAACGCUUCAAUUUUUGCACCGUUCUCCUCUAUUUCUUCACGGUUUCUCUGAUUUUGUCUUUUAGAGACUAAUUUGAGUGCGUUUUGGAUCAAUUGAAGCAUUUUGGAUUGGAUUUUAGGAAGAUUGAAAGUUAAGGUUUCGGAUUUGGGUCGCCUUCUCUUCCUCUCGCGUGUCACAAUCAGCUUUAGCAUUGUUCUCUUUCCAUUUUCACACACCUAGGGUUUCAGUUGUGAGCAUCUCUCUCUCUUUACCAACCACUACUCCCUUGCUUCUUCCAUAUGGCUCCUAGGCGAGAGUCCGCUACUUCUAGGGCACAAGGCAAGCACCCAACUGAGUCGUCUCAGUCAAAGGCACGUCGAAAAGUGAGAUUUGACAUUGCCUUGUUCAGUUCCAUGGAGGACUACCAACUAUACAAGCAACACUUUGCUUAGAGACGAGUAGUUCCCAAGAGAAAUAUUAAUUUUCCUCAACUUCAGCAUUUCGAAUUUAAGGGUCUAUUUACUAGGAUGGUUGGUUGUCUAUUGUCACAAUUUCGGAGCCGGUUUUCCUGACCUUAGUGCGAGUUUUUUACUCGAGGGCGACUUAUGGCAUGGGUGGCAUGAUCAUUUCUACUGUUGGAGGAGUUGAGAUCUGUCUGGACCCAGAGAGCAUCUGCCAUAUUUUCGAUAUUGCUCUGGUUGGACUCAAAGUAUACAAGUCCAAAAUGUGGCCCAUUGUGCCAGGAUUUGAGCUUAGAGAGGUCAUUCAGAGGAUUUGUGAACUUCCAGACGCCCAGGAGAUGGGCAAACCAUUGCCACACAGUUUGACGGUCAUCAACAGGGUGCUACACCAUAUAUUGUGCUCUAUCUUUCUACCACGAAGUGGACAUUGAGAUGAGGUCUCUUAUUAUGAGGCAUUCCUUAUUGACUCCAUUCUAACGGAGAGACGAAUUCAUCUACUAUGUCAUCAUUCACUAAGCCUCCUCACAGUGACAUACCACCUCAUCAGGCACCUCUUGCUCCUGACCAUGCUCCAUUGAUGGAUUUAUUUACUCAUAUUAGCUCUCUAGGCACUCGCAUGAAGGAGUUUGUUGUAGUUAGUGAUACAUGGUUCUACUCCAUAGAGGAUCGCAUGGAUCAGUAUCAGACUGGCUUCACGUCACAGUUUGAGUAUCUCCAAUAGAGGAUUGAGCAUAUUGAGGAUCACUUGAGCAUGAGAAGAUGAUGGCUUUUCUAUGCUCUGUGUUUCCACCUCCACCUCGUCAACCUUGAUUUCUUAGAGACCCAUUGUUUUCAUUUUGUAAUGUUGCCAAAAGGGGGAGAUAUUUAGGAUCUAGGACUCUAUAGGAGACUUACAUGCAUAUCAUUUUCAUAUCAUUGUUUGGAUCGUACAUAUUGGAUAGUGAUACUUUUUACUUAUAUAUGAUAUGCCUAUAUGUUUCAUGUCUUACAUUGUUUCUUAUUGCAAAUUAUCUCUAACAUGUCUUGAUUAUCUUUUUUUUAACUUCAUAAAUUUUGAUUGUUAACCCAUGAUUGGUUUGAGGGGAAGAUUCUUCUUCUCCUAGAUAACCAAGGUUUGUCAUCAUAAAAAAAUUGGAGAUUGUUAGCCCAAGGGUUCUCCUAAUCAUGUUUUGAUGAUAACAAACCAUGCUUAAGUUACUAAUUGGUUUGAAUUAUAAAGAAUUUCAAGUGUUAAUUUGAAAAUUCAUCAAAGAACCUAAUGGAUGCAAGAUCAAGAUUUUUGGAAGACCUUUAAUCAUAAGAAACAUAUGUAAGAUGAAUGCAUGGGUGCACUUAAGAUUUGCAUAUCAUUUCAUGCAUAUUUGGAAAACACGGUUUAUGCUUUAAAGUUACAUUUCCAUCAAAAUUUGAGAUCCAUCAAAUGAACCUUAGGAAAAAUGUUUUAAAAUUGGCAUAUAAUUUUACCUAAAGACCUUGCCUAAGUGUUAGAAGCAAAAGGACAAAAAAAAUAUAGGUUUUCUGGUCAAAAAUGGUGAACCAGUCAAGGCAUUGUCUAAAUCAGCUCAAUCGGCCAAGGUACCGGUCGAUCGGUUUCCCUUUCCCUGUCGAGAUCUAGUCAAGAGGUACAAAAAUCACAAUCUCUGUCUCUUUCUCUCUUUGUCUAUCUUCCAGUAGUCUUUCCUUCCCGGUCGAGGGAUUUGCCUUCCCGAUUGAGGUCCGAUUGAGAGUAAUAGUCACUUGCCAAAUAUUAAAUGCUCCAACAGUUAGUGAACUGGUCGACCCCCACCUUGCCCAGUUGAGGUUACUUUUUGGUUUUCUUGGCUCCCGAUGUUAGAAACCUAUAAAUAGAGAGUUCCACUUCAUUUAUGAGCAAGAGAACACUUGCAUUUAUUUGUUUACCUACUUGUUCUUGCCUUAAAAGCUCUCAUUUCUUUUCUUGGUGCAUUAAAUCUCCAUUUUGAUAUCCUUUAGUGCACCUUUGUGAUUCAUCUUAGCCUUGAGUUGUAUUUGAGCCCUUUUUUUAGCUAGGUUGAGAGUUUCAUACUUGUUAAUUGAGUGUUAAAGCCUUCAAGUGAGUUGAAACUUGUAGAGAUUAUGUGAGAGUCGAUUGGAGCCGAAAUCCAAGUGUAAAGGUGAUUAGAAGCUUGGUUGAAGCUUCAAGUUAGUGGAAUCCUCACUCAAUUAGGAGCUUGAGGAGAGUGGACGUAGCCAAGGAAGUGUCGAACCACUAUAAAAUUUGAGUUUGAUUUCUCUAACAUUGUCUCUUUAUAUUUGUUUAUCUUGUGCUUAAAUUUAUUGUGUUUAAAAAGAAUUUUUAAAUACCCAAUUCACCCCCCUCUUGGGUGUUUUUCUCUUUUAAAAUUAGCCUUUAUUUUCUCACAAACUAUUGUAGUAUAGUGGUUUUUAGGUGUCAUCCAUUAGGAUGAAUUGUUCUCGGUAAUUAAGGCGUGAAUGAGAGGAGAAUUAAUGAUUGUGAUUAAGUAAAAUUGAUUUGAAAAUUCAUGGUGAAAAAUCAAUUUAACAAUGGUUUCUAAUUGAGAAAAACAAUGAAAUGUGAAAUAAAAUAAAAUUAAUAGGAAAUGAAAUUCUCGAAGUUAGAAUUUUCUAAAAAACAAAUUCCAUGGUGAAUGGAUGUUGAGAUCUAAUUUUCAUCAAGUUAGAUUGAAAACCGAAAUUUUCAUAUAAACUGAUUUUUUAUUUAGUUUUAGGUCUAGAUUUAAUUUCCCUUAAAAUUAGGUUAUUUAAUCCAAGAAAUCAAUUCAAAUCAUAUAUUCAAUUCAUCUUAAAUUAUCUUCCAAUUAUUCACACAAUGCAACUAUUCAAUCUCAUCAAAUCUAGCUUUUAAGAAUUUAAUGAAUCUACCUAGUUUGCAUUGUAAUAGUCAUCCAUGACAAUUUGAAGAGAAAAAUAAUUCAAUUAAUCAAUCACUUGGAUCAAAUUACCUUUGCAAUUAAAGUUCAUUUCUCUAAUUCACCACAGAUUUUGUCUCUAGAUCCUCCUUUCUCAAAGAAAAAUGAGAUUUAGCCACACAUGAUUGGAGAUUUGGUCUCAUAAGGCAUGUUUAGCUAGUGAUAAAAUGAGAGAAAAUAAAGAAAAAUAGAGAAUUCGAUUAAGAAAGAAAAUCUAAAAAAUUCUACAAUUAGAAAUGUCCAAAAAGCUUUUUCAUGAGAAAAUCAAGUUUCUAUUUAUAGGCCAAGGUCAAGUGGACACUUGACAUCAUCUAAGAGGUCUUCCGGAAGCUUCUUCAUCAAGAAAUCUGGAGUUUAAUAAUAAAAUGGUCAUUUCACAAGAGCUCAAACAAUUUCGCAUGAUUAUGUGAAAUAAAAAAUGCAACAACAGCAAUUUACAUCUUCUUGGAGCAUUUCGCAUGACUGUGUGAAAUUUUCACAUGAUCAUGUGGAAUCGACUUGACAACUCUCAUUUAGCCUACAACAUAAUUCCACCUUUUGGUCCAUUUUUCAUAGUCAUGCGAAAUGGAAAUAUUUGAUUUUUAAGUUUUCUUUUGUCAUUUCUUUCAUUUCCUUCUCUUGAUUCCACUUCAACUACCUCCGAAUCCUGGUCCAAACCAAUUGCAUUACUUCUUUCAUUAUGCAUUUGGAUCAUCAUCAACAUUAUUUGUUCUCUUCAAUUUGAUUCAUCUCUUUUGUCACCAAUUUAUCAAAAUCAUACCUUGAAAUGACUCCAAAACUUCAUAAAACUUGUUAGUAACUCUUGCAAGGGCAACAACAUAUUAAUUAAGUGUUUUAGGCAUAGUUACUACUCAAAAGAUGCGAAACUCAUGAUAAUUAUUAUAUAAAAUAUGCUCUUUUUGAGUAGUAAUCAACUUUCUUGCAUAAGCAGACCUUUUAGGGUGGAGUACUAAAGACCAAUAUGCUUGUCCUUGUUGUAAUAAAGAAACUUGCUCUUAUUGAUUGCACCAUGGGAGAAAAUUUUGCUACAUGAGUUAUCAUCAAUUUCUUCCCACCAAUCAUAGAUUUAGACGUGACAAGAGGCCUCUUAAUGGCAAGGAGGAACUGACACUCACACUUAUACAAUUAUCGGGCAUUGAUGUGUUGCAACAAUUAGAAUAACUUACACCAAUUAUGUUGGGGAAGUCACAAAAGGCAAACAUGAAAACUAAAAGGAAAAAAGAAAAAUGUUACAUAUCACCACAACUGGAAAGAAAAAAGUAUUUACUUUCAUUUGCCAUAUUGGAAAGCACUUAUUUUACAUCAUAAUAAUUUAGACAUAAUGCAUAUUGAGAAAAAUGUGUGACAAUAUAAUUGAGACAUUGUUCAGUAUUGACGAAGAAACAAGGACAACCUAAAUAGUCAUCUCGAUUUACAAGCUCUAACUAUUAGAAAUGAGAUUCACCCAAUAGAAAGCAGGACCAAAUUUAUUUUGCUUGCAACAUGCUACUCACUCACCCCAAAUGAGAUUAAGGAAUUUUGCAAGUUUUUGAAAUCAAUAAAGGUCCCCAAUGGCUAUUCUUUCAAUAUCUCUCGUUAUGUGCAACUCAAUGAAAGGAAGAUAUAUGAGCUCAAAUUGUAUGAUUGUCAUGUCCUAAUGCAACAACUUCUCUCACUUGUAGUUCGUGGAGUUCUACAUAAGAAUGUUUGUGGAGUUAUCAUAGAAUUGCGUAAUUUUUUCAAGCAAUUGUGCUCAAAGGUGUUAGAAACAAAUCACUUACACCAACUUGAGAACAAUAUUAUUGUCAUACUAUGUAAAAUGGAGCAAAUAUUUCUUCCAUCAUUCUUUGAUAUUAUGGUGCAUUUACUUGUGCAUCUAGUAAGGCAAAGGUUGCAAGACUUGUGCAAUAUUGUUGGAUGUACCUAAUUGAACGAUAUUGUUAUAAUUUCAUAUGAAUCAUUUAAUUUUAUUUUAUAUUAUGUUCAGUUCAUUAACAUGUACAUUGGUCUACAUAUGGAUGAUGAUAGGUACCUAAGCACUUUAAAGUCAUAUGUGCGUAAUAGAACUUUUCUAGAAGGUUCUAUUGUAGAAAGGUACCUUGCAAAAGAAUGUACAACAUUUUAUUCUAGGUACUUGAAUGAUGUGGAAAUAAAGUAUAAUCACAAUGAUAGAAACUUUGUUGGUUUCAACACUAGAGGAGAUGAAAGGGGUUAUCUUUAAACAUAUUGGACAUGCAUUGGGAAAGCCCAUAUUUCAUUAACUUAGUUCAAAAGAGUGGUCACAAGCACAUUUAUAUGUGUUGACAAAUUGCGAAGAUGUCAUACCAUUCAUUGAGUAAAAAAUUUAUUUGAAUUUUAAUUAAAGCUCUAGUUUAUAUCCUUAAUCAAUGUUUUUUAAAUUCACAAGGAGCACAAGCAAACCAUCAAGGCUAGACCACAUAUACGUGUUUGAGACGUAGAUUUAAUUCAUAACAAGGAAUUUAUCAAGUGGUUUGAAAGACAUGUAAGUAUAUUCCUUAUUAUAAGGGAUUUAUUUCACAUUAUGUUUAUAUUGAAUCCAAACCUAUUAUUGAAUUGUAGGUUGAACAAUUACAUAAUGAAGGUCAUAUAUCUGAACACCUUCUCACAUUAUCAUGUGUUCCAAAUUCAUUAGUUACAUGCUUCAAAUGAUAUAUUGUCAAUGGAUUUAGAUCCCACAUUAAAGAACGUGAUAAAAAAGUUUUUAAAAAAAGACUCAGAAUAAUGGAAUUGUUGUAGUUGCAAAAACGUCAAGCUUUACAAGUGCAUGUGAUAUGAGUCCAAUUAUUAGUGAUGCUCUCUACUAUGGUGUUCUAACUAAAGUUGUUGAGUUACAUUAUCUUGGUGAAAAUAAGGUUGUUUUAUUCGAGUUUGAUUGGUGGGAUGUUACAAAUAUUGGAAAAUUGAUAAAAGAUGAUGAGUACAAUUACACAUUUGUUAACUUUGCAUGAAUUCUAACCACGAACGAACGAUUUGUACUUGCAUCUCCAGCAAAGUAAGUGUUCUAUGUGAAGAAUGCGAAUGAAUCAGAUUGGCAUACUAUCAUGGAGAUGCAACCUCAAGACCUCUAUAAGAUGAACGGGAUAGGAUCCAAUGGUGAUUUUGAACCAUUUCAACAAAGUGAACUACAUGAUCACUAAUAUAUCUCAGAUUUAGUUGAUGAAGAUAUAAUCAAGUGGAACAAAAGUGAUGUUUUAGGACUAAUCAUCCUAAAAAAUAUUGUAGUUUCUUAAAAAAAAAAUGAAAAUGAAGAAGAUAAUUGAACCUUUGUCAUACUUUAAAAAGCAACUAUGCAUUGUUCAUUUUGUAUGUUUUGGUUUUCUUCAUUUAAUUUCCUGAUUUUUGUGAUUCAAUGUCAUAUUAUUGAUCUUGAAAUAUUUUUCUAAUUUUUCAUUCUACGAUGGUUUCAACAAGGAUGACAUCAAGUCAAAAAAGGAAAUGUGGUCCCACACACAAUAUUGCAUUACAGGGAUUAAGGUCAGGGAAGAAGGUAAAAGUUGCAUUUAAUGAGUACAAUCAAUUGGUUAAACAGAAAAAUGGAAAACACUUAUCGAGCUACAUAGGGACACUUGUAUCUAACCAACACAAUGUACCUCUCCAAGCUAGUGAUUGGAAAAAUGUUCCAAAUGAUGCAAAAGAGAAAGUAUGGCCUUUGUUUUGGUAUGUUGUAUUUCUCACUAUAUGAUGUCAUUUCACUGUUAUUCUAUUUUGUGACUAACGUUUGAAUCAUAUGUAAGAAAAAUUUGAAGUAGAUAAAGACUGAAAAGAUUACAUGUUGGGUAUAGCCUCAAAUAAAUAUAGAAGCUAUAAAAAUAUGAUGAAUGCAAAAUACUAUGACCCUUGGCAUAAGGAUGCAUGAGGAGAGGUUAAUACAUAAAUCACCAUUUGUCUCUGAUGUUGAUUGGAAGUGGCUUGUCUCUGAUGCAUAAACCAAAUCCCCCACUGAAUGUUUGAUAUUUGAUAGCAGGAAAAACACACCCGCAGCUAUACACCUCCAUCAUUCAGAUAAUUAUAGUGGGGGAGAUGAUUCAUGGUUGCCCUUAUACCCUUUAUUUGCACCAUCUAUUGAGAUUCUUUAUCAUGGCCAGGUUUUACUGCAGCAAUAAGAUAUGGUGGCAACAAUUUUAUCUAUAGGUGCGGUUCCAGACCGCCUCCAUAGGUGCGGUUCCUGACUGCCUCCAUAGGUGCCUCUUCUUGUAAUGUUUGUUCUGGGAAUUACACUUGAAAGCCUUAUCGUGAUAAGGGAUUACAAACACUAGUUCAGAGGACAGCCAUGUUAAACUUCCACUAUGUUUGUGUCACAUUAUCAGCAGCCUAGUGUUUAUUGGUCAUGCUAUCUGCAACUAAUAUAACCCGGUGAACUUCAAUCUAAAUUCUGAAAGUACUCAUGUGACAGAUGGUGCCUUUCAGCAGAUAUCAUCAAUUUAAAAGUAGUGUGUGUGCCUAUAGGUGGGAAGGCCUUGGCAAAUGUUCAGUAUUCCGGUAAUUCAAGAAGGAUAUAUCUAAAAUAGAUUUUCUUCUUGCCCAUUUCAAUAGUUAAAAUUUGAGAAGAUUGUGUCCACAUCACACAAAUAUUAUUGGUCCUUCUGUUGCAAUUUACCUCUGAACAUGUCUUCCAAUUCCCACGGUCCUGUUACUCCAGGAAAACUAUUUCGGUCAUAUUGAAAAAAAAAAUAUUAAAGAAGGUACACAUGCUUUUAAGUGGACUGGGGCAUUCAUAUCAGGUGGUCUGUAUCCACAUAUGCCACUUCGUGAAAGGUGGAACAGCCUAAUCACUAGGCUAUUUAGUGUGGCCCAGCCACGUUAAUCAAGCACAAGUCUUCAUACUUAAAGUCAAAUGGUGUCUUUAGUCUCAUUACACAUCGCUAUUUGAAGAUUAACUCAUCACUAGUGUAAUGCGAUUAAGACAGUCCUAACUCAAUAUUUGUUCUAGUUUUGGAUGCAAAUGCUUGCUGGUUUCAUCAUUGGAUGGGAUAAAGGUGCAAUCAGGACUAUGAAUACGUGCAGUAAUACUUCAUUCUCUUUUUUCUCAAUGAGACUUCUUGGCACAAUUUUGCUGCUCAGCAACCUACCUUUCCAUGGAAAAUCAGUUGUGACUGAUAGUAAUGGAUAUAUUCUAGAAAGCUAAACAUAGAUAGCAUUCAAUAUUAUCGAUAUAACAUUAACAGCGUAUGUCUCAAUGCUCAUCAGCUACAAGCAAUGGACAAACACUUUGAGUAACUCACAGCAGUCAAAAUUCCUAAACAGGACAGACGUGACAGAUCUAUAUAUAGAACACUGCAUAUGAGUCACAGGAAAAGAUAAUACGGGUACAUAGAAGCUCUUAUUUUACAUAUUACUCAUACUGAUCAAAGUCGCUCAGUUGGGAUGGAUGGGAGAAGGAGGUUUGAGGGGUGGCUUGUGCGGGGAAGUUGGCAGCUUCUUUCCGGGAGCUGGUUGCUUCUUUGCUGGAGUUGAAGGAGGCUUAAUCUUCCGAGGUGGCUUGUAUGAGUCUUCAGCAUUCUCAGCAGGAGGGUGACCAGGGUUGUGACCAUAAUGUGGUGGCUUCUCUCCCUUAGGUGGUUUGCCAACUGGGGUUGGUGGCUUGUUUUCUGGGAGUGGCUUCUCUCCCUUGGGUGGUUUGCCAACUGGGGUUGGUGGCUUGUGUUCUGGGAGUGGCUUCUCCCCCUUGGGAGGUUUUUCGAAUGGGGUGGGUUUGUGUCCUGGUGGUGGCUUCUCUCCCUUGGGAGGUUUACCAAUUGGGGUCGGUGGCUUGUGUUCUGGGAGGGGCUUCUCUCCCUGGGGAGGUUUAGUGGGUGGCUUGUGUUCUGGAGGUGGCUUCUCCACCGGAGGCUUAUGCUCUGGUGGUGGCUUCUCGAAGGGGGGAUGCUCAGGGUAAUCACCAAGUGAGGGGGUGGUGAGAACCACCAUGCCAAGCAACAACACUAGCAAGUAUGUAGUAGACAUCUUUGGGUUUGGACUCAGACAGUGCAAAACUACGAGAAAUCGCUAGCCCUUUAUAGCGGCUCGGACCUAAUACUGACAUAAUAUAAAAUAAAUAUUAUAUUUUAUCAAGAGAGAACAGAGUGUAAUUUUAUCAUUAAUACCGAUCGAGGCCAAAGAAAGAAGACCCAUAAUCCAUUUCCCACAAGCAUACACAAUGCAGCUGUAAUUUUAUCAUUUACUUUUAUCCCUUGGACCACUGCAUUUUUGUUGAGAGACACAAUAACACAUUUUUAUCUGUCAUUCAACAUUUACAGUAAAGAGAGGGCACAAAACGCAAUUAGAUAAAUUAUGUUUUGCCUGCUAAAAAGAGGCAAAUAACUUUAUUUGCAACAUAAUUAUUUUGGUUUCUAGUGACCCCGGGGCCUUUCGGUUGGUUUGGGAUCGGAAAAUGAACAUCAUAGGGGGGGUUGUGCCCUUAUGGGCAUAUAUAUCUGAUAGCUUCAACUGGCCUUGUUCCUAGAAAGAAAUUGCCAAAGAUAUAAACUUAUUCCAGGCUGAAAGUAGAUGAGAGUCAUAAUGAACAUCAACCUUUGUUCAGUUUGAUUCAAUGCCCCCAUAGUGUUCAUUUCACAGAUCUGAAUGAUUAUAUCCGUUGAAUACAUAAAUUAAUGAAGACAAAUAUGAAACCCAAGAUACAUCUCUGCAUAACAACCCCAACCCUGGUUGCUAUGUUUCCCUUCUUCUAUUCACAUGAGGAUACUGGUUAUAAUUGUCAAACUUGCAACAAGCCCUUUGACACCUAACGUCAAUGGACGAAUUAAAAGUCUCCUUCAAACGUCUAUUUCACAGCAUGAAGCUUAUAAAGGAUGCUGACAACCUUCAGAGUUAGCGACAAAAGAUAAUUAUCAAGGAGAGAUAGUUCCAUGAGAAUUCCAAGGAGUCUGAAUCAAAGACAAAUUGCUCACUCAAGGGUUCUUAUUUUCUUUUAGGUACAAAUCUCUUGAGUGUUGUUAAAGAAACACGUCACUGUCAUUUUGAUUUGCAUUUAACAUUUCACUUUUGUUCUGGAAGGUUUGUUCCGGAAACAUAUCAAAUGAGCAUCAUUUUCUUCUUCGGUGACACAUGGUCGCGAGUACGUGGGUCCAUUUUCAUGCCACUUAGUUGAAAAGUUGGAAAGAAAAAACAUGCCAACAAGAAGAUAGUGAGAGAAGGGGCACUUCAAGCCUUUAACAUGAACAAACAGUAAAUAAAAGAUGUUUCUCCACUCAUAAAAGUGUGUUAGAUAGCAAUAUAACGAAUCACAUCCAAAAUCUUUACUAGGCUCAAACAUAAAGAAGACUCAUUUUUAAGAAAAGAUAAAAAUGGCAUUGUCUGAUAGUAUCCAAUACACGAGAUGGCACUUAAUUUGUACAAGAUCUGUCAAUGCUGACGCACAUUUUCUGAUUAAAAAAAAACUGAUCAGUCAAAAGCAAUGAAGAGAAGUGAUGACAAUGAAUGAUGCUUCCAAUAUUUUCACCCCUUAUAGUGUUCUUCAUGAUUCAGAUAUAUAAUUGGAAAUAGAACAACCCUAUGCCAUACAUUCGUCUAAGUAUGGUGUCUAAUUUUUUGUGUCAGCGGUUGCGAAUGGAGCGUGCAAAAGUCCAAAUUGGCGUCUCUCCAUUUCCACAUAGGAAGGUGACCUUUAUUGACAAAUACCCAAUAUUUGUAGACAUUCCUUAAAUAUCAUAACUUCUUGUUGAUUUGAAAAUCAUUUUUCAACUACCAUGUUUUAAUAAAUAUUUUUUAAAAUGUAUUUUUAUCAAAGUCCACCAUGAUGGAUAAUAUUCACCAUGCAAUAAUUAAUAAAGUACAAACUAAGCGAAAUGAAAAGCAUUUUCUUUGCUUUGAGUUGAUUUUGGUUGCAUUGAGUUGAUUUUGGUUUCAUGGUUUUUUCAACUCUUAUUUUGAUUGGAAGAUGUCAAGAAAAGAAAACAUAAAGAAAAAUUAAAAGGGAAAAAAGAAGAAAAAUAAAAAAAAAUAGAUUUAAAAGUUAAUAAAUUAUUUUUUAUAUUUAUUUUAAUUCAUUUCACUUAUUUUUCUUUUACUAUAUAAAAUUUAAAUAAUUUAAAUUUUAUAAUUAAUUUAAUUACAUUUCAUUUUCUUCUAUAUUUAAAUAUUGGAAAAAUAUUUUACUUAAUAUUUUUUUCUUUAAUUUCUUUGGCAUUUUGGGAACCAAACUUAGCCUUUAAAAUAAAAAACAAAAAAAAAAUGAAAAUAAGGAGGGAAAAGUGAGAAAAGAUAAAAACAAUAUGUAAAGGAUUUGAAAAGUAUUAGUUUGUAAUUACUAUUUGGAUUUCAAUAGUAUUUUAUUUGUCUUUCUAUAUUUCAUGUAAGAGAGAAUUUAAGAUAUUCCCCAAGGCAAAGCAUUAGUUACCUGCAAUCAGUGGUGAUAAGGCUCCAAGCCAAUUUUGGGCCCCAUAUCUUAAGACAGUACAAUUUCCAUUUCAACAUUUCUGAUUUCUCAGAUGUUUCACAUACCACAGAAGAACAUUGUUUGUGAAAAUAUGCAUUUAUGUUGGAUUUUGUAUGCUGUGGGGACUGGGGCAAGGAUCAUAUGGAAGAGUGGUUGACUUUUUCUGUACUUUAACGGUUGAAAUAGGAUAAGCACGGGCAUUUGUGAGGCUUAAUUGAUUUUGAAGCCUGAAAUUGCGUUUCUGUCAUUUUGUCAAAAAAAUGGCAGAUUCCAUACUCAUAUGUUUGGCCUGUGGCCAUGUACAGAUGCCAUUUAGUGACCAGUUUGUAACUGUCAAUCGUUGCGUUUUGACUCUGCCUCAACAACAUCUGCCAUUGACGGGUUUUCAUACUUGCAAAUCAAAUAGUCUUUCGUCCCAUCAGGAAUUUCGGUUUAAAUAUUAUUAAGCAUACGUUUGGCUGACAAUCAUUAUCCAGUUCAUGAUUUGGUUUCUUACCCUUAAUCAAUGGUUUCUAAGUGAAUAUAUGUAGAAGGAAAUCCGAAGUGUAGACAGUAGUAUCGAUAACUCUCAAUAUUCUCUAUAUAAUAGAAUAAACAGCGUCAUAGUGAUCGUCGCCUACAAGCAAGGUACAAAUACCAAAACGAGUGACUCACAUAGACAUCUCCCAACAAGAUGUAGUAGUGACUGACACAUGGACACAAUUAACUCGUAGAAAAGGAUAAGACCAUUGCACAGCAGCUCUUAUUUUACAUACUACUUAUGCUAACCAAAGUCAAUUAGUUGGGAUGGGUGGGAGAUGGAGGUUUGUGCGGUGGCUUGUGGGGCGGAGUUGAUGGCUUCUUUCCAGGAGCUUCUGGCUUUUUCAUCGGAGCUGAAGGAGGCUCAAUCUUAUGAGGCGGCUUGUAUGAGUCUUCUUUACUCUCGACAGGAGGGUGGCCAGGGUUGUGAUCAUAAUGUGGUGGCUUCUCUCCCUUAGGUGGCUUGCCAACUGGGGUUGGUGGCUUGUGUUCAGGAAGUGGUUUCUCUCCCAUGGGAGGUUUAGCAAUUGGGGUUGGUGGCUUGUGUUCUGGGAGUGGCUUCUCUCCCUUGGGAGGUUUAGUAGGUGACUUGUGUUCUGGAGGUGGCUUCUCCACCGGAGGCUUGUGCUCCGGUGGUGGCUUCUUGGUUGGAGGGGGCUUGGGGUAAUCAGCAAGAGAUGGGGUGGUGAGAACCACCAGUCCAAGGAACAACACUAGCAAGUAUGUGGGAGACAUUUUUGAGUUUGGGCUGAUCAGAUGAUGCAAAACUAAAGCAUUACGUGACCUUUUAUAGCAUGUAGCUCCCAAUACCCACUAAGUAUUGUGGGGUCCAUUUGUGCCCUACGGGGUUGAAAACUUAGACAAUUGGGCAAGGACCCACCUGACUAUGGAGGACUAGUGAGGUGUGAUCAUAGCUUUAGGAUUUUUCUUCCUCUGCAGCCGUCGUGCCGUUGGCAUGAUUUUCUUAAUCUUAAAUAAAGGCAUAGUUAUAGAGUUGUUUAAUCUCUAAAUGGGAUUUUAUAUAUAUCUUCAGAUAGCCAUUAAUAUAUUUGAUGAAGAAAGAAAGACAAGUGCAUACAACAUGUAUACGACUAGCUUUCAUGGAGUUCAUUUAUGAUCAGUUUUCCUGUACAUGUAAACCAGGAUCAUAUAUAUGUUUCUGUUCCACAACUAUUUUGGAAUCUUGUUUAUCAGUUUUUAUCAUUAUAAUGUCACAUAGGCUGCCAACUUGGGCGCUAAAAGAACCAGUUGGGCUAGUUCGUUUCAGAAUUUCAAUGUGGAUUCAGGAAUUGUUUUGUAAGAUAUGCGAAAUAGUAGAGGGAUGAAUAGUGUUUCAUUAAUAAAAGUGUCCUGUAAAUUAGAAGGUGUCAUAGAAACUAUAAUCAAUAAAUAACUUUUUUUCCCCACGGGUGGUGUUUCUUGUGGGGAUCAGUGACUGGUUUAGGUUCACCCAAAAUGAGUUCAGACUAAAAUUGGUUUGAGUCAAUGCCGUGUCUCUUUUUUCCAGAAAUCAACUAUUUUAUGCAUUGAAUAAAUCAUACAAAGAAAAUAUGAACGCCCGCAAAACCUAAACCCUGGUUGCUAACUUUCUAUGUUUCAGUUCUAUUCACGCAAGAAUAUUAGUUUAAGUUUGGGAAAAAUGGCAACUUACCUAGUGAUUACUUGGUUUUGGUUUGCGACUAUUUACGCAACCAACCAUGAGUUUGACUUUAACGUCAUGGGUUGAAGCCUCCUACAGGAAGGGAGAAAGCUCCACAGCUAGCUCCAAAAGAGAAUUAUCACAUUGAUAGCUCCAGAGAUUCCCAAGGGGACUGAAUCAAAGACAAGUUCCUCACUUUUUCUUCUUUUGAGGCCAAAUAUGAACCAAGGAUCACACAACCUCAUUCAACUUCAUAAGUUUGAUUUCAUGCAGUUGAACACUGGGUGAAGGCCAUGACAAGAAUUGAUUCAAAAAUUCUAUCACUCUUUUAAGUAAUGGAAGAUUAUUAUCUCUGAUUGGCAUCACAACAGCACAUGCUCCUAGAUCUUUCUAGACACUCCAUGCAAUGAAAGCACAAUGGAUCUUGUAACGAUAGAAACUAAGCCAUGCUACAGUACUAGAUGAUGAGGUAAAACUAGUAGACACGGGUGGCAGCCUAUAUGGGAGGGACACAAGUCUAAUUGAUUUGCAUUUCAGCAUUAUAGAUAGGUAUGUUUUGGAAGAUUUGUUCUGGAAAUACCGCACCAAGUAGGAUUCUUUUUCUCUUUAGUGGGUCCACUUGCAUGCCAAUUAACGAGUUGAAAAGUAUGAGCACCUACCUCGUGCUCGUGGAACCGAAGGUCAGUGAAGUGGGGCUCCUUUUGGCCUCGUGUAAACUUGAUUCAGAAGUGAAGUUAAUAGUCUUCCAUUCAGAUGGAUACAUGGGAAUUUUUCUCUUUUAUUUAUUUAUUUAUUUUUUUUUUGUGUGUGUAUGUCAAAGGAUAAUGAAUGAAGCGCGUUAGCUUGUUUUCUGACUGGAACCGCAGAUGUCCAAAUUGGAGUUCCUUCAUUUCUUACUUAGGAUUGUUACAUGUAUAAACAAGGUAUAAGAAAUAUGCCAACGUGUCUUGAGGAGUUAUUGAUUAGAAAUAACAAGUCACCCGACUGUAGAGUUCCAAGAUUUGAAUCUUCAGACCCUAUAGCAGCCUCUGGGGUACGUGGCAUCCUAUAGCAUAUUAAUGAAGGCUUUUUCGAUUUAGACUUCACAAUACCAAUUAAUAUGUAUGCACAAAAUGGAGAUGACCCCAAAAAAAACAGAAUCGCCAUAGUUUAUGAGGUUAAGGUGAUUCUCCACUUAAUAUCUACAUUAGCUAAUUAUGUAAAUCAAAUGAACUUCUAUUUUUCCUUUUUUUUUUUGGUUUAUGUCAAAUAGUAGCCCAUAAUUAACCCAACCAUUAGCCUGUUUGAAUUGAUUUCACAUGCACAAUGUUGUAGUAGUUCAUAUUUUGAAUUUUAUUUUUACAAAGGUAGUUAAGGAAAAUGAAGUAUAAUAAUUAUAAAAGCAGACUAUAUACACUACAAUAAUUGUUAGAAUGGUAUCUCAAAUUCUAAUUUAAAAUAUUAUUUUUUGUAAAAGAAAUAUUAUAUAGAAUAUUUCCUAAUUUUAUAAAUGAUUAUAAUUAGAUCUUUAUAAAAUAAGGAAAGUUGGUAAGAAUAUCUUUAUAAAUAUUUUAGGUCAUGAGAGAAAGAAAUGGGAUAAAAAUGUGAUGAAGAGGUGAAAUAAGAGAGUUGAUUAGGAUAUAGAUGUGAAGAAGAAAGGGAUUCAAUAUAUAUAUAUCUUUCAAUUACCACAUUAAAACCCUGUGAACCUUUUAUAUGGUUUACUUUAUUUUUAUAUUCCUCCUUUAAUAUAUUUACAUUAAUGCUUCCAUUGGCACAACAAUAACGAAUUACAAAUACAAGCAACAAGUCCCAUGUUUUAUUACCAAAAGCAGGUAAAAUCCACCUAAUAUAUUACAAUAUAUUCAUCCAAUAUUUUAGACCAAUUCUUCACCAUAAAUAUCAUAAUGUGGCUUUUGUUCUUUCUUAAAUUUAAAUUGAAUUGUCUUAUAUCAAUUUGUUUGUGAUUUUUUCAUUAACUUCACUUUCAUUUGGUUAUCUUUGGUUUUUGAAAAGUAUUAAGGAAUUAAUUAACAAAAUAAUGUUAAGAAAAAUAAUUUUCUCUCUUUUGAUUUUGAUUUUGUAGUAGAAAAAUAUAAUUAAAAUUAUUUAAAAAGUAUGUAAUUUUAAAUUAUUUAAUAUUUAGAUAAAAAAAAUAAGUCUAAUGAGUUUAAAAUAACAUAUAAAAAUAAUUUAUUUAUUUUAAAUUUAUUUUUUAUUUUCCAUUAUGUUCUCUUUCUCUUUUACUUUUUCAUAUUUUUUCUUACGAAGAAUCAAACACAACCUCAUAUUAUAUGUCAAGUGUUUGUCUAUAUUUGAGCAAUGUUAGAUACGGCCAUGGAUUCAUCAAACUAAACUGAUUUUAAUAGAUACUUCACAAAUUGAUUUAUACACUAAAUCAUUGGAUAGCAAUGAUGCAUUGGAAUUAAACGUAGGAUGAAGCUCGAAGAACACUGUUUGUGUAACAACAUAUUUAUGAAAUUAUGCAAAGGAUGAGCUUCGGGGUAGUAGUACAAGGUCAUUAAUGGAGAGCCGUGUUAAACCUUGAUUGUGAUUGGAUUCCGUUAUCAGCAACAGCAACCUUGUUUGUAACCUUGAAAGUCAUUCUGUCCACAUCGAAACUCCAAUUUGACGUUUGUAAUUACCAUUCCUGGAGUGUUCCUUGAUUGAAAUUUAAAUAAUAAUUGCGGCCCACAAGGAAUAUUUUCGAUUCUGUGGGAAUUUGACAAGGUUUGUUAGAGAAGACUGGUGACAUGUUGACUUCAAUGGUUCAAAUAGGAGACGUAUGUGGAUUUGGGGGGUUUAAUUGAAACUGAGUCCCUAUGGCUUUUUAAUAUUUGCAUUGAGCAGUCUCCAUGUGACUUCCUAAUUCCCACCAACCCUCCUGUCCAUGCUGUGAAACUAAAUUGUAAUUUAUCAGCCUUUGUCAAUGGUUUCUAAAUUAAAGAUAUAGACCAUGCAUGUACUUUAAUAAAAGCAAAUCUAAAGUGUAGAUAGCAGCAAUGGUGACACCCAAUAUUCUCCAUAAAAUAGAAUUAGAAUAAGCAGUGUUACAUUGUUCAUGAUCACCUACAAGCAUACAAGAACUUCCAUGAAUAACUCAUAGCAAUUGCCAACAGGGCGUCGUAGAGACUCAUACAUAGAACACUAUCCACCCAGAGGAAAGGACAAGACCAGUGCGCUGCAGCUCUUAUUUUUCACAUGUAUACCACCACUCGUAAUAACCAAAUUCACUCAGUUGGGAUAGGUGGGAGAUGGUGGUUUGUGGGGUGGCUUGUGGGGAGGAGUUGGAGGAGGCUUUAUUUUCUGAGGCGGCUUGUAUGAGUGUGCAGGAGGAUGCCCGGGAGUGUGACCAUAAUGUGGUGGCUUCUCUCCCGUAGGUGGUUUGCCAAAUGGGCUUGGUGGCUUCUCUCCCUUAGGAGGUUUACCAAUUGGGGUUGGUGGCUUGUGUUCUGGGAGUGGUUUCUCUCCCUUGGUAGGUUUGCCAAUUGGGGUUGGCGGCUUAUGUUCUGGGAGUGGCUUCUCUCCCUUGGGAGGUUUGCUAAUUGGGGUUGGCGGCUUAUGUUCUGGGGGCGGCUUCUCUCCCUUGGGAGGUUUGCCAAUUGGAGUUGGCGGCUUAUGUUCUGGGAGUGGCUUUUCUCCCUUGGGAGGCUUGCCAAUUGGGGUUGGCGGCUUAUGUUCUGGGGGUGGCUUCUCUCCUUUAGGAGGUUUGCCAAUUGGAGUCGGCGGCUUAUGUUCUGGAAGUGGCUUUUUUCCCUUGGGAGGUUUGCCAAUUGGGGUUGGCGGCUUAUGUUCUGGGGGUGGCUUCUCUCCCUUGGGAGGUUUGCCAAUUGGAGUCGGCGGCUUAUGUUCUGGGAGUGGCUUCUCUCCCUUGGGAGGUUUUGUUGGUGGCUUGUGUUCUGGAGAUGGCUUCUCCCCUGGAGGCUUGUGCUCCGGAGGUGGCUUCUGAAAUGGCGGGGGCUUGGGGUAAUGAGCAAGAGAUGGAGUACUG
rnacentral:lncRNA from 1 species